AAAAAAAAAAGCAUAAAUCCUUAAAAGGCACGUCUUUUCUCGUUAUAAUUCAUCAAUACUUCGGCUGCACAUAAAAGGAAAAAGAGAAACGUGGAGAUUCACGUGAAACCUUUUUUGGUAGUCACUUAUUUGACCAAAAAGACUUACUAAACGCCAAAAACUUUUUUUUUCCUUACACCAGGCAGAUCACUCGAGAAUUUUUGACAAGAUCAUGCUUCAAGCUAAACAUAAUCAUCAAGAUCCAAGUAAGAUUCACCAACCGACUUAAACAUGGCUACUUUGAAACGAAAAGUUAAAUCUCAUUCUGUCAAAGAGAAAGCGGCCCUCAUGCAUUAAACUGGUCACUGCAAAAAUCUACGACCCUGACUGCUAGCGACAUCGGUUUCUGUCGUCCUAUAGACUAAUAAAAGUUUAAUAGGCUUCUUCGUCAUCAUAAUCCUUAAGACCACUUUCCAUUUCUCACGAUAUGAUCUCCUCUGCUUCGAAUGAAAAGCCCUUCAGAAUGUGUAAUGCUGCUGAAUGGAAUCGAUGUCCAGGCCUUUGAGCUUGACCACGGAUUCAACAUGGCCCUUCAGAGUGUGUAGCUCGCGAAGCCUGCAACAACAGAUUCACUUUGUCUUACCAUCACAUGUAGGACUUAAACAGUGAAAAGGAAUUGCUAGCAGCGAAUGGUUUAAACUCUGUUUCGAGAGAGUAAGGCGCCUAAACUCAGUUAAAUACAGCACGGCCUUUGAACUUCAGUUAUUAGGCAAGCAAACAGGUACGGAAGCGAAGAAGGUGAAACUAUGUUUUUUUUUUUGGUGAAAAGAAGGUGGAACUAUGUUUUUCAGUAAAUAACACCAUUUUCUUACGAGCGUUGAAGUAUGAAAAUCCAGGUGCUCACCUCGCAACCUCAGCUCGUCGCUUGGCUUGCUCUGCAAUCUCUGAAAGCUCCCUAUAGCUACUCUUGUUAGAAAAUAGGUUGCUGGUUUUAGGAGGCCAAAGGCCGUGCAGAGUCCUCUUGCAUGUUAAACUUAUGACUCGAAUUUGAGAUUCACUGGACUCGCGACGGAUUUACUAGAGAGGAAAUAAAGUUGAAAAAGGAAUUUGGCCGUGGGCCCAAGUGGGCACACGUAUAAGAAGCGAAUUUCCUCAUGGAGUCUGCACGUGAAGAGAAAGUUGGUGGCACUAAAUAGGACACAUAUAGCCCUAAUUCCCAAGAUACCUCAUUCAGAACGAAUUGACCAAUAUCACCCUAUUAGCCUUUGCAACUUCUCAUAUAAAAUAAUAUCGAAGGUUUUGGCAAAUAGACUUAAACGUUGGCUGCCUAUGCUGAUUUCAGGGGGACAAAGUGCUUUUGUUAGUGGGAGACAAAUUCAAGACAACAUUUAUAUUGUGUAGGAGGUGCUUCAUCAAUUGAGGAUGAGAAAACAGAAGAAACAUUUUCAAGCUAUGCUGAAGUUAGACAUGCAAAAGGCCUACGAUCACAUUGAAUGGGAUUUCCUGGAAGGAUGCUUGUUGAAAAUGGGUUUUUGUGCAAAAUGGGUCAAUUGGAUAAUGCAAUGUGUCAUUACAGUUACCUUCAGCAUCAAAUUGAAUGGUGAACCUCUUCCUUUUUUCAACCCUACCGGAGGUAUAAGGCAAUGGGACCCCUUAUCACCCUAUCUCUUCAUUUUGAUGGAAAAUAGUUUAUCUUCUUUGAUGGGAAAAGCUCUUCAGGAUGGAAGUAUAAAGGGGAUUAGGCUGAAUCGAUUAUGUCCUACUUUGACUCACCUUUUAUUUGCAUAUGAUUCUAUAUUCUUUUUGAAUGGAUCCAUAAAGGAAUGUCAAAAUGUUGCGUCAAUUCUAAACCAGUAUUGUUAUGCAUCGGGACAAGCUGUAAUCCUGAACAAGUCUGGUAUUUUCUUUAGUAGAGACUGUCCCCAACUAUUAAGGGAUAACAUGAAAAGGGAGUUGAGGGUUCCUAAGCUUGAUCGGACUGGCAAAUACCUUGGGAUCCCUUAUGAUAGGGGAACAUAAAAAAAAAAAAAAACAGGUGUUUGCUUGGAUUUUAAAUAGGGUAAAUAUGAAAUUGGAAGGCUGGAAUGAGCAAAUUAUGUCAAAAGCAGGUAAGGAAAUCCUCCUGAAAUCAGUGGUGCAGGCAUUACCUUAAUAUGCCAUGUCAGUUUUCAAAAUUCAAGUUUCAGUUUGUAAGGCUAUAGAGAGGAAAAUAGCCAACUUUUGGUGGAAAAACAGCGAGACAAGAGCUGGUUUGCAUUGGAAGAGAUGGGAUAUCAUGAAAAACAGAAAAGACAAGGGAGGUAUGGGAUUUAGAGACUUAACUACUGUAAACAAAGCCCUUUUGGGUAAGCAAGUGUGGCGGUUGGUUAAAAAUCUGGUUGCCUUGUGGAGCAAACUGUUAAAAGGGCUUUACUUCCAUCACAAAGACUUCUGGCAUGCUAAUCAAGGCACUAAGCCGUCAUGGGGCUGGAAAAGUUUACUAUCGGGAAGGGAGGCCAUAAUGGAUUCAGUGAGAUGGUCGAUCGGAAAUGGGCAAAACGUUAACAUUAGAACAGAUAAAUGGCUGAAGAGGUGACUAAUAGGAGGACCAGAAUCGAAAUGACCCACAAAAAGUCUGUGAGCUGAUGGAUUUUGAAACAGAACAGUGGAAUGCAUCACUCUUGCACAACCUCUUUGAUGAACAAACAACUCAGGAGAUUCUUGCCAUUCCAAUUAACCGUCAAAUUUCAAAAGAUGAACUGAUAUGGACAGGAUCUAAGGACGGGGCAUUUAUAGUCAAAAGUGGUUAUAAUACAUUAAGAGAACGAGAAACGGCAUCCUCUGCAAAGGAAAACCCAUCUUCAUCCCAUCAAACACCAAGAAAGCUAUGGAAUGCUAUAUGGAAGAUGCAAACUAGUCCUAAAGUCAGGAUUUUCAUUUGGAAUGUUUGUCAAAAUGCCGUCCCAUCCAAGGAGAAUCUAUGGAAACGAAAGAUUUUACCUGAUCUGAUUUGCGAUCUUUGCCGAGAGAGUAUGGAAACGGUCGAGCACCUCCAUCUUCUUUGUCCCUGGACAACAUGGGUAUGGAGCCACACGGAAAUCAACCUACAAGUGAUCGGCCAAGAGGUCACACGAAUUGAUGUAUGGCUAGCGAAGUUUAUCAACAACGACUCGAACCUACCUUCUCUGGAAAUGAUUUCAAAUAUCCUAUGGCAGGUGUGGAAGGAGCGCAACAACUGCAUAUUCGGGGAACCAAGCCAGAUGCCUGUAAAGUAGUAGAUCUGGCCCGAUUUCAGCAAAAAAGUCAAAAAAAAAAUGGGGUUUCGGGCAUGUGCAAGCAAGAACAGAAGAGGAAAACGAAAUAUCUCCAACUUGGAUAGCUCCGGUAGCUGGUUCUUUGAAGAUAAACGUGGACGGAUCCAUCCGUGAGGGGUCAACGGAAGGUGCCGUGGCUGGUGUAGUUCGAGAUUUCUCUGAUAGCCUCGUGGAUGGCUUCGCGAAGCAGGUUCGGGCAGUGUCAAGCCUUCACAUUGAAACCCUAGCUGUGCUUGAAGCCUUGGAGUAUAUAAAGCAGAAAAAGAUAGCAGAAGCUUCAGUUGAAACCGAUUGCAGAGGGCUCGUGCAAUCCCUAAAGUACAAGAAAGACUUUACCUGGGAAACACGUGCGAGCUGGACAAAGUGCCUUGAACUUCUGCAGCAACUUCCGAACAUGGAUCUGCGCUAUUGUUCGCGGGCCGCAAACACAGCUGCGGAUUGGGCUGCGCAACAAAAAAGAAGUAAAAGCCUCCCUUGCAACUGGACGUUUUCUCCCCCUCAAGGCCUAUGGGCCAUAUUAUGUAAUGAUGCGUCAAUUGUGGGGCUGAGACCAGCUAUAAUAUAAAUAAAAUAGCACUUUUUGACCCAAAAAGAGAGAGGAAGUUGGUGGGGCCCAAGGUCGCGCACACACUCCACGUCGAUGGCUGAAUUCCACUGCACCUUGGCGUGAAGUCUUCUGCUUGUGUAAGAAUCCAAAUAUGGUAGUGGGCCGAGGUCAAACUUUGACCUGGACACACAUAUAAAAACUGAUAUAAUUUCCUUCUUUGGGUUUUUGGCGUGAGUGGCAGAAAGAAACCCUACAUAGAAGAAGUGAGCGUGAAGCCGCACGUCCACCGAGCUAGAUUCCGCACGAAGCUUUGAAAAAAUAUAGAGUGUAUUGUUUUGAGUUUGAAUGUGCAGUAAUUUUGUGCGGUGAGUUGGGUUUGGGGUUAAAUUGGGGUUUAGGAAACACCGAGAAAGUGUUUGAGUGACUUGAGUGUAUAAUAUCCUUAUAUCGCUUGAUCUAUAGUAAAAUUCGCUAUUGCUCUUCUUGUGGACGUAGGUCAUUUAAAUCUAGUGUCCAAUUUAUUUUCUUCUUUUGUCUAUAUUAUUGUUCCAUCGCUCGCUUAUCGCAAUAGUGCAGUUGCCCACUGAGCUCUUCUUUGCCAUAGUCUUUUUUACAAGUAAAGGCAGUCUGCGUGAUAAAAUUGUCCAAAAUUAACAGAAUGCGGAGUUUUUCAUAAUACAUAAUCCGUGGCGGUGCCUCUUUCUCCGUGGAAAUACCUUGUUCUCCAAAAGAGAAUUCAUGCUCUCCCGCUCAUAAGGUAGCAGAUCGCAAACUUAAGAGUAUCAAGCGGAACAGAUGUCACCAAGCUGUAAAGCCAGAUGACACUGGCCCAACCCCGUCCAGUUCCUUUUAUCCUCGUGAAACCACAAUUUGCCUAAAACCGCUACAAUUGUUGCAACCUGUCCAUAAAAUAUUUUGCGUCAGGGAAGCAUUUUGUUGAAUGGUGAUUAAGUUAUUGCUGUCCAAACUUUUCUGAGGACUUUUAACCACCAUCAAUGAAAGCUAAUAAAUCUGUGGUUCUCACUUCAACCGGACUCCAAUCAAAUUAGUGAGUAGAAGGUUCUGCAGUAGACUUAUGAAGCCAGUAGAAAGUGAACAGACUAUGACCACCGAAAAAUUCGUACCAGCUGAGCAACUACGAAUGCGCUGACCUUGAAAAGUCCCAGGCGUUCAACAUAGGAUUGGCUGCUUAUUCAUGUGACAAAGAUUAAAGCGUGGCUAACUAUACCCACUCACAAGUAUAGGGCCAUCAUUUCAUCAGGGUUAUAUCUGAUUGAUUUAACACUGAAAUUCUCCUUCACCAUAGAAUAAGGUGGCGAUGUUUAAUUACUUCUCAUUCCAAUAAUUCAACAAAAGAUAUACACGAGAGACAGAAGUAGAAGACCGCACUAGAAACAGAUUCUUACUGAGAAGUCUGCAUCAUUUAUGGCUCAAAAUUAGUGCCAGGUAACCUCCAAGAACAAUUCCGGGGGCAAAAUUAUCUUUCAACUUCCAGCUAUCUUGCUAGGGAGAUGGCUUCACUUAAUCUCUGGAGAUUGUCACGAUCGUUCCUAAGAUUGGUAUAAAAAACUUGUCAAACUGGUCUUUUCGGCUAUUUUGAAAACCGGGAGUACAUGAACAAAAAAAAAACCAUCAUUUCUUGUCAUUGUUUAAUAUGGCAAUGAUCAAAACCAUAAGGUACGCAAAGUCAGACUUCCAGAUCAAAGCAACGAACAUAAAGCCAAACUGCCAAAGACUGGAUGCAUGAACUUUCAUAAGGGAAUAUUUUAUUAGCUUGAGUCUACAUCUAAGGUAGGACACUUACCGCAAUACCAAUUGUAAUGGAGACGGCGUAAAGCUCAUAGUAAGCUAGGAACACAAAUAGCAAUAUGCAGAGCCUCGGUGCAUUAUCCAUUGGAAACACAAUCCAAAUACAACGUAAUCCUUCUUUCUUUGAAAUAUAGCCCAGCUGGACAGCACAGUGCUUAUAAUGACACUCAAGCCCGUUUCAAUGAGGACAAUGUCCAAGCCCUUCUAGCAGCAUCAGUGGCAUCAGCAACUGCAAUCCCAAUGUCCGCCUUCUUCAAAGCAAGGGCUUCAUUCACGCCAUCUCCAGUCAUACCAUGUAAGUGCUUCCCCUGCUGCAGCUUCUUUGCAAUUUCGUAGUUGCGUAAUGACACGCCACUCACAAUGUCAGUGAAUAAAAAUCAUGUGGAUCUCUUAAAGUAGGAUUUCACAAUUCCAUAAGGUGAACCAAGAUAGUUGCAGUUCUUGAUUGAUCUGAGUAACUAUUCAAUUGUGUCUCUGCUUGGGUUCUUUCUUGACAUGCUCACAACUAUGCCACAUGAAGGAGACGAUUAGAGCAGUAAAUUGUGUGGAAUAUGAUGGUCGGUCAAGGCCUUCUCGCCUCAGACGAAAUGUAUGCUGAGGAAUGUCUUCUCAACAGGAUGUUCCAUCUGCACGAUGAUUUCAUUUUUAGCUCACACCUCAACCACCUCCUAUGGUUCUCCAUUAAUAAUUUGAUUUUUGGCCUUUGGUCCAUGUUUAGUUGAUCAAGAGGACCAAAGUAUUAUUAAGUAUUACAGGAGAUAAUAACUUGCUAAUUAAUGGAACAAAUCUACCUUGCCUAGCAUAAAAUUGCCAUGCUUGAAUAAUCAUGACAAAAAAGAACAUGACUGUCUGAAACAGAUAAAACCGAAUCAAUAUUCUUCUGUUGGACCAAUUUCACACAAAAAAACCCCGCUAAGAAAUUAAAAUUUGCUCAGGAAUAAUUUGAAGAGAAUUUUGAGUUACAAUUCUUUUAAUAUCCUUUCUCAGAACAAGAGUGGCAGAGAAUUUUAAGUCUGCUGAAAGUACAAAGAUAAGCUGAACACUGGGAUCAAGAGUUAUAGUGAGCCCUACAGAUGAAGAAACGGAAAAGCUUGAAAGUUGUACCGUUGAAACUUGGGUCGACUGCUACAAUAUGCAAUAGCUGAAAGGAAGGGAAUAAGGCGAUACAUGAGCAAGUUAACCCCUAAAUGAAUAGGGUUGCUGCUGCUGUAAUUCCUAGUGAAAACUAUGUUUGAGUCAUUUAUUCUGAAGGAAGCAGUUCCUGAUGAGGUUAAAAGCAUCUGAGGACUGCUUGUUGUAUGCUCUUGCUCGACCAAGGCUGCUUUGAAUCCAUGAUUGAGGAUUGGCGUGCUCGAUAGUGAGUGAUUUUGCUGGUUUUUUCUUGUAUGAUUGUUUCUAUUCUAAUGUUUCUUGUGAUAAGGGUCACUGAGUCUAAGUAGCGGUGUCAAAAACCAAUUUUUUAAUUCAUAUUUACUAGAUUGAAUCGCUCGCAUGGGUUAGUCAAAAUUUAAAGAAAUGAUUUGUUUUCGACUUAAAGUUGCAAAGCCCAGUUAGAUAUAGAUUUUAAUUGGUCUGGACGAAACCCACGUGCAACCCGCCAGACAAUGCCUCCCCUUGUUUGGGGUAGGCUGAUGCAGUUCGGGCUGCUGUUGAAGCUCACAAAUUCAGUUGUACUUGCAGAUUCGGACAAUAGCGAAUAGCGAUCAUGCAAAUCACAUAGUCGGUGGAUCUCACAGAGCGGGCACCAAGAAAUUAUCAAACUCUUCCAAGAAUCCAAUCUAUCAAGUCCUAGUUUCAACUAGAUUUUAGCGAACUCCAGACGAUUAAAUCUGAAAGAUCUAGCCUCUCAAUGGACUUGCAUCCAGGGCCAUGAAUUCUCACUAGAUUUUGCAAUUUCUGUAGCAGUCAAAGGCUUCAUAAACUUCGUCAGGCCUUUUAACGUACUUGCACCGAGAGGUAUCUAACUCUUCUAAGAACCGGGAUCAGAUUGUGACCAGACAAUGACAACCGACAGCAUCCAAAAGCUUCAUAUGAUUACCACGGCCUCCAAUUUCAACUAGUUGAUCAUCAAAUAGUUUCAAAUGAGUUAAUUGCAGGAGGUCCGGAAUUCGAGGGAUAUGCACUGACAGACAUCCGAUAAGUCCAAUGUACCAAGCCCUUAAAUUUCAUAUAGGCUUUCGCAUUCCCAAACCAUCACUUUAGACAUUUUGAUCGAGAAAGGUCCAACCGUCCAAGGGACUUGCACAAUAAGAAAUCCAAUACUUACAAAAACUCCAUUUUAUCAAAACCUUAAAUUUCUAGUAAAUUUUAACUUUCUUUAACAACUCUAAUCCAACAAUUGCUUGAAUUUUAACUAGAUUUUCGUGAUUUGCAAUAGUCAAUCACCUCAUACCAUUGAUUUGUGGGAUCUCUAGUCUUUUGAUGGAUAUGCAAGAAAAUAUCCAACUCUUCCAAGAACCCGGACUUAUCAUGGCCUUGAAUUUCAACAAGAUUUGCACAAGAUCAUGCCUUCAAAAGCUUCAUAUGAUCUAAUUGUGAAAGAUCCUGCCUUUCGAUAGACUUACAUUAUAACACAUUUAAAGUUUCCAAGAACCCAAGAUGGCCUUGCAUUUCGGCAAGAUUUUCCCAAGAAGAAGCUUUUAACUAUUUAAAUGAUAAAAUUGUGAAAGGUCCAACCUUUUUUUCUUUAUGGAUUUGUAUUAGGAAAUAUCUGACUCUUUCAAGAACCUGUGAAGGCCUUGAAUUUCAACUAGAUUUUCGUGACGACUAGCAUUUACUUUUUGCAAAAUGUUUCCAUUGAUAAAGAUCCAUCAUUUCCAUGGAAUUGCAUGAGUCAAUGCUCAACUUGUACAAGACUUGAAUCUAUCAAGACCUCAACAACACCAUUGUUUUUUGUUUUUAAAAUUUCGAUGUAGCUUUCAUUCCCUCCAAAUAUGCAAGGUCAUCAAGACCAGGCGAACUUGUACCCCCUGCUCCGUUCAAUAUUGUCGUUUCAUAUAUUUCAUAUUUUUACAUGGGGAAUCAAGAAAUGCCUUUAAAUUUUGACUAAAAUUUAAUUGUUAAUUGACUAAAAACAAACCCUGAGUCGUCGCCUUCUUGUUGUCCUCCGUGUAUGCACCGUAGUGACCUUAACGCAUAUAAUUGAUGUAAUGUAAUUGUUAAUUGACGUGAGAAGUAAUGGAAGUGGACCCAUAUAAUUGAUGUUAUAUAACUGUUAGUUGAGGUUGACUUAGAAAAUUGCUGAGCUGUUCCCUUCUAGCUCUAGGCAUUUUGCGGUGAAUGUCCCAUCCAGUCGCAGCUCCGAGUGGACCUUUACCUUUCACUUCUAGUAGAAGUCUUCCUCUGCGCGGGCGAGGUCGUUGCCUUUCAGGCAUUAUCCGGUGGCGAUUCUAUUUUGGCUUCGAAUGGAGUUGACGCACAUGAGCUCCUUUUAUUGUCAUUUAUGCACAUGCAAGUUGGUUAGAACGUGCUGUGCAUAGAAGGAUCGGUUGACUUUAUAUUGUUGUCCCCUUUGGCCACAACAUUAAUAAUGUAUCUACUAGGAAGGGAAAAAGAAAGGAACGACAGGACGUAAUAGCUAUGUUUCCCCUAUAAUUAAAUUACCAUUAUACUGGUAAAAUAGAUUUUAGGAGAUAAUAAUUUUAGAAGUAUACUUGAUUAUCAUAAGAAUAAGAGAUUUUGUUAAUAUUGAAAUGUAAGGACAUGGGGGAUACCACUAUAUAAUAUUGUUUGCUUUGGACUUUUGGCCCUAACUGCUUUAAAACGCGUUACACAGAAUACAUAAUCCAAACCUUAUCAACUAAUCUAAAACUCUCUCCGAGGCGAUGUGAGAUAGAAGGCAUGCAUUUAGCCUCACCCACGUACUGCCAAGGCAUUGCACUAGACUGUCCUUCCAUAUUCCCGAAUUUGGUUGUCACAUUCUCUACCUCUUAAGACACAACGCCCUCAUUGUGACCCCACACACUAUCGAGAGUCAACUCUAAUACUACUUCCAGGAUCUAGGUCGUCACAAUAUAUAUAUAUAUAUAUAUAUAUAUAUAUAUAUGUAUGUAUAUGUAUAUAUGUCUCUUGAAUUAACCAAGAAAACUUUUACGUUCAAUUGAAUUAAAAAUAAAAGAAACUUUUUUUCAAAAGAAUAGAAAGAUAAAUGUCACUUAUGAAGAGUAUCACAUGUCAGCCAUUCAUUGAAAGUACUUUAGUGCAGUACUUUACACUUAACAAAUAAGAUAAUUUAGUAUAUGUGAUUUAGAUCGAUAAUGAGACAUAUUUGUUUUUAUAAGCUUAACUUGAGCUCUAAGAAAUUAUGCUUUCUUUUUUUGAUCAAGCACAUAAAAAAUUUGCUUUUUAAUAACUUAUGAACUUUGAUAAAGAAAAUAACAAUAAAUGUUCAUGUUGUUACUCAUUUUCUUUAACUUUCGGUCUUACUAUAUGUUAAAUUAGAAAACUUAUUGGUAUUGAUAUAUCUAAAGGCAAGUCUAACGGUGGUUAGUUUUGUCUUGUGGCUGAAAAUUUGGAAUCUUUUACGAAACAUUUGUCCCACGAGUGAAAGCUGGGGGCCUUUCGGGGCAAACGCCAGUGGCAUUAAAAUCAUCUUUUAUUUUUCGAGGAAAAUAUUAUAUUGACAAUAAAAGAAGCAUCUGUUCACAAUUUUUUUAAAAAUAUCUAUUUUAAUAAGAUACGUUGUUUUAAUGUAUUGUCUUUAUUUUCAGUUUAUACUAUAUUUUUCCCAUAAAUAUAAGGAAGAAUACUAAGUACAUUUGUUCAAGUAAUUAAAUAAGCCAUAAUAUUCAAUUGUUAGAGCUGCAGAUUUUUCAUCCAUUGUUUGAUGUAUGUGCAAAUUUUCCACCCAAUGAACUUUUCGUGUUGUUUUCUUUUUCUUUUUUCUUUUUCCAAGUCUGUGUUUUAGGAUAUGAUAAGGGAAAGGAUUUCACUUACCAUCAAAUUAAUGAGAAUGCAUAAAAUCAUCCUCCCAAUAAGAAUAUUUUUUCGACCAAAAGAAAAUAUUUUACUGUCAAUCUAUGGAUUAAGGUAAUUUGACUUUUAAUUUUUCUAACUAAUUAUUCUAAGGACCGACAUUAGCUUUUUAUCCUUCUGAUACUAAUAUUCCAAGUGUCAAUUUGGAGUGUGAUGAAUAGAGUAAUACGAAUAUCUAUAGCAAAAUUUUAGAUUAUUCCAUGGGGCUGAUGGAUUUUUCAACCACCAAGCCAUUGUCAAGACAAAUAAUUUUAAGAAAAAUCCAGAUGAGUGUUUUCUAAAUUCAUGUUGCUUUUGGCCAUAUUUGCUUUUGGAGGCUCUUACAGUGCAUAUUUUCAUGUCUCACAUUCGCCUUAAAGGUCAUCCAUUUUGUGCGUUCUAUUUCAGGGCAGAAAAUGGAAAAGUCGUCAUCUUAAAUGCCAUUUCAGAUAGCAUACCAAUACAUUUUAAAAGGAUGAACAGACAAAAACUUCUUAUCUAUAAAAGAACGGAAAACCUGGAAAAAAGGUGACCCUUCUGCUUCUUCUCGAGUAUUAUAAAAAAGCAUUCCCAUCUCCCAUGAAGGAGUUGCAAUCUCGCUAAAGGAGUUAAGGUUUACUCCGGCCUUUUGAAGAUGUGAUGGUUGUAAAUAUAAUGACUGUGAUAAAAAGAGCUUGUAAAAGUAUUGUUAUAAUAUAAAUUAGUAUGUCAUGCUUGAUGUACGCCCCAGUCUUCCGGCUGUUAUUUGUUCAAGGAGUUGUUUAUUCACAUUUCUGCGUGUGCAUAAUAACAACAUAAAAAAAAAAAAAAAUUGGGACAGCAAUGAGCCUGUGAUGUCGCAAAAAUAACCUCUGUUGCUCGUGACCUUGGAGGUGGAGUUAGGGUCAUGACAACAUGGUAGUUAACAGGUGUACCAUUUUAGGUUUUAUUAAUUUAUAGUUUUCGUAAAAUUAAUAUAAUUUAACAAAAACUAAUUGAGGGCAAAUAUGUCAUUUAUGUAUCAGUUUGAGAUUUUUAGUGGUCAAAAAAUUAGUUUAGAAUAAAUUUAUUACAGAUAUGUAUCAAUUUGAGAUUUAUAAUGAUCAAAAAAUUAGUUUGUAAUAAAAUUGUCAUAGGUAUGUCAGUUUAUGGUUUUUUUAUAGUAUCAACCCUCAAUUAAAAAUGUUUUACAAUUAUGCUUAUUGUUCAUCAAUCUAAAAAUACGACAAUAACAAUCAUUCUAUAAUAAAACAGUGGUUUUUACAACAUAAUCAGUGGUAUUUUUAAUUAUUCUCAUGACUUUUGAUAAGUUAACUGUGAUUUUAGGAUAAUUUUUUUCUAAAUGAAUUAUAAUGUGUAUUUGUAUAUUGUAUUAAAUUCAUUGGCAUCAAUAUCCCAUUCCACUUUCACAAUACAUUUCUCGUAACAAAGCAAAAGAACCUUCAUUGUAUCCAUCCCGUAAACUUGCUAAAUAGAAAGUUAUAUCAUUCCAUUUUCAUUGUACCGGACACAAAUUUAGUGGAAGUUGAAUAGGUUGUGGCUGAUUGGUGUUGCUUUGGCUUCGAACUUUGAAACUUUUACAUGGAUAUCCAUUUGGUUUUUUGGUAGGAUGCCACAGAUUAUAGAUCACGUGUGCAUUGUGCGUCUCCAGAUCAAUUCGGAAAAGAAAAAAGAAUUUAGUUUGCAAGGAAAAGUUUAAGGAUCCCAACAUACAUUUUGCGAAAGCUUCAAGUUUAUUGAUGUUUAUAUAUAUAUACACAAUAUACCUGUCUUACAGCACUACUAACAACCGGGAGUACCAAGUUAGCCUACGGCUGUGAGCAGUAUUGUAAGGUGUGCUGUCACGCCCCGAUCCUCGGUCAUGCACACAUCUUUCCACUUGGUCGAUUUUAAAAUGCAAUAUCCUAGGACUAUGUAUCGCCGACCCUUUCAUUUUUUAUAGCACAUACGGAAGCAGUUAUAAAUCUCCAGACAAUAAAACGAUGGGAUAGAAUAGUAAGGCCAUAUUUUUUAUAUUGAAAUACAUAACCAUACUUUUAUACAGAGUAUAACUCAAAGUCUAUUCACAAGACUAUUCAUAACAUUCUAGUCACACUCUAUAUACACAACACAAGGUUCACAAAAGAGGAUGGGAUCUCAGUCCUCAUCCGGGUUGUACUCAGGAUCAUCCUGAUCCUCUUCUGACUCUUCUUCACUAAGCUCACAUCCUUCAAGCUCUUCAUCUUUUUUUUGGCUCAUCGUCCUCUUAUGAUUCCUCCUCCACAGGCUCAUCUACGGGUCUGAAAUAUUGUCCCAUAAUCAAGAUGAGACUACGUCUCAACAAGUUCUACUCCACUAUGACUCGAUUAGGAAACCAAUACGCUAACCGGGCUGCCUAUGCACACACAAGUCAGAGGACUUACCUUGGCCUCAAAUUUCAACUGUAUAUUAGUACAGUUCAAUAGGCACCAAAGCAAUCAUAUUAUAGAUCGAUAUCUCGAUCAAUCAACUUAGUCGAUUUCAUGUCAAUCGAACUAUUCAUCGGUCAUUUCACUUUAAUCAAUCAAUUCACGAUAAACGAAUCAAAUCAAUCGGCCCGAAAAAUGGUCUGCAAGCUUGCUGCUCAAGCUGAAAAAAAAAAAAAAUCAGAAGCUGCUGGGUUUUCCCCCGGUUGAUGGGCUGAACGGACGAACGGCAGCAGCCUCGAACGAAGGAGAGAAGCCGCGCGAGUUUCGAUCAAACCAGCGGCUUUGGUGAAGAUUAAAGUUGACUGAAGAAGCUUGAACGGUUCGCUUCUGUGAUGCUGCAGACUUCGGGCGGAAUAAAAAAAAGAACGAAGGCAAUGCAAAGACAGGCUCCGAGACGUGCAGAGGAAGAGAGAAAGUGGAUGAAAGUUUCGGUCAAAGAAAAGCAAAAGAAAGAGAUAAGCUUGGACUAAAAUCAAAGCAAUCAGAGAGGUGGGAAAAUGGGAUACGGCAGGGGGAAAAUUGCACGAGGAGAGAGAGAGAGAGAGAGUAUUCGUGCGGGUGAGUGGGGGUGUCGGCCAAGUGGGGUAUGGGGAAAAGAAAAAAAGGAAAUUCAAGGAAAUUAAAAGAAAUUAUCCUAAAAAAUCAAUAAUUCUUGUCCCAUAUGCUUCUGUUUAGUCCAAUUUAAUCCCUGAAAAUUUCCAGACUAAGGUACUUGAUCCCCACUUGCUUUCUUGCAUAACAUUUCUCUCGACAAUGAAUCUCGGGCAACAAAAACGGCAAUUUUCUUCAAUUCCGAAUUUUAAUUCAUUUUUCUUCGAAAUCCGAUUUUCUGAAUAAAUAAAUUCAGUUGAGGUCCCAUUUGAAUUCAAAAAAAGUCCAAACAACUUCCAUUCACUAAUUCACUCACACCAGAUGCCAAAAAUCCAUUCAAAAUGGCCAAUCCGAAUUUCCGUUAGAUUUCCGAAUUGUCCGCAACAAUUUUCCCAAAAAAAAUCCUGGACUCUCUGAAAAAUCUUCUGAGACUGAGUUGACGUUCCUAGAAUUUAUUGUGACAUGAAAGAAUCUUCAAUAUCUGAAGUCGGACUCAAAUUUACGGUUAAUUACCAUUUGGCGCACUUUUAGUGUAACCUAAGCUAUUGGGUAGUUUUCGGAACUUUUUAAGGCAAAUGACCCGUGGUCAAUUUUCUUCGAACCACUCUGAACUCACUUGACUCAAUGGCGACUCUCGAUUAUCAUGAAAAUCUCGAUGAUUCAAUUACGGACACAUGGUACCAAAACGACAAAAAAAUCAAAUUAGUAUCGGUCGACGAGAAUUUUCAAAUUUAGUGGAGUCACCCACGAUUGACCAUACAUCUCAGUCGAACGGACCUAUCUCUAAUCUCAAAUCGAUUUUAAUUAUGCCGCAAUAGCCUCUAAAAAUCAGCACAGUCGAGAAGUCGAUUCCUAGUCGAUUUCUCAAGUUUAUUGCCUUAAAAUUUGUUAAUUAUUCACCCAGACAGUCUAGUUAUCUCAAGAGUGAUCGGCUCUAAAAAUAGCCCUAUAAACGCGUCAACGAAAUGCCCGAUUAAUUCAGUAGAAAACAUGUUGAAAAAUCUGGAUGUUACACGUGCUAACUCAGUAGUGAGCAUUUUACCCACCCUCACUUACCCCAAGUGCAUGAUGCUACUAUACCUGUCUACCCGGCAGUAGUCAGGACUAUUAUUUUGAUGUGCACCACCGUGAGGCCUCCUAAUUUUCUGUCUAUUUUUGUCUUCCCAAUAGAGAAGGAAUAUGAGAGUGACCGCCGAACUGUUGUCCUAACGUAGUGUCUGUCUUUAUCACCGUGAGGCCCCAUAAUUCCUUAUCUAUUUUUAUCUUUCCGAUAGAGAGGAAAUACGGGAGUAACAUUGUGGGAUCUUCCGCCUCUGAACGGUUCUCCCACCUAUUUCUUCUACUUUAGUCUUUUAGGGACCUAUUCAGAUCCAAUAAACCUAAAUUUUGCGGAAGUUUCAAGUAUAUUGGUGUUCAUAUAUAUAUAUACUGUAUACCCGUUGACAGUGGUCGGCAGGUUAAAAAGGUCACUAUGCAUGGAUGAAAAGAAAAUUUUUGAAAAAAAGAGUCUAAAAAAGCUUUGCAAAAGGAGAGAGCACGCGCGAUGUGCUCUGCCUUUCCAAACAAACAGCGUCACAAAAGGGAAGGGAGAGGAGGGAAAAUAUUGGCUGCACCUGUGAUUGACAACUCAGUAAAAUAAUAAUUCAUUUAUUGAUUGACACGUGUCCUGUGGCUCCCCACUGUCAGAUUUGUCAUAAAUCUCUCACUUGCCUUCCUCCCUCCCCCCCCCCCCCCCCCCCUCUCUCUCUCUGUUCACGGUCUCUCUCUCCGACGGGGCAAUCUCUCUCUUCCUCCCGACGCAGCAAGCUCUCUCUCACUUGCCUUAAUCCCUCUUUCUUCUUCCUCCGUCUCAUCUUUGCUCCGAUCACCCCUAUAAAUUAUAACCAUUCCUAGCGGCUUUAAUUUGCAGUGACAGUUCUACCUGUCCAGUAACUUUCGGCUUCGUAGAGCUCAGAGGCCUGCUUUUGCUGAACUGGAGCGACUCUGGUUCUUCAUUUUCUCUGCAAUAGGUCACGAUGCAAGGGUGCUACUUUGAAGUGUUCUUGAGCUUCAGAGGAAGGGACACACGCGUAGGCUUCACCAAUUUUCUCUAUACCUGUCUCGUAGAUGCAGGAGUCCGUGCAUUCAAAUAUGAUCAAGAUCUCCGCAUUGGUGAAGACUUCAGCCCGGAGCUAAUCCAAGCGAUUAUGCAAUCAAUGAUCUCCAUACCCAUCCUCUCUAAAGGUUAUGCUUCCAGUGUAUGGUGUCUUAAGGAGUUGACCAAAAUGCUGGAGUGCAGGAAAAGGAAGGGACAGAUAAUCAUGCCCAUCUUUUACGAUGUCAAACCAUCCGAGGUUCGAGACCAAACCGGAUGUUAUGGCGAGGCCUUUCUUUCUCACCAAAACAAGCGGCGAUACACCGAUGAGACCAUCCGCAAGUGGAGAGCUGCUCUCCACGAGGUUGGAAGUUUGCAGGGAUUCGACCUCACAGCUAACAGGUACCAAAUUCUCUUCCACCCUUGACGAACUCCAUAAUACAGGAGACCAUGAAAUUUAAGUACAAACCUUUGCAUCUCAUCAUAACGUGCUUUGUCUGGGUCGAUUUAGUAAAAAUUUGUACCACUAAUUGCGUGGCCUGUUUGUAUAAAGCUGAUUGCUGUGUGAUAGUUUUCGAAAGGAGUGCGUUGACUUUUUAAUGCAAGCUACUCUAGAGUUCUUUUUUUUUUUUUUUUUUGGAAACAAGCUACUCUAGAGUUCAGACUUUAUUGGACUUGCUUUAAUUCCUGUGCAUGUGUCACGCGUGCAUUGAUGCAGCCACGAAGGUUCACUCGUCGAGGAAAUUGUCGCAAAUGUGUUGAAGGUAUUGAAGAGAUACUUUGUUGGAAUCGAGCAUCAUGUGGAGGGAGUUAUGAAAUUAUUAAAUGUGGAAUCUAGCGAUGCUCGUGUAGUUGUAAUACAUGGCAUAGGGGCACCGGAAAGACAACAAUUGCAAAGCUCGUCUACAAAAGAAUGUUUCGUCUCUUUGAUGGCUGUAGCUUUCUGGAAAGCAUUAGAGAAAAUGAAUAAAGACAAAUAGGUUUAACAGUUUUGCAAUGUCAGUUGAUUUCUGACCUUUUGGGUGCCACACAUAGACAAAUUAAUUCUUUUGAAGAGGCGACUAAGCUUAUUAGAGCCAACAAGAAAUUUCUCAUUGUUCUUGAUGAUGUUGGCACAAGCUUUCAACUUGAACAAAUUCUAGAAAUCGUGAUUGGUUAGGCUCUAGAAGCAGAAUCAUAAUUACCACUAGAGACGAACAAGCUUUAGAUAAAUUUGAAGUGUCCCUGAAAUAUGAGGUCGGGGGAAUGCGAGAAGAGGAAGUCGAUGAACUAUUCCGCGCUCAUGCCUUCAGGGAGAGACCUGCUCCAGCCAACUUAGCUACUUUGUCCAAAAACAUAGUAUCAACUAUUGGCCGGCUUCCUUUGACUAUCGAGGUUGUUGGGUCGUAUCUAUAUUCUAAAAGCAAGGACGUGUGGAAGCAAACAUUAAACGAAUUGAGAAAAGUACCUGAGCCACAAGUUCAACAGAAAUUGAUGGUAAUCAUCAAAGCAUUACCUAACGAGCAAAGACUGAUAUUUCUAGGCAUUGCUUGUUUCUUCAUUGGAGAGGACGAAAGUGUUGCGUGCUACCUGUGGUCUGACCGUGAUUCUGCAAGUGGAUCGGUAUUAGAAGCGCUUGUCAACUCGUCUAUUGUUAAGAUUGAGAACGAUAAGUUAUGGAUGCAUGAUCAACUUCGAGACCUAGGUAGGGAUAUUGUCCUACAAGAACAUCCUCAACCUGGAGAGCGCAGUAGAUUGUGGAGUCACAAGCAAGCUUGGGAUGUGCUGGUGAAUAAAAAAGUAAGAUACAAGUUCAUCACUGUUUUUACCUUACAAUUGUAUGCCUUACUACUCAUGUUCCUCUUUUCAUAGAAAGAAAACUAUUUAGGGUGCGUAUGUUUCGCGAAAAAAAUAACUUGAAAAAUAUUUUUCUAAAAAUGAUCAUUUAUAAUUUUGAAAAAUAAUUAGUUAAUGAAUUUUUUUCAUUAUUGAUAACAAUUUAUAUCUAUUUAUUUUCGUGAAUAAUGUAAAUAUUUGUUGUUUAUUCGUUUUUGUAAGAGAUGAAAAUGAUCAUUUUUAAGAAAAUUUUUUUCAAAUCAUUUUUUUUUCGUGAAAUGAAUUGAUCCUUAACAAAAUGAUUUCUUUAGUUUGAAGUCUCUAAGCAUUUAUCAUCAUAUUUUUGUGCGGCAAUGCCCAGUCCCGUGGUAAUCCAAAUCUUGUAUUCCACGUGUAGGGAACGGAAAGUGUUGAAGGAGUUCUUCUCAAAUUUGGUAGUGGGUCACAAUACAGUUUUGGACAAGCACAUUUUGCGAGCACAUCGAACAUAAGAUUCCUUCAAUUGGAUCAAGCGAACCUCCAAGGAAAUUUUGAGCGGCGUCUGUCGAGUUUAAGAUGGCUUUAUUGGCAAGGUUGUCCUCGGCAUCUUCUUGCUAAAAAAUUGGAUUUGAAGGAGUUGGUUAUUCUAGAUCUUUCCUGGAGCAAGGUCAAUGAAAAAUGGAAUGGUUGGAGUGAAAUCAAGGUAGAGAAGCACAUUAUUGUUAAUUUCAUUUGUCAAAUUGUUGUGGAAAAGUUGACUCUUUUGUUAUUCUAUUUUCUGACAGAAAGCCGAGAAAUUGAGAGUUUUGAACCUCACCGGCUGUUAUGAUGUGAUUAGAACUCUAGACUUAUCUCAUUACAAAUGUUUAGAGAGAUUGAAUCUUGAAAGUUGCAUUCGAUUGGUUGAAGUCGGUUCAUCAGUGAAAAGUCCGGAGCGAUUGGUUUCACUGAACUUGAGGUAUUGCACUGAACUCAAUAAGUUGCCUGAAGAGCUGGGUUCCCUCAUAUCCUUGGAAGAGAUUCUUAUAGAUGAAACUGCUGUUCAAGAAAUUCCUGCCUCGAUCGGUCAUUUGCAAAAGCUUAGAAGAUUCAGUGCCUGCAAGUGUGCUUCAUUGAUCCAGCUACCUGAUUCGAUUAGCCAUGUGAAAUCACUGAGAAUCCUCGCACUGAGUGGUACCAAAAUAACUAGGCUUCCCCAUUCUAUUGGAGAGUUAGAAGUGCUACAACACUUGUCAAUAAAUCAUUGUAAGUCAAUAUUAAAGUUACCAUUGUCCUUGGGGACUAUGGCUUCAUUGAUCGAACUUGAUCUUUCAAGUGUUAGGGAAAUUACUUAUGAUGUUUUGAAGAUGACAAAAUAAAUCAAAGGCUACUAACAUGUUUAAUGGUUAAGUAAUAGACCAUGCAGAUAAUAGAACAUGUAAAGGAUAUUGUCAAAGUCUGAAGACGGCCAGAAGACUGAACGUAACAUCUGUCCAAAGUAUAUUCUGAAGAUUUCCAGAUUUCUGUGUCAAAGUCUGAAGACUGUCAGACUUUAGUGUCAAAGUCUGUUCUAUAUCAGAAGUCUGCUCACUCUGACAAAUUCCAGACUGAACGUGAAGGAAGAACCAGAAGACAGACUCUAUGUUGGAGCUGAACUUAUUCAGACGGUAGUCAGACCUUAAAGCUAAAUCUGUUUAGAAGCAGAAUAUGUUCAGACUCAGAUUGCAAAGUCUAUCGCACUCAGACUCGGAUUGUAAAGUCUAUUGCUCUCAGACUUUACAUCUAGACUCAACAGAACGUAACUCAAGCCCAAUCAUAUAACGGCUAGUGAUCUGGUUUGGAUUCCACAUCAAGAUUGAUUUGAUUGACUUAAUCUAUUUGAUUGACGAUUGGAUCUUGAAGACAAGAUCUUUUUAUACGAAGAAGCUUUACUUAUGGAAACCAAGAUUCUAUUUGUAUGGGCGAUCGGAAUCAAUUUGGGAUUCUACCUUUGUCACUCAAUAGCUACCAAAUCUUCUAGAUACAGAGCUGUCCAAUGGGUAUAUUGGAAGACGAUUCUCCGGGAUACUGUCCAACGGCUAGUUUGGAAGUGGAGGAGUAUUUAAGGAGAUCAUGGACCAAUGAGCAAAAAAGAGACGGAGCGUAGAAUUUAUAAUUCCAAAGUCUGAGCGACCUUCGAUCAUACACUUGUCUUUGGAGAGCUUAAACGUUUGUGAUCGUGAGAGAAAUACCAAAGGAGUGACUUAGUGAGAUAGUGUGAUCUACUAAGUGUUUGCACUCGAAGUUGUAAUCUCUUGUUGAUUGCAUAGUGGAAUCCAGCCAAGAAGGCUGUUAGCGUGGGAGAGUGGACGUAGGCUUGGAUUAAGCCGAACCACUAUAAUUUCUGUGUUCUUAUUCUCUUCCUUAACUCCUUUGUUUGAAAUUUAUUUUAUUCCGCAUAUAUUUGCCAAUAUUUAUCUUAAACACCUAUUUACCCCCUCUAGGUGUUCAUACUAGUACUCUCAUCAAGCACUACAAUUGUCGAAUUACCUAAAACCCGUCAACAAGUUACACCUUUUAAGAGUGCUCAAAAUUGAUUUUACUUUUGUGAGAGAGCUACCUAGCGCUACGUGGACGUUGAAGAGGCUUGAAGAGCUGCACGUUUCCAAAUGUCGGAGUUUGGAUGGAGAAAUUCCUAGAGAUAUUGAGAAGCUUUCGGAAUUGAGGGUCUUGAGGCUUGGGUACUCUCGGAUUCGUGGUCUACCAGAUAACAUUUCUACGCUUACCAAUCUCCAAACACUCGAUCUGCUUCAUUGUGACAAGCUACAUAAUGUGCCCAAGCUUCCUUCCACUUUAAAAAGCCUAUCUGUUUGUUCUAAAUUUAUGGAUACAAUCCCAGACAUCAGUGAUCUGGAUAAAUUGGGGGAGUUAUUCUUGGCUGAUGGAUCCCAGGAAUUGGUGUUACCUGACCAAGGUCAAAUUGAGGUGAAAGGACGCACUUAUUUGGAGCUUGGGAGUUUGUCAGAACUAAAGAUAUUGCAGCUAUCUGUGUUAAAGAUCCGACUACUGCCUGUUAAAUUGGAUCACCUUCGUAAGCUCACGAAGCUCUCCCUUUGCUGCAUUCACUUGAAAAAGCUACCACAGCUUCCUCUAGGUUUAUUCACUCUAUCGCUUUGCCAGUACAAAUCGCGGAGAAGAUUGCCAGAUCUUUCAUAUUUGGACCUUCUAUCAGAAUUUGAGCUUUUCGACUAUGCAAUAACAAAAGUUCGAGGCCUCGGGAAGUUCAAAUCCUUACAAGUUUUCAGAAUAUCUCAUUGCAACCUGCAACAGCUGGAUGAGCUGGAGAACUUGAUAUUUUUAGCAUCAUUGAAUGUUUCCUACUGUCUAAGUCUUGAGAGACUUCCGGAUCCAUCAAAACUGAAGAAGCUGAAAGAUAUUAAAAUCAAGGGCUGUCCGAGGAUUGGUGAUAUUAAAAGUGUGGAACACCUGAAUUCCUUUGGAAAGCCAAGCAGUUCAAAAACUGAGGCGGAAACCUCAUCCGAGGUAACCAACACUACUGAUUUUCCCGCUGGAAUGCGUAAAUGGAGGAUGGCACUUGAUAAGCACGUAUCUUGUCUGGAAUUUUUACAAAGAUGAAUGGAUUGCUUAAUAAUAACAAAAACGCAUGACGCGAUGAAUUGUACAGGAUAUUUUCUCACAUUAACACAUGCGAAAUAAUUUUUCAAAUGAAAUUCAAGUCAUCAAGAUUUUAUAUUUCUUUCUUCUUUUUUAACGGGUAGAUGGGUCCAAAUAUGUAAGGACUCCACUUCUUUUUCUUCAUUUUUUUACAUUUUUUAGCAUUUAUCUGUGAUAUACAACAACAGUACUUCUAUUUGUCCCAAUUAGUUUAAUCAAGCUUUCUGGAGGUGUUGUUACCUACUCAAUCCAGAGCGUUGAACGUUGUAUUGGUGUCUUAAAUCUUUGAUGUGGUGCGUAACAGCACUGACUGCUGUACCGGAAUCUUAAAUUUCUGAUGUAGUACUUCCGUUAUGCUCAAGUUAAUUCUUACUCCAAAGUGCUGUGAAUAAAUUAUGAUGAGUGGCCCAUAGAAGGUAUUCCAUUCUCCAAACUGUUCUCUUGUAUUUUAGACUUGUUGGACGGGCUACUCUUCCAAGGACAUUAUCUGAUCAAUACAGUCAGUGAAAUCUAAAAACUCCUUUGAUCUCUUUUAGCGUUCAGUAAGUUUAAAUCUAAGCAUCGACCUCUAUAACCGUUUGACACAAGGUAGAAAUCUUAUUUGACGCACUGAAUACAUGCUUACACAAGUUUUGUCACAGGUAGAAUCUAGCGAAUUAGCUAUUCGCAAACAUUCUUCCAUUCAGGGUGUCAAACGCAAAUACAAAGGUAUGCUCUACAUUGAGAUUGUCAAAUUUGGGUUGUUCCAUAAGAUCAAAGUGUGAGGUCAACCUUGUAAUGUGGAACACUGAAAUAGGUCAUGGCUAGAAAGAUGCCAGACCAUAAGGAUAGGCAAUUAAGGGAUUAAUUCGAGCUAUGUCAUACUGUUACAACUGAUUAGACUUUUGACUAAUUUUUUGGGCCAUGUAGUAUAUCUUACACCUUAACUAUUGCUCCUCUUGCCUAGCAAGAAGUAAGUACAUAUGCUCCUUAAGAAUAUAGUCUACUAGAGCAGACAAACAUCAUCAGCCCCUUUCAUCCUCAAUUGUUUUCUGCUUGUCGGUGGAUCUGACAGGGACCGAAACUUCUGGCAUCUCUCCAACGAUGGAGCAAGGUGAUAUGCCAUUUGACAGGGCAUCAACUGUCCCUUCUCUGGCAACAAUUGUUCCUGCUUUGCCUCCUCCUGCUGCUCGACCAAAGCCAUCAUCAGCAACGGAUGAAGAUAGAGCCCCUACUGAUGCUGAGGCGGAUAUAUAUGGUGACGAUGAGGAGUCUCUUUUCUUGAAGAUUGACUCUCUGUUGAGUGGCAACUCAGGAAAGCGAAAUACUGGUGCAGGGAUGUCACAGUCAAGUCAAUCUGAUUUUCAAGCAUACCAGAAAGCAUCACAAGAGGUGGAAAAUAUAAUGAGUCAGGGGCUCCUGGCAAUUAUGUUUAAUCCCAAGCUACUUGGCCAUUUGCAAGAAUUAUUAAGCUUCUUAGUCGAACACAAGACACCAGAGGUCUCUACAUUUGGACAUGUCUAUCUCAAAUUGCAGCACUUCAUUCAGUCCGUGAGCAACUCCCUCUCUUCCCUACGAAAGAUCUUUACUGAAUGUGAGAGCUUUGAAAAAGAGUUCAAAGAGGAAAAGAAUUUUUUGGAGUAUGACAAGGAUGAAGUCCUUUUGCUCGAGCAGCAAAUUGAAGAAACAGCUAGGAGUGUGGAUGAAAAUGAGCAAUUUAUUGCCAAACUUCAUGCAGAGAUUGAGGCACGCAAGCUCCAACUUGAAAAUGCAAAGUCAGAACUGUCAUCAUUGUUGACAAAGAGAUCAGAGAAAGUUAAGGAACUGAAGAAUAAGUUCGAGCAGGUCCUUAGUAUGAAGAGUGAGAAUCCAAGCAUGGAAAAGAAGAGAAAUCAAGCUCAGGAAACAAUUGGCAAAAUCAAUGUAGAGUGGAAUGAAUUGCAUGCGGAUAUUAAAGGCCGAUUGGCCUCUAAAUAAGCUCGCACUUUUAACUUUCUCUUAUUUGAAUCUUCGUGUAUUGAACUUUUCCAUCCUAGGACAAAAACACAGGUUUUUGGAGUUUCAUUCCUACUUAUUUGUCAUUGCUGAAAACGUGAAACAAAGUCUAUUGAAACAAAGAGAACACUCUCACAAGCGACGGCACUUUGAAGGAAAACCAUUUGAGUAAAGAAUUAGUGUGCUCAUCUUGCAAACUCAGCAUGCCGCUCGGCUUGGUCUGCAAUCUCUGAAGGCUCGCUGUAACUAGUCAUGCCAUAGGAAAGAUUGCUAGUUUCAGGAGGCAGCAAGCCAUGCAGAGUCCUCUAUGCAAUGCAGUGGCGCACUGUGCUUCUCGUUCAUCUUUGCCACAGUCCUUCAUGGUAGAGAAGGCGGUCUCCGUGAAAAUAUCGGCCGAAAUUAGCAUAACGUAGAUAUCCCAUGCGUGUUCUCUCCACGUCGAAUUUCAGCAAAGUCCAGGUGUAACCAUGCACGUAAAGACGUGGCUUUGUCUAAGAUGCCUUGUUCCUUGGGGGCAACCUUAUCCACCAUCCAAGCAUGUCAAGAGAAAUUGAUAAACCUGUCGAUAGAGUUGGCAACAAUGUAUCCAAGAUAAGACUGUUGAAAAUUUCCUAUAAUAUGAGUUUACAUUAAUUAAUUGAUUUUCUAUUUUAAAUAAUCGGGUUAAUGGAUAUUCCAAUAUUUGUUGAACCCUAAAGUGAUAUGAUUGAAUUGGGUAUUGGCAUCUAUUGAUAACGGGCUUGGUUAAGCAGCAAAGUGUAGGCAAUUGUGUUUGACUAAAGCCCAUAAUGGGAAGGGCCCAGUUGACACGCUAUUGAUUAGGGUUUGCUAGGUCCCCUCUUUAGCCUAUAAAAUGAUAGGUUAUACUAUCAGUUGCUUUAAUCCUAUUGAAAGAUGCUUUAUCGAAAUAGGUCAUAGAUCUGGCAUUCUAAUAGAUCCCUAAUUAUUAGAGCGAUCUACUUUUCUGCAAGUGAAGCAAUGGCUCAAAUAAGUACGCUUUAAUUCUGUUGUAUUUAUUGAUUGGUGUUUUACAAUCAUAUAUAGAUAUGUUAUUUCCUUGAUUGAUUAGUUGUAUAUGUGAAUAAAUAUUAUACAUGUGGUAUCAGAGCCAAUCAUAUAUGAUUGUAGAACCUAAAUUUUUUUUUAUUUUUUUUUUAUGGACAAAUUCAAAAUCCUUCUCUUUGAGCCGAAUAUGGGCACUAUUUUUUAGUGUAAACUUUUUGCUUAAUUGAUUCUGAAACCAUAGGGCUUUUGUUCUACAUGUCAAGAUCUUUUCAACCAUAUAUAAUUUGCAUAAUUUCGUUGAGAAUUGAGAGAGAAUUUUAGAUUUGAAAUUUCUAGGGUUUAUACGUGAAAAAGUUCUAGAAUUUGCAAAUUACUUGCAACUGAUUGAUGUUUGUUGUAAACCGUUGUAUGGGUAUUGUUAUAUAUUUGUUUUAGUAUCCUUUUGUUGUACUAAAUUGAGUUUUUAGGGUUUAAAUUUAAGAAAACCGAAUUUUCGGCCAUGGGAGGUUUAGAUCCGAAACUUUGAAGCUUAUAUGUGGUGGAUUUAGUUGGUUUUUCUUCGUUUAGUUAAAUCUAGUUAAUUAAAUUGAUGUUAUAAGCAAAACCCAUGAGGAAAUUUCAUCAAAAACCAUGUUAAUUUGUGCCUUCAGAGCUUCGGGUCGAAACCGGGUCGUACGACCGGUUUGCUGCAAAUUCAUGACCCGACUGGAGGUUGAAGAAGACCUCCAGCCGAGCCUAGGCCUGAAUAUGGGCUUUUGCCCAUAUUUUUUUUUUUUUAAUUUCAUAGGCUAAUUUCGUAGCCCAUUUCAUGGGCCGAUUUUAAAUUAAAGGGGAGAUGGGCUUCUCCAUUACAUGGGCCAUUUACAAUUUAAAAGGAGUAGGCCGCGUGAGGGUUUAGGACUCGUGGGUCUGGCCGUCUGAGUAGGGCUGCUUGCGUGUCCUCGGCCCACGGGAGUCCGAAAUAUUUAAGUAAUAUUAUAAUAAUUUUAUAAUAAUAAUAAAUUUAAAAAAUUAAUUAAAAAAAAUUGUGGCAAAAAUUGUUGUUUGAAAAAGUGCAAUAUGAUCAUUGGAAGCACAUGUUUUAAAGUGUUUCAUAUUAUUUGAUGAAUUUUGGGCAUAAAUUUUGGAGUUCCCUAUUAAUAAAAGAUUAAUAUAUACAAUUACUUGACCAAAGGGAGUUAUUGUGUAUAUUAAUUUGGAAAAUAACAUAAAGGUUAAUUCCCAUAUUUAAAAGAUGGGGAUGUAUAAUUGAAAAAUGUUUAUCUGCCCAAAGGGGAUAAAUGUUUUGAAAAUUAUAUGUAAUUCCCCUCUGUGUUGAUAUUAUGGAGAUGUAUGAUUUAAAGGAUUUGUUUGCCCAAAGGGGAUGGAUCCUUGACAAUUAUAUGUAAUUCUCCUUAUUGUUGCUUUAUAAAUUUCAUGCUGGGAAAAAUAAUUGUGCAUUAUACACUCUGCCCAAAAGGGAGUUUAUGAUCUACUGUGACAACAUUGCAGCUGUGUUUUAUUCCAAGUAUGACAAGAUUAGUAAUGCGUCCAAACACAUGGAGAUCAAAUAUUACACUGUUAAGGAUUUGGUCAAAAAAUGAGACGUUGUAAUUGAAAAUAUCAUAAUUGAGUCCAUGUUGGUUGAUCCUCUAACAAAAGGCUUACGACUCAUUUUGUUUAAAGAACAUGUAAAGAAUAUGGGUGUUUUAAAUUCUUUUAUUUCUUUUGUUAGUGGGAGUUAUACAAAUUGUAUUUCUGGAUAUUAUAGUUAUAUGCAGACUGAUAAUGCUUUUAUGAUGUUUAUUAAAGAAUUUAUUUUAAUAAUUUUUGUUGUUGAUUCUAUUGUUAUCAUUUCUCCUAUUGACUGAGAAAUGGAAGUAGAAAACAGUAUCUUUAAAAUUUUUUAGUUUAAAGAUGAUUCGAUAUCACUGAUUAUGAGAUCUCAUGUUGUAUUGUGACAUAAUCGUGCAAUUUCAUGUUGUUUAGAAAUUGUGUUAAUGUAGUUUCAUGUUGUUGAGAAAUUGCAUUGAGGACCGAUAAGAAAUAGUGUAUAUUUUGAUCAUAUGUUGGCACUAUUUCUUACUAUACUACUAGGCCCAUGAUCCAUGAAAAUAUAAUGCUUAUUAUAUGUGAUUAUGGAAGGUCUUGUGUAAUGAUAUUUUCUUAACACAUUGAUGUCCAUAGUCCUAUACUGAGGUUAUAUAGGAUUGGAUUGGUAUUGAGAUGCCAUUAUUGGAAUAUUAUUUUUAAAAAAAGUUGUGGCCACAUAAAAUAAAAUUUUAGUUAUUAACCCGAUAGUGUCGUUUUUAUUAUAAAAUAUUUUACAAAAUAAAAUAAGUUAAUUAAUGUAGCCCAAGUGGGAGAAUGUCGGAAAUUUCCUAUAAUAUGGGCUUACAUUAAUUAAUUGAUUUUCUAUUUUAAAUAAUCGAGUUAAUGGAUAUUCCAAUAUUUGUUGAAUCCUAAAGUGAUAUGAUUGAAUUGGGUAUUGACAUCUAUUGAUAACGGGCCUGGUUAAGCAGCAAAAUGUAGGCAAUUGUGUUUGACUGAAGCCCAUAAUGGGAAGGACCCAGUUGACACGCUAUUGAUUAGGGUUUGCUAGGUCCCCUCUCUAACCUAUAAAAGUGUUAGGUUAUACCUAUCAGUUGCUUUAAUCCCAUUGAAAGUUGCUAUAUCGAAAUAGGUCAUAGAGAGGAAAAUCUUGCAUUUCGAUAGAUCCCUAAUUAUCAAAGUGAUCUAUUUUUCUGCAAGUGAAGUAAUGGCUCAAACAGGUAUGCUUUAAUUCCGCUGUAUUUAUUGAUCGGUGUUUUACAAUCAUAUAUGGAUCCGUUAUUUCCUUGAUUGAUUAGUUGUAUAUAUGAAUAAAUAUUAUACAAAGACCGCAUGGCAGGACUUGAGACAUAGCAUCUAGGUUAGGACGCAUUCCAAGUAGUUGGUAUACCUUUAGUAUGCCUAGCACUACACAAUUUAUAUUAUGGGUUAUAUUCUUGUGGGUGUGACAAAUAAUCCAAAUAAUUAUUCGAGUUGCAAAAUUCUAGGGUCAUGUAAGAUUCAAAAUUGGAAAAUUUAGGUGUUGGUAGAAUUUUAAGGUUGCUGAUAAUUUUUUAAUCUUGUUAGUAAAAAAUUGUCACCACUAACUUACUUAUCAUAUCACUCGUUAGUAAGUUAUCAUGUUAUCAAAAUUUAAUGUCCAUACGAAUUAAUAAAUUAUCAACUUGUCUAACAAGUUGAUGUUGGCUUUUUAAUCAGGAUAUAUAUGCAUUUCUAUCGAUACUAAAAUUUCAAUUAUCAAUUUGAAUAGUGAUGAAUAGAGUAAUACAAUUAUCUAUAGUAAAAUAUUAGUUUUUUUUUUUUUGAUCGAAAGAUACGGACAUUUCAUUCAUAUAUGAGCAAAGGUACAUCCCUUAAACAAGGCAUCAAUACAGAGUAAGUCCAACAUAAGCUGUGGAGGAGAAGAAGCCCAGUUGUGUGGCAGGUUUCCUCGGCCAUGGGCCUUCGCGGCCCAGUCAGCUAGGGCAUUUGCUUCCCUUCGGCAGUGCAGCACGCUCAGAUUGGAGAACAGCGUCUUCAAGGCUACACACUCAGCCAACAAAGCUCGACAAUCCCAGGGUGGUUCACGGCAUCCGUUGAUGGCCUCAACUAGGAUGAGAUUAUCCGACUCAAUGAUGAGGUAGUCUUCCAUCUGUUCUUUCUGUAAUAGCUCCCGAAGAGUGUAUAACAGAGCUAGGGUCUCUGUUUCAAAGGCAGAUCGAGCCCUAACAGUGCUGACGAAUCCUCCAAACAACUUGCCAGAAGAGUCCCGAGCAAUACUAGCUAUCGCGCCUUCAUGGUGUCCACUGGGAAAGGCCCCGUCGAGAUUGAUCUUUAUUAUCCCCUGUUGCGGAGGUUCCCAAUUCCGAUUAGGGUUCAACCAUGUCUUCUGGGUAGGUUUUUCAAGCUGUGGAAUUCGACUGCCUACCUGAGCCAUAUUAAUUGAUGCUUGAACCAGAUGAUCCGGGUGUGGUCGCUGAUUCCGAAAAACAAAGAGGUUCCGGGCUUUCCAUAUAUGCCAAAGCAAAGCCGCGAUCUGCUCAAACACAGGUACGCCUCUCGUCUGAACCUUCUUCUGGUUGAUAUGCGUAUGAAGCCAUGUAUCGAUGCGAUGUAUGCUAUGGUGUGAAACUUUAAUUUGGACGCUGUGGUGAUUCCAUAUGUAUUUUGUCCAUGGACAUAGAAGGAAUAGAUGUUCCGGGGUUUCGGGUAUUGUGGAUGAGCAGAGUUUACAAAAAAGGGUCUGGGACAAUCUUCCUGCGAUAUAAAUUCUCUGCUGUAGGUAGAGCAUUCUGGCACACAGCCCAUAGAAAUACACAAACCUUUGGAGCUAUCUGAGUUUGCCAAAUUUGUCUCCAUAAUGUAGUAGGGGGCUGAUAGGAGGAUGAAGGCUGAGACUGAAACUUGUGAGAUGCUACGUGUUUAAUGAAAUGAUAACCGCUCUUAACAGAAUAACAACCAUCUGAAGUGUCUGUCCACACAAGUUUGUCCUCAGAGGAGGCUGGCGAGAGAGGAAUAGAUAGUAUUUCGUCAACAAUAUGGUCCUGAUAAAAUUGACGCAGUAGAACCUCAUUCCACUCAUGCUGAUUAGGCAGAAUAAGGUCCUGCACUCUAUUCGGUUCUGUCCUGUUGUAUGGUCCACCUAGAACUCCCACUUUCAGCCACUUGUCUUCUCUGAUUUUAAUCUGGGUACCAUUCCCUACUGACCAUUGGAGCUUGUCAGUGAUAGAAUCCCUACCUAGAAUAAGACUUUGCCAGCCCCAAGAAGACCUCGUCCCCUUCUUUGCAGACCAGAAACUCGUGUGAGGGAAGUAUAAUGCUUUGAAAACAGUGCUCCACAAAGAGGAAGGAUUAAGAAAAAGUCUCCAUGCUUGCUUACCCAAUAGAGCUUUGUUAAAGGAGAUUAAGUCACGAAAACCUAAACCUCCUUGAUCUUUACUCUUUUUAAGAGUUUCCCAGUUUUUCCAAUGAACGCCUGAUUUGUUGCGACUGUUUUUCCACCAGAACCUUGCUAUUUGUUGUUCCACCGCCUUACAUAUGGAUACAGGAAGCUUAAAAAUCGUCAUAGCAUACUGUGGUAGGGCCUGAAUCACCGAUUUCAAUAGAACCUCCUUCCCUCCCUUAGAGAUUAGGUUUUCCUUCCACCCCUCCAGCUUAGUAUUAACUCUACUUAAGAUCCAUGAAAACAUAUCACGUUUAGAAGAGCCCCAAUCAGAAGGAAUGCCUAAAUAUUUCCCUGUUCUAUCCAAGAUUGGAACUCUAAAAUCAUGAGCCAAAUUAAGUCGAAGGGAAUAGGGGCAGUUUUUACUCAUAAACAAGCCUGAUUUGUUUCUGUUUAUCUCUUGACCAGUAGCUAGGCAAUACUGAUUGAGAAUGUUGGAUAAGUUUUGGCUCUCCCGUAGUCGACCAUCAAUGAACAGGAUGGCGUCAUCAGCAAAGAAUAAAUGUGAUAACGUAGGACACCAUCGGUUGAGUUUAAUGCCUCGUAAAUUACCCAUAGCAACAGCAUUCUGGAUAAGAGUAGAGAGUAAAUUUGUGACGAGAAUGAAUAAAUAGGGGGAGAGAGGGUCACCUUGCCUUAAACCUCGGGAUGGGCGAAAAUAAUGGAGAGAUUCCCCAUUCAGUUUUACACUAAAAGAAGUUGUUGAAACACACUGCAGCAUCCAUUUCACCCAUUGAGCAUGAAAUCCAAGUCUAGACAGGUAAUCUUGUAAGAAAUCCCACUCCACCCUAUCGUAGGCUUUCUUCAUAUCCAGCUUGAGAAUUCCCUGAAAUUUUUUCUUUCUGUCUCUAGAUUUCAGCUGGUGUAUAACCUCUUGAACUAUAAGAAUAUUGUCCUGAAUUUGUCUACCGGAGACAAACGCACUUUGUUCUUUAGAAAUCAACACCGGCAGCCAGGUCUUUAGAUGGUUAGCCAAAACUUUUGAUAUGAUCUUGUAGAUAAAAUUGCAUAAACUGAUGGGGCGAAACUGUUCUAACCUCUCGGGAUUCUGGAUUUUCGGAAUAAGGACUAAAGUUCGAUUGAUUUCCGAUGGCAUGUUUGCUGUAGCAAAAAAUUGUUGAACAGUUGAGAAGACCUCUUCCUUUAUAAUGUCCCAAUGAUGACGGUAGAAUAAUCCAUUUAACCCAUCCGGUCCUGGCGCUCUAGUUGCAGUUAGUUGAAAAGUAGCUCGUUUGACUUCCUCCCUCGUUACUUCUGCGGUUAGAUGUGUAUUCAUUUCUGCUGUUACUAUUGGAAAGCAUUGCAUUAAAAUAGGGCCAUAAUCCCUUUGACCUGCAGAAGUGUACAAUUGCUGGAAAAAGUUGAGUGUCUCGUGCUUCACUCGAUGUGGAUCGCGAAUCCAUUCCCCGUUCUCAUUCUGUAAAAUGCUGAUUUUAUUCCUUUGGCGCCUUUGUAUUGUAGUAGCAUGGAAGAAUUUCGUAUUACGAUCACCCCAGCACAUCCAGUUAAUGCGAGAACGCAUGGCCCAAUAUUGUUCUUCUUGUGCCCAUUUUUGUUGAAUUUGACAUCGCAAGGAAGUGACCAGAUCUUUGUCAUAAUUACAUGCAGGCUCGUUAAUACAGUGCUGAAGUUGCUGUUGCAAAAGAUAUAAUUGUUGCUGAGCUGCGUUAAACUUGUUCCUGCUCCAGCUGGCCAGUGCCGUAGUGGUGUUCCUAAUCCGCUUCGAAAUUUGGAGCUGCUCGGUUGAAUGAGGAGACCAAGAUUUGUAUAUCACCUCUCGGCAUUCUGCAUCUUGAAGCCAAAAGGCUUCGAAGGUAAAGCACUUUUUCCUCUUGACUGGCAUUGCAUUAGUGGUUAAUAAAAUCGGGCUGUGGUCGGAACCUAUGGCUGGAAGGGCAAGAACCUCUGCCUCUGCAUAUUUUAAUCGCCAUUCGAUUGUACAUAAUGCACGAUCGAGUCUUUCCUUGACCAUUUCCUCGCCAUUUCUGUUAUUAAUCCAGGUGUAGGCACAUCCUUUUGUCUCUAGGUCCAGCAAUGCACAGUCAUAAAGAAAUUCCCGAAAGGCAUGCAUUCGGUAAGGUUGAACUGGUCUCUUGCCUACCUUCUCCCAUGGAUGUAAAAUAUCAUUAAAGUCCCCUAUGCAAACCCAAGGUAAAGUGUGCAAGGUACCGAGACGCCUUAAAUCUGCCCAAAACAGUUGUCGGUGUUGAAAGACCGACGGCGCAUGUAAACAGGUAAGACCCAUAGGAAAGUCACUACCAAUUUCAGUACAUAUAGUAUCUAUAUAGUGCGCAGUAAAGCUAUUAAUAUGAAGAGAGAUCUGAUUCGUCCAAAAAAUAACCAUUCCUCCAGCCAAACCUAUAGGAUUAACAACAAAAUUGUUAGAGAACUUAAUUUUGCCUUGGACACGCUGGAUAAGAAAUUCUUGAUUGCGAGUUUCCAUCAAAAACAGAACAUCGGGCCGUUCUCGGGCCACUAAGGCCCUAAGUGCUUGAACUGUCAAGGAAUUGCCCAAUCCUUGACAGUUCCAACUCAUGAUCUUCAUUUAUCCUUGGGUGGCUUAUGGGGGCAAGCCACCUCAGCCCAAUCUCUAAAGUUUUCAGCCAUUAAGAUGGGAGUUUCCAGUAGUUGACACUCUUCAAAAACUUCCGGAAGAACAGGACGAGAUCCAUAUGGAGAAUACCGCUUGACUUUCUUGACUGGAGAGGUCUUAGUCGGCAACAGAGGUUUUUUAACUUUUUUGGAGUUGGUAACUGACUGUAUAACUUCUGUUACAGCAUUGGAACAUGUCAGACCUGGACCUUCAGGGGGAAACGAAGUGGAUUCAAGAGCUGGCUGCCCAGUGACAGGGAUGGGAUAUGUUGGCUGCAGAGAUGUGGUGGGAAAAGGGAGAUGAUGAGCCUUCUGAGGGUCUGUUACUACUUGCUUAUUUGUGGAAACUGAUGGACCAGGAGGGAGCAAUAGCAAACCUUGUGGAGGAGUUUCAGGUACCGAUUCCUCUCCAUCUUCCAUAAAAGGUUUUGUUUCAUAGAAAACCUGCCAGAAAGGGCUAGGGUCCCUAGCUUCAGCCCUGAGCCAUUGGCCAUAAUACAUCGUGUCACGCUUAUCAAAAGUUGACUCUUCAUAAGGGAUAUCUUUGCAAUAGGAAGCAUAAUGACCAAGUACGCCACAAGAAUAACAGAAGGUCGGUAAUCUUUCAUAUCGAAAGUCUAACCAGAUUGAUUUUCCUUCCACUCUAAUAAGCUUUCCCGGUUUUAGAGGCUUCUGAAUAUCCAGAUCCACCCGAGCUCUUCCUAUUUUAAGACUGGAGCCAUCUUUCGCCUCAAUUUUAACAGCCAGAACAGGUCCAAGAUCACUGACUGCCUUACUUAUCAACUGCUCUGUACAUCGUUCUAACGGUAAGCCAACUAUUUGGACCCAGAAUGCAUAUGUGGUGAAAUCAUAGCAAUGCAAGGGAGUGUUAGGGAUCCACUGUUUGAGAAUAAUAAGAUUAUUUGAGAAAGACCAUGGCCCACUGUCUAAAAUACGCUGCUUUGUCCCUUCAGAGGGAAAUUUAAAGACAUAAAGACCUGCUUCUCUUUGUGAAAUAUCAACAUUAUCUACACGCCAUACCUUCUUCAUCGUACUCUGAAAAGCGGGGAAGUUUAUAGGAGAAUUUGCAAGAAUUUUCCCUACAAGUGUUAACUUACAUUCCUCAAUUUUCUCUGCAGGAGGGGGUUCAUUCCAGACCUCAAUAUGCUGAGGAGACCACAGUCGACCCAGGCGAGUACAUAAAGCAUUAAGUCGAGCUUCCUCUUCCUUGCUACCAGUAUCCAUAAAGAGUAGAAUUGGCAAAAGAUGGACCAGAGUGUAUAAAGGCUAAAAAAGCACAUGCAGAAUACCAGUCCGAUAGAAAUUGGGUUGUGGAUUAGACAUGCAGAUGAAUCGGUCGACCCAACCUCCAGAUUAGAGAAGAGAAGACCAAAUUCGACCGAACAGAGUAUGAAAAAGAGCGAUGGAAUGGGUGGAAACAGAAGUAAGAGGAAGAUAGAUGAAACAGAGAAGAAAGGGAGCCGGUACUUCAAAAUAGGGGGGUGCGACUCCGGAAACGAAAUCCAUAAAAGGAAGACGUGGGAGAUUCCGUUGAAAACGCCAUGCGAGAAAGAAAGCUUGAUGUGGGAAUUCUGAAAACUGGGAUUAGGGUUAAGAAGGGAAGAUGAACACAGAAACUACCAAGAGGUAGAGGGCGACUCUACAAAACGAGAGAGAAACCCGUCCAUUAGUUUAUUACGCGCAUGUUGCAUGGGGUGAUGGACUUUUUGGCCCUCAGCUCACUGUCAAGACAAAUAAUUUUGUGAAAAAUCCAAAUGAGGGUUUUCCAAAUUGGUGUUGUUUUUUGCCACAGUAGCUUCUGGCGGCUCUUACAGAUGCAGAUUCUCUGUGUCCCAUUUGCUUUAAAGCUCAUUCACUUGUGUGUUUUAUUUCAGUGCGGAAAAUGGAAGAGCACAUCUUUCUGAAUUGUCAAUGAAGAUGGAAUUUGUCAAAAUUAAAGUAAUCUUCUCGUGUAGGGUCUUGAGUAUUGAUAAUUAACUUUGUGAUUCAAGCAUUAAAGCAGUCAGCACGCAGUGGGUCAUUGCCUACCCUUGGACCUCGACGUCCAUCCAAUGUAUUAUUUGGCCACAUUCUUCGACAGAAAUCUACCUUUAUCUUCAACAAAAAUAAACUAGUUAGAGUAUGAUAAUUAAAGGAGAAUCAGACUUGAAUAUUUGGUUUUCAAUAUUUUCUUUCGGACGCACUUGAGUUUUUAUUUUUUUUAGAUCAGAAAUUCGCACUUGAAUUCACCUCCUCAUUUUUGGCCAUUUCUCUCCCUUUUUCGUUAAUUUUUUUCCCCUCAAUUCUUCUCCUUAAUUUUCUCCCCUUUUGCCUUUUUCUAACCCAUGACCAAGCAGUUAACUUUCAAGAAAUAUAUUUCUAAGUUACAUAUGUUGACUUCCUCAUACUUUUUAGACAAAAAGAACAAAAAAAAAAAAAAAAGCUUCGUCAUACUUCAAAAUUUUUAAAUAAAUGAAAAUAUUUCCCUUUGUCAAUAAUAAUUUAUAUUUAAAUAUUUUCUAUUUAUUUAUUUCUAUAAGCGUUACAAUUUGAAAAUCGUUUGUUUUUUGCGAAAUAAAUAGUACUUCGUCAAAAUUUAUAAUUAGUACUUAACAAAAGAUUCAAUAGGAUAAGAGUAGAACCGCGACUGAGAUGUGGAAAUGACAAAUAAUUUCACUCACCCAACGGUCGUUGUUGCUCUGUUUACAUCCGCCGGUUCUUGGAACCAUUUUUAACUGGAGAAGUUCCACGCACAGACGGAACACCCACUUCUCCCAUAGUCAACCGGGCCACCGCGUCGCAUCGUCAGGAGUCUGUCCGAGGAAAUUUCCCGAGCAUUCGUGAGUCUCCUUUCCAGCUACAAGUGUCGAACGAAGGUCCUCACGGCGGUUCGACCUCAGCGUCAUCAGCUCCGGUGACAGGAAACAACUUUAAUGUGUUCCUGAGCUUCAGAGGAAUUGACACCCGAGAUGGAAUCACAGAUGUUCUCUACGAGGGCCUCCGAAAUGCCGGGGUUCGCACCUUCAGAGACAAAGAAGAGCUUUCUGAGGGAGAGUCCCUCACAAAGCAGCUUCCUCAGGCAAUCAAGCUGUCGAAGAUCGGCAUUCCCAUCCUGUCCAACAGCUAUGCCUCGAGUAAAUGGUGCCUACGAGAGCUGGCUCAGAUGGUCGAGCAGCUCGAUGAUGGAAUGAUCAUCAUCCCCGUAUUCUUCGAGAUCCUGGUGGAUCAUGUGAAAAUGAAGGAUGGGAAGGGUCCUUACGCCGAUGACGUUAGGGCACACAGGAAGAAAGGAGUUGACGAGGAUAGGAUUGGGAAAUGGGAGAGUGCCCUUAAAAAAGUGACGUCUUUGAAAGGCGCAUGCUAAUAGUGGUAAGGUUUAAGGAUCUGUAGCUAGUGCUGCUUUGUUCUCUUUUCUUUUCUUCUCUUGUUUUCUCCGUAUUCAAAAGUAAGGGUCUGUUAGGGGUUGCGAUGGGCAUAGCCCAAGGUCAAUCUGAGUUUUUCUUAUGGGGGUUGGCUAAUGGUAACUCUGAAUUGAAUGGGAGACGCUCUUGCAUUGGUACCAAGCCUUUAACCAUUCCGUCCCAUUCACGUUUUCAUCAUUUUCAGAUCUUUGACCACAGUUUACGAGUGUCCCUGACUCCGUGUUCUUUCCUUCUUUCUGAAACAUUUUUCUGUUUUCUAGGCAAGGACAAUUUGCAAAUAUGAUGGUCUUAAAAGUUCUGAAGAGAUUGAGAAAGGCGAAGCUCAAUUUGUCUGACGAAUUAGUCGGGAUUGAGGACCGCCUGACUAAGCUGAGAAGAAUGUUGGAUACUGACUGCAGUGACGUGCAGAUGAUUGUCAUCUCCGGCAUUCCAGGCAUUGGUAAGACAACCCUCGCAAAGUGUCUCUACAAUGAUAUCUGCCACCUCUUUCGUCGUUGCAGUUUUCUUGGCAAUAUUGAAGAAACUAUUGCAAAGAAGGAUCUUGUAACUUUGCAAAAUCAGUUGGUUUCUGACAUCAUCCGAAGGGACUUGGCAAACUUAAACUCAGAGGAGGAAGGAGUUAGCUUCCUCAAAAAUAGAUUCAACACACUGAAAGUCCUCAUUCUUUUGGAUGACGUGCAUGAGCAGAGAUCGCUUGGAGCAUUGAUUGGAGAUCUCGAUUAGUUCGGUUUAGGGAGUAGGAUCAUUAUCACAACCAAACGCAUAGAAGUUCUCAGUUUACCUGCAGGAACCAAAACUUAUGAUGUCACACCGAUGGAGGAUGGUGAUGCUCUAAAACUUUUCUGUAGACGCACCUUUGCUAAGGAUUGUCCAGAAUAUGACUAUAUUGAUCUCUCUGAAAGAAUUGUGACCACUACUGGAAGACUUCCAUUAGCUCUUGAGCUCGUAGGUUCACAGUUGUCUCUGUUUCGGGAUAACAACGUUUUCUGCGAAGCUCUACUAAAAAAGUUAGAGGAGCUACCUCAUGAUGAUGUCCAGAAAAAGUUGAAUGUAACUUAUGAACGGUUAAGCCCUAGACAACAGCAUAUUUUUCUCGACAUAGCUUGUUUUCUUAAUGGAGUGGAUGAAAGAAUCGCAUCUUACAUGUGGGACAAGCUUGACUUGCAUCCUAAAGUCGAAAUCAAUAUGCUUGGUCUUAUGUCCAUCGUAAAGAUUGGAGAUGACAAUAGGAUGUGGAUGCACGAUCAGCUUAGGAAGCUUGGCAGGCAAAUUGCUCAAGACGAUCUUGAGAAACAGAGGAACCACAUUAGACUAUGGAAACCCCCUCAAGCUAGGAAAAUUAUUGAAGAAGAUGAGGUAAGAUCUGGCAUUGCCUUUUUAGUCUGCCUAUUUGAUAAUUAACUCUCCUUGUUUGAUUGCCUUUGGGAAGAGUGAAAGAUCAGAUGAUCCUCAGCUCACUUCUUUAUUGGGGUCCACAUUAGCUUCUGUCUAACAAUGGUGAUUGACCAACAGACCCAAAUGAAGGUCGAAGCUCUGUGUCUUGACAUGGAUACUCAGUCCUUCACUGAACAAAAACACAUGGAUGAUCGAUCACAGAAGUGUUGGACUCCUGACCAUUUUAGACAAGUACCAAAUCUCAGGUUCCUAAGUAUGAAUCACUCUGAUAUUCAGAACAAUUUUGAUGGCCUUCUUUCAAAGUUACUUUGGCUCCGAUGGCAUGGUUGUCCAAGAGCUUUUAAGGCAAUCAAUUUGCAUAUGAAGAAUUUGGCUGUUCUCGAUUUAUCAUGGAGCAAGGUAAUCGAAGGUUGGAAGGGUUGGAAUCAUAUAGAGGUAGCUCAAAUACUUGGCAUUUACCCUUUCCCUUGAAUACUUACUGCAAAAUUAACAGUUUUUUGUCUACUUGCAUUCUUUGCAGCUGUCAAGGAAGUUGAAGGUUUUAAUUCUUAGAGGUUGUGUUGACUUGAUACAAACUCCAAACUUCUCUAAUUUCGAGGCUUUGGAGAUACUGGUUUUAGAAUACUGCUCUCAUUUGGUUCAAAUUGACCCAUCGAUUGGUCAGUUGCAAUAUUUGCAAAUUUUAGAUCUGAAAUUCUGCACUGACCUCAGUAACUUGCCCAGUGAACUUGAUUCUCUGGAAGCUUUGAGAGAAUUCCAUCUCGAUGGAACUUCUAUAGAAGAUAUUCCGGUCUCCAAAGAUAUGAAGCUUCUUAAGACUCUCAGCGCCUGCAACUGUAAAUCAUUGUCACAAGUGUCUAGUGAAAUUGGUGAUGUAAAAUCUCUUGUAUUUCUUUCAAUAGAUGGAUCUGAACUUCCUGCUCUCCCAGAUUCAGUUGAAAGGCUAGAAAAGUUAAAACAACUGUCUAUGAGGGAUUGUCAGCUGAUGUGGAAACUUCCAGACACCAUUGGAAGAUUGACAUCAUUAGAGAAUCUGGAUCUCUCAAGUACAGGAAUAGAUGAAUUACCACAUGCCAUUGGUAAUAUGCAAAAAUUGAAGGUGCUCAAAAUGGAUGGAAGCUUCAUUAGAGAGUUCCCUUGCUCUAUUGGAAUGCUGGAAAAACUUGAGGAGAUUCAUGCGUCAUGAUGUAGGAGUUUGGAAAAAAUUCCAGAGGAGAUCAAAGGUUUGUCUCGUUUGAGAAAUUUGGUGUUGUCAGAUUCCAAUAUUCCCACCCUACCAGGGAGCAUCUCUAGUCUUUCCCACCUUCAAAACCUUGAUUUAUAUGGCUGUGACAGUCUUCAUGAGGUUCCUCUGCUUCCCACUAGUUUAGCCACUUUGCGUCUCACUUAUGACUCUAGUAAAUUGAAGUCUUUGGAUAUUUCAAAUCUGACCAAUCUCAAAGAGUUGUACCUUGCCAAUAAUUUGGAGGAGGAGGCAUCUCCCAGCACAGACGGAUAUUUGAUGGUGGAGCCGAUCAGCCUUUCGGGGAUUGGCAAAGUGACAAAAGUUGAGACCUUGAAAUUGUGUCUCCCAGGCUUCACUAAACUACCGGAAAUGGAUGCUCUCAAGCAGCUAAGGAAGCUUGAUCUUCAAUGUCCAGACCUACAACAUCUCCCACGACUACCCAAAAGUUUGAAAAAACUAACCCUCCGGGACUGCAAAUCCUUAAAGACAUUGCCGGAGCUUAAGUAUCUAAAGUCUCUAUCUGGAUUGGAGCUUCUGUUAUGUUCUGUAAUGGAAAUCGAAGGACUUCAAUAUCUCUCAUCCUUGGUAGCCUUGCUUAUUUCUCACUGUGACCUGGUAAAGCUAGAUGGCCUCGAAUGCUUGACAUCCCUGAGAACAUUGACCAUCUCAUACUGUGAUUCCCUUCAAGGACUGCCAGAUUUGUCGAACUUGAAGAAGCUGAGAACAUGUCAUAUCCAACAUUGCAAGAACAUAACUCAAAAGGACAGCCUCUAGUAGUCGAGCUCCCUAGAAAGGCCAGAUAUUUGCGAAGGUCGUGGUACGCCUCUGGUCUAAAUGAGGACUCGAAAGAGAUCCAUUUCAUGCUUCCUCGAGCAAGUCUGAAGUUUCUGAGGCCAAUGUUCAUUCUAAAGGUCAUGCGUCUUUUCAAUUUAAUGAUGAUCCAUAAAUUUCACCUGCAUUGUUGGACUUCCUUGUAACUGGAAUGCCUUCUUCUCCGAUAUUUCCAUUUUUCUUUUCACUUCUUUAGAGAAUGCAAUAUCUUUCCUUUAUGAAGUUAUUCUCAACAAUGCCCAGCAAUUGCUUGGUAUACCACUUAACACUUCGACUUCAUUGUACUGUUUUCACAAAUAUGUGAAUGAGUGCAUGAAUCAGCAUUUCUGAAUUCCCUAAUCAUUCGGGUCGUUGCUGUUCUUAAUUUCUUCCAUCUAACUGACUGAUUAUCCUUGGUAAGAUGAUUUGCCCAUUUAUUCAAUAUACAUGGAGUAUUCGCUAGCGGGAGUAUUGUAGUGGAAGAAAUAACCGGAUGUGAUCUCUGUUCAUUUCUUUUGCCCAACGACGAUGUAUAGAAUAGUCAUAUCCAAAUGCGAUGCAGAAAGGCCAAAUAUAUGCUCAUACACCUCUGCAUAGACAAUACUGAGGGAAAAAUCACCAUGGCAUGCACUUUUUAUGUGGGAAUUAUUUAUACGAUUAACGAGAGGCACCCGAUAACCCUGAUGAUCUAGAUGAUUAUAGGAUGAAAAAUUCAAAAAGAAUGAUGAAUUGAUGUUACUGAACAUCAUCUGGCAUCAGUUUGUUGUUUUUCCCCCUUGAAUAAAUUUUACAUGCUAAGUAGUUUAUCUACUCGAAUGAUCGUUUUAGUGUUUUCUGGGUACUCUGAGAUAUCUCUGUGAACUAAUGUCUCGGGCUAAGCAGCCAACUUAGGCUGAGCUGCAGGUAAAAAUGCCCCAUCAUGAAUAACCUGGAUUAUUAUAGCACAUUCCAGGACGGUCCUGCCUUUCACAACCAAAUAAAAUGCAUCUCUUUGUUGCCAGGCCUGAUCAGAUUGAAGAUUCAGAACCUGUGAAGAGACCUGGGACAUCUUUACAGGACCCACUUAUUAUAGUUUCCUUCUUGGUUAGUCCGUGGUAGUAAAGACCAGGCUGAGGAAUCUUAUGUCACACGGGUAGAGGAGCAAGGCGUGACUUCACUCAAUUACAUGUUUCUGAAUCUUCUUUUUUCAACAUAGUCGAUCUUUACUUGCGUCUCUGCAAGAUUCAGGCAUCUGCUUUUGAUAUUUACGUCCUGCUUCGGUGGAUGAUCCACGCCAAAGAAUGUAACAUCUCUGGAUUUUGUUUUGCUUUUUAGACACAUUCCAUGGAAAGUGUUUCCCUUGCAUUUCUUCCGGCUAUUUAGUAAAAAAAACAGAGAAUUCCGACACGUUGGGACACAUUAUAUAUUAAAUAUAUAUUUUUAUAUAUACAUAAUAAAUUAUCAUUUUUUUAAUUAUUUCAAUCAAAUUAAUUUGAAUCAAAUUCAUAAAAGAAUAAAUAAAGCCUAGAAUGAAUAUACACUAAAAACAUUAAUCCGCCAUUUAUUAGUAUCAUUCAUUAUUUCAAUUUGAUAAAUUCAACUUUAUUUCAAUAAUUUAUAAAACUUGGAGAAAAAACAAGCGAUCCAUAUUAUGAACUUGCAUGUUAGAUAUGUUGAAAGAGGAGAAAAAAAACUUAAGGGGUGAAUUGCGUAUCGCGGGAAGUGGAAGUCAAAAGAGACGAGAAGACUAGGUUUUUCUUCUUUCUCCAUUUAUUAUUUUUAUUAUUGUGUUUUAUUUUUUCACACACACACACACACACACACACAUAUAUAUAUAUUGACCUCUAAUUUAUUUAAUUUUUUAAAUUAACGUCGAUAUCGGAAUCACAUGUCGGAAAUGCAUAUGUUAAAAUUCUGACUUGAGUAUCGAGAGUAACAAGAAAGUUGACAAAGUGUCAGAUUUUACGACACAUGUUGACCAAGUGUCGGAAAGUGUCUGAGAGUGUCAGACACAUGUCGAAGUGUCUGACAAUAAGAAAGCUCUUGAAAAGUGUCGGUGCUUCAUAGACUGGUAUAAUUGUUAAUUAUCACGUAUCAUUCAACUCAGUAAUUUGAUAGGCAAAUUUAACGAAAACUAAUAGAGGGCAAACUUGUCACGGGUAUAUCGGUUUAGAGUUUUUUGGGGUUAAAAAAUUAGUUUGAGGUAAAUUUCUCACAAGUACACCAAUUUGAGAUUUUUCACUAUUCUAAUGUUUCUUGUGAUAAGGGUUAUUGAGUUUAAGGAGAGGUGUCAAAGACCUAUUUUUUAAUUCAUUUUUAACAGAUUGAAUCACACAUGAUUAGUUUAAAUUUAAAGAAUUUGUUGGUUGUUAUGGGUUUAGAAUAGCAAAGCCCAACAAGAUAUGGAUUUUAAUGGGAUAAGUGUAUUGGAAAUUCUAAAACUUGUCAUGAAAGUAUAAUUAAGUUAUAGAACUUGUCAUGAAANNNNNNNNNNNNNNNNNNNNNNNNNNNNNNNNNNNNNNNNNNNNNNNNNNNNNNNNNNNNNNNNNNNNNNNNNNNNNNNNNNNNNNNNNNNNNNNNNNNNUUGCCGCCAGCUGGGGUUGCGCACCCUUGUGGUUGAUGUGGCGGCCCUCGUUACAGCCAAGCAAAGUGUGACGAGGACCACCAGCAAGAGUAGGCAAGCAGGCCGUCGCUGGCUACGAAUGGGCAGUGCCCUUUUAUUCUAUUGCCUUGCCUGUGCAGUGUGUUCAUUUACCUAUCUUUUGUAGGAUUCAAUAUCAUAAUCAAACCCAAACAAAGAGUCAUGCUUAACUAAUAAAGAGCCACGGGACCCCCGUUCGGAAAUAAGAGGAAAACGAGGGACCGAAUCCUAAGUUGGAGUUCGCCAACCGGAGGAGGGGCUGCAUAGCAAAUAAGAGGAAUCCGAGAGACCGCUUCCGAAGUUUCUUUUUUUGGGCGGGAGCCAAAGAAGAAGCGCCUCUCGUCUCCCCCCACUUCAUUCUCUGAUUUCGAUGGCGGAUUUUCAUCGGUCUCGCCCGAUUCCUUCCUUUCCUUGACGAGUUUCCAAAACCCUAGCCUAAAGCCCCUUCUCCUCCGUCUCCUCGCCGCUCGCCGCCCCUGCCUCUCCUCUUCCUCCCUCCCUCCUUUUCUCGCAUUCUCGCGGACUUUCUCCGAGCGGUUUCAAAAAAUCCCCCCACCAGCUACAGCAAACGGACAGGUACUGCUCCCCCCACUUCAUUCUCUGAUUUCGAUGGCGGAUUUUCAUCGUCUCUCCCGAUUCCUUCCUUUCCUUGAUUAGUUUCCAAAACCCUAGCCUAACGCUCCCUUCUCCUCCUUGUCCUCGCUGCUUCGUCAGCCUACUCCCCUGGGUAUGAAACGGACGAAAACUGAUUUCGUUUUGAAAGAAGAUGGACAUCCAGGAUUCUCGCAACUGUGGACAAGGUUCCUCCGAAACAAGAGAAAACGAUGUGUUUUUGAGCUUCAGCGGACAGGAUGAUUGCAAUGACUUUGUGGAUCAUCUUUACCGUAGCCUCCGCCAAGCGGAGAUCAGCGUGUUAAGGGAUGAUGACCAACUUGCCGUGGGAGAGGAGAAAAGGCCGUCGCUUACCCAAGCGAUCAGGCAUUCCAAGAUCGCCAUUCCGAUCCUGUCAGAGAACUAUCUGUCGAGCAUGUCGUGCCGCGCAAAGCUGGCUCAGAUCGUGAAGUGCCACAAGUGCCACAAGAUGACGGGCCAGAUCAUCAUGCCGGUCUUCUUCAACGUCUCGCCAACGGUCGUAAAAAAAGGAUCCUCCGAUUACGAAAAGGCUAUCGCCAGGCAUAGACAGGAAGACCCAAAGACCCUCCAGGAAUGGAAGAAAGCUCUCAUCCAUUUGGGAUCCAUCUCAGGGGGGACGAGUAAUCGGUGAGUGUAAUUGAGUAAGUUCGAUUGAGAGUAACCUAGCAUCCAAAUCCCAAGCUAGCGCUUACUUCAAUUUAAGUUAAUCUAAUUAGACUAAUGCUGCUAGGUGUAUCAAUACCUGUUGUAGCUCUCUCAGAUCUGGUACUGAAUAUGAUCCGCUUGUCUACAUUCUUACUCCCCGCUUGCCACAUUACUUAAUGUUUCAGUUUUGUUGACAAAUUUCAGCGUUCUAGCGUUACACGUAUCUCAUAACUCAGUUUUUCCAUGUUGGAUCACUGCAUUAAAUGGGAGGCAGCGGUUAUAGUUUUGAUUUUAUGUCAAUAUGGUCCAGGAGAAUGUUCUUCCUCUUGGAAUCUGCAUCCACAGGAAAUCUAAGUCUUGCAAGAAAAUGCCAGUGUAGAGUGAUACCGAUUUGCUUAAUUUCUGUGGAUGCAACUGACAACCUUUGCAUCUCAUCAUACCGUGCUUUGUCUGUGUUGAUUUAGCAAAAACACGUGCCACUAAUUGCAUGGCCUGUUUGUUUAAAGCUGAUUGAUGUAUGAUAGUUUUUUAAAUGAAAGCGUGGACUUUUUCUUGCUAACUGCUUCAGAGUUCAGACAUUGUUGGACUUACAUUAAUCUUUGUGCGUGUGACUUGGGCCCAUCACGCAUGAUACAGCUCCGGCACAGAUGCUUCACUCAUCGAUGAACUUGUCGUAAAUGUGUUGAGGGUGCUGAACAGAUACCUUGUUGACAUCGAGCAUGAUGUGGAAAGAGUUAUGGAAUUACUAGAUGAGAAAUCUAGCAAUGUUCGUGUAGUAGGAAUACAUGGCAUAAGGGGCAUCGGGAAGACCACAAUUGCAAAGCUCAUCUGCACAAGAAUGUUUCAUCUCUUUGAUGGUUGGAGCUCUCUGAAAGCGUUAGAGAAUAUGAAGAAAGACAAGUAGGUUUAAAAAUUUUGCAACGUCAGUUGUUUUCUAACCUUCUCGGUGAAACACAUGGACAAAUUAGUUCUUUUGAAGAGAGGAUCAAGCUUCUCAAAGAUCAAUUCGUCUGCAUGAAAUUUCUUAUUGUUCUCGAUGAUGUUGGAGCAAGUUUUGAACUUGAACAAAUUCUAAGAAAUCCCGAUUGGUUAGGCUCUAGAAGCAGGAUCAUAAUUACCACUACAAGCUUUAGCUAAGCUUGAAGGGUCCUGAAUUCAUGAGGUCGUGGGCAUGCAAAAAGGUGAUGCCCUUAAACUUUUUCACACCCAAGCCUUCAGGGAGAGGCCUGUUCCAAAUGAAUUCGAUACUCUGUCCAAAGAAAUAGUAUCAACUAUUGACUGGCGUCCUUCGACAAUUGAUAUUGUCGGGUCAUAUCUAUAUUCUAAAACCAAGGGCAAGUGGGAGCAGACAUUAAAUAAGUUGCAAAAAGUAGACGAGUUGAAAGAAGUACCUCGGCCACGAAUUUAACAGAAAUUGAAGGUAAUCAUUGAUGCAUUACCUAAGAAGCAAAGACAGAUAUUUCUGGACAUUGCUUGUUUCUUCACUGGAGAAGACAAAAGUGUUGCAUGCUACCUGUGGUCUGAUCGUGGUCCUGCAAGCGGAUCAGUAUUAAAGGUGCUCGUGGACUUGUCUAUUGUUAAGAUUGAGAAUGGUAAGCUAUGGAUGCACGAUGAACUUCAAGAUCUAGGUAGGGAUAUUGCCCUACCGAAAAAUCUUGAACUUGAAAAGUGCAGUAGAUUGUGGAGUCACCAAGGCUCACCAAAGAGCCUUGGAUGUGCUUGAGAAUAAAAAAGUAAGACACAAAUUCAUCACUGUUUUUACCUUAUGAUUGUAUGCCUUACAACUCAUGUUCCUCUUUUGAUAGAGGAAAAAUACUUAUGGUGCAUAUGUUCCACAAAAAGUAAAAUUUGAAAAAAAAUUUCCUAAAAAUGAUCAUUAACAUUUUUUGAAAUAAUUAGUCAAUGAAAAUCUUUCAUUGUUGAUAACAAUUUAUAUAUAUAUUUUCAUAGACAAUAGAAAAUAUUUAUUGUUCAUUCGUUUUUGUGAGAUGAAAGCAAGCAUUUUCAAGAAAUUUUUUUAAAAACAUUUUUUUAUGUGAAAUUCCUAAAUAAAAUGAUUUCUUUAGUUUGAAAUCCCUUGGUAACCCAAAUCCUAUAUUCCACGUGCAGGGAACGGAAAUACUUAAGGGAGUUCUUCUUGAAUUUGGUAGUCAGUCACAUCACAGUUUUGGACCAGCACAUUUUGCGGGGAUGUCGAGCAUAAGAUUCCUUCAAUUGGAUCAGGCGGACCUCACUAGAAAUUUUAAGGGGUGUCUAUCAAGUUUAAGAUGGCUCCACUGGCAAGGUUGUCCUUGGAAUCUUCGUGCUAAGAAUUUGGAUUUGGAGGAGUUGGUUAUUCUAGAUCUUUCCAGGAGCAUGGUCCAUGAAAAAUGGAACGGCUGGAUUCAAAUCCAGGUAGAGAAGUAUAUUAUUUUUAAUUUCAUUUGUCAAAUUGUUGCUGAAAAGUUAACUCUUUUCUUAUUUUACUUUAUGACAGAAAGCCAAGAAAUUGAAAGUUUUGAACCUCACCGGUUGUGUUCACUUGAUCAAAACCCCAGACUUAUCUCAUUUCAAAUGUUUAGAAAGAUUGAUUCUUGAAAGAUGCAUGUGGUUGGAUGAAAUUGGUCCAUCGGUAAAAAGUCUGCGGUGCUUGGUUUCACUGAACUUAAGGUUUUGCACUGAACUCAAAAAGUUGCCCCGUGAGCUGGGUUCCCUCACAUCCUUGGAAGAUAUUCUUAUAGAUGAAACUGCCAUUCAAGAGAUUCCUGCUUCCAUCGGUGAUUUGCAAAAGCUUAAAAGAUUCAGUGCCUGCAAUUGUCUUUCAUUGACCCAGCUGCCCGAAUCAAUUAGCCAUGUAGAAUCUCUAGAAGUCCUCGCACUGAAUGGUACAAAAAUAACUAAACUUCCCCUGUCUGAAGAGUUAAGAGUGCUGCAAUACUUGUCAAUAAGUAAUUGUAGAUCAAUAUUGAGCUUGCCAACGUCCAUGGGGACUUUGGCUUCGUUGAGUGAACUAGACCUAUCAAGCACUGGGAUUAAUGAAUUACCUGAUACUGUCAUUGAGUCAAGUCUUUUAAGAGUGCUCAGAAUUGAUUCUACUUUUGUAAGAAAGCUGCCUGCUGCUAUAUGGAAAUUGAAGAGGCUUGAAGAGCUUCACACUUCAGGAUGUCGGAGUUUGGAGGGGAAAAUUCCUAAACAAAUUAAGAUGCUUUCUGCAUUAAGGGUAUUGAAACUUGGAUACUCUCGGAUUUGUGGUCUACCAGAUAGCAUUUCUGGACUUCCCAAUCUCCAAACACUUGAUUUGCUUCAUUGUGACCAGCUCCGUGAAGUGCCCGAACUUCCUUCCAGUUUAAUAAGCCUAUCUGUUAGUUCUAAAUUGAUGGACAGGAUUCCAGACAUCAGUAGUUUGGUUAAGUUGGAGGAGUUAUUCUUGGGUGAAGGAUCCCAGGAACCAGUGUUACCAGUUCGAGAUAAAAUUGAGAAGAAAGAAUGCACUUUGCAGCUUGGGAGUUUGUUAGAGCUGAAGAUAUUGCAGCUAUCCAUGUUAAAGAUCCAACUACUACCUGUUGGGUUGCAUUACCUUUAUAAGCUCAGGAAGCUAUUCCUUUGCUGCAUUCACUUAAAAAAGCUACCACGGCUUCCUCUAGGUUUAUUCACUAUCACUUCACCAUUGCAAAUCGCAGACAAUGCCAAAUCUUUCGUAUUUGGUGCUCCUGUCAGAAUUUGAGCUUUUCAACUGUGCAGUAACAGAAGUUCCAGGCCUCGGGAAGUUCAAAUCCUUGCGAGUUUUCAGAGCAUCUCACUGUGACCUGCAGCAGGUGGAUGAACUGGAGAAUUUGAUCUUUUUAGCAUCAUUAAAUGUUUCAUACUGUCGAAGUCUUGAGAGACUUCCCGAUCUAUCAAACCUGACGAUGCUGAAAGACAUUAAAAUUGAGGGCUGUCUGAUGAUUCCUGAUGAUUUUUAUUAUGUGGAUUCACACCUGAAUCUCUCCGAGGAGCAAAGCAGUUCACUAAUUGAGGCGGACAGCCCAUCCGAGGUAACCAACGCUAUUGAUUUUCCCACUGGACAUGUCUGGAAUUUUUACAAACAUGAAUGAAUUGCUUAAAAAAAACAAAAAUGCAUGUCACGAUGAAUACAAUUUACAGGAUAUUUUCUCCCAUUAACACAUGCGGAAUAAUUUUGUCAAAUGAAAUUUGAGUCUUCAAGACUUUAUAUUUCUUUCAACUUCUUUAAUGGGAAGAAACAUGUAAGGACUCUACUUCUUUUUCUUCUUUAAAAGGGCAUUUUUUUUUUCUUUUUUUAGUAUUUUUUUGCGAUACACAACCAAAGAGUUCUAUUUGUGCCAGUUAGUAUAAUCAUGCUUUCUGGCGGUGUUGUUACGUACUCAAUCCAGAACAUUGAACGGUGUAUUGGCAUCUUAGACCUUGUUGAGGUGCGGAAAGCGCUGACCGCUGUACUGGUAUCUUAAAUUUUUUAUGUGGUGCUUCUGUUAUGUUCACGUUAAUUCUAAAUCCAAAGUGCUGUGAAUAAAUUGGGAGGAGUGGCUUAUAAAAGGUAUUCCAUUCUCCAAACUGUUCUCUUGUAAUUUAGACUUGUUUGACGAGCUACUCUUCCAACUACAUAGUCUGAUCAAUAAUGUCAAUGAGAUCUCAAAACUCGUUUGGUCUUUUUUCAUGUUCAGUCUGUUUGAAUCUAAGCAUCUAUCUUUAAAAACAUUUGACACAUGGUAGAAAUCUUAUUUGAUGCAUUAAAUUCAUAUGCUUACACAAGUUUUGUCACAGGUGGAGUAUAGCAAACCAGCUAAAACCAAACGUUAUAGCAAACCAGCUAAAACCAAACGUUCUUCCUUCAAGGGCAUCGAACCCAUAUACGAAGGUAUGCUCUAUCUGAGUUGUUCUAUAAGAUUAAGUAUGAGUUCAAACUUAAAAUGUAGAACACUGAAAGAGGUCAUCCCUAGAAAUCUGCCAGACCACAAGGAUAGGCGGUUAAGGAAAUAUUUCAAGCUAUGCUGUUGUUGUUGGAACUGGUUAAAUUUUUUACAAAUUUUUUUGGGCCAUAGAGUAAGUCUUACACAUUAGCCCAAGAAGCAAUCUACAACGUAUUCACAUUCGGCGUUUCAUUUUGCUUUGACCAACUCCAGGAAGAUAAGGAUAACGGUAAUUGUCUCCUCUGUUUGCUUAAUGACUCUGGAAGUGACCCCUACUAGCCACCAGGCCCAUGCUUUAUCAAGUCUCGAAUUCGUUUGUCCCUCCAAGGUUGCUUUCCUUGAUACUAGGAAGAGAAACUUCCUUUCCAGUGGAAACACAUUAGUGAAUUUGUGUGGACCACCCCUUUCCAAUGAUUCAGAGCUUUUCCUUCCUUUGACCAUUUGUUCUUCAAAUGGUAUUUAAGGAUAAAGGAUUAGUUCCCAAUAGGAAUCAGCCUGGAAAUCCACCCAAAUUGAUGACGCUCUCUAAUUUUCUUGUUUUGACUAGAACUUGAUUUGGGUCUUCUGGUGGCUAACAGCUUCCAGUCUUCUGUCCGUUCUUGGCGAUUCCAAUCACCCUUUAGAUUUAUUUNNNNNNNNNNNNNNNNNNNNNNNNNNNNNNNNNNNNNNNNNNNNNNNNNNNNNNNNNNNNNNNNNNNNNNNNNNNNNNNNNNNNNNNNNNNNNNNNNNNNNNNNNNNNNNNNNNNNNNNNNNNNNNNNNNNNNNNNNNNNNNNNNNNNNNNNNNNNNNNNNNNNNNNNNNNNNNNNNNNNNNNNNNNNNNNNNNNNNNNNNNNNNNNNNNNNNNNNNNNNNNNNNNNNNNNNNNNNNNNNNNNNNNNNNNNNNNNNNNNNNNNNNNNNNNNNNNNNNNNNNNNNNNNNNNNNNNNNNNNNNNNNNAUCCCGCAGCUAUGUCCAUCUAUGGGGACAAAUUCGAUGUCUUCUUUGGUCGUUUCUAGGUCCUUCAGGCAUGGGCAAAGUUGUUUUUCCCUUCUUUGUUUUCAGACGUCAAGCAUGCCCGUGCCUCGCACCAGACAUAUUACUGCUGAACCUUAUUUUCUAGACACCAAAGAGUGUAGACUAUAGAGUUACCGGCUCAAAACCAUUCCUGCAGGUGUUUCUUCUUUUCAGUACUUUCAGAGCUGGCUUCUAUGACCAUGUGCUUGUCCCAGCUGACUUCUGCCCUCUUCGUGUCCUCGACUUUGUCAAUGUCUUCAACUUCGUCUUCUCCAACAGAACACAGAAAUUCUGGCUCUUUGUUCUUACUCCUGUGGACCUUCCUCUAUAGUUGUCGGUGAAAGGGAGACUCCAGCCUGGAUUAGAAAUGUUCUCUCUGCAAUAUUGUGCAUGGCAAUUUGGGCUUACCCAGGGCAUCCCUAUGCCUAUCCUCUAAUCAAUGGAGUAUCCAUUCUGGAAGAGAAACCACUACGUCUCGACCAGCAAUAGUCCCUUCGAAUGUUGUCAUCAAAUUAUGGAUGAUAUUUUUAAUCAGCAUGUCGUCAAAGAGUUUCGACCCCAUCCUGGAGUUACCAGCAAAUUCACCGACUGGUGGGUUUCUUACCACGAGGACAUAUUCAAGGAGGACUUCAGCUCCGCCAUUAAAAAAGUGAAAGUUAACGAUCUUUUUCCUUCUAAGACCAAGAAACCCCAAAAACACUCUUCUCCCGGCACUCGUAAGGCCUCAAAAAACACAAAGACAUCAUGUAGUUACCUAGAUGAUCAGUUUAAUUUCAAUCUCAUGCACUGAAAUUUUAUCUAUGUUUACCUUAUGGGUGACACCCUGAAUUAAUUCAUUUGAGAUAUUAUUCGCUUUGACUCAUCCCAUACUGAGUUGUCUCUCAUCCCGACAAUUACUCCUUGCAUCCGUUGAACUGGGUUGUUACAGGCCCAUUAGCUUUCGUAUGACUUGUCCUUGAAUCGCACACCUCCCAAAGGGGUUUUUGCUUUGUUACCACAUUGCCCCAUAAUUAACUCACUUAAGGCAUUUAGCACAUCUCAUAUCGAAACUCACGGUUUUGCUUUUCGGGAUACAUGUAGGCAGUUUCUCAAUAGAUCAUGUCGAGAAAAUUAAUUAUAGAAUUUUUGACAGAAAGGUGGAAUAUAUCUUUUCAGGAAAUGAAGGCGGGAUUGACAAUAUCAGGAGCAACGAUGACCAAUUGAAGUGGCUUGAUAGCCAUUCUGAUGGUGGCAUUAAAUGGAAAUUGAUAAAAAAAAUCCUUGUGUCAGAUAAAGAAAUUGGUAAGGGAAGUAGUGGGACCAUUGUCUAUGAGGGCAUGUAUGAAGAUCGACGUGCUGCAGUGAAAUGCCUUGUCAGGGGUCAUCAUGAUGUCGCCAUGGUAGAGAUUCAGAAUUUGAUAUUAUCUGACCAACAUGAAAAUAUUGUUCGAUAUUAUGGGAUGGAGGAAGACCCGAAAUUCAUCUAUCUUGCACUAGAGCACUGUAUUUGCAGCUUAGAUGAUUUAAUUCAAGCACAUUCAGAUUCUUCUGAUAACUCUGUGUUCCCUGAUGAUUCAGCAUCAAUGAAUGCUUAUAAAAUCAAAUUGGGUUCUGUUAGGGAUAAGAUGCAGAUGUUGAGUUGUGGUCGGCAGAUGGUUAUCCCUCGCCUCAGUUACUGAAACUAAUGAGGUAAUUUUUUAUGUUUCGACAUGCCAAAAGNNNNNNNNNNNNNNNNNNNNNNNNNNNNNNNNNNNNNNNNNNNNNNNNNNNNNNNNNNNNNNNNNNNNNNNNNNNNNNNNNNNNNNNNNNNNNNNNNNNNNNNNNNNNNNNNNNNNNNNNNNNNNNNNNNNNNNNNNNNNNNNNNNNNNNNNNNNNNNNNNNNNNNNNNNNNNNNNNNNNNNNNNNNNNNNNNNNNNNNNNNNNNNNUCAAUAGCUCUCUUGCAAAACUUCAAAGUGAUGCAUGAUACAGGGAAUUAUUAGGCCCCUACCUUGACUGUGGUGAUCCUAAUACGAUCAACAUCGUGGGCUGAGUUUUGAACCUUGCAGCUUCCUUUCUAGAGUUAUAGGAUAAGUUGAAUCCCACUAUCAAGGCUAAACUCUCAGUUUUCUUCUCAUUGAAAUCAAUUAGGUGUCAUCAAUUACGUAGUGAUAAAUCCAUUGAUUUUUCUAUAUUGAUAACAUCAGUAAACCUUCUUUCUUUUUGAUUCGUGAAUGCUGCAGAAUCCUCAUGCACUCAAAUCGGUAAAUGUUGGUGUGAUUGAUAUGGUGAUCAAAUUUUGUACUGAAUUUUUCAUUGUAAAGUUUACGUAAAGAACCUGCAAAAGGUUUUUCUUUAACCUCGAGUGUACUUCUGGCACCCUUACUAGGUCGUAGCGUGUUAGAGAAAUUCCUUAAUUUCAUAUGGCUUAGUAUAGGUAUCUAAUGUGUUCAUGUGGUGAGGCUACUAUUUGGUUCUAGAUACAUUGUUGAUUUAAGUCAUGAUGUCUUCUCUAUAUUAUGAUACAGCGAUAUGGUAUCAGGACUCAGCCAUUUGCAUAACUUGGGAAUGAUCCAUUGGGGCAUAAAGCCUCAAAAUGUCUUGAUUGCUAAGAAUCCCUCGUUUGGUGCUAAGCUAUCUGAUAUGGGAAUUAGCAAAUGCCUUUCGAAAGAUAAAUCUUCCUUGGGAAAUCAUGCUACUGGUAAGUACUCAUAGUAGCUUUAUCCAGACCUUUGAUCUUCUUUUCUUAGAGAAUGAUCUGUGCAUAAUCUGAAUCUAUACAGUGAUAAAUCAUCUUCAGAUUCCUGGCCAGAAAUUUCAACCUAUAUUUCACUCAUUUGAGCAAUCUCUACUUUUAAAGACGAAUGUCAUGCUGAAAGUUAGGUUGCUUUAUUGAUCUUCGAUGUUUUUCUUGCAGUUUGUGGAAUCACAGGAUGGCAAGCACCUGAACAGCUCUCUCCUGGUGGGUGCAAAACGCAAAAAGUGGAUAUGUUUAGUUUAGGUUGUGUCUUGUUCUUUUGUGUCGCUCGUGGAAAACAUCCAUUUGGUAAACCUAUAGAACGUGACUUCAACAUUGAUCGCGACAUAAAGGACCUUUCUUGGGUGGAAUUCAUGCUAGAAGCUCAUGAUCUUAUUUCGCGUUUACUAGACGAAGAUCCCGAUUUGAGGUGAGUUUUUUGGCAUCCUUAAUUUGCAUCACUACCAUUUACAUUCAGCCAUUUGAUAGAUUUUAGAACCAUGUCGGUUGACUAAAUCUCAUUUACUGGAUCAUUUAAUCUCAUGAGUAUUAAAGGUGGCCUCAAAUUCGUCAAACAUGGCUUAUAUCUGUCUGCUGUGGGGCUCCACUUGAUGAGCAAAAAAUGUGUAGAAACCACUCAUUUCUUUUGUCAAUUGACAAUAGAAGCUGAAGAAAAGGUUGACCAUGUGAAAACCUAAAUCCCUUUGACAACUGUGAUAUUCCAAUGAAGGAUGAUCAUUGUCGGAAGCCCAGUUAUUAGGGUUAUAAGUUUGUCACCCACCCAUGAACAAAUAAAUUCCAGUCAUUCCUAGUGCAGUAUUAGAUUUGCUAUACGUGCACCGAAGAGAAUUUCGUAUGAAGAUUCCGGGGGUUUUAGCAUAUGGCACGAAUCCUAGGGACAGGAUGAUUAGAUUGCUAGUUUAAGGUACUUUUGAGUAAAUAAUUCGUAGGUUCUUGUUGUAGUGAAACAACUACUGCCUUCAUCCUGGACUUGUGAGUUGUGAAUUGCAUGCAAAUUUUCAGACAUUUUGAUUACUCUUUAUUGAGCUAAUGCAAUUUUUAUUGUUUUAAAGAUUGCGCGAAUCCCAAACUUGCGAUGCUUUUAAACUCAAGUAGUCGGUCUUUUCAGUAUUGUUCAUGUAAUUGAUUUCUUGGAAAUGUUGGGCCAAUAGUAAAUUACUUUUUAUGACUAAGCAGGCCAACGGCAUUGGAGGUGCUGGACCAUCCAUUUUUUUGGAGUUCAAAAAUGAGACUGACCUUUCUUCAUGACGUCGGCAAUGAAGUAGAAUCGGAAGAAGGCAAUUCAGAUUUUCUCAAAGCAUUGGCCAACAUUGCACAAUUGGCUUUUGAUGGGAAUUGGAUAGAGAAAAUAGAUAAAGGUCUUAUGGACGACCUACGUCUACACAGACGCAAGCCCUAUGACGGUAGUUGUGUCGGAGACUUAUUGAUAUUCAUGCGAAAUGUGUUCAACCAACUCGAGAAAGCUCCAUAAAGGUUUAAGGUACUCUCUCGCUCUCUCUCUGGAACAAUGGUGAUAUCUACAGCUGCAUGCAUGCAAGGCUCAUAUCUGUUGUUGCUUUGAUGAUUCUGGCAGGUCGAAGUGCAUUAUGAUAUUUCAUAUGCUUACUUCGCUGGACGAUUCCCCAAACUCUUGAUUGAGUCAUACAAAGCGGUGUCCCAAAGCUGCAAAAAGGAGAAAUUGCUUGCGGGAGUACUUUCUAAGUAACGUGCUUUUGACCCUUCGGCUGCUUCCCACAGUGAUUCCUUCUUCAAGCCAGCAGGGUUGACCAUGAAUAUUCCAGGACAUGCCACCUGUCUUUUUUGUUGUGUCUACUGUCUUGGUUACGUGGAUCAAGCUGGACGAACGUCAGGCUGUUCGUAUUAUUCCUAAUAUCAAGUUUUAAAUAAUUUUAUAGUAUACUAUUGCCGCAUACUUUAAAUGUUUAAUGUAUUGUUAUUGAUAUUGCAUAAACAAAUAUUGUAUUUCAAUGUCAUGCAAUUUUUUUUCAAUAUCGCAAUUUUUAAAUUUAACUCGUGCACUUUUUUUCAAAAAUUUUAAUUUAGCGUAAAAAAAGGGGCCCAGGCACACGCUUGGGCCGACAUGGCCCGGUGGUCAGCCCUCGUAGACACUUUCAUCAACAAAAAGUACCGUCACCCCCUUAUUAGGUUAGCAACUUCUUCACCAAACUUGUAAUUUUUUCCGUAUGCAACCCAAAUAUCUAAAGAAAAAUAUUUACGUUAAGCAAAUCUCAAUGAAGUGGGCAGCAUUCUCAGUUAUAAAAGAAAUGUCACUCAACUUACAAGUAUUUACCAAUGAAAUAAAUAUCACUCUAUUAUUUUGAAGUAUUUACCCACAUGUUUACGAUUUUUUUUUUGUGUAAUUUCUAACAUAUCUUGUAUAGUUUAUAAUUUUCUCUCAAUCAAGGGAAUUAAAAGUUGAAUCUACACGUAAUUAGAAUAUAAAAAAUAACAUUCAUGUAUUUCAAAACCUCAAAAAUAAAUAAAUGGCAAUAAAAUGCAUUAACAGUUCUAAACCUCACAUAAAGUGGACGAAAAAUCUUAUCUAUCGUCUACAUACUCCAUGCUUUCUCUAAACAAAUUUGUGUACAUCUAGUUUGUCCAAUGAAGCAAUUCUAUUUUCACAAAUUUUCAAAUCAAUUCUAUCUGACACAAAAUCAAAUGACCCCAGAGUAUGAUGUGAAAAAAAUAUAUGGACGCACACAUGGAUGCGUGUGUGAAAAAAAUAGCCUAUAUAGACAAUAUUGAAGUAUGACUCAUUACCCAUUGUUGACGCUCAUGUGGAUGUCUAUAUUGGAAAUUUUUUAAUCACGUCAUACUCACUAUGAUAUCACUUGAUGGUCAUGUCAGCUAGAUUUGGCCACAUUUGGUGUCCAAGGGAUUUAAUUAAAUUAAAAAAAUUGCGAUAGGAAGAUCUCAUUAGAUAAUUAAAAGUAUAAGAGCUUGAUUAGAAAACAAAGUAAAAAUAAGAGUAUAGGGACCAAAAGUAAAAUUUUUUGUAAAAUAAUAUUUGGCUCUUGCCCCUUGCCCCCCUCCCUCUCUCUCUCUCUCCUUCAUAUGUUGCAAGUAUAUUAUAUUAUUUUGUUUUAUUCUUAUCACAUAUAAUGGGUGAGAAUAUCUCGAGUCCAAGAAAAAGGUUAAUCUCUCUCUCUCAUUGCUUUAGAUGUCAAGUAUAUUAUUUUAUUUUAUUUUAUUCUUACCACAUGUAAUGGGUGAGAAUGUCUCGAGUCCAAGAAAAAAGGUUAAAGACAUAAAUAAUAUUAUUAUCAGACAAAUCAUGCACUUUUGAUACUAUGGCUCCAACAUUUAUUUGCAACCGACCCAUCCAAAACAAUCAUCAAUAAUUAAGUUACUUUUGAAAUUGUUGCGUGUGAGAAGUUCUAAUAUAGUUCAAAAUAGAAAAAAUUCUAAUAUGGGACGACAGUCACUAACACCUUAUCAUUUUCCAACAAUUUAAAAAGCUUUCUUACAUUUUAUUUUUUGACCCUAGUCAUCACUUAAUCAUAAUUAUAGAGCAUACUAUAAUUUCUUAUCAUAUUCACUACGCAAAGCUGAGCGUCAAACAUAAAAGUUGAAGUUCCUAAUACAAAAUUUCCAUGAGGUUGUGCAGUUCAACUACUCUGAUUCCUCACGUGUCGGUAAACAAUUGCUUGCACAAUGUUCACUUUUCUACAAACAGACUAUAUAGACGUCGCAUAUUGUAAGGCAAUUAAUGCAUGACACGGUGAUAAAAGCACCCGGUCCGUGGGGAUGGGGGCGCGAGGAAUCGAAUCUGCCACCCCACCAAAUUGGUUUUUUUCUUUUUUUUGUCAAGAUUUCUCUACCUUUUUUUCUUAAAUUAUUGUAUUUGUUAUCUUUUGCAUACUUUUAAUUCUCAUUGAUUUUUAUAGAAAAAUUUUAAUUUAUUUAUUUUCUUUCUUUCUUUUUGAUCCAUUUUUGUGUCCAUUUAUUAGCUUAACUUAAAUUUACCUCAAUCAGUCCUUUUUCUAAUAAAAUUCAAGAACAAUCAAAUUGUCACAUGUUCUUGUGUUAGAUAAAAAGGUAAUAUCUAGACAUUAUUAUCGGAUGUUAUUUUAUUUUUCCUCAUUGAUCCAUUUAGGUGUCCUUUUUAUAAGGCUUAAAAUUCCUUUUCCACUUUGAAUUUCAUUCAAAUUAAUACUUAAAAAUUUGCUUGACAUCAGAUUUAAGAAUAUAUUUAAAUCGGUGAACCUUAGAAGAUGAGGUCACCACUUCAAUGUUGUCAUCAAAUGUUACAGUGCUGAUAUCUCUGAAUCAGUCAUCAAUCAUUAUAUGAUGAAAACUUCACAAGACAUCACAUAUUUUAUUGUCACAUUUUUUUAGCAAAAAUAAAUUAUAAUUAGGCAACACUGCUUACUAUUUAAAAAAUUGUCAAAAUUACCCAAAAAAAAAGUUAAUAUUACAGUAAAACAUCAAAUGUCAUUUGUCCAUCUGGUUCUUUUGGUUUUUUUUGUCCCGCAGCAUCCGCAUGUAUAUUUACUAGUGAGAUCAUAAUGUGCAGAAAAAUGUAACGAUAUCCUAAAACAUUAAUAGAAAAGGAAGACAAAUUACGUAUUAAUUUUGAUGCUCAUCUGUAAUGAACUCCAAGUGCAUUACGCAUCAUGCCGUGAUUGUGAAGAUAGUCAUCGCCUUCACUAACUGAGAGCAGUAAGCUCAUGGUGGGUCAUUGCCUUCUCUUAGAUGUUGUCCUCCAUCCAAUUUUAUCAUUUGGCCACAUCCUCCGACAAGAAUCUCCCUCUAUCUUCCAAAAAAUAGACUAAAGGAGUGUUUUCAAAGCGUGCGAGGGAGAGGGGUUAGAGUAUGGUAGUUAAAUCUAAAGCUAGUUAUACAAUUAAGUGUUAAUAUCAUGAAAAAUCCUAAAUUGAUACAUCUAUGACAAAUUUACCUCAAAUUAACAUUUGUACCAUAACAAAUUUCAAACUGGUAUAUCUGUAACUAAUUUACCUUCCAUUAGUUUAUAUUAAAUAUUACUAUCAUAUUGCUAAGCUGGAUGACAUAUAAUAUGGCAGUUGACAUGUGUACCAAUUUGAGGUUUUAUCAUUCAUUUGUUACAUCUCUACUAGUUUAUAGUUUUUCAUAAAAUUAAUCUAAUUUAACAAAAAUUAACGGAGGGUAAAUGUCACAAAUGUAUCAGUUUGAAAUUUUUAGUAGUAAAAUUAGUUUAGAAUAAAUUUGUUAUAUAUACGUAUCAUUUGGGAUUUCUAAUAAUAAAAAAAUUAUUUUUUGGUAAAUUUAUCAUAGGUAUAUCAGUUUAGGGUUUUUUUGUAGUAUUAACCCUCAAUUAAAAAUGUUUUACAAUUAUGCUUAUUGUUCAUCAAUCUAAAAAUAUGACAAUAACAAUCAUUCUAUAAUAAAAUAGUGGUUUUUAACGACAUAAUUAAUGGUAUUUUUAAUUAUUAUCACGAAUUUUGAUAAGUUAACUGUGAUUUUAGGAUAAUUUUUUUUUCUAAAUGAAUUAUAAUGUGUAUUUGUAUAUUGUAUUAAAUUCAUUAGAAUCAAUAUCCCAUUCUAUUUUCACGAUACAUUUCUCAUAACAAAGCAAAAGAACCUUCACUGUAUCUAUCCUGUAAACUUAAUAAAUAGAAAGUUAUUUCAUUCCGUUUUCAUUGUACCAAACACAAAUUUAGUGGAAAUUGAAUAGGCUAUGGCUGAUUGGUGUGGCUUAGGCUUCGAACUUUGAAACUUUUAGAUGGAUAUCCAUUUGGUUUGUUUGUAGGAUGCCAUAGAUUAAAGACUAUGCGUGCGUUGUGUGUGACAUCCUGAAAUUUGAUCAUGUUUCGAUAAAGUAAAAUGGGCAUUUCGUCAACGUGCUUAUGGUCAUUUUUCUCUAAGCUAAUCACUCACGAGUUAAUUAACCUAUUGGGUGAAACCGUUAAGGGAUAUAAAUCCCUAAAAACUACUUAAUUAGUUGAAUUUGGCUAAAAUCACGUCUGAUUGAUUCUACCCAUGAAAUUUAAUUUGGUUCAGAAAUCAAAUAUUUGAGUGUGUCCCAAUUCAUUUUUAGGAUCCUGUCUCAUCGUCCGUCAAUUUAUUGCCGAAUCCGAAUUCGGGAAAGAAAUUAUCAGAGGAAAAAUUGAAGCCCGAAAUAAAUUAAAAAGUGAAAGAGAAAUGGAAAAUAAUAAUGGUAAUAAGAAUAAAUAAAUAAUUUAUUAUUUUUAUUAUUUUCUUUUCUUUUUUCUCUUUCUCUCUCUCUCCCCUCUCCCCUCCCCCUCGUGCGAGAAACCCCCCCCCCCCCCCAACCGACCGACUGCCCUCUCCUCUUAGCUGUCUCCCUCUUUGUUUUUCAUUUCUUUGACUUUUCAAACAUCUUCUCUCUCUCCUCUUUCUUCUCCCCCACUCCCCCACGUGACCGAAUCCCCCUCCCUUCUUCUCCUUCGUGCGAACCAGAAGCUGAAGAAGAACGGAAGCAGCAGCUCGCUGAGACAGCAGCCAACCGUCGUCGCCGCCCACACACCGCCGCAGCUCGCCGCCAGGCCGUUGUCCUGCCAUCCGCGCACGCCCCCGCGUCCGCCGCUCGCUGCCGUUCCUCCCCCGCGCGAUCCGGCCUCUGCUCAACCCCUGUUCCGCCCCGUCCGGCCAUCUCCGGCCACUGUUCGGACCCGCCGAAGCUUCCCGCGCCCUCCACCGACCUUGCCUCGCCACCCUAGCCACCGGACCAGCCUCGGCCAGCCUAGAACAGCAACCCAGCGAGUGGGUUUCCAGCUGGUUCGGGCUCGCUUUUGAGCCGUUUCCGGGCCCUGAACCCUAGCUGUGCUUUGAGGUUUAUCGUUCCUCGCGUCAUCCCCGUCGGAUUGAUCCGACUUGCGCGCAAUUCCAAUGAGUAACCUCACUAAUCCUUGCUUAGUGGGUUAAUUAUACUUCAUGAUUGUUUAGUUUUAAUUAAUUAGGUUUAGGUGGUUAGAUUAGUAUUUAUUAGUUAAUUGUGAUGCAAAUUAGACAAAUUGAAUGUGUAUUUAGCAAAUAGAUAUGGUCUACUAUUUAUUAAGGGUAGCUCGGGAUUUUUCUAACCCUUUAUCGGGCUUCAAUUUGACAAUUCGGGCCUAAGUGGAAUUUUUUAUAUUUAAAUAUUAUUUUUCGGAAUUAAAUUAAUUAAUUAUUUUUUCCGAAAAUUCAAUUGGGAUGGCAAUGACCAGAAUAUUAUGUUGAUGACCAUGGUGAAGUCUGUUUAUUUAAUCAGGCUUUAUUUUGAGCUAAAUUGAAAUUUUAAUAUUAAUUAUUUAAUUUUCGAAAUUAAUUAAUUAUUUAUUUAUUUUUAGGAAAUUAAGGUUGAGAUGGUCGACGACCGAAAUCUGGUGCUGAUUGUCGUGACGGAGUCCAUUUAUUUAUUUGAGCUCUAAGUUGCAUGGAAUUAAAUAAAUUGUGAUAUUUUAGGCAUUUACCCUAAAUUGACUAGAAUUGAUUGAGAUUGAAUUAUUGAUUGGUAAAUGACCAAGUAUGUUUAUUCAGCAUUUAUAAUGCUUUGUUGAGUUGUAAAGUGAGUAGAAUGGUGAGAGUGAAUCAAAAGUAUUUUGGGCUUGGACCGAUCAGGUACGGUGUAUGGGCUUACGUGGUUCGGUGACUAAGGAUGUCACUGACGAAAACAACGCCUUAAAGAAUGCACGUACCGGUCUAGUGUGGCACCCCGAACCACCUUAGGUCGCCAUAGGCACCUAGUGCUACACCUAAUCACAUCUCUUUGAAAAAGCAUCGUAAAUCGUAGGCAUUUUUUUUUUUUUUGAAAACGGUUCCAACGUGACUCAUUAGCGGAAGCAAAAUAUAAUAUCGCCACCUCACCCUCCAUCAACCAUGAUACAAUUGCACACCACUAAACAUCAUAAUAAAAGACAAAGCCAUGACACUUUAUUUACAUAUUUUUCAAGAUGGGUUCCCUUGGGUCAGUACAUCAAAGGAAAGGCCAGGACAUGAAGCCACACUUGGCCAUAAACCCAAAAAGAAACACUCGACCCACUAUGACUCACGUGUAAGAUCCCCCAUCACUAGUGUUGGCUAAUCAUCCCAAAUUAGUUUCAGCUCCUAUUUCUCACGCACGGGCCCUCACACCCAUCUCGGUGCAUCAGGUAGUGGCGGCGGCAACAUCCCACGCAUCACUCCGUCUCGACGAACAUGGACGGAUAUGAACUCCUGGAUGACCGGGCCCCCAGCCCACAUCGUACAUCACUAAGGCGCGCAGUCGAAUAUACGUAAGACCAGGGACUGUGGGACGGUUAAUCUCCACGCACUCGACCUCUACAUCCGAAGGAAGGCCGUAAAAUACACCCCACGUGACAGCAGGGAGCGGCAUGCUGCUAAUCUGAAAUGUUGGUCUCCGAAGGGGUGAGUACAAUUACUCAGCAGAUAAAUGACUAAUAAACCACUCAAUACAUCAUACCAUGCAACUAUCACAAUCAUAGCAUCACAUGUCAUACAAGCAUCCAUGCACAGCUUACCUUUGUAUCAUGCACAUGUCAUCAUCAUCUUUACCAUGCAUCCUUGCAUAUAACAUCAUCAUCAUAUCACAUGUACCAUCAUCAUUACCAUGCAUCCAUACAUCAUCAUCAUAUCACACGUACCAUCAUCAUUACUAUGCAUCCAUACAUGUAACAUCAUUAUCAUAUCACAUGUACCAUCAUCAUGUCAUGCAUCCAUGCAUGUAACAUCAUCAUAAUGUCAUGAAUAUAUCAUCAUGCAUAAUUUGAUUUCAAUUUCAUCUUGGACCGCCACAUUUCUCUUUCCCGGGACCGAUGUUUGCAUCCCAUAUGUACCCAAGAUACAAUCAGACCAUCCGGCUCCCCUACUCUCCGGCCAUCUCGUACCCCAACUGGCAUCACGAGGACCCUCCGGCAUUCAGUCAUUCAAGGCCACCGGGCAACCGGCCGUACCCUUCUAGCCAGGCAUCUCACACCCAAACUAGCAUCGCGAGGUAUCCCUCGGCACAAUGCCUGCCGAGCUUCCGGCUCCCCCACUCUCCGAGCAUCUCGACACCUCUUGGUAAUCCCGAGGCCCUCCGGUAUCCGGCCAUUCAUGACCAAUGGGCAACCAGCCGUACCCUUCUAGCCAGGCAUCCCGACACUUUCGGGGCAUCGUCGGCUCACACCUCCGACGGCCUUCUCAUUUGUCUCAAUUCUCAUCUUCAAUUAUAGUUCAAUUUUAACAUGGCAUGUGAUGUGAUGGUAACCAAGAUCAUAUUCAUCAUUGAAUUCAUACAUGCAUCUCAAAUCAUUAUCAUACAUGCAACAAGACACUAUCAUCCAAUCGAUACAAUUCAUGGAGUCCAUGCAAUUUAAAAUGGUCCUAUUUCAUGCCUUUUACAGAAUUCCAGCAUGUACCAUUUUUAGAAAAUAUUUAAAUUAAGUAUCCAUAUACUUCUCAAAAAUCAUUAAAUCAAGGCAUGUGAUAGAAAAGAAAAUAAGAUAAUAAUUUCAUGAAAAACACAUGCCCAAUAGAGUUCCACACAAAAGAUAUAAUUCACACAAAUACAGCAUGCAAUUUCGGAUAGAAACAGAAUGUGCAGUUUUCGAAAUAAUUCGAUUAAAAUACCCGAACGAACUCGAAAAUUAUGAAAUUUUACCAGGUUGUAGUUAAGACACUAAAGUAGAUUUUUCAUGAAGAAUUCUAGGCCAGAUUCGUUUUAGAUCAUUUUCUAUAGUCGUACGAAGCUUCUGGUUCUCGCACCGAAACGUCCAGUGUAGUCAUCUCCGAAAUACCGAGUUUUCACCCCUUUAUUCUUCUUAUUUUCCUCUGAAAUUUGGAUAUGUUUUACUUCAAGAGGUCCCCUAAAACUUUCAUUAAGAAAUCGAAGUCAAAUUUCCGAAGAAUAGUCACCAUAUGGGUCCAUGAAGUCUCGGGUGUCCUGUACCGCGUCUCCAGAUUUACCGUCUUCAAGAGUAAGUCGAUUCACUAGGCUACACUUGCUCAUUUUACUUCAAAUUUGAGUAUGUUAGUAUUUAUAAUGUUCUCUACAAGUUUCAUGAAGAAGUCGAAGAGAUAUUCUUGAUAAAAAUCGACAUGCAACCACAGAUCUACCAAAAGGUCAGCAAAAUCGUUCCAGAUCUAGUGUCUUUGUAGGAUGAGGUUUUGACCCCUUAAAUCUCCACCAUUUUGUCUCAAAUUUUAUUAUGUUGUAUUUUAAGAUGUGUUCUACAACUUUCAUGAAGAAAUAAAAGUCAAAAUCCAACCCGAAACAUGCAUGCAAGCUCUCACAAGAUUCUGGUUCAGGCGGUUCACACGAAAUCAGCAAGCAUACUCAAGAACAAGUCACAUUUUAGCUUCGGUUUUGCCUACCCUAACAUCCGAAACCUACCACCAACAAAUCACACAUGCAAGGCACACAUGCAAGAGUGGAAAUCAGUCCCAACUUGCCUCUAAGACUGAACGGAUGACAGCAAAAGGGACGGCACACCGGCGACGGACGGACGGCGUGCGGGCGGCGACGGGCGACUCCUCCUCCUCCUCGGUUCCUCUUCUCUCUCGCCACUCCCUCUCUCUCUCGAUUCUCUCUCUCUCUUUGGCCGAAUUCCAACCGGCCACUCUCUCUCUCUCUUUCCCUUUUAUUCCCCCAAAUCUUCAUCAUUGGCAAUGAUUACUUGCCACCCUUGAUAGCCAAUGCAUGAAGACCUCCUCUUGCCACUUGGCAUGCCACAUGCAAUGGGCUUGGGGACAUUUUGGGCUUGGAUUGGGCCGGCCUCCCUUGUGGCCGACGGCAGCCCAUUCGUGGGCUUCAAUGGGCCGGCCAACUUGGCCCAUUAAAGGUCCACUCUUGGGCCUAAGGCCCAACCUAAAUAGAAUCAGUUUUAAACCUCCUUUUUAAAUACUAAUUAAAUCUUAUUAAACUAAAAUACUAUAGGGUAAAAUUAAAUAACUAAACACUUAGAAUUACAAACCUAUGGAUUCUAAUUCACGAUGCGCAUGGUCAGAGAUAAGCCAUUCUCUUCCAAGAUCUAUCCAUUUAAACUCAGCCAUAGAUUUCAAUACAAGAUAUUAACUGAAGUACCCCUAAUUAGCUAGCAAAGAAUUUCAGGAUGCCACAUCUAGUACAUAUCCCAUCAUGGACAUAUGUGGUUCGGUGAUUUGGGAUAUCACUGGCGAAAACGACGCCUUAAAGAACGCACAUAGCUGUCUAUUGAAUACAUGAUUACAUGCAUGUGUGGUUUGGUGAUUAAGGACAUCACUGGCGAAAAUGGCACCUUAAAGAACGCACACAAUUGUCAGUUGAACAAAUCGUUGUAGGCAUGUGUGGUUCAGUGAUUUGGGAUAUCACUGGCGAAAAUGGUGCCUUAAAGAACGCAUGCAAUUGUCUAGUGGAUACGUCACCUUGGCGAACUUGUUGCCCGAGAGUAUUGAUGUGGCUCUGUGACCAAGUGCCCGAUGGGAGGUUAUAUGGUGUGGAAUCAAUAACCUAGAAUGGUUCGUCUGACAUGUAAUCGACUAGUUCGAUUGAUCAAUGAUUUGAUCAGAUUAUCGUGAUUUGAUUGAUUGUUCAUUAUGAUUUAUGAAGCGUUCGUAUAUAACCUUGAAUUGCAGGUUGAAUCUGAGGCCAAGCAAGGUAAGUCCUCUGACUCGUGUUGUGCUUAGGCAACCGAGUAGUGUAUAUCCCGGCUGUGGGACAACAUUUCAGGAUCCUGAUGAGGAGCUGAGGAGGAGGAAUUUGAGAAGGAUUUUUAGAAGAAGAAGAUAAUACCAAAAGGGAUCUUGAGUACGACUCGGAUAGACUGAGAUUCCAUCUUCUUUUGUGAACUCCAUUUUGAUGUGAAUAGAGUUAGAGUAAAAAGUUGUGAAGUACUCUGGUUUAUGUUUUGUAUAAAAGUUUGGUUAUAAAUUUCAAUAUGAAAAAUAUGGUCUUGCUUUUCUAUCUCAUCGGUUUACUGUCUAGAGAUUUAUAACUGCUUUCGCAUAUGCUUAAUAAAUGAAAGGGUCGGCGAUACAUAAUCCUAGGAUAUCGCAUUAUAAAAUUGACCAAUUGAGAAAAAUGUGUGUGUGCCCGAGGAUCGGAGCGUGACAUUGUGCGUCUCUAAAUCAAUUUGAAAAAAAAAAAGAAUUUAAUUUGCAAGGAAAAGUUUAAGGAUCCCAUCGUACAUUUUGCGGAAGUUUCAAGUUUACAGGUGUUUGGGUGUUCAUAUAUAUAUAUACCCAUCUAACAAUGGUCGGCAGGUUAAAAACUAAAAAGGUCCUUAUUGAGAUAGCUAGUAUAAGCACCUAGAGGGGGGUGAAUAUGUGUAUAAUAAUUUCUCGUGAUAAGUGAGCAAUACGAAAUAGACAAUAGAAAGUAAGUUCGCCUUUUUGUUAGCAAAAACGAAUUAUGAUCAAAGUAAAAAGAGUAAGGAAGAGAAAAUGAACACAUAGAUUAUAGUGGUUCGGCUUAUUCCAAGCCUACAUCCACUCUUCCGCACUGACAGCCCACUGGCUGGAUUUCACUAUGAACAAAAGAGUUGUUACAUCAAAGCUCUCCCUUGAUUCCACAGUGUAGAUACUCUACCACACCUGCUCAAGGUUUCUUAAAGAUAUAAACUCUCUUUUGCGUACAAGAUUUCACUCAACAAAUGAGUUUAACAAAGAACAAAGAGCUUCAGACUUUGGAAUUCUUCUAUUGCACACGCUCGAACAACUGGAACGUUGGCUCUUAUGCCAUCAUACCCGUUGGCACUUACCAAAGGAAUUCCUCCAAUCUACCCGUUGGACGGAAUCAAUUAGGAAGAUCAUUCGAGCUAUUAAAGAAACAUGUCGAUAGCCCAUCAAUCAUGCUCGGCCAUACAAUCAGGAUCUCGGUUUCCAUAAGUGGAACCUUCCAAGUAUACUUCGCCAAUCAUCGGAUCCUUAAUCUCCGAAUUAAUCAUGAUCAAAUAAAUGAUUUCGUUAUGUCAUAUCCAGCCAAGAGAUAUUCUCCAGUCGAUAAGGUCAAAUCCUUAAUGAAACACCCAGUUUUGGAUAGCCCUUUUUUGACAGAUUAGAAACUGUCAAUGAGAAUAGACUUUGAGUCUUGAGUCUGGCAGUCCGGAGGUCUUCAAACUUUAAAUAGUAGAGUCUGCAAAUCUUCAGACUAGACUGAUGGAAACGUUUUGUCAGCUUCAAAAUACUCCAGGAAGAUUUCUCCAACACUUAUGCAUAGGGGUGAGCAGUUCCUUAUUCCGGUUCGGUGUCGUCUGGAACUUGCAACCUACCAUUAGAUACAGGUUCCUCAUUUUUUUGAACCUAGAACCAACCCGUAAGAAUCAAGAACCUAGAACCUACCCCGUCACAGGUUCCAGGAUCAAUUCCAGGUUCCAACAGGUUCUUUUUUUCUUUUAUCUUUUUUUUUUUUCAUUUUCAGAUUUGAACUUUAACGAAGAAGGAUACCUUCAAUAAGCUGAAAUAAAAGGAUGUUAUAGACUCAACUUCAGGAUACUAGAUUACCUUUCAUCGAAGAUCUCAUACCUGUCCAACAUCACAUAAAUCUCCAGAAAGGAAAAAAUGGCCAAAGAAGAAUAUAUUCAAGCACAUCCCAUCUUUUGUAGUAAGUGGCGGGACCUGGAUGAGAAAACUACUUAUGCGAAGAAAUGGAAAACAAAAAUUGCCAAGGGACAAGGGCUUGAGAGCAGCAAAGGGAGACAGAGUGAGUGUUUCUCACCUACUUUCGCAGCAAACUCCAUCAAGAUGUCAAUUGCAGCUUUAUGCAAUUUCACGCCACCCUUGAUAAAUCUCUUUGAAUACUUUGUGAGCAACCCCCAAUCGUUUGUAUCGUUACAAAUGCUGCAAAAAUUUUCCAUGAAAAAAAGCUUUGGGUAUUUAUGCCAUAGUGCGAAUAGUAUGAGAUUUUUUGUGAUGUUUGCCCAAAAAAUUGAGCAUCAGAAGUGGAUGUGUCCACUUAAACAACUCAAAAUUGUUUUUGAUCAACGAAAACUAGCAAAUGGUGCCACUUGACCGAGAAAUUAAAGACAGCGGUCGAUGGGCCAAAAAAAUCGGAAUUUCUUGUCUUUAGCCUCAAACUGUAUCCGCAAUAGACUAUCUUCUCCGUGGUGUUGCUACCAAGAGUGGGUUGAACAAGAUUUCACGAGUAACAUUGAAACCCAGGAAAUCUUUCGUGGAAUCUUAUGGAAGUACAUCGAGAAACAGACGAAAAAAGAAGCUCCAUAACAGGAAAAAAAAAAAUCCGAGGAUCGAAUGAACCAACAAUGGAAACAAUUUCCUCUUGAUCAAGUGAAAAAAGAAAAAAAAAAAAAAAGGGAAACAAAACAGAGAAGAUGGCCACAUUUGGAAGCCAAUUCGAGGGCACCGCCGCUGCUUUCUCCGGCGGUGGUUUUACGCCCCCUCUCAGUCCACUGCACAGUUCAUCUAUCCCUCUUUGGUCUCUUCCACCGGAGUAAGUUGUGUCGCACGCAAUUGGGAAGAUGACAAUUUGUGCUAAUCAACACUCGUUAGUUGCUUUCCUGUCACGCCCCAAACCCCGGGCACGCAACAAUCCCUUCCUUAGUCGAUAGAAAGCGAUGUCCUAGGACUCAUCGCUACCCCUUUCAUUUUUAAUCUUUCAUUAUGCGCAAGCGGAAAAUAAUCAUUUCCACAUCAACAGAUAAUCAAGCAAUCAAAUAGGGAUAGUGAGAUGAAUAGCAGAAACACAACCUCUACUCAUAUAUAUACAUUUUUACAUUUUCAUAUUGGAUUAACUUAUGGAGGAUCAUUUCUAAUUUACAAGCCCAACAGAGGGGCCGAUCCAUCCUCUAAGCUAGACCAAAAAGAGACUAGUCUAGGCUAACCCAAUCCGUACACCAAAAAGAACUCUCGGGCUCGAUCCUACCGUCACUUGGAUCCAGAGGACUUAGACCCCGUCGAUUCAGAGUUGGAGCCACACAGGUCUGAUGCUGGUGAAGCGGGGCCAGGAUUUUCCCCACACUCGGCUUGCUUGGCAUUGUUGACUAUCGAAGUCGCAUCAUCCAAAGUCCGUCCUAGACAUUCUCGAUAAUUCGAAGUCCAAUCUUUAGUUCUUAUGCCAUGUCAAUUUCGCCCAAUGCCAUUUUGGGUACAACUCAGAUUGACGGGCGGCUUUGAGGAUUCACGCGUAACCGACUCGUGCCAAACCACGAUCAAGACAUCUCGACACAUGGACAUCAUUGACUACAUGGAGUUGCGGAUGAUAGAUUCUUAUUUCAAAGUACACGAUUACUGAUAAUUGAGAUAGGGUCGUUCACGGGCUCCAUAACAGUAAACGGAAUCACCCGUCAUUCCAUUAUGUUCUGUCCGCGAAUCGACUUCUAGUCAUCCUUGAAAUCAGCCUGCCUAUCUACAGGAUCGUCCUCACGCAAGUCUCACGGUCAAGUCGUUUUCCCAAGUUAAGUUCUUUAGUCGUACGAGUUCUAUCCUCAUUAGCCUUUCCCCUCAAGGUUAGUAUCUCAGGAGUGAUCAAUUCCGAGUGAGAUCAACCAACAAUGCAUUGGCAAAUUCACAUUCAUUUAUCCCAUAAAGAGCUCGAAUUUCAGGAUGUCACAUUCCCUCUUGAGUGUUGUGGUGGGGAUGGUAUAGAGAGUUGGGGUUUUUGAAGAACCAAAAUUUGAUCAAUGUAAUGCUAAUCAUAUGUAUGCAUGAGUUGCAUGGCAUUUCUAUCAUCAAGGGUUAGUAAAAGCGAAGUGGAAUUCUGCUGGGUAGUAUCUUUGGAGGAUGUCGAAAAAUGUAGCAUGAUUCAACGAUGGGAAUUCAGAUGAGUCAAUUUAUUCUCAUAUGAUACUAAGUGUAGCAUCAAUGCAUGAUUGGCAAUUUAGAUCCAUCAAUCCAUAUGCAAAUCACAUCACAUAGUUCAAGAAAAUGUUUCUGCUUCUUUGAUAAAUGGAUCUCAUAUGAAGCUGAGAUUGUCUUCACUACCCUGUCAAGCAGUGGUAGAAAUUUAUUCUCUCGCCUUUCUCAUGGUUUCGAAAUGGCAGUCAUUGAUGAGGCAUUGCAAGCCAAUCAGGUGGCAGUUCUUCCUUCCGUUUCUCUUGGUGCUGCUCGAUGUUUCUGUUUCUGUUUCAGCAAGCUGGAUUACGCAACAAUGUUGUUGUCUAUUCAGUAUAGGAUGCAUUAACAAAUCCAUGAUGUCCCUUCCAAUUACUGUUACCAAGAACACCUAAUCGAUAGUGAGACUGGUCAAGUAACAUGAUUAAAUAUGUUACAGAGAUCCAUUACUUAGACCUUAAUUUGUGAUAUUACAUAUGGUCGGGAAUCCCACCGAGGUGGUUCUGUCUCUUACCACACGAAGCCCAUGUUUACUCGGUAUAUAGGAGCAUCUAAGGUAUGGUUCAUCAGCCCUGUUGUAUACCUUUGUCUUUAUGGCCAACUCCGUGUCCUGUUCAUUUGUCACUUAUGAGGACAGACUGUGAUUGUUUUAGUGUAUUUUACUCUUACUAGGUAAUGAGAAACGCUAACCUUUGAUUCAGUCUGAUGACUGGGCUGCGCGGAGUGCUGAUGCUAAAGCCAAAAAUUGUUACGUGGACAUGGAUUCUGUCCCCAGAGAGUUCUUGAUACCUAAGGACUAACUCUUGCUCCCCUGCCAGGUAAGACUCCUUUAAACUUGAGGGGGUUGAGGUCAAGUGGGUCGAGGCAUAGAUUGACAGACAAGCACACAGAACCGAGGUCAGGGAUGGCGCCACGACGAGAACUUGCCAGCAUCUUUAAUCCCUAGGAAUGGAAAUUUUUGGCCUCUUAAGCCACCCGUGGAGAAUUCAUCGGAAGCUGUUGAUCAGAUGGUGACAGAUCCAAGGGUACCCUGGCAAUACGGCGCACAAAGAAGCAGCAGAGUUCCUCUGGACCAUUGUGGAAGAGAGACUACUAACUGCUCGUCCUCUCUGCAAUUUGAUCUUUGCCUUGUUUUUAUUACUGGCAUGUGACUGGUUCGAGUAAAAACGAGAGCUCGACUAGAGCUCAAGAGUUUCUUUUAUUCUUUCCACGUAGUGAUGAAUGCACAUAAGUCAACGCUAUCGAGAAUGCACAUAAAAGAGACUAUCGAGAAGAUGCAGCAUUUGGAUCACUUUAUUGUGUUUGUUGAUGUGCUAAGCAUGAAUUAUUUCGGCAAGACAUCGAAAGGGUUGUAUUCUCGGAAUUCUAUUUUUGCGCAAGGCUAGAUUCUUGAACAAAAACAGAUAUAGUACACUCCAAUGCCUCGGAACUCUAAACUUUGCUUGAAAUCUUAGCAAAGGUAUUAAAAGUAUUUUCUUUUAUAUGAAUAAAGGCAUGUUAGAAGGUUAUCAAUUAACUAGUUGAAGAAAACAAGAACACAUAUGGCUUGAGCUUUGCUCUCUACACUUAUGGACUUUUGCGACCAGUGUUCAGUUAAAAAAUAUUUGCAUCGUUUAGUUAAACUCUUCCUAGAAAUUUCUGUAACCACAACUAAAGUUUUCAAUUGACUUAUUCAGGAAAAUCAUUUUCACUGGUACGUAAAACCAAAGAUCUUAGUUGGUUGCACAAAUUCCUUACAUUCAAACAUACUAUCUAUGGGUGAGCACUAGUCCAAUUCCUAGUGAAUCAUUGAUAAUCGGUUCGGUUCUAGAUGCAGUCUAAAUCAUUCAGACCUGAUCAAUUUUUUUUUUUCCUUGAUGGUUCUCUGGAGAUUUGAAUUUGAAAGAUUUAUUGACGUAAACAAAUUUCUCCGUUAGAGAUAUGCAUCUAGAAAUUGUUGAGUACAAUUAGUUGCUUCCUCUUUAAAGGGACAUGCCGUUUUGGAGAAGCAACAACAAGAAGGAAAAAUGUUGGUUUCAACAUGGUAUAAGAUGUAAAAUCUAUUAAAGCGCAGCCGUUUUCUUGGAUUGACGAUGAUCAAUACAUGUUUAUAUCAUUAUAAAAAGGGCUCACAAGUGCAAGAAUCACCCUCUGAAAGUCAUUUAACUUAAAAGAGCAUAUAGAAUUCAUGGGUCAAACAUAUCUUUUAAUGAGACUUAAUCUUAAAUUAGUAUUUCUUUUGUUUGAUGACCAAUGAAAAUUUUUAUUUUAUGUUUACAAUUUUAUUAUUCUACGCAAUUAGACUCUCUCUAUUUCUCUCGAGAAAUUCAAUCCUUGGUGAGUGUUUCUUUUGAAGCCCAGUCCUAACGUCUUCAACUUUUUUUUGUUUCAUUUCUUUCUCCACUGUGGUUAUAUAGGAAAUGUUUUAUUCUGUUUAUAUCUAUAUUCGUAUAUAUCAAGGUAUACUUUGAGUGGGCAAAGUUGAUUAUGGUAGAUUGAUCCGUCAUGCAAUUGCGCGUGGAUUAUAGUUUUCUCUUACAAAGUGUGAUCAAUAAUUAUUAUGCUCAAAUAUGAUAUAUUUUGUGACCAAAGUUGAUUGUGAGCCGACUGAUCAAGAAAUAAAUCACAAUAACUUUUUAUUCCCUUUGUGUUCUAAAUGGCAUAAAAUGAUUCUCCCAUCAUAUUAGGUUUCAAUUUCUUGAAACUCGCUAUUUCCAUAAUAAAAUUGGCUGUGAACACAGCCAAAAUGUUUAAAGACAAAUAUAGAAUAGGGGUGUUAAAUGGACGGUUAUAAUAUAUAAUUUCUCUAUCAAAGAAAAAAGAAGAAGAAGACAUAUAUAGAAUAAAUUAUUACACGUUGUGAAAUGACGAAAUUAUCCAAUCAAUUAGUGAUAAAUAUAUCACACGCUCAACCUUCUCUGAAGAUGCUCAACCAUCGACCGACCACCCACGCCAUCAUCUCCGGCCUCUCUCGCUUCCCGUUCGCAGCCACAUGAACUACGCGGCGCGCGUUUUCUCUCGUGUUCCCACUCACCCACCACCAUUUUCUUCGACUUGGGAGUCGGGAUGAUGGGUUUCUUGGGGGUACUUCGAACGUGGGAAGGCUGAUCUCUAUCUACGCCCGCCAUAUGCCCGCACUUCCGCUGCACUAGUCGAGGCAUGGCGCUCGCUCUUCCUUUGCUUGGCCAACUUUGCCGCCGGGCGAUGAAGUUCGGGCGAGAUUGUGAUGCAUACGUGGUGGGUUCUCUGAUAAGCAUGUGCCGGAAGCAUUGGGCUGUGAGUGUUCCUCGCCGCCCGUUUGAUCAGAGUUCAAUGCAGGACGUGGUUUGCUGGACGAGCCUUAUCACUGGGUAUUGUAGCAUCGGCCUCAUGUAGGAAGCUUGGGGGCUGUUCGAUUCAGUGCCAGGGAAAAAUGAUGUUUCCUACAUUGCCUUGAUCUCUGGCUACGUUAGGAACGAGCAGUCAAAUUAAGUGGAUCUCUUUAGGCUAGCGUACUUAGCGCCGUGCUAUUGUGCCGUGCUAUUGUGGAAGCCUCUAAAGAAGGAAAAUGGGUUCAUAAGUACAUAGAUGAGAGUGGCAUCGUUUACGAACUUGGGCCAGGAAUGGCAUUGAUUAUUUUCUUGUCACAUGUGGUUUCGUCGGAUUCGCACAAAGAAGUGUUUGACAAAAUGCCUCUGAAAGAGGUUGACAACUUGGAGAGCGAUGAUGUUGGGGUUUGCUGUCAAUGUUGAGAAUGAAACUGGGCUGCAGUUUUUCUAUGAGAUGGAAAAUAGGGGCCCUAAACUAAAUGCUGUGACGUUUAUUGGAGGUCCAAUGGCCUGCAAUCGGCAGUGUCUAAUCAAUGGAGCAUGGCGCUUGUUCGGACGUGUAAGCAGAGGUUAUGGCACCGCUCCAACUAGUGAGCACUGUGGAUGCAUGGUUGACCUCUUGGCUUGGGCCAGACAAAUCAAAGAAUGAUCCAUAAGAAAAGUUCACUGCAGAAAGUAGCUACUGUUGUGCUUCAACUUUGGUAGAUUCAACUCUCUGUCUUUCCCCCUUUAUCUACUAGUUAGACACCAAAAGAAUGAUCCGUAAGAAUGACUUGUUGUUAAGUGGAUACUCAAGGGGUAAAUUGUGCACAUGAAAUGAUUAGAACUUGGGCAUAGUUGGGUUUGAAGGACCGUUGGACCAUAGCCUGGUGAUACACCUUGUGCCAUUGUUGUAUCGUCUCCAUACAUUCUUAUUGCCUUCUGUCAUUAAUUUUGCAUGUUAUCAUUCUUAUUUCAUAAUCUUGAUACACUCUCCGGAAAUUCUCUGAGUUUCUACACUGGGUAACUUGGAAUCUUUUUUGGUUUCUUUUCUAUAGUUUAUUGAUUCUAUAUCUGUUUUUCAUGCAGUGGUUAUGCAACGCGGAUAAAUCCUCUCAGGAGCCAUGGUUAAGAUUGAAGCUUCUCCCCUAGUAUUGGAUGAUAACUGGAUGAUUGUCCGAAAUAAUGGAAAAAAUUCUUCUUUUCUUCUUUUCUAUCUUGCACAACUUCUAGUCCCUAUUUGGCUGGCUAAAUAAUCAACAUUUGUCUCGAGUGUUUUUAGGGUAUUUUUUGGCUCGUCAUAUAAUUGCUUGGCAAGGGGCGAAACAAGCAGUUUUUAAAGUUUAUCCAAAAAGCAUAGCCCAGCAGAGUUGAUUCUGAGUUCUGCCAUGCGUGCUGGAUUCACUGGUGAUGUGGUGGAUGACUACCCGCACAGGUACCUAUAUUAUUACCAGAACUUAUGUCAGUGUUCAACAUUGAUGGAACGACAGAUGUUGUGCAUGUUUUGUAUAUUAUUCUGUUGGUUGGAAGUCAUCUGUUUAAGUUAAGUUUCCGAGAGCCGAAUAUGAGAGCUUUCAUUGGAGAUGAAAUGCCCUUUUUUGUAAUUAUUGAAAGUUGGUUAAAAAUCUUAUGCUUCUGGUGCCCUGGAAAGUCGUGCGGAUGGAAAUGCUUUAACGUUGUACAUAGUUUGUCGAGUAACUGAGCUCUUUUUGCAUAUGGGAUUCCCCUCCCUUGGUGCGCUUCAGUAAUAUUCUCUUUCACCUAUCUAAAAAUAAAUAAAUUUCUGAGAAAUAUCUGCAACAAUCUUAUUAAUUUAUUUCUAAUAUACACGACAGCUUAUAUAUGAGAUUAUCAAAUGUGCGCAUGCUGUAAGCCGUCUUUGCCCAUUUUCUUACGAAUGGGUCAUUGUUGCCUACCUAGGAUAACUAGCAAAACCGAGCUAAUAAAGUUGCGCAUAUUCUGUUUGUCGGUUUGCAUAAGAAUCUCUCUCUCUCUCUCUCUCUCUCUCCCUCUCUCCCUCCCUCUCGCCGCUCCCCGCUCGUUUGGUACUCUUAUGUGAACAUUCUUUUGUGAGUGUUCUCAUGUGAAUAUUGACUGGGAAAAUUUUCUUUUCGUUUUGCUCUCUUUCCAAAUAAUUGCUUUGUAUUUAAUACCGUAUGCCACGAAUCUUCACACAGCCAAGAGAAAAAAUUAGUUUUGUGUAAAUGUAUCACACGUGUACUAGUUUGAGAUUUUUCAGGAUAUCAACUCUAUAAAAGCAUUCCCAUCCCCCAUUCUUUGUUCGUUGCUCCUAUAAAUGUUGUGUGAUAUUAUCUCCUCGAGGAACUCUUGUUCCAACCUUUGAAAACUCGAAAGUGAACGUGCGAAGGCUAUCUCUCUAUCCUGAAGAGAGUCAGAAUUGACAAUAGUGAUCACCUUUGUUAAAAAGGUAACAUAAAUAUGCAUGUGUGCGUGGGUGAACUAAUGUCAAGACAUCCUAAUUUUGGAAAAAUCUAAUGUCAUCGCUUGUUAAUUUCUUCUGGGUUUACCGUAUCUUAUAAGCUUUUCAAAACUCAUCUCUUCUUUAUUAACUCUACCAUUCACCCAUGGAGGAUUUUGUGUCUUAGGUUAGCUCAUACAAAUGGUUGGUCGGGUCCGAUAAAAAAUGGUUCAAUCCAAGUUUAUUCAUUUAACAUGCAUUGCCUAAUUUAUGUGCAAUACAAUUCUAGCGACUUAUACAUAAACCGGACCCAACGUGUGUUGCCAAAACACAACCAUAUCUAUUCUAACUUAUGAAAAGCCAUACCCACUCAUUUAACCAAUUUUAAGCUUUUUAUGUGAAUUUAUUAUGUGGAUAUAAUUUUUUAUCAAAUUAAAAAAGAAUUUUAACAAAAUAAAAAGAUAUUACUUGCAGUCACUUGCCUCGUCCAACCCAGCUAACGCAAUCUAAGUGUCACGCCCCGAAUCUUGAGAGCGUGCACAACCCUCGGUGAUCGAUAGAAUUUCGCGACAUUCCUAGGACUCGUCGCCAACCUUUUUUUAUUUUAUUACACAUGCGAAAGCGUAUUAACUAAUCCCCUGACAACGACAAACAUGGGAUAGAAAAGCAGGACAACCAACUUCAAAUCAAAUACACUUUUAUAAAUACUUCAACCUUAUACAGAAGGUCUAUGUCAUAAAAAACUACUAAGCCACCUAUGCUCUUGACCCUUCCACUUCAAGCUCCUGGCUCUUCACACUAGGGACCUGAAAAUGGUUAUUCAAUAACCAGUAAGAUAUAAAUCUCAGCGAGUUCCACCCUUAAGCCUCGGUUAGUACACCAACUCAACUCAGGGUAUCUAUCUAGAACUACCCCACCACAAGCAACAACCAAUAGUCGAUUCGCAUACAACUUUACCUGGUAUGCCAUAUCCUACACGUUAUAAUUCAGUACGAUACACAUAAUGCACAUGGCCAUUAGAUGAUACAUUUCAUCAAUCACAUACAAGUCGCAUCACAAACGAUCUCACCUAGCCAUUGCCACACCCUGCAUGUUAUUGAUUCGUUCAUGCGUGCCAUAAAGAAUGUGCUUAACUCAUGCAUGACUGAAAUCGCAGAUGCCAUGAUUCUCAUGCGUUAUUGCACAUUAUCACAGUUCAGAAACACAAUGCAUAUACUCAAUGCAUACAACAAUUGAAACACCUUAUCCACUCGAUUAAUCAUAGGGGUCUGAACCCAAUCAAUCACAAGGGUCCCGAUUAUAAGGCCAAACCAUCUCAACCCUUACGCAUAUUCCAGUUACUAAUGACUUACCGGCCAUAGCUAACUUUCCAAUUGGUGCUCAUCUACCUCAACACUCAUGUGUUCUUUAGAUAAUAAUGACCUCUCGGCCAUGGCUAACUUCCCAGUCAGCACUCAUCCAACUCCCGCCGGGCUACCGAUAAAAAGAUCGGGCUUCGUCCCACCCCGUCGGGCACAGCUAUGUCUCGAACUCCCGUUCAUAUGGAUUCCCAAAAAGGGACAUUGAUCCAGAGUCUACUGCGACCGGCUUCCGACUCUCGUUGGGUAUCGCCCCCAAACUCCCGUUCGGUGGCGUUCCAAUUCAAUCUCGUGAGCACACCACUACAACUCCCUUUUUCUCAUGACAACGGUCCACUUCCACGAUCUCUUGGACAAUCUAUUUUCCCUUAUAUGUGGAAAAACAUACAAUUCAUGUAGAUGUUUAUGCAAUAACACAUCCAAUCACUUCAUAGAAUCAACACACAUGAAUUUUAGACAAUUUUCGCAUAUGGAUGAAUAGUGCAUGUGAACAGUACUCGGUGGACAGUAUUUUGUAAACAAUGUCGUGUGAACAGUAAAUUUUCAAAAUUUAAUAAAUACUAAAUUAGACUCAAAAAUUAAAACAAACACUAAUUAAAACAAACAAACAAUUAAUUAAGCAAAACAAGCUUAAUUAAACGCAUAAGCAUAAUUAAGCAAAUAAAGCAAGAUUAAGCCGAAAUAAUCUAAUCCAUCCCUCUAACCACCUAUCUUAGGGCUAAUACAACUUAAUUAAAUCACCUAAACCAGAAUUAAAUCUAACUAAACCAACCCUAAGCAAGUUUAGGCACUAAUUGAAGGAUUAUGAGUUAAACUCACCCGUUAAGUAGGCCGGAAACACCGACGUGGCGGUGACGACGGAGGCGACGCUCCGGGACCUCUACCACAAAGAUCCAAGGCGGUCCCAAGCUCAACACAGCAACCAUAGAUCGGACUUCCACUGAAAACACUGAAAAACAGCCCUGCCGGAGGGGAAACUAAGUUGAACGGCUUGGCCGGAGCUCCGACGAGGGGUUUGGUCGGCACCCGGCGGCACCAAGAGGUCUAGCGGAAGUGGCUGGUAGCUGGGCUAGGUGAAAGAAGGAUUGAAAUGGGAGAAAACGGGCCGAAAUUGCGAACCAGGAGGAAUUGGGCAGAACCGAGCGGUCUGGCGGCCGAUGGCUUCUUGCCGGAUUUUGGGACUAUCGGAGAAUCGUUUCGACGAGUGGUUGGAUGCUUCGAUGCGGUCUUGAAGUUUUCUUUGCAGUGGUGGGUGGAACGUAGUCUGAUUCUCACAGAAGGACAACUUUUAACUUGGAUCUUUGACAAAAGGUCAGCUGGAGCAAAACUGUUCCAGGUGAUCAGACUACCGCUAGCUUCUGGCUGGCCGACGGGUCAAACGGUGGCUCAGAUCAGCGAAUGGCCAAGACCCCCUGCAUGGUCUAGAUCUUCUGAAGACAAUGGUGGGUGGCACAAAGGCUGAUUCGUCCGGGAAGUCAACAAUAAACUCGGACUUUGGAGGAGGGUCUGCUGGAACAAAAACUAGAGGAAGAGGAAAACGAGGGAGAGGGAGCUUCGUUGAGAGAGAGCAGAAUGAGGGGAGAGAGAGAGUGAAGUGAGGGAUGUGAAGGCCUCAUCAAAGCCAUUUAAGGCUGGCUUCAAGUCCCCAUGCAUGACAUCAUCAUUAUCUCUCACGUAAAUCUCACGGUCAAGUCGUUUUCCCAGGUCGAGUCCUUUAGUCGUACGAGUUCUAUCCUCAUUAGCCUUUCCCCUCAAGGUCAGUAUCUCAGGAGUGAUCAAUUCCGAGUGAGAUCAAUCAACAAUCCAUUGACGAAAUUCACCUUCACUCAUCCCUUAGAGGGCUUGAAUUUCAGGAUGUCACACUAAGGGUGCGUAAAAGAGUGCACAAAUGUACAAUGAAUAAAAUUAAAGGGGUGAGGGUAAUGAGGUUUUAAUGUUUCAUGACUUAACGGAGAGGAGUACUGACAAAAAAAAAAAAAAACGAAGUGGAGUCGCUUUUGACCACCGCCAUGAGAAAAAAGAAUAUCUAAUGUUGCUGUUCUUUUAUGAUUGGGAUGAUAAUUGGGUGCUUACUUUAUGAUAUUUAUAUUUGCUUGUAAGUUUUACAGCUAUUCACUAACUUCAGCUAUUUGAUUGGUCUAAUCUAUAGCAAACGUACAAGGAUAUAUAAUGUUUAGCUUCAAGAAUUACUAUAGACUCAACAUUUACCUAAAAAUAAACGAAAUUAAAAAGAAAAAAGGCUACUGGUGCGCACAUAACAUGGAAAUUUUUUAAAAAUUAAUAAAAAAUUAUAAUAACUAAUUAUGAUUAAAUAAGAAGAAAGAAUUGUAUGCUUUGUUAUUCAUCACGUCAUCUUUUCCCACUAUGUCGUUGUUGAUCAUGUUAAUCUUAUUUAUUAGUUUACAAAUGACAUAGUUGUCAAAGAUUCCAGUUGUUAUAUGAGCCCAUCACAUGUGCUUUAAUGAAUACAAUGGUAGUAUCUCCACAUUAACGACAAACUAAACAGCUGCCUUGUUUUUACUGUGCUUUAAAAAUACAGUGGCAGCUAGGUGCAAUCCAACUUACCUAGUCGUCAUUGACGAUCGAUGAAUCAUUCUUUUAUUUCUAUUCACUUUUUUUUUUUCAUUCCAUUAGAAUACAUUUGCCUUAACUUUUGAAUUUCAAUAAAUUAUUUCUAGCAUUCUUCAACAAACAAAGAUCCAAAUUUAUGAAAAUCAUACAAUUUUAUAUGAUUAUAAUUGAACUUUUGUACAGUUGUUUGUAUAUUAUGAAAGAUUUGAGUUCACUAUUAAACAAAAUUUGAAUCUUGUUUGCUAAAAUUAAAAGAAAUUUUUUUUCCAGAGCGUCAACUUUUUGAAUCUGCAUUGAAAAAGAAGAAUCCUGAGCCUUCUCUACAGAAGCAAAAAUAAUUGCAGAGAAAAAUGCAGGAACGAAUUGAAUAUCUGAAAUGAGAACACCCGUCCAUGAUACAACGUGAAAUCCCAAUAUGCCUUCAACAUUGGCGGAACAAAAACAGUAAGGUAAUUAUGGUUCAUUUCAGCAACCCAUUUAUGACUCAUUUUUGGGAAAAGUAUUAAAAAAAAUUUCCUAAUUUAUUGUUUCGAAACCAAUUAGACAUGAGCAAAAGAACUGAAAUUGCCUGAACAUGACAAAAUUGGCCAAUUUUGAGCAGUUUUCAUGGAAACUAGUCUGGUUUCCAUUCUAGAUGUGAAACCAUCCAUCCGGAUAGAGCUAAGGUUAUAUAUAUAUAUAUAUAUUUUCGAAACCAAAAGCCUAUCUCUAUCUCUCCUUUCACUAGUAAUGACUUGCUACAGUCACAACUCCAGUCUCACAAACGAUCCAUCAAUCUCUCCUUUAGCUCUGCUUCGGCACUCUCUCUCUCCCUUUCAUUUUGAUUGCAUGAUGAGAAAGCUCGUUCUCUCAACUCUGAAUGCGAUCGUUCUCUGCAAUAUUUUUGUUUCAGAGUGUGAGCAGGAAGUGUCAAGGGAUUUGCGAUUCCAAGAAGCUCCUCCCGAGCUGUCGCUUUGUCAAAUUCGUUCCUCCGCUUCGUUUUCAGUCUCGUCCGGGUGCUUUCGUCAUUCUUAAGAUGGACGCCGCAAAAUUUCUGCUGUUUCCCUUGCUUCUUCGCUGUGUAGGAAGUGGCAAAAAUGGUUUCCUUUUGAAAAGUUGGGAGUAGAAGAAUGAUCGUCCCGAGAAAUCUAUUUGAUUGGAUUGUUUCUCAUAUUGUUAUGAUAACUCGACUUGGCAAGAGAACUCCCAAGGAGAAAAAAUAAUCUUGUUGUGUCUGUAGAGCUUCACUGAAGAAGCAUGUUGCUGCUCUGUCUGAGGUGAGACUUCAAAAAUGUACGUUUUUCACUUUACCAAUUUGCGCGGCCAUUUUUCCCAUUGCGGUAGAUAGGAUUUAUCUUGUGGGAACCGUGUUUUUACUCAAGCCGGAGAUUGUAGUCUUGCUUUCCCCAGUGUUGGAGAAUUUGUUUCUUGCCACUCAUGGACAUAGCCAAUUCCAUGGACCAACCUAAGAACCUAAUUAGAUUGGUGGAUCUUGGAAUCAAUGGGUGGUUUGGUUUCCAUUUUGUGGAACUAAUCUUUUGUGGGUGAUUCUCCACCCUUAAUAUCAAUUCAGUCAUAAACUUUUCAAUUGAACAAAUUUAAUUGUGAACUUUUAUAGAUUAGUACCAAUUUAGUCAAUCUAGCUAAUUUAGGCUGGAAUUUGCUAAUAUUGACACUACUCAUCUUGCGUGGCAUGAUAGGCACUAUCUUUUGCUUUCUUUUUUAGCUUUGCCUUUUAUUGUUGUCAGUGGUUAACCAUGGGUAAGGGUCGGCCUCACCAUGCCAUGCUUGGGUGAGGGCGAGGGUUGGCCUGCCAUAUCUGGCAAGGGGGGCCACGCCCUCGCCUAGGCAAGGCCCUGCGAGGUGCGGCAAGGUCACCUUUGCCUGGGCGAGAGUCAACCUCACUAUAUCUAGUUAGGGGACCUUGUGGGCGCUCACCCUCGCCUAUGGCCAGCCAUUGGCAAAAAAGAAUAAGGAAAACAAAAAACAAAGAAAAGGGAAAAAAAUUAAAAAAUAUUAUUAAAAAAAAUAUUCAUGUCAGCAUUGGUUGUGCCAUAUAUGACGGCCGACAUUCACAUUAAUGAAUUCUAGCUUAAAUUAGUAUGCACUAGGAGAUAUUCGACUCGUUCAAGAACUCUUACCUAGGAAGGUCUUGAAUUUCAACUAGAAUUUCAUGACGACUAGCAUUUACUUUCUUCAAAUGUUUCAUUUGAGAAAGAUCCAUUGUUUCCAUGGAAUUGUAAGAGUGAAUAUUCAACAUGUGCAAAAACUUGGAUCUAUCAAGGCCUCAAACUUUAAUAAGAUCAUCAUUUUCCUUUUAAAUAUUGACGGAGUGUCCAUUCCGUCUAAAUACACAAAGUCAUCAAGACCAGAUGAAUUUGUACACCCUGCUCUGUCCGGUGUUGUCGUUUCAUAUAUUUCAUAUGUUCACAUGAGGAAAUCAAGAGAUGCCUUCCAAUUUUUACUAAAGAUUUGAUUGUAAUUGACUAGAAAAAAAAAAAAAACUUUGGUCGUUGCCUUCUUGUGAUCCUCGAGGUAUGCUCCCUCGUGGCUUUAACAACUAACCCACUAUCGCUUCUUUUUGGAAAAGUAUUUACAUUAAAAUAUUCACUUUUAGGAGUCUUCCUCUACGGGUGCUUAAGGCCCAUUUGGUUCGGCUUUUGGGAAAUGUCUUUGGCCAAAUGCAAAUAUCUUUAGGAUAAAGGGAUUUUCGGGAAUGCUUGGCCGUUUGGCAUAUUACGCAUUGAAAAGUUGUUUGUGCGAAAAUACCGUUUGGCAAAAUUUAUUCCAAAUGGGCUUUUGCUUUUAAUUUUCUUUUUUCAAAAAUCUGAAAAUCAAAUCUGGCGGCCGGCGAUGCCGGACGGCCAAAUUUGGCCGUCCGGCUGCCUGAGGUCACAACCUCAAGCGAUGCCGUCGCCGCGACCUCAGGCGCCUGGAGGCGCAGAGGCUAGAUCUGGCCGUCUGGCGGCCAUAUCUGGCCUCCGGAUCGCCAGAUCUGGCAGCCUGAGGUCGCGCGGACCCAUCGCUUGAGGUUGUGACCUCAGGCGGACGUUGUCGCCGCCUGGGCCGUCCGCCAUCGCCGGCCGAGGUCGUAGAGGCUAGAUUUGGCCGCCGAACAGCCAGAUCUGGCGGCCUAAGGUCACGCGGAACCAGGCGACGCCGCUUGAGGUCCGCGCGACCUCAGGCAACACAGACCUCAGGUGGCGUCGCCUAGGUCGCGCGUCGCGGCACCCCCAGACAGUGGUCACCAGCGACGCGCGACCCUCAAGCGGCAGCGGCGGUGGCUACUGGAGAAGCUCGGUGGUUGGAAAGAAGAAGAAGACGACGGGAAAGAAAAAUGAUGAACAGUAGGCGUGGCAUUUCCCAAAUGCCGAAUGCCCAAUGCUGCCCCUCCCCAGCAUUGCGCAUUGAGCAUUUCGAAUGCUCAUACUUGGGCAAAGGAGCUUCCAAAAAAUUUGCCAAACACUAAAAUUUUCCCUCAAGGGGCUUUGGGGGUCCAAGGGGCUUAGGAAUGCCCAACCAAACACCCCCUUAGUCAUUGCCUUUCAGGCAUUAUCCGGUGGCGGUUUUAUCUUUGGUGCUGAAUGGAGUCAACCAACGUGCGCUGAUUUUAUUAUCACUCAUACACCGACAACUUGGUUAGCCGUGCUACGCAUGGGAAGAUCGUUUAACGUUUACAUUGUCGUCCUCUUUGGCCGCGACUUUGAUAAUAUAUCUAAAAGCAGGGGAAAAAAAGAAAGAAAAGAACGUUCUAGUUAUUUUUCCACUAUAAUUAUGUUACCAUUAUACUUGUUUCUACACCCAUGCCGUACACUAGAAAAAGACUUGUGAAAUAGAUUAUGAGAAAUAAUAAUUCUAGAAGUAUACAUGAUCAUUAUUAGAAUAAGAGAUAUUUGUAAUAACGAAAAAAAAAAAAGAAUUAUGUCUCACGAACUAAACAGGAUAGAAAUUGUAAUUCAAUUUAAGCGGAAAAAUAAGAGAAAACUUUGUGACAAAAAAAAGUGAAAAUAAAUGUCACUCGUGGAGAGUGCCGCAUGUCAGCCAUCCUUUGAAAGGGUUUUAGCACCCACUUCACAUUUAUCAGAAAAGAUAGAUUUAAUAUAUCUGAUUUAGAUUGAUAAUGUCACAUUUGAUUUUAUAAGCUUAACUAUAAGCUCUAAUAAAUUAUUCUCUUUUUUUUUUAUCAAGCACAAAAGUUUGCUUUUUAUUACUUAUGAAACUAAGUAAAGAAAAUAACAAUAAAUUUAAUUUCGGGAUGGUCAUGUUCUUAUUUAUUUUCUUCAACUUUUGGUCAUCUUAUUUGCUAAAUUAGACAACUUAUUGGUUUUGAUGGGUCUAAGGGCAUGUCGAACAGCGGGUAGUUUUGUGUUUUGCGUGAAAAUUUGGACUUUUUUACGAGACAUUUACACCACUAGUGAAAGCUGGGGGCUUUCUUUUUUAGGGAAAAGGCCUAUGCCAUAAAAGUCAUCUUUUAUUUUUCAAGGGAAAUAAUAUAUUCAUAAUAAAAAAAGUAUCUGAUCACAAUUUUUUCAAAAUUUCUAUUUUAAUAAGAAAUGUCGCUUUAAUGGUAUUAUCUUUACUUUUACUUUAUAGUGUAUUUUUCCCAUUAAUAUAAAGAAGAAUACUAAGUACAUUUCGUUCAAUUAAUCAAAUAAUUCAUGAUAUUCAAUUGCUAGAGCUGCAAAUUUUUCAUUCAUUGUUUGAAGUAUGUGCAAAUUUUCCAUGCAAUGAACUUUUUUAUUUUUAUUUUUAUUUUUUCAAAUCUGCAUUUCAGGAAAAGAAAAAGGAAAGAAUUUCUCUUACCGUCCAAUUAAUGAGAACGCAUAAAAUCAUCUUCCCGAUAAGAAUAUUUUAAUGUUAAUCUAUGUAUUGAGGUAAUAUGACUUCUAAAUUUUCUAACUAAUUAUUCUAAGGGCUAAUAUUGGCCUUUUUGAUCAGCAUAUAAGCAUUUCUAUUGAUUCCAGUGAUCAAUUUGAAAAGUGAUGAGUUGAGUAAUACAAUUAUCUAUAACAAAAUUUUAAUUUAUUCCACUCGUGUUGUGUGGGAUGAUGGACUUUUUGGCCACCGCCUACUGCCAAGACAAAUAAUUUUGUGAAAAAUCCAAAUGUGCGUUUUCCAAAUUCAUGUUUUUUGUCAUAGUAGCUUUUGGAGUCUCUUGCAAAUGCAGAUUUUCUAUGUCUCCCAUUUGCUUUAAAGCUCAUUCCCUUUGCGCGUUUUAUUUCAGUGCAGAAAAUGGAAGAGCAAAUCUUCCAAAUUCAUGUUGAUUGACGGAGAGCAGGUAAGCACCACGUGGGGGGUCAUUGCCUUCCCUUGGACCUUGACCUCCGCCCAAUGUUAUCAUUUGGCCCCAUCCUCCAACAAGAAUCUACCUCUAUCUUCCACAAAACUAAACUAAAGGAGUGUUUUUAAGGCGUGCGAGGGAGAGGGGUUAGAGUAUGAUAAUUAAAUUUAAAGUAGGUUAUACAAUUAAGGGUUAAUAUCAUGAAAAAUCCUAAAUUGAAACAUCCAUAACAAAUUUACCCCAAUUAGAUUUUUGUCCAUAAAAAAUUUCAAACCUGUACACUUUAAUUUACAUUAAAUUUUAUCAUCACAUUGCUGAGUUAAAUAACACGUGACAGUUGAUGGAUACCCUCCAUUUGUCAUAGAUCUACCAGUUUAUAUUUUUUUUUGUAGAAUUAAUCCAAUUUAACAUAAACUAAUGGAGGAUAAAUUUGCCACAAAUUGUACUAAUUUAAGAAUUUUAGUUAUCAAAAAAUUAGUUUGAGAUAAAUUUAUUGCAGGUGUACUAGUAUGAAAUUUUUCACGAUAUUAACAGUACAAUAAAAAAUGUUUUGCAACUAUUCUUAUCGUUCAUCAAUCUAAAAUUAUGACUAACAAUAAUUCUAUAUUAAAACAGUGGUUUUUAACAACUUAAUUGGUGAUAUAUUUAAUUAUUAUCAUGACUAUCAAUUUAUUAAUUGUGAUUUUGGAAUACAUUUUUGUAAAUGACUUAUAAUGUGUAUCUGUAUAUUUUAUUAAAUUCAUUAGAAUUAAUAUCCCAUUCUACUUACCACUGCCCGUGGUGGCCGCGUUGGCUAGAGCUCCUAUGAUCCUAAUGACAGGUGAGGAGUUCGAAACCCCCUAUCCCCAUUGCUCGACUCACCUACGGCUGGGUCUGUGGUGGCGGCUCAGUUCGCCCGGGUUUACCCCGCCGGCUGCCGGCUGUACGAGGUUCCCGGGUCAUAAAUAUAUAUAUAUAUAUAUAUAUAUAUAUAUAUAUAUAUAUAUAUAUCCCAUUCUACUUUCACAAUGCAUUUCCUAUAGUAAAGCAAAAGAACCCUCAUUGUAUUCAUCUUGUAAACUUACUGAAUAAAAAGUUAUCUCAUUCCUUUUUUAUUGUACCAAACACAAAUUUAGUGGAAAUUGUAUAGGUUAUAGUUGAUUGGUGUCGCUUAGUCUUCGAACUUUGAAACUUUUAAAUUGAUAUCCAUUCGGUAUGUUUGCUGGUGAUAAAAACUUGUGAUUCUGAUGGAUUAGCCCUUUCCCAAACUUGUCCAUUUGAUCUUUGGGUUCAAUAAGAGUCCGUUUAGUAACGCUUCUAUUUCAGAAAACAAUUUCUUUUCAGAAAUAGUUUUUUUUUCUAUUUCUAUUCUCGAGAACAAUUUCUCAAUAAAAGAACAUGUUAUACACAAUUUUUAUUCUCCUAAUGGAAAAAUAAUAGAAAUGUGUUUGGUACGAUUCACAAAAUUUUUUGUAAUGUAGAAUUCCUUUUAUUUAUUUUUCUUAUUUUUCCUUACCUCUGCCAACCGCCAAUUGUUGUUAGCCGAUGAUAGUCAGCGGCUGUCAGUCAGCUAGCCAGCGGGUGGCGGCGUCAGCAAUCAUCGGCAAUGGGCGGUGAUGAGGGCAAAGAGGGGUGGUGGCGGGCAAAUAAGAAGAAAAGAAGAAAAGAAGAAAAGAAAAGAGAAAAUAACUUAUUUCUAAAAAUUGUUUCCAAAAACAAGAAGCUACUUUUUUUUUACUUAUUGUUUUUAUUUUAAAUAUAUUCUCCGGCCACUUUUCUAUUUCGGGGAAUAGAAAAAUUAAUUGAUAUUAUCAAAUGGAUUUGUGUUUUUUUUUUUUUUUUGCUCCGGGGAACAAAAGAACAAAAAUUGAGAGAAAUAGAAACGUUACCAAAUAGGGCCUAAGCCUAACGGUAAUUCUUAUUUGUAUUAGAUAAGUUAGGUUAGAUCUAUCAUUAAUAACCAUUGAAUUUAUGAUUGUCACACGUAAGACACAUAUAAGUCUCACAGAUUCAAGGUUUGUAAUUGCUCCCGUAUUGCUGAUUUCGUUUUAGGGAAGAAAUAUUGAAAUUCUAAAGUGGCUGAGCAAGGUGAGUCACUUUGUUUUCUCCUUCCAAAAGGCCUCUGUCCUUUGGAAGUGACGAAGUGCUGAUUAGAUCCACUGUGCCUCUACGAGCAAAGAACUGAGAAAGGUUUCUUAUUUUAUGACAAAUCUAAUUGGUAUCUCAUCAAGAUCCCCUUCUUACCAUUCAUCACGAUCCAUAUACUCCCAAAUUUUAUAAUACCACAAAAAAUUGUCAAACUGAUAGACUCGAUUCAUAUUUAUUUUUGCAAUUCAAAAAUUAAUUUGGAAUAAAUAUGAUAUGGAUAAUACUAAUUUGGAAUUUUUUUUAAUGAUAUUAGCUCAAAAAAGUUCAAUUUUUAGUUUAUAUUUUUGGAAUAGCCAUGUAAGCGUCUUCAGAUCAACUAGGGAAAAAAAACAUUUAAUUCAAAGACUGGAUUAGUAAAGAAAAGUUUAAGGUCGCGGUCGUACAUUUUGCAAAAGUUUAAAGGUUAUUGGUGUUUUUUUCUUUUUAAAAUAUAUUUUGUUAUAAAUUUUUACAUCCGUCUCGCCGUGGUCCGCCGGUAAAAGAGGCCCUCGUACACCUACUCCCAUGGUAUGAAACUGGGAGGUGGAUCUUUGAAACAGAGAAGAAAGACAAAAACUGAGAGGAGGAGGCCCCCCAACACGGAAAUCAUUUUCAUUUUGGAAGUAGAUGGACAUCCAUAAUUCUCGCAACCGUAGAAAAGUUCCCUUGGAACCAAGAGAAAAAAAGAGUUAUGGUGUGUUUUUGAGCUUUUGGGGACCAGAUAUGUAAUGACUAAACUUUUAUAAGAAAUUUCAAAGUAAUCAUUACAGUCAAUUUUUAGAUGAAAUCCUGGCAUCGCCAGUUGUUAUAUGUGACAUAUCGGUGAUUUUUAGCAAAAGUUGACCAAAAGGGUUAUAUCAGAAUUUUGCGCAAAAUAUUUAGGGUUAAAUUGUGUAAAUUGAAAUUUUAUAAUUGAAUUAAUAUCCAUAUGAUAUGUUUAUAACUAAUUAGACAUUUUUUCCUAUAAGGUGGAUACAAGAAGUGAGCUAUGUUUGUAUUCUUUUGUGCCACUUGUACUUCUUUUUCUUAAUUUAGAUUUUUUUUCUUUCUUCAUUUUCAUUGUUAUCAUGUUUAUCUAAAAAAGAUGCAUCUAUUUUAUUUAUUCUCUAAAUAAAAAGCACUAUUUGUUAGUUGUCUAUAAUGUAUGUUCUAUUUUGAUGAAAUAAUUUGGUCUCUGGCUAUUGUUCAUGCUUCAACUCGACAUUAUGUGGUAGGUUUUCUUGUCUAUGAAAGAAAAAAUUAUAGAAAUCAUGAGUAGGUUUUUCUUGCCAUAAUUUAUGGUCAACAGCUAAUUAUACCAAGGCAAAGAUGGUAUUAUAUGUAAUAAUGUUUUAUGGAGCAUUUUCUUUUGCAUUUACAUGAUGAUAAUGGAUGUUUAGAAUUUUUUAUGUACUUAAUUUUAUCAUAUAUUUUAUUUUUUAAUAUAUAUUUCAAAACAUCAUGUAAUGUUGGCAUGAAAAAUAAUUACAAAUUAGACUAUUAAAUUCACUUAAUAAAAUGAAAGUAGAGCAAUUAAAAUACACAGACUACGCUGUAAUGAUCCAUAUUAAAGUUAAAUUAAAUGAAACACGUAGCAAAAUGAGUGCACGGUUUUUUUUACUCUUAUUUGUGCUUAGGUUAUUUUCAAAUAAGUAAUAUACACUCACUAGCAUAAUAAAUAAUUAACUAUCUACUAAAUAAACUAAUUUUUGGAAAAGAGGGACACCGAUUUUGAGCCACACGAAGUCGGGAGGAAUUUCGAGGACUCCGCGCGGAACCGGGCAACAGCGGCCGAGGCGGCGGUGCCGGUCACGCGCGCGGGUGGGACCCCGGAAAGAGCCGCCCACUCCCGUGGUAUGAAGUAGGGAGAUGGAUCUUUGAAAUGGAGAAGGAAGAGGGACGAUACUGAGAGAAGGCGGCCCCGACACGAAAACCACUUUCAUUUUGAAAGUAGGAGAUGGCUUUCGCCUUUCUUGCUCGGGCCGAUGUUGCUCCGGCAGAGGUUUUCGAUGUGUAUUUGAGCUUCAGAGGAUCGGACAGGGUCUUUGUGGAUCAUCUCUGCGGUAGCCUCGAAGAAGCGGGGAUCCGCGUGGUCUGGGAUCAGGAGGUAGAGGUUGUUCGCAAGCCAAUUCCGAUCGCCAUUCCGAUCCUGUCAGAGAACUAUCCGUGUAGCAGUUGGUGCCUCCGAGAGCUGGCUGAGAUUGUGGAGGACCACAAGACGAUGGGCAAGAUCAUCAUGCCCGUCUUCCUCAACAUCACGCCCUCGGUCGUGAAAAACAUAUCCCACGGUUACCGCGAGGCUAUCAACAAGCAUAGACGGAAAGGAGUCAAACCAGCAACCCUCCGGAAAUGGGAGGAAGCUCUCAUCCAUGUGGGAUCCAUCUCAGGGUUGGCGACUAAUCGGUGAGUGUAAUUGAGUAAGUUCGAUUGAGUAACGUAGCAUCUAAAUCCCAAGGUAGCGCUUACUUCAAUUUAAGUUAAUCUAAUUGGACUAAUGCCGCUAGGAGUAUCAAUACCUGAUGUAGCUCCCUCUGAUCUGGUACUGAAUGUGAUCCGUUUGUUUCUAUUCUUACUCCCAGCUUGCCACAUUACUUAGUGCUUUGGUUUUGUCGGUAAAUUUCAAUAUUCCUAGCGUUACGCAUCUAUUUAAAAGCACAUGACUCAGUUUUAGUAAAAGUAUGUACCACUAAUUGUGUGCCCUGUUUGUCUAAAGCUGAUUGCUGUAUGAUAGUUUUUGAAAGGAGAGCGCGAACUUCUUCUUGCAAAUUACUUCAGAGUUCAGACAUUGAUGGACUUACAUUAAUCUUUAUUCAUGUGCCUUGCGCACACGUGCACGCAUGAUACAGCUUAGGCACACGUGCUUUGAUCAUCAACACACUUGUCACAAAUGUGUUGAAGGUGUCGAAGGUGUUGAAGAGACACUUCGUUGGCAUGGAGCAUCGCGAGGAAACAGUUAUGAAAUUACUUAAUGUGGAAUCUAGUGAUGUUCAUGUAGUUGGAAUACAUGGCAUAGGGGGCACUGGGAAGACAACGAUUGCAAAGUUUGUCUACAAAAGAAUAUUUCAUCUCUUUGAUGGUUGUAGCUUUCUGGAGAGCUUUAGAGAAAAUGCCAAAAAACCAGGAGGCUUAGUUGAUUUGCAAUGUCAGUUGAUUUCUGACCUUCUAGGUGCAACGCAAAGACAAAUUCCUUCUGAGGACGGGAUUAAUUCCAUCAGAAGCAGAUUUUUCCACAAGAAAGUUCUCAUUGUAUUUGAUGAUAUCGAACCAGGCUUUGAACUUACUCCAAUUUUAGGAAGUCUUGAUUGGUUAGGCUCUGGAAGCAGGAUCAUAAUUACCACCAGAGCCGAACAAGCUUUGGAUAAGCUUGAAGUGAUCCUGAAAUAUAAGGUUGGGGGAAUGCAACGAGAUGAAGCCCUUACACUUUUCCACAUCCAUGCCUUCAGGGAGAAACCUGCUCUGAAUGAGUUUGUUUUUCUGUCCAAAGAAAUAGUAUCAACUAUUGACCAGCUUCCGUUGACUAUUGAGGUUGUUGGGUCAUAUCUAUUUUCUAGAGGUGCGGACGUAUGGAUACAAACCUUAUACGAGUUGGAAAAAGUACCUAAGCUACAAGUUGAACAGAAGUUGAUGGUAAUCAUCAAAGCAUUACCUGACAAGCUAAGACAGAUAUUUCUGGACAUUGCUUGUUUCUUCAUUGGAGAGGACAAAAGCGUUGCAUGCUCUCUGUGGUCUGGCCGUGAUUCUGCUAGUGGAUUGGAAUUACAAAUGCUCAUUCGCUUCUCCAUUGUUAAGAUUGAGAACAAUAAGCUGUGGAUGCAUGAUCAACUUCGAGACCUAGGUAGGGAUAUCGUCGAAGGGGAACAUCGUGAACCUAGAAACCGCAGCAGAUUGUGGUUACAAGAUGAAGCCUUGGAUGUGCUGACAAAUGAAAAAGUAAGAUACAAGUUCAUCACUGUUUUUACCUUACGAUUGCGUGCCUUACAAUUCAGUGAUCCUUUUUCAUAGAGGAAAGACACUUAGGGUGUGUUUGUUUCUUGGAAAAUGAAUGAUUUGGAAAACAUUUUCUUAAAAAUGAUCACUUAUAUUUCUUGAAAUAAUUAGUCAUCGAUAAUUAUUUCAUUAUUGAUAACAAUUUAUGUAUGCAUAUUUUCAAGGACGAUGAAAAUAUUUUUUGUUCAUUUGUCUUUGUAAGAGAUACAAGCGAUCAUUUUCAACGAAAUGUUUUCCAAAUCAUUCAUUGUUUGUAAAAUUAUUGGACUUUUAAUAAAAUGAUUUCUUUGGUUUGAAGUCUCUAAGCAUUUAUUAUCUUCACAUUAUUUUGUGGAGAAAUGCGAAGUCCCUUGGUAAUCCUAUAUUCCACAUGUAGGGAACGGACAACGUUCAAGGUGUUCUUCUCAAAUUUGACAGUAGGUCACAGUGCAGUUUUAAACCAGCACAUUUUGCAAGUAUGUCGAACAUAAGAUUCCUUAGAUUGGAUCAGGCUAACCUUGAAGGAAAGUUUGAGCAGUGUCUGUCAAGUUUAAGAUGGCUCCACUGGCGAGGUUGUCCUCGUAAUCUUUGUGCUGGAAAUUUGAAUUUGAAGAAAUUGGUUAUUCUAGAUCUUUCCUGGAGCAAGGUCAACGAAAAAUGGAAUGGUUGGAGAGAAAUCGAGGUAGGGAAGUUUAUUAUUUUUAAUCUCAUUUGUCAAAUUGUAGCAGAAAAGUUGACUCUUAUGUUAUUCUACUUUCUGACAGAAAGCCGAGAAAUUGAAAGUUCUAAACCUCACCGGUUGUGUUGACUUGAUCAGAACUCCAGACUUGUCUUAUUACAAAUGUUUAGAGAGACUGAUUCUUGAAAGGUGCAUUCGAUUGGUUGAAAUCAGUUCAUCGAUAAAAAGUCUGGAGAGGUUGGUUUCACUGAACUUGAGGUCUUGUACUGAACUCAAUAAGUUGCCUGAAGAGCUGGGUUCCCUCAUAUCCUUGGAAGAGAUUCUUAUAGAUGAAACUGCUGUUCAAGAAAUUCCUGUCUCCAUCGAUCAUUUGCAAAAGCUUAGAAUAUUUAGUGCCUGCAACUGUCUUUCAUUGAUCCAGCUACCCGAUUCAAUUAGUCAUGUGAAAUCUCUGAGAGUCUUCACACUGAAUGGUACCAAAAUAACUGAACUUCCCCUGUCUAAAGAGUUAGAAGUGCUACGGCACUUGUCAAUAAAUCAUUGUAGGUCAAUAUUGAAGUUACCAACGUCCUUGGGGAGUUUGGCUUCAUUGAUCAAACUUGAUUUAUCAAGCACUGGAAUUGUCGAAUUACCUAAUACUGUCAAUAAGUUAAAUCUUUUAGAAGUGCUCAAAAUUGAUUUUACUUUUGUACGAGAGCUGCCUGGUGCUAUAUGGAAGUUGAAGAGGCUUGAAGAGCUGCAUGCUUCAAGAUGUCGGAGUUUGGUUGGGGAAAUUCCUAGAGAUAUUGAGAAGCUUUCAAGAUUGAGGGUCUUGAGGCUUGGAUACUCUCGGAUUCGUGGCCUACCAGAUAGCAUUUCUAGACUUCCCAAUUUGCAAACGCUUGAUCUGCUUCAUUGUGACAAGCUCCAUAGAGUGCCCAACCUUCCUUCCAGUUUAAUAAGCUUAUCUGUCAGUUCUAAAUUGAUGGAUACAAUCCCAGACAUCAGUAGCCUGGUUAAGUUGGGAGAGUUAUUCUUUGCUGAUGGAUCCCAGGAACUGGUGUUUCCUAACCAAGGUCAAGUUGAGGCCACAGGAUGCACUUAUUUGGAGCUCCGAAGUUUGUCAGAGCUAAAGAUAUUGCAGUUAUCUCUGUUAAAGAUCCAAAUACUACCUGUUGGGUUGCAUCUCCUUUGUAAGCUCACAAAGCUCUCCCUUUGCUGCAUUCACUUGACAAGGCUACCACAGCUUCCUCCAGGUUUAUUCACUCUCUCACUUCGUCAGUACAAAUCACGGAUAGUAUUGCCAAAUCUUUCAUAUUUGGAGCUCCUGUCAGAAUUCGAGCUUUUCGACUGUGCUGUUACCGAAGUUGCAGGCCUUGGGCAGUUCAAAUCCUUGCAAAUUUUCAGAAUAUCUCACUGCAAACUGCAACAGCUGGAUGAGCUGGAGAACUUGAUAUUUUUAGCAUCAUUGAAUGUUUCGUACUGUCAAAGUCUUGAGAGACUGCCCGAUCUAUCAAAACUGAAGAAGUUGAAAGAUAUUAAAAUCAAGGGCUGUCCGAAGAUUCGUGAUAUUAAAAGUGUGGAACACCUGCAUUCCUUUGAGAAGCCAAGUAGUGCCAUAAUUGAGACAGAAAGCUCAUCCGAGGUAACCAACACUAUGAUUUUCCCUCUGGACCACAUAGAUGGAGGUUGGCACUUGAUUAGCACGUAUCAUGUUUGGAAUUUUUACUAAGAUGAAUGAAUUUCUUAAUAAUGAAAAAAGUGCAUGACAUGAUGAAUUACGAGGGACGGGACAUUUUCUCCCAUUAACACAUGCAUAAUAAUUUUUCAAAUGAAAUUUGAGUCAUCAAGACUUUGUAUUUCUUUCAUCUUUUUUACUUGAAAGAUGGGUCCAAAUUUGUAAGGACUCCACUUCUUUGAAAGAGCAUUUUACUUUUUCUUGUAUUUUUCUGCGAUAUACAACCAAAGAACUUCUAUUUAUGCCAAUUAGUUUAAUCAUGCUUUUGGGAGGUGUUGUUAUGUAUUCAAUCCAGAGCAUUGAACGUUGUAUUGGUAUCUUAAAUCUUUGAUGUGUUGCAGAAAAGCGCUGGCUUCUGUACUAGUAUGUUAAAUUUUUUAUGGGGUGCUUCCGUAAUAUUCAAGAUCUUAAUCCAAAGUACUUUUAAUAAAUUGGGAUGAGUAGCUCAUAGAAGGUAUUCCAUUCUUCAAACUUUUCUCUUUUAAUUCAGACUUGUUUGAUGAGCUACCCUUCCAAGGAUAUAGUCUGAUCAAUACCGUCAAUGAAAUCUCAAAACUCAUUUAGUCUCUUUUCACAUUCAGUCAGUUUGAAUCUAAGCAUCAGUCUUUAUAACCGUUUGACACAUGGUAGAAGUCUUAUUUGAUGCACUGAAACAUGCUUACACAGGUUUUGUCACAGGUGGAGUUUAGCAAACCAGCUAAUACCAAACAUUCUUCCAUUCAGGGUGUCAAAUGCAAGGAUAAAGGUAUGCUGUACAUUGAGAUUGUCAAAUCUGAGUUGUCCUGUAAGAUUUAAGUAUGAUUUCAACCUUGCAAUGUAGAACGCUGAAAGAGGUCAUGGCUAGAAAGCUGCCAGACCAUAAGGAUAGGCAGUCAAAGGAUUAUUUCAAGCUAUGCCAUAAUGUUGGAACUGAUUAGACCUUAGACUAAUUUUUUGGGCCAAAUAGAAAAUUUUACUCCUUAUUUAAUGCUCCUCUUCCUCCUAAAGCAGAAGCAAAAUCUUCCGAUUCUGUCAAGUCAAUAACUGAAACUAUGGGCACUUCUUCGGACUUGCAAAAUUCUCCCCCUGUUGCAGAUUCAUCAACCACGUGGCAUAGAGUGAAGGUAAACUACGGACGUCUUGCUUUCUAUCUCACUCCAUCAAUGAAUAAUUCUGUAUUUCUUUCAGGCUGUUGCUUCCAAAUUCAGCUGUCAGAUGAUUUCCAGAACCAAGCCAACACACUCUUUUCCACAUUAAUCAAACUUAAGUGUUGAACCAGAUACGAUGGACAGAAACUACUAGCAUCUCGCCAUCAACAGAGCAAGAAGAUGUGCCACUUGACAGGGCAUCAACUAUCCCUUCUUUGGCAACAAUUGGUUCUGCUGUGCCUCCUCCUGCUGCUCAACCAUAGUCAUAAUCAGCAAUGGACAAAGAUAAUGCCCCUAUAAUUGUCGAGGCAGAUUUACGUGGUGGCGGAGAGGAAUCUCUUUUCUCAAAGAUCGAGUCUCUGUUGAGUGGUGACUCAGGAGAGCAAAAUACUGGGACAGAGAUGUCACAAGCAAGUCAUUUUGAUCUUCAAGCAUACCAGAACGCAUCGCAAGAGUUGGAAAUUAUAAUGAGUCAGGGCCUCCAGGCAAUCAUGUUUAAUCCCAAGCUACUUGGUCAAUUGCAAGAAUUACUGAAAUUGUCAGUCGAACAAAAUGCACCAGAGGUCUCUACUAUUGGACAUCAAUGUGUCUCAUCUCAAAUUGCAGAACUUUAUUCAGACUCAGGUGACUCCCUCUCUUGCCAAUAAAAGAUCCUCAUUGAAUGUGAGACGUUAGAGAGGGAGCUCAAAAUGGAAAAGUAUCUUUUUGGCUUCUGACAAGGAUGAAGUUCGUUUGAUCAAGAAACAAUGUGAAGAGAAAGCUAAGAGUGUGGCUGACAAUGAGCGAGUUAUGACCCAACUUCAAGCAGAGAUUGAGGCACACACGCAGACAGUUGAGAACGCAAAGUCAGAAAUAUCAUAUCUGUCGACAAUGAGAUGAGAGAAAGUUAAAGAACUGAAGAAUUAAGUACGAGCAGGUCCUCAGUAUGAAGAGAGAGAAUCCAAGCAUGGAAAAGAAGAGCAAUGAAGCUCAGGAAAUGAUUGACAAAAUCAUUGUAGAGUGGAAUGAAUUGUAUGCCGAUUUUAAAGGCGGAUUGGCCUCUAAAUAGGCUGGCACUUUUCACUUUCUUUCAUUUGAAUCUUCACGUAUCAAAAACUUUUCCAUUCUGGCAAAAUACACAGGUUUGGAGUUUCAGUCGUAGUUAUUUAUCAUUGCUGAAAGCGUGAAACAAAGUCUAUUGAAACAAAGAGAACGCUCACCUUGCAAACUCAGCAUGUCACUCGGCUUGGUCUGCAAUCUCCGAAGGCUCCCUGUAACUAGUCUUGCCAGAGGAAAGAUUGCUGGUCUCGGGAGGCAGCAGGCCAUGCAGAGUCCUCUAUGCAGCACUGUGCUUCUUGCUUUUCUUUGCCAUAGUCCUCUUUGGUAGAGAAGGCAGUCGCUGCGAUGAUAUCGGUGAAAUUAGCAUAAACGUAGAUAUUCCAUACGUGCUCUCCCACUGCGAAUUUCAGCAAAAUCCAGAUGUACCCAUGCACGCAAAGACGUGGUUUUGUCUAUGAUGCCUUGUUCUCCGGGGCAAACCUUAGCCGCCAUCCAAGUAUUUCAAGAGAAAUUCAUAACCCUGUCGAUAGAGUUGGCAACAGUGUAUCCAAGAUAUGAACAAUUUUAGGCUCCGAAGCACCAUAAUUUAAAAUAACGGAAAGACCACAUAGCAGGAAUUGAGACAUAGCAUCUAGGUUAGGACCUUAAUCUAAGUAGCGGGUAUACCUUAAGUACGCCUAGCACUAUGUUAAUUUAUAUUACGGGUUAUAUUCAUGUUAGCGUGACAAUCAAUCCAAGUAAUUAUUCGAGUUGAAAAAUUCUAGGUAUCAGGGGAUUCAAAAUUGGAAAAUUUCGGCGUUGAUAGAAUUUUAAGGUUGCUGAUAUUUCCUCUUUUUUUUUUUUUUUAUCUUGUUAAUAAAAAAUUGUGACCAAUAACUUGUUUAUCAUAUCACUCAUUAGUAAGUUAUCUUCGUUAUCAGAAUUAAUGUCCAUACAAAUGAAUAAAUUAUCAACUUGUUCUAAGGGUUGAUGUUGGCUCUUUAAUAGGAUACAUAUGCAUGUCUAUUGAUACUGAAAUUCGAAUUAUCAAUUUCAACAGUGAUGAAUAGAGUAAUACAAUUAUCUAUAGCAACAUAUUAGUUUAUUCCGUGCGUGUUGCGCACGGUAAUGGACUUUGGGCUUGUUUGUUAACACUUCAAAUAAUAUCUGAUUCUAUGCUUUUAUUUCUCGAAAUAAAAAUGGUUAAUACCCUGAAAAAUCCCAAACUGGUACACUUGUGACAAAUUUAUCCCAAACUAUUUUUUUGACCACCAAAAACCCCAAACUAGUAUACAUUUGACAAAUUUACCCAAAACUGGUACACUUGUGACAAAUUUACUCUCUGUUAGUUUUUGUUAAAUUUUACUAUUAAAUUAUUAAGUUAAAUAACACGUGACAAUUAACUGGUAUACUAAUUUGAGAUUUUAUGCUCCAUUUAUGACAGUUUACAAUUUUUGUGAUUUUUUUGUGAUAUUAAUCUAAUUUAACGGGGGGUAUAUUUGUCACAAAUUUACCAGUUUUGUAUUUUUUGCGGCCGAAUAGAUUAGUUUGGGGUAAAUUUGUCAUAAAUGUACCAGUUUAGGGUUUUUUUUAUAGUUAGUCGGGAUAAAUUUGUCACAGGUGUACCAAUUUGGAGUUUUUUAUGGUCAAAAAAAUAAUUUGGGGGUAAAUUUGUCACAGGUGUACCAGUUUGGGGUUUUUCAGGGUAUUAACCCAAAUAAAAAAAGAAUAGAAAUCCGUUUGUUAAAUUUUUUUGUUCCCGGGAGGAGAAAUUCCAAAUAAAGACCGAAAGCGCUCUCAUUUUCUUAAAUAAAAGCCUGAAGUAGACAUUCUUUUAAAUGAGAACAUGAAAUGGCUGAAUUGUUUCAAAUAAAGACUUGAAGUAGAACUUGUUUCAAAUAAAGGCCUAAAGUAACUAUAUCAGUUUCCAAAAAGGGAUUAAUCUCUUUAAACUGAAUGGCAUUUUUUUUUAAUUUUUCUUUUCUUUUCUUUUUGGGUUAAUACCCUAAAAAACCCCAAACUUGUACACUUGUGAUAAAUUUACUCCAAACUGACAACAAAAAACCCCAAAACUAAUACAUCUGUGAUUAGGCACGAGCUCUCGCAAGCCCAAACCUCACGUGACAUUAGAGGUAUUCAUAAGAAUUUCUAAAUAAGGAAUCACCAUUAGCUUAUUGAAGUCGGCUAGAAAUCAAGUGAGAUGUGGGAGUGUACCUUACUUUCUACGCAACCAAAUAAUCUAGGGUCGGGAACUUGAUUAUACUAAUUAAUCAAUUAGUACCAUUUCAGUACCUAAUCUUGUUCAUUUAAAAAAAAAAAAGAUUUUCGUCAGGCAAUUUGGAUUAACUUUAGACUAAUCCGUUAACAUAUGAGUUAAUCAUGUAGGUGUGCAAUAAUUAAAAUAACAAUUAGCAACCAAGGAAAGUAUUAAAUAAAUUGCAUGAGAGAGCAAAGAAUUAAUACUAUAGAGAAGACAAAUGCUAAGCCUAACUAGACUAAAGAGAAGCCAAACUCAAUGUAUCAAUAUUAUACAUUCAAAUGCAUUUAUUUAUAAGGACAAUCAAAACCCUAAGGUAAAGCCCUAAAGGCUUAGUCAAACUUAAGCAUAAUUCUAAAUUGAAAUACUUCCAUUUUUUAGGAGAAAAUAGCCCAAGAGAUUAAUUUUAACUUUUUUGAAGAUUUUUUUUAUUUUUGUUUUAUUUUAUUUUUACAUGGCCAUGUUAUGAGCCUCAAGACAUGAUCUCCAUGAAUUAGAACAAAGUCAAAUUCAAUUUCUUUCAAAAGGAUACUCCACUAGAACUAAACUACAUAGUCAGGUGAAACCAGGCCACAUCUAAUGCUAAAACUAAAAAAUUCAAUGAAGACCUAUUUACAAGCAUUUUCUUAUUUUUUUUAAUUUUUUUUAAUAUUUUCGAAUUUUUAAUUUAAUUUAAAAAAAUAUUUUUUUAAAAUAAAUUUUAAUUCUGGAAUCAGGGACUCGGGCUGCGACUCGUCUUACGAAGCUGGCCCCAAGGACUCAUUUAGGGCCUCCUGCAGCAAGCCCUCUCAAAUUCUAUAGCCCAUACUAAAACCUCCUUUCUUUCAAAAAUAAUCCUGGCCCAACUCGGAAAAACCAAAAAUAAAUCAAACCUAGCUCAACUUCAACAUUCAUUCCCACUCUCAUUAAACCUACGGUUUAUUAAGCUCAUCUUCAUAUCGCGUUCUCUCAUUAAACCUACGAUUUAUAACACGUGAAACCUGCCUAUACGUGUUGAAGAACAACCGGAAAUGGGUAACGCAAGCGCCUAGGCUGGCUUGGACAUAUCGUCAAACGUGUGGUGAGCAUGGACUGGGGGAAUGAUAUUAACCAUUUUUCAUGACUCGAACUCAACGCCAGACUCAAAGACCAACAAGUCUCGGCUUCUGAUUGGACCAAAACAUGGCGGAGCCGCAAGGGUUCACAGGGAUAAGCUUUUAAAACGAGGAGGUCCCUACUCGGCUUCGGAGACGGCGACGGGAGGGCGAGCUAAAGAUGAAUCAAGCAAUGGCCGACCGCCCCCACAAUGUUUCCGAGGCGAGAUCCUCGAGAGAAUGGAGGUUCGUACCAGAAAAAUGAAACUCGCCGGAGGUUUGAGUACAGGGGUGGUCAAGUCGGGACGGACUGCUCCCGACCCGCGGAUCACGCCGCCCGCCUGUCCCUCGCGAUCCCCUGCUCUCCUGUUGCUGCUGUCCUCUCUCCCUCCUUUUCUGCAGGUCGCACGCGGAGCUCCUUCGGUUCGGAGGAAGAAGACAAGCUGGGAUGGGCCGGGCCGAAGAAGACAAGCAUAAUGGUGUUAUACAUUAUGAACAUAGAGUUUUACCUCAUUUCGACAAAAUAAAUGUCACAUUUUUAUUGAGCUUGCUUGAAAGAUUCCAUCAUAGUAUGAUUAUGUGUUUAUUGUUAAUGUUUGACCUUGUUCGUAGAGUAUUAUUAGUUUUCAUCUUAUCAAUAAGAAGUAUUCCCCUUGAUUUUUAGGAUCGUUAAUUUUUGAGUUUAAAUCACUAUUAUUUUGUAUAGUAAGAUCGAUGAUUUGCUUAUGUAGAAUAUCAUGAAUAUGUUCUUGAGAAUAUGCUACUUUAUACACACAUUAUGUAGAUCUCAUAAUCGUGAGCCACAACAUGUCAAUCUACUUUAAGUUUUAUCACUUAAUUUAUUGUUGUCUAUUUUAUAUCAUAAAUAACUCUACUCUAAAAUUAAUUAGCAAAUAGUGUCUUUCGGUCAAAAGUUGCAAUCACUAAGUUAGUAGCAUGUUAACUCAUUGAGGUAUUUGUCCAUUUUAGCCCAUUUCAUAUCAAGCUUCCAAUUUUGUCCUUGUGGACACCUUUUGAAGAAGGUCACUCAUGUUGGUAGUACUCCCACUUGGGCAUGUUUAACUAUGGAGUUUGAAAACUAAGUAUUGCCAUUAGCUCAAAAGGUACCUCCGUAAACUAAUUUCAGUUUUCACAUAUAUAUAUUCUAGAACUCCUCUUCCCCUAUUUGGUGCAUAGUUUAGUUUAUUAUUGCUCCUUUCGCUAUUUUAGAAGCCUACUAGAAGCCACUUCUUGUCCACGCCCUCCAGCUCCAGUGACCAUUCUCCACUCUUGUUGAAUUGAGUCGUUACGAGCCUACUAGAGAGGGUCCCACACCGAUAUUGUAUUGUGACAUUGCUGGAUUAAACUCUCUAUUGUAUUAUUGACUUUGACCCAUCCAUAACUAAGCCUUAAUGUUUUGGCUUUUGGCAUAUAGGUGGAUAGUGCUUCCACCUGAGUAUGCUUAACUUUAGAGUUCUAAAUCUAAGGCGUUACUAUACGCCUUCGUGAAUUAAUUCCAAUAUUUACAUAUAUACUUUAAAAUUGUUCUCUACUUAUUUGGUGUACAAUUUGAUUCAUUUCUACCCCAAUCGCCAUUUUUGAAGUUCUUUGAUUGUCACGACCACUCCUCAUCGUUACAAUUCAUGAAAAUAAUGCGUCUUUCCAUCUAAUUUUAAAGGAUUAAGUGUGAGAAAAUAUUCAUCUUUGUUAUAUGUUAACUAGAAAAAAAAUAUAUCAUAAAUCCUUAAAAGGCACGUCUUUUCUCGUUAUAACUCAUCAAUACUUAGGCUGCGCACAAAAGGAGAAAGAGAAACGUGGAGACUCACGUGAGACCUUUCUGGUAAUCACUUAUUUGACCAAAAAGACUUUUUUUUUGUCAUAACAAAAAAGACUUACUAAAAGCCAAAAACUUUUGUUUUUCCUUAUCUCUCCUUGUGCCAGGCAGAUCACUCGAGAAUUGUUGACAAGAUCAUGCUUCAAGCUAAACAUAAUCAUUAAGAUCCAAGUAACAUUCACCAACCAACUUGAACAUGGCUACUUUGAAACGAAAAGUUACAUCUUAUUCUGUCAAAGAGAAAGCAGCCCUCAUGCAUUAAACUAGUCACAGCAAAAAUCUACGACCCUGACUGCUAGCGACAUCGGUUUCUGUCGCCCUAUAGACUAAUAAAAGCUUCGUAGGCCUCUUCGUCAUCAUAAUCCUUAAGACCACUUUCCAUUUCUCACGAUAUGAUCUCCUCUGCUUCGAAUGAAAAGCCCUUCAGAAUGUGUAAUGCUGCUGGAUGGAAUCGAUGUCCAGGCCUUUGAGCUUGACCACGGAUUCAACAUGGCCCUUCAGAGUGUAGCUUGCGAAGCCUGCAACAGCAGAUUCACUUUGUCUUACCAUCGCGUGUAGGACUUAAAUGGUGAAAAGGAAUUGCUAGCAGCGAAUGGUUUAAACUCUGUCUCGAGAGAGUAAGGCGCCUAAACUCAGUUAUAUACAGCACGGCCUUUGAACUUUAGUUAUUAGGCAAGCAAACAGGUACGGUAGCGAAGAAGGUGGAACUAUGUUUUUCAGUAAAUAACACCAUUUUCUUACGAGCGUUGAAGUAGGAGAAUCAAGGUGCUCACCUCGCAACCUCAGCUCGUCGCUUGGCUUGCUCUGCGAUCUCUAAAAGCUCCCGGUAGCUACUCUUGUCAGAGAAUAGGUUGCUGGUUUCAGGAGGCUGAAGGCCGUGCUGAGUCCUCUGUGCAGUUGCCCACUGAGCUUCUCGCUCUUCUUUGCUAUAGUCUUUUUUAGAAGUGAAGGCAGUCUGCGUCAUAAAAUUAGCCAAAAUUAAUGCAAUGUAGGGUUUUUCAUAAUACAUAAUCCAUGGUGGUGCCUCUUUCUUAGUGGAAAUACCUUGUUCUCCAAAAGGGAAUUCCAUGCUCUCCCGCUCAGAAUGUAGCGGAUCGCGAACUUAAGAAUAUCAAGCGGAACAUAUGUCACCAAACUGUAAAGCCAGAUGACACCAGCCCAACAGGAUAACUGUUCCUUUUAUCCUUGCGAAACCCCAAUUUGCAUAAACUGCUAUAAGUGUCGCAACCUGUCCAUGAAAAAUUUUGCAUCAGAGAAGCAAAUUGGUGAAUGGUGAUUAAGAUAUCAGUUGUCCAAACUAUUCUGAGGACUUUUAACCAUUGACCAUCAGUUAAAAGCUAAUAAAUCUUAGUUCUCACUUCAACGGGAUUCCAAUGAAAUUAGUCAAUAGAAAGUACCAUAGCAAACUUAUGCUCCCAGUAGAAAGUGAACAGACUAUGACUCGGAAAUUCUUACCAGCUGAGCAGCUACAAAUGCGCUAACCAAGAGAAGUCCCGGGAGGUAAGUACACUAUCAAUGCCAAAACAUGUGUACAACGCUCGCUUUGGUGCCAAAAGUUCUCGUCAGAUCACUUAAGUGCCAAAUCGAAGAAAAAAUGAUCACUUUGGUGCCACCGGCGAAAGAUUCCGACUAGAUUAAUUACGUGGCUUUUAUAUUUAAAAAAGAAAAAAAGUUGCGGUGGCUUUAAAAUGACGUCGUUUUCUAUCCUCCUCAAGAAACGACGUCAUUUUGCCGUUAUACGUGAACAUCCUCACAGAAAUGACGCCGUAUAGCUCAUAUGGGGAUUAAAAUUAGGGUUUCCCUUGCUUAGCGACCAUCAUUCGCUUGCAAUCCACCAUCGCUCGGCCCCCAUUGUAGUUGCUUGACCAGGUGAGCGAGGAGAGACAGAGAUUGUUGCUCAAGCAAGAAGUGGCAAGAAGAAUAGGAGGUGAGGGUGGAGGAGGAGGAGGAAGAAGAGGGGCCGAAGGUGCUACUGGUGCGCUGCAAGGGCGGAGGAGGAGGAGGAAGACAAGGGGUCGAAGGUGCUGCUGGUGUGCUACGAGGGCAGAGGAGAAGGAGGAAGAAGAGGAGUCAAAGGUGCCGCUGGUGCGCUGCUGCUACUGCGGGUGUGCUGCUGGUGCCGCUGCUAGUGUUGGUCUUCGAGGAAGAAGAAGACAACAUGCUUUCUCUCUCUCUUUCAAUUUGGGGAUUUAGGGUUUCAACUUAGGGGGAAAGACACCAAACAACGUCAUUCUGUGGUUUAUAUGCUAACUGUACUCUCCGGUGAGCUACAUCAGCUUAAAAAAAUUAAUAAAAAAGUGUCACGCUGGAUUUUUGGUCAAUCUGAUUGGAGUUGGCAUUAAAAUGAUCGUUUUACAAAUUUUUUGGCACUUACUUUUGGCACCAAAGUGAGUGCCGUACACAAGUUUUGGCACUGAUAGUGUACUUACCCCAAAUUCCCGAGCAUUCAAUAUAGGACCAGCCGGGCGAUCUGGUGACAAAGAUUAGAGCCUGGCUAACUAUACUCACUUGCAAGUAUAGAGCUGCCAUCAUUUCAUCGGGGCUAUAACGGAUUGAUUUUACACCAAACUUGUCCUGCACAUAGAAUUGGGUAGUGAUAUUUUAGUAUUUGUGGUUCCAAUAGUUCAACGAAAGGUAUAGACAAGAAAUAGAAGUAGAAAACCCAACCAGAAACAGAUACUUACUGAGAAAAAGUCGGUAUCUCUCAUGGCCUAGAAGAAAAUCACGGUCAUUAAUGCCAGGUAACCUCACAGAACAAACCAGUAGCAAAAAUUUCUUUCAACUUCCAGCUAUCUGGCUUUGGAGAUGGCUUCACUCGAUCUUUGGAGAUUGUCAUGAUCGUUCCUGAGAUUGGUAUAGAUAAUUAAUCAAACUGGUUCUUCUUGAUCAGCAUUUAUGAUGAGAACUGGGAGCAAAAGAAUGAAAAACUUUGGUCUUACCAUUGUUUAGGAUAGCAAUGAUCAAAACCAUAAAGGGCGCAAAGUCGAACUUCCAGAUCAAAGCAACGAGAAUAAAGCCAAACUGCAGAAGCAAAAUGAUGAAGACUUGUUGCAUGAAAUUUCAUGAGGGAAUAGUCUAUCUAUCUCGAGUCCACAUUUUAAGAUGAAGCACUUACCACAAUACGGAUUGUAAUGGAGACUGCAUAAAUCUGCAAAGAUCAGCCACCUUGGAGUAAGCUUGGAAUGCAGUUCAGCAUAUAAAAAGUUUUGGUGCAUAAUAAUCGGGUAAUGCAAUUGAAAUCACUGACCGUGUAGUUCUUCAUUCUUUGGAAUAUAGCCAGGCUGGUCAGCACAGCACUGACACUCAAUCCCGGUUCAGUGAGGACAAUGUCCAAGGCACUUCUGGCAGCAUCAGUGGCAUCAGCAACUGCAAUCCCGAUGUCUGCCUUCUUCAAAGCUGGGGCAUCAUUCACACCAUCUCCAGUCAUACCACAUAUGUGCUUCCUUUCCUGCAGCUUCUUUACGAUUUCGUACUUGCGUUCUGACAUGCACCAAUCAGAAUGUCAGAGCAUAGAAAUUACACAGUAACUAUUAAAAGAGGAUAUCACAAUCUCAUAAGGUUAAAAAAGUUAAUUGGUCGUGGUGGACACGGGUUGAGUGCUUUUUAGAAUCGAAAUAACGCUAAGAAUCAUGGAAAUAAACAGAGCUUACCAGGAAAUACUCCAGCAAAUCCAUCUGCCUUCUCAAUCAAUUCCUCCACAGGAAGUGCGGCAAUUGAAGCAUCUUUGUUUUGGCCAAGCAAUGAUGAAGAAGGAUACAUAUUUGUCCCCAUUCCAAGCCUCCUGCCAGUUUCCUUGGCAAUAGGAAGUUGAUCACCUGAAAAUAAAGGAGGACAAAAAUUACAACCAUAAGAGAAAGCAUUACUUAGUGACUGAUGGAGCUCUGUGAUGCCAGUUCUUACCAGUAAUCAUUUUCACAUUGACAACAAGAUUGAGGGACCUUCGGAUUGUUUCUGCACUAUCGUGCCUGGGAGGAUCGAAAAGAGGCAACAAACCUACAAACUGCCAAGGAGCACCAGGGCUAUCUUUUGUACUCUCAGGAAUUUCCUGAAAAUUGCAUGUAGGGGCAAGUAAAUGAACUGUUCCAUGGUCUUAGCAAUUAGAUAUGUGGAUCCCCAUAUUAGCACACCUAAUUUGCAACAGCUAAAGAUGUCCACGCUCAGCAAACUUGUCAAUCACUGCAUGAGCCUUCCUCCUAACAUCUUCCUUGCAUUGCAGAGGUUUAAUAGCUGUCCAUGGCAUGAGAAUUAGACAUAUCAUUCAUGGCAUUCAAGAAUCUACCAUAGCUGCAACUAUCAAGGAAAGUGAUUACAAGUACCUGCUCCGGAGCGCCUUUGCUUGCACGAUGCCAUUUCCUGUCUGAGUCAAUGUAUGUCAGAGCAGUCCUCUUAUCCACAGGGUUAAAUGGAAGGAAAUGGACCUCAUGGAUACCAGCUCAGGCCUGCCCAGAAGGAGAAACAUGACUAACAACCCAUACUAUUCAUGGUCCAACAAUUUUAGUAAGUCAUACACAUUCCAAAGCUGAUAGAUUUAAACUGGUAUGAGUCAUACCUCCUUUGGAUCUGCAAGCAUUCCAACAAUUGCAGCAUCAAUUGUAUCUUGAUUUUCAGUCCUAGAUGCCCUGGCUGCGAGAAGAAUGACAUGCUCCUGUUGGACGCCCUUUGCAAACACCUCGAUCAAGGUCCUAUCAACGGUUAGCUUAUUCAGGGUGAGGGUUCCAGUUUUGUCACUGCAAAGUACAUCCAUCCCCGCCAUUUCUUCAAUGGCGGUCAUUCUCUUGGUAAUGGCACCCUGCUGAGAGAGCCUGUGGGAUCCAAUAGCCAUAGUAACAGAUAAAACUAUAGGCAUUGCAAUCGGAAUCCCUCCAAUCAAAAGAACAAGCAAGUUGUCAAUCCCGUCCCUGUAUUUGCGGUGUUGUAUCGGGUACAUGACUAUGAUCUCUAUUAUUAUCCCGAUGGCAAUCAAGCAUAUGCAGAAGUUUCCAAUUGCAGUGAGAACUUUUUGGAAGUGACCGACCUGAUUGGUGCUGUCCACCAGAUGUGCAGCUUUGCCAAAGAAAGUAUGUACACCAGUAGCAAUAACCACCGCUUCUAUUUCGCCUUGCUGACGUUUUCAUUUUGUCUUGGGUAUGCGCUGCGCAUGGGGCACUGCAUGUUGGAAACAUCUUGAAGGAUCAACAUUGUUCUUUAUCAAUCAUGUAGCAGAUUUUUUGUUGCUUCAUAACUUAUCUAUUCUUCCAAUAAUAUCGAAGCACUAUAAACUAUUACCCUAACCUAUUUCGAAAUAUCUUUUUCUUUCACAUAUCAUCCCUACCAAAGAUUCCAUAGAAAAGUCUUUCCCAAAUAUUGGAUCACUAGUUAUACUUGUUGCCCAAAGAUUAUAUCAGGUUAGUUUCGGGAAAGUUUGAGUGAUAGACAAUCCAAGGCUUGAGACAAAUCGGGGGAUAUGUGGUUCAUUUUCACUUCAAAAAGGAAGAAGAGAGAAUCUAACAUUGCACAGGGGAUUAAACGCAACAUCCAGCCCACAAGGAGUAACAUAUACAAAGAAUAUACUGAUUCCCCAAAUUACCAGAGCUUACUGUUAUCUGUUGAUUACAAAAUAACAUCAAUAUAUCAGUGCUGCGCCAUGUUGAAGUCACUUCCACUAGGGAAUGCAUUUAACUCAAAGGAGUGGAAAAUGUGGCCAUUCCAUCAGCCAAGCCCAGGGAACGCAGAACCAGAUCCAUGACCAAUCCUGCACCACGCGAACCGUUCUGAAGAUAAGAACUCAAAGCAUCGCAUCAAGAAAGGAAAGGCUCUAUCAAGAAUCAAUAAUCACAGUAGAAUUUGGAGCAUAUAACGUGAUGAAUAAUCAGAACACCAGAUUCAUCCUCGAAUGGACUUGGAUCCACAUUAUCUCUUGUGACUCAGUAGCAAGUAUAAGAAAGUCUCCUUCUGCCCAAAUUGAGCUGCUUUAUGGAGUGGCGAGACAUUGUCCCCAUCGCGCCUAAGAGGCAAGGCCGCAAUUUCAUUAACGUGCAAUUUUACGGCUUUGACGUUCCCAACGUGAGUAGCUAUGGGCAAUAGCGUUCUGUUUUUGGCUGUCGGUCAAUGAACUCUCAACUGUCGUCGUCUCAGUUGAAAUUUGCGGUUUGUGGUAACAGAGAGAAAUUUGUAGUAUAUUCACUUUACCAAAGAAGAGUACAAGACCUCUCUUAUAUAAAAGGUGAGAAGACAAUUAGGUUUAAUUACAAUUAAAAUAAGCUACAAUUAGCCGGAUCUCAAAUAUAUACAUCUAACAUCCCUUGAAACUCCAAAUAAAAAAGUCAACGGAAUUGAGAGAAAAGGUCCAGGAAGAGCCCAAAAGGAUUUGUCUUGGUGAAGACAUCGGCAGUCAGUUCGGUGGAUGAAGUGAAAACAAGUCAAAUAGUGUCACAAAGAACAUGAUAUCGAAUGAAAUGAUAAUCUAUCUCAAUGUACUUGAUGUGUUCAUGGAAUAGAUUAUUAUGUGCAAUUUGGAUAGCAACGCGAUUGUCACAAUAAAAGACUAUCCCACUAUGAUGAUGUACUCCAUGUCUUCCAAUAGCCAUUGCAACCAUAAUAACUUCGAUCUCGCAUCAGUAAAAGUUUGAUAUUUAGCUUCUAUACUAGAGUGGGCGACGAUGGUGCCACGAGAUAAGUGAGGUGCCGAAAAAGAAAAGAGUAGCCCUUAGUGAAGUGACCAUCGUGAGGGUCAUUGGCCUAGUCAACAUUUGAAUAAGUUUUCAACUUUAUUGUAGAAUGAGCGGAGAAGUGAUGGCAAAAAAUAUCAUGCCCUAAACAUAGCAAAGAAUGCGAAAGACUGUAGCAACUAAGUCGUUCAAGAUGCGAUCAUAUACUGAUUAACAACGGGAACAGCGUAAGUGGUGUCAGGUUAAGUAACAAUACGAUAUAUAAGGCUGCCAAAAGAAUGUGGGAUUCGGAAGAUGGGUCCCAUCACUAGCAUCAAAUUUGGCAUUGGUCUCAAGAAGAGUCAUGGCAACUUAUUGUAAGUGAGUUUUACUUGAGAAAGAAGAUUAGUGACAUAUUUGGCUUGAAAAAAAUAACAGCCAAAUGACUGUGAGAUAACCUCAAAGCCUAAAAACUAACCGAGUUCUCCAAGAUUUGUUAUCUUAAACUAUUAAAUAAGAUAUUGCUAGAGUUUAAAAAUCCCUAUAUGAUCAUCUCUAGUAAUAAGGAUGUUGUCCACAUAUAAGAGCAGCAUAAUAGACCCACAAGAAGUGUAUCGAGCAAAAAGAGCAUAGUCGUAGGGACUAGAUGUAAAGCCAAGGAUUCCAUGCGAAGCUAAACUUGUAAUACCAUGCACUAUGAGAUUGUUUCAAUUAAUAUAAUGUGUGACCUAAUCGACACACUUAAUGAGAAGGAUGACUGAAGCUAGGAGGAGGCACAGUAUAAACUUUCUCAAUAAGUUUGUCAUUUAAGAAUUCCUUUUUAACAUAUAUUUUAAAAAGGGAUUAGGGCCUAGUAGUGGAAAUAGCAAAAAGACUGCGAACAAAAAUAAGACGCAUAACUCAAGCAAAAGUCUCUUCAUAGUCAAUGUCACAUCCUAAGUAAAGCCUUUUGCAACAAGGUGGGCUUUAUAGGGUCUAGAAUAUGCUUUUUCUUAAUCCUGUACACCUAUUUAUAGCCAACAAUGGACUUACCAAAAGGCAAAUAAACUAAAUCUCAAGUAUGAAAUUUGUCCAAAACUUGUAACUCGUCUGCCAUUACUUCUUACCCCGAUCUACUUUUAAACGAUUAAUUUCAUCUUUUUUAUUUGUUAACUUGUGAUGAAAAUAUCAUAAAAUCCUUAAAAGGCAUAUCAUUUCUCAUUUUAACUCAUCAAUUCUUUGGCUGCCCGCAAAAGGAAAAAGAUAAUUGCCUCCGCUGACGUGCAAUGCUCGCGUAACCUCUACUAUCAUGUGCUUAUUGAAUAGAAAUAACUUCUUCUUUUUUUCGAAAUAACAGAAAUAACUUACUAAAUGCCAAAUGCUUUUGUUUUUCCUUUUCUCUUCUUUUGGCCAGGCAGAUCACUGUUGAGAAUUGUUGACAAGAUCAUGCUUCAAGCAAACUAUAAUCAUUAAGAUCCACAUGAGAUUCACUAAUCGACUUGAACAUGGCUACUUUGAGAAGAAAGGUUAAAUCUCGAUCUGUCAAAGAGAAAGCAGCCCCCAUGUAUUAAACCAGUCACAGCAAAAAUCUAAGACCCUGACCGCUAGCGAUGUCGGUUUCUGUUGUCCUAUAGACUAAUAGAAACUUCAUACGCUUCUUCAUUGUCAUAAUCCUCAAGACCAUUUUCCAUUUCUCACAAUACGAUCUCCUCUUCUUCGAAUGAAAACCCCCUUAGAAUGUGUAGGCGGCUGAAUGGAAUCGAUGUCCAAGCCUUCAGCUUGACCAGGGAUUCAACAUGGCCCUUCAGAGUUUGUAGCUCACGAAGCCUGCAACAACUGAUUCAGUUUGACUUCCCAUUGCAUGUAGGACUUAUAUGGUGAAAAGGAACUGCUAGCGGUGAAUGGUUUAAACUCUGUAUCGAGAAAGCAAGGCUACUAAACUUCGUUAAACAAAGGAUGGCCUUUAAACUUCAAUUAUCAGGCAAGCAAAUGGGUACUGAAGCAAGAACUAUGUUUUUUUAGUUAAGAAUUCCAUAUUCUAAGGAGCAUUGAAUUAUGAGGAUUAACAUGCUCACCUUGCGACCUCGGCUUGUCGCUAGGCUUGCUGGGCAAUAUCUGAAAGCUCCCUGCAGCUACUCUCGUUAGAGAAAGGGUUGCUGGUUUCAGGAGGCUGAAGGCUGCGCAAAGUCCUCUGUGCAGUUGCCCACUGAGCUUCUCGCUCUUCUUUCCCAGAGUCUCUUUUGGAAGUGAAGGCGGUCUGUGUGAUAAAAUUGUCCAAAAUUAACAUAAUGUAGGGUUUUUAAUAAUACAUAAUCUGUGGCGGUGCCUCUUUCUUAGUGGAAAUACAUUCUUCUCCAAAAUGGAAUUCCAUGCUCUCCCGCUCAGAAUGUAGCAGAUCGUGAACUUAAGAAUAUCAAGUGGAACAUAUGUCACCAAGCUGUAAAGCCAGACGACACCGGCCCACCCCCAUCCAGUGUCACGCUCCGAACCUCGAGCGUGCGCGCAUCUCUCAGUGGUCGAUAGAGGACUCCUUUCAUUUUAUUGCACAUGCGGAAAUGAAUUAAUUAAUCCCCUCACAACAACAUAUAUGAGAUAGAAAAGCAGGACAACCAGUUUCAAAUCAAAUACACUUUCAUAUACAUCUCAAACUUAUACAAAAGGUCUAUCUCAUAAAAAACUACUAAGCCACCUAUGCUCCUAACCCUUCUGCUUCAAGCUCCAGGUUCUCCACAUUAGGGACCUGAAAAUGGUUAUACAAUAACCAGUGAGAUAUAAAUCUCAAUGAGUCUUUCCCCUAGUCCCCUGAUUAGGACACCAAUUCCACUCGGAUAUCUCUUCAUAACCUCCCCACAAACAAGUCCACGACCAACAAAAUAAUAGUCGGUUCGCAUGCAACCUUAUCCGCUAUGCCAUACCCUACACGUUAUAACUCAUCACAUACACACAAUACACAUAGCUAUUAGAUGAUGCAGUUCAUCAAUCACAUACGAGUCGCAUCACAAACGAUCUCAUCUGGCCAUUGCCACACUCUGCACAUUAUCGAUUCAUGCGUGUGUGCCAUAAACGAUGUGAUUCGCUCAUGCAUAUAAUUAAUGCAUAUAAAAAUUUCACACAUCAAUGCAUCAAUUCAGAUUGAGUCAACGAUCAAUCGACUCAGUCGAUUUCAUGUCAUCGACACCAUUCCCUGAUCAUCUCAAUCAAUACUAUCUAUAAGUUUGAUCAUACCUAGGAUUGUUUACUAUAAGCCGAUAGUAGAUAGUAUAGCUCACCAGAAGCUGUCUCAAUUAUCAGUAUAGUAUAUUAUAGCUUGCCAAAAGCUGCCUCAAUUAUCAGUAUAGUAUACUAGCUCACCAGAAGCUGCCGCAAUUAUCAAUAUAGUAUAAUAUAGCUCUGCUGCAAUUACUCAUAUAGUAUACUAUUUAUGCUCACCAGAAGCUGCAAAACAUACCUUCAUAGUAUACUAAAAUUAAUCAUUUAAUCAAAUCACCAUUUUUAGCCUUCCUGAUAAAAAUAUUCGUGUGUGGGUACACGGUCGGCUUUAGCCAAAAAUACAAUGUUUUCCCUUUUUGAAAAUCCCACUAUUUAUUAUAGUAUUUAAAGAUGUUUUUGGCGUUGUAAACCGAUGCUCAGUAGUUCUUGUUUUAAAUACCGAAAUUACUCAAUUUCACCAUAUAGCAUUCAAUUAUAGAAAUUAAACACACCACUACAAUUAGCUUGAAAUUCUAUCGAGCGGCUCUCCUGGUAAAAUUCCCAUAAAAUAUAUAAUUCAUGCGGAUGUCCAUGCAUUUAUAUAUCCUGAGAGUGCUAGUAUAAACACCUAGAUUGGGGGUGAAUAGGUGUUUAAAAUAAACCUUGACAAAUAUAUGCGGAAUAAAAUAAACUUCAAACAAAGGAGUUAGGGAAGAGAAUAGGAACACACGAUUUAUAGUGGUUUGGCUUAAUCCAAACCUACGUCCACUCUCCCAUGCUAACAGCCUUCUUGGCUGGAUUCCACUAUGCAAUCAACAAGAGAUUACAACUUUGAGUGCAAACACUUAGUAGUAGAUCACACUAUCUCACUAAGUCACUCUUUUGGUAUUUCUCUCACAAUCACAAACGUUUAAGCUCUCCAAAGACAAGUAUAUAAUCGAAGGUCGCUCAGACUUUGGAAUUAUAAAUUCUACACUCUCUCUCUUACUUGCUCAUCGGUCCUUCAUCUCCUUAAAUACUCCUCCACUUCCAAACUACCCGUUGGACAAUAUCUUGAGGAUCGUCUUCCAAUAUACCCAUUGGACAGCUCUGUAUCUAGAAGAUUUGGUAGCCGUUGAGUGACAUAGGUAGAAUCCCAAAUUGAUUCCGAUCGCCCAUACAAACGGAAUCUUGGUUUCCAUAAGUAAAGCUUCUUUGUAUAAAAAGUUCUUGUCUUCAAGAUCCAAUCAUCAAUCAAAUAGAUUGAGUUAAUCAAAUCAAUCUUGAUGUGGAAUCCAAACUAGAUCACUAGCCAUUAUAUGAUUGGGCUUGAGUUACGUUAUGUCGAAUCUGGAUGUAAAGUCUGAGAGCAAUAGACUUUACAAUAUGAGUCUGAGUGCGAUAGACUUUGCAAUCUGAGUCUGAACAUAUUCUGCUUCUGAACAUAUUUAGCUUUAAGGUCUAUACCCAGUUCAGCUUCAGCAUAGAGACUGUCUUCUGGUUCAUCAUUCACGUUUAGUCUGGAAUUUGUCAGAGUGAGCAGACUUCUGAUGUAGAACAGACUUUGACACUAAAGUAUGGCAGUCUUCAGACUUUGACACAGAAGUCUGGAAAUCUUCAGAAUAUACUUUGGGCAUAUGUUACGUUCAGUCUUCUGGUCGUCUUCACACUUUGAUAAUAUCAUUUACAUAUUCUAUCAUCUGCAUGGUCUAUUACUUAACUAUUAAACAUGUUAAUAGCUUUUGAUUUAUUUUGUCAUCUUCAAAACAUCAUAAGGGAUUUCCCUAACAUAUCCAAAUCAUCUCAUAAAAUCACCACACAUGAAAUUAGACCAUUUUUCGCUUCUGGAUGAACAGUACGUGUGAACAGUAGUACUCUGUGAAUAGUACCGCGUGAACAGUAUUUUGUGAAUAGUGUCGAGUCAAUAGUGAAUUCCAGAAUUUAAAUUAAAAUCAUAAAUCAUUAAAAACAUUAAUUAAAGUAAACAAUCAAUCAAUUAAAGCUAAACAUGCUAAAUUAAACACAUAAGUCACAUUAAGCAAAUAAAUCAAGAUUACGCUAAACUAAUCUAAUCCAUCUAUUUAACCACCUAUAUUAGGGCUAAUACAACUUAAUCAAAUCACCUAGACUAGAAUUAAAUCUAACUAAACCAACCCUAAGCAAGUUUAGGCACUAAUAAAACGAUUAUGAGCUAAACUAACUCACCCGUUACGUGGGCUAGAAGCACGGGCGCAUCGGCGACAAUGGUGGCUACGCUCGGGAACCUCUACCACGACGAUCCAAGCGGUCCCAAGCUUAGAAUAGCAACAGCAGCUCGGACUCCCACUGAAAUUCCCAAAAACUGGACUGACCAGAGGAGAAACAAAGUGGGCGGCUAAUCGGAGCUCCGACGAGGGGUUGACCGACAACCGGCAGCAUCUGGGGGUCAAGGGGGACUUGCUGAUGGUUGGUAUGGGUGAAAGAAUGGUUGGAAUGGGAGGAAAAAUGAAGAAAACGCAAAACAGGCAGACCAGGCGGGCGAACUGACGAACCGGCGACUGGCGGCUUACGGCGGCCAGAUGAGACAGCCGGCUACUCCGUUCGGGGCGGGGCCAAGCUCUUCCUUACGGUCUGGACAUGUUGGUCAUGGUGGUAGGUGGAGCAUGGCUUGAUACUCACGAGAAAGUAACGAACAACUCGAGUUUUCGGAAAAAAGGUUAGCUGGAGCAGAACAAGAUUAGGCAGAAUUGCGACCAAUGCCUUCUGGCUGGCCAAUGGGUCAAACGGUUGCUCCGAGCGUCGAACGGCCAACUCCUCCCAUACGGUCUAGACCUCAUGAAGACAAUGGUGGGUGGCAUGAAGGCUGAUUCGUCCGGGAAGCCAACAAUCAACUCAACUUUAUGGAGGAAGGUCUACUGGAGCAGAAACUAGAAUGAAGGGACACGAGUUGAGGGAGAGCUCAAGGAGAAGAGAGAGAGGGUGAAGUGAGAGUUGUCAAGGCCCCCAUCAAGCCCUUCAAUGCUUGCUUCAAGUCCCCGUGCAUGACAUCAUCUUCUCUCUAUUCUUUUGCCUUAUCCACAAGCUUUUAGGGGCAAUUUGGUCAUUUCCACCAUGCACAAAUUACCAAUCUUCCCUUGGGCCGAAAUUGAUGAGCAAGCCUAAGAAAUGGGCUUAGAAAUGAAUAGGAACGGGCUCGGAAAUUGAUUUGGCUCGAAUGGGCUUAAGGUUUGGCUUAAUUAGCGUUGUCGACCGUCAAAGUAGCUUCAUCCAAAGUCCGUUAUGGACAUUCCCGAUAAUUUGAAGUCCAAUCUUGGGUUCUCAUGCCAUGUCAAUUUCACCCUAAUGCCAUUUUAGGUACGACUUAGACUAACAGGCGGGUUUGAGGAUUCACACGUAACCGACUCGUGUCUAACCACGUUCAAGAUAUCUCGACACAUGGACGUCCUUGACUACAUGAAAUUGCGGAGGAUGGAUUCUUAUUUCAAAGUACACGAUUAUUGAGGAUCGACAUAGGGUCGUUCGUAGGUUCGAUAACAGUAAACAUAAUCACCCGUCGUUCCAUUAUGUUCUGUCCGCGAAUUGACUUCUAGUUGUCCUUGAAAUUGGCCUGCCUAUCUGCAGGAUCAUCCUCACGCAAGUCUCAUGAUCAAGUCAUUUUCCCGGGUCAUGUUCUUUAGUCGUACGAGUUCUAUCCUCAUUAGCCUUUUUCCUCAAUGUUAGUAUUUCGGGAAUGAUCAAUUUCAAGUGAGAUCAACCAACAAUGCAUUAAUGAAAUUCACAUCCAUUUAUCCCUCAAAGGACUCGAAUUUCAAGAUGUCACAUCCAGUUCCUUCUAUCCUUGCGAAAUCACCAUUUGUCGCAACCUGUCCAUGAAAAAUCUUGCAUCAGGGAAGAAUAUUGGUUAAUGUUGAUUAAGUUAUCGAUUUUCCAAACUAUUCUGAGGACUUCUAACCGUUGGCCAUCAGUUAAAACUCAUAAGAAUGUAUUUCUCACUUCAAUCGGACUCCAGUGAAACUAGUCAGCAGAAGGUACCAUAGAAAACUUAAGCUCCCAGUAGAAAGUGAACAGAAUAUGACCAAGAAAUUCUUACCAGCUGAGCAACUACAAAUGCGCCGACCAAGAGAAGUCCCUGGUGUUCGACAAAGGACCAGCUGGGCGAUCUGGUGACAAAGAUUAGAGCCUCACUAACUAUGCUCACUUGCAAGUAUAGGGCUGGCAUCAUUUCAUCAGGUCUAUAUCUGAUUGAUUUUACACCAAACUUGUCCUGCACCAUAGAAGAGGGCAGCGAUAUUUUAUUACUUCUCGUUCCAAUAAUUCAACGAAAGAUAUACACGAGAAAAGAAGUAGAAAACCACACAAGAAACAGAUUCUUACUGAGAAGUUCGCAUCUGCCCAGAAGAAUAUUACAGUUAUGAGUGCCGGGUAUCCAAGAACAUUUCCGGUAGCAAAAUUUUCUUUCUACUUUUAGCUAUCUUGCUAGGGAGAUGGCUUCACUCAAUCUUUGAAGAUUAUCACGAUGGUUCCUGAGAUUGGUACAAAAAACUAGUCAAACUGGUCUUUCUUAAUUUGCUAUGUUGAAAACCGGGAGUACAAGAGUACGAAAAACUAUCAUCUUAUCACUGUUUAAUAUGGCAAUGAUCAAGACCAUAAGGGCGCAAAGUCAGACUUGCAGAUUAAAGCAAUGAACAUAAAGCCAAACUGCAAAAGACUGGAUGCAAGACCUUUCAUGAAGGAAUAUUUUUCAUUAUCUUAAGUCUACAUUAAAGGUAGGACUCUUACCACAAUACAAAUCGUAAUGAAUACGGCAUAAAUCUGCAAAAUUUUAGUCAACUUAUGGUAAGCUAGGAAUGCAAUUAGCAAUAUGCAGAGCCUUGGUGCAUAAUCCAUUGGAAACACAAUCCAAAUCACUAACAGUUUAAUCCUUCUUUCUUUCAAAUAUACCCCAGCUGGUCAGCACAGUGCUUAUAAUGACACUAAAGCCCGUUUCAGUGAGGACAGUUCAAGCACUACUCGCAGCAUUGGUGGCAUCAGCAACUGCAAUCCAAUGUCUGCCUUCUUCAGAGCAGAGGCUUCAUUCACGCCAUCGCCAGUCAUACCACGUUAGUGCUUCUUCUGCUGCAGCUUCUUUGCAAUUUCGUAGUAAAUUGUGUGAAAUACUCUGGUCGGUCAAGAAAUUCUCGCCUCAGGGGAAAUCUAUACUGAGGAAUUUCUUCUCAACAGGAUGUUCCAUCUACACAGUUAUUUACAUUUUUAAGCUCACGGCUCUGCCACCUUCAAAUAUGAUUCUCCAUUAAUAAUUUUAUAUUUGGCCUUCGGUCUUUUUUUCGUUGAUCAAGAGGACCAAAGUAUUAUUAAGUAUACAUGAGAUAAUAACGUGCUAACCGAUGGAACAAGUCUACCUUGCCUAGCAUAAAAUGCCAUGCUUGAAUAAUCACCGCAAAAUCAAUAUCUGAAACAGGUAAAACUGAAUCAAUAUUCUCUACUGGUCCAAUUUGACACAGGAAAACCCCACUAAGGAAUUAAACGUUGUCAGGGAAUAAUGUGAAGAGAUUUGAGUUAUAAUUCUUUCAAUAUCCUUUCUCAAAACAACUGUCUAAAUCUGCUGAAAAUACAAAGACGAGCUGAAGACUGGGAUCAAGAGUUUCCAUGAGCCCUGCAGAUGAUGAAAGGGAAAAGCUUGAAAGUUGUUCGGUUGAAACUUGGGUGGAAUGCGACCAAUAUGCAAUAUCUGAAAGGAAAGGAAUAAGGCGAUACAUGAGCAACUUAAACCCCAGAUGAAAAGGGUUGCUGCUGCUGUAAUACUUAGUGAACUAUGUUUGAGUCAUUAAUUCUGAAGGGAAAAAAGUAGUUCCUGAUGAGGUUAAAAGCAUCUGUAACAAAUGGAGGAUUACUUGCCGUAUGUUCUUGCUCGAUGAAGAUUGCUUUGAAGCCAAUAGUGAGUGAGUUAGGACACUUUUGGUACAAUAGUGAGUGAGCUAGGACACUUUUGGUAACGAUUUUGUUUCAAAGAACAAUUUUUUAUCAGAAAUGAUUUUUUCUGAUUCUAUUCCCAGGAAUAAUUUUUGAGCAAAAGAAUGCAUUUAGUAACUCCAAUAAAUUUCUAUUCCCAGGAUAAAGAUGCGUUUGGUAUGAUUUUUUUUUUCUUUUUCUUUUUCUUUUUCUCUUCUCCUUCCUCGCCUGGCCAUGGCAAGCCUCAACCUUGCCUAGCGACGCAAGAUCGGCCUUGCCCUAGCCUAGCAAGGCCUAGCCUUACACCAAUUGGGGAGGCCAAGCCUCGCCAUGGCUAUGCAAGGCUCGAGCCGACGAUGCUCGAACGAGGUCACCAACCCUCAUUUGGUCAGUUGUUGGACAUGGUCGAGGCUGGUGACUAGCAAAAAAGAAGAAGAAGAAAAGGAAAGAGAAGAAGAAAAGAGAAGAAGAGAGUAGAGAAGAAAAAAAAAAUUAAAUUAUAAGAAUUGUUCCCGAGAAUAAGAACCUACUUUUUUUUGCUUAUUGAUUUUAUUCAAAAUCUAUUCCCGGGAACAAAAACUUUUUUUUGUUCCCGAGACUAAAUAUUUACUAAAUGGGUUUUGGUUCUUUUUUUGUUUCGUGUAGACCCGCACACANNNNNNNNNNNNNNNNNNNNNNNNNNNNNNNNNNNNNNNNNNNNNNNNNNNNNNNNNNNNNNNNNNNNNNNNNNNNNNNNNNNNNNNNNNNNNNNNNNNNNNNNNNNNNNNNNNNNNNNNNNNNNNNNNNNNNNNNNNNNNNNNNNNNNNNNNNNNNNNNNNNNNNNNNNNNNNNNNNNNNNNNNNNNNNNNNNNNNNNNNNNNNNNNNNNNNNNNNNNNNNNNNNNNNNNNNNNNNNNAUGAAUUUACCAAAAGUCAAUUAGAGUAGCAAGCCCAACUAGAUAUGGGUUUUAAUUGGUCGGGACUAAACCCACGUGCAACCACCAAACAAUGCCUCAUCUUAUUUGGGCUGGCUAAUGCAGUUUGGGCUGUUGUCAGGCCUAGCUUACAAAUUCACUCGUAUCUUGCACUAGGGGUGAGCAUCGGUCCGGGGUCAAUCCUAGACCGACCCUAGAUUGGCUCAAUCCUAUCGGUCUUAGUCCGGUUCCCAGGGAGACUAGGUCGGUCAUUGGUCCUAGAAUUCUUACACCAGCACUGUGCGGGUUGGUCCUCAGUCCUAAGAGUUCUAGGUCGGUCCAACUUGAACCAAUCCUGACUAUAUAUGAUAUUGUUUAUAGUUUUUUAUAUAGAGAAAAUGUUAAAAUAAACGGCGUCAACAACAUUAAACAGCUCUUUAGUGAAGAGUUUAAGUAAUUUUACAUUGUUAUGUAAUAACUUAGGUUUUUAAUGUUGUCGCGACCUCUCUUUUGCCGUCCGGGGAAAAAGAAAGAAGGUUUAGGGGUAUUUGCCUAAAGAGGCGGACUAACGGUCAUAAAUUAGGCGCGGGCUCUCCCAAGCCCAUACCACGCGCGACAUUGGAUUUUGAAUUUUAAUUUUUAACAACCUAUGUAUUUUUAGGAGUCGCCACUAGCCUAUUGGGAUCGGCUAAAAACCAAUCAAGACGCGGGAGUGUUGUCUCGAUUCCUACGCAACCAGAGAUUUCUAGGACCGGGGACUUGUUUAGGCCAAUGUUUCUAUUGGCGCCCUUGCAGUACCACUAACUUGGAAGGUUGUUUAUCUAAAUGGCCACACAAUUUUAAUUACCAAUUAUAAUCCUUAUAAAACCGCUAAGCAUUCAUGCAAAUGUUUUUGUAGGUUUGUUUUCCUUAAAAUCUAGAAUAAUCCUAACAUAAUUUAGAAGAGAAAUUUAUACUCAAAUUAAUGAAAAGCGGUGCGUAAGUAAACAUCCAAGAAAUUAAAAUGACUUGAAAAUAAAUGCGGAAAAAGCAAAAAACCAAUACAAGUCGGACAAAUAAUAUUACAUGGCCUUGUUAUCAUGCCCCGGGAUAGGACCCCCAUGAGUGAAAUGAGAAUUCAAAUAUGCAUGAAAUUACUCUUUAUGCAUGAAAUUACUUUAAAUAAUUUUAAUCUACGCAAAAUGAAUUAUUUACAAAAAUGGUUAUAAAAUACCAAAAUAGUAUUAAAUUAGGAAAAUGACCUUUUAAAAUUAAGAAAAUUUCAUAUAUGUCAUUUCUAUCCUAAUUGGAUGCUAUCUAACAUUUUUUUGAUAUUUUUGAAAUUUUGAAAAUUUUCUUUUAUUAUUAUUAUUUUUUUAAAAUAAUAAUAAUUCCUUAAACUGAUCUUUGCUAACAUGGAGUAACACAACACAUGAAUAUCACAAUUAUCAAGCUCAAAUCGACUAUUCAAGAUCGAAGCUUAGUUUGGGCAUUUCGUCGAACACUGGGUGUGCAUCAAACUAGCCCCAAUAGCUUCCUCGAGCCAUGUUUGCGACCUUCAAUCUCACUCAUAAGCAAUCUUAUGUGGACUAAAUAUCAAGGUUAUACUACCACAUGNNNNNNNNNNNNNNNNNNNNNNNNNNNNNNNNNNNNNNNNNNNNNNNNNNNNNNNNNNNNNNNNNNNNNNNNNNNNNNNNNNNNNNNNNNNNNNNNNNNNNNNNNNNNNNNNNNNNNNNNNNNNNNNNNNNNNNNNNNNNNNNNNNNNNNNNNNNNNNNNNNNNNNNNNNNNNNNNNNNNNNNNNNNNNNNNNNNNNNNNNNNNNNNNNNNNNNNNNNNNNNNNNNNNNNNNNNNNNNNNNNNNNNNNNNNNNNNNNNNNNNCAGGUUACAUGCCCAUAUUGAAGCCCCGACACUCAUCACCAUGCAAGAUCUAAGGGAAACAUUACUUAAUCCGAGUGAAAGGAGGUAACAUGGGCUUUCAAAUGCAACAAACAUCAUAGAUAAAUGACCUACUGAACACACCAAAACGAUUUUUCCAAGAAGCAUACAUGCAUGAUCUAUGCUGGCCAACCAUGUCUCAAUGUGGAGUGGUUUGGUUUUUGGCUCACGUUAUGGACAUUUUCAUGGUUCACAAGGAGAUUUAAAUACUAAAUCGGGUUGUCCUAUGCAUUAUUUAUACUCCCAUAUAACAUUCAUCAAAGUCACAACGACAAAAAACGCAUGCAAAGGGGGAAGAACAAGUCAAGCAUGUAGGGGUAUUGGAGAGGCUUUAAACACCUAGAAAAAUUUCAACCUCAGAAAUCAGAUUUCUGGGCUGGUCUUCCUCUUUAUUUUUCAUGGUUGAACAUGCUCAAACUCGAUCAUAAAUACAUCUAGGAUGCUUACCUUGCUUCCUAGUUCUUUUGCAAGUGACUCUUGGCCAAGGAAACCAAGAAACUGUCCUCUGGAAGCACGUGGAAGUUGGUUCAUUCAAACUGGAAAAUGAGAUCUACAGAAAAAAAAAACUGACAACGAAGGUUUUUGUUGACCUCUACAAUUAGAAUUCAGGACCUCUUUUAUUGAAAAAUUAACACCAAAACAAACUAUAUGUAUUUUAGUUUUUAGUGAAAGUCAAGAUUUUCCUCAUUUGUCUCUCAAUUUUCUCAAAAACACUCGCCUUCCCUCACCCAUGACCAAUUAGGCUCAACACUCAGAAAAAUUUUCAGACUUUCUUGGCCCGCCAGGAGGGUACUAUUUUGGGGGGCUUUAGGAGACCUUCCCAAACUUCAUUUUGGACGUGAGACCUCUGGAUGGAAAGAUAUAUGAGUGAAGUUUCACUCUCUAGUUGAAGGUUUUGGCUAAUUUUGGCUGCAAGUUUGCGAAAAAAUUCAUUCUCUCUCUAGAGGUUGAUUUGGAAUUUCUGGGUUUGCUUUUCUAGAGUUGCUUCUGAGGGCCUCUUUUGGGGACGACCAUGAGCUCUCUCCUCUCCCUCUCAUCUCCUCUCUCUCAUCCCUCGAAAGACCUUCCUUCAUUCAUCUUAUCCCCUCAAUUAGAGGAUUUUUGGUCUGUAUUUUGUCCACCUACUAAGCCUGUCAACAGGGCUACUUCACCCACUCUCUGACUUAGUCAAUUUUUUCACUUCUGCAGCUAUUGAGUGUCCGAAUUUGGUGCGAUUUUCCUGUGCCUUCAAUAGCUUAUCGCAGACCAAUGUUUUUCCACUUGCGGUACCAAUGAUGGUCUUCCAUCACGUGCAGAUAUCGGGCUGGUUGAGCAGCUAAGGAGGAUAUGGUGGGGCCACUAAGGUGCUUACUCAGCAAUUCCGAAUUGAGACCAACUCGUGAACUGAGUUUUGGCUGCUGAUUUGAGUGCUUUAAUAAUCAAUUUGGCUGUGGUUUUUGAUCAAUUAGCAAGUUCGUGUAUAGUAGUUUAAAAUCUCGACCAGAUUUUGUAAUUGUGCCCACCCAAUUUUGCAAUAAAGUCCCUCAAAGUUAGCCAUUUUCUUAUUCGAAAAUACCCAAUUCAGGGCAAAUUGGUCAUUUUGACCAAAUUUGAUUGAUCAACUUGGCCCAAGUUCAAUUUCAACUUAAUUGGUGACCAAGAUGAUGAUUUAAGGGUUCGGGCGAAAUUUUGUGAAAUUUGUAAAUUGGUCCCUCAACUUCUGAAAAUUGCAUUUUGGCUCCAUCUUUCCAUUUUAAUUCCAAUCUAACCUCCUAGGCUUGGCUAGUCACAUUUAGAUCAUUGGCCCCAACUUGCUUCUUCUUCUUCUUCUUCUUCUUUUUAAGGAAAAACAUCUUCCAUUUAAACACUAUAUUAAACACCUAGAUAAUCUAUAUGCAGGAAUUUGACAUAAAAUAUUUUUGGGCAAAAAUUUAGGUGUCAACAAAUAUUUUUUAUGAUGUCAAUGUAAUAAUUUACGAAGGAGGAAAAUGUUUUUGUGAGGAGUCAUCACAGCAUCAAAAAAGGCAUCUUAUGGCAUCCUCCUAUAGUAUUUGUUAUCUUUUGUCAUAUUUGUCCUCUAAGUCUUCAAUUUGCCAAAAUCGAGAUAUCGCCACUCGAUACUCUCUUUGCUCACUUUGGGUCACUCGUGCCGCUCACCGCUUAAUGCUCACUUGGCUUGUUGCUCCUUGCUCGACAUUCGAUGCUCAUUUUGUUUGACGCUCACCUCACUUGACCCUCACCGCUUGCCUUCCUUAGCUAACCUUGCUUAUCAUCGAACCAAUUGGGUCAGUACAGUUCCUGGUUGUCCUUUUAAGGAGUACAAAAAAUGAAAUAAAAAAUUAUUGGUUUGUUCUAGGUUGACCUUGAAACCGGACCGAACCCAUUGGGUUAGUUCGGUCAUCAAUCGUUUUUUUAAGGAAUACAAAAAAUAGAAAAAAUUAUCGAUUGGUUCCGGGUUGACCCUAGAACCGGACUGAACCUAUUAGGUCGGUUCGGCCCUCAGUCCCAAGCUCAAUAGGGUCAGUCCUUGGUCCCAAAAAUUGAGGACCAAUACUGUACGGGUUGGUCCUAGGGUUAGGGGGUGGACUGGCCCAACUCAGACCAUGCUCACCCAUAUUUUGCACGUCUCGGACAACAUGGACCAUGCCAAGAGAUGUCUAACUCUUCUAAGAAACAGAAUCAAAUUGCGACUAGAUAAUGAAAACUGCAGCAUUCAACAGCUUCAUAUGAUUACUAUGGCCUCAAAUUUCAACUAAUUGAUCACCAAACAGCUUCAAAUGAGUUGAUUGCGGAAGGUCCAGCCUUCUCUAGGGACUUGUACCAAGAGAUAUCCAUUAACUCCAAUGUUCCAAGUCCUUGAAUUUUAUAUGGGCUUUUGCUUUCUUGGACCAUCACUUGCUUUGGACAUUUUGAUUGAGAAAAGUCCAACUUUCCAAGGGACUUGCACUAAGAGAUAUCCAAAAUUUCUAUGAACUCCAAUAUAUGAAGGCCUUGAAUUUCAACUAAAUUUUCACAUUCUUAACAACUUCAAUCUAACAAUUAUUCAAUUUCAACCACAUUUUCGCAAUCUGCAGCAGUCAAUCUCCUCAGACCAUUGACUCGUGGGAUCUCUAGCAUUUUGAUGGAUGUGCAAGAAAAUUUCCAACUCUUCCAAAAACUCAGACUUAUCAUGGCUUCAGAUUUCGGCUAGAUUUUCGCAAGAAGCCUUCAACUGCAUUAGAUGAUUUAAUUGCGAAAGGCCUAGCCUUUCAAUCGAUUUGCACUAGGAGCUAUUUGACUCUUUCAAGAACUUUGACUUAUGAAGACCACGAAUCUCAACUCUAUUUUUGCAAUGGCUGGCAUUUAAUUUCUUGAAAUGAUUCAAUUGGAGAAAGACCCAUCCAUUCAAUGGAAUUGAACGCGUUGAUGCUCAACUCUUCAAGUACUUAUAUCUAUCAAGGCCUCAAACUUUAAAGAGAUCAUCAUUUUUUUUUUUUUAAAUUUCGAUGGAGCAUUCAUUCCAUAUAAAUAAUCAAGGUCAUUGUGACCAAACGAAUUUGUCACAGUGCUCCGUCCUAUGCUGUCGUUUCGUAUAUUUUAUAUGUUCAUAUGAGGAAUCUAGAGAUGUCUAAAAUUUUUUACUAAAAAAUCAAUAGUUAAUUGACUUAAAACAAACGCUGAGUCGUCACCUUGUUGUGGUCCUUAACAUAUGCACCCCAGUGGCCUUGACAACUUACCCACCAUUACUUCUUUAUUGAGAAGUAUAAAGAAGUAAUGAAAGCGAACUCAUAUAAUUGAUGUAAUAUAAUAGACUAUUUAAUUGGCGUGGACUUAGAAAAGUGCUGAGCCGUUGCCUUCUAGCUCUAGGCAUUAUCCGGUGAAUGUUCCUUCCUUUCACAGCUCCAAGAGGACCUUAUUUUUUCACUUCUAGGAGAAGUCUUCCUCUGCGCGGGCGUAGUCUUUGCCUUUUAGGAAUUAUCCGGUGGCGCUUCUAUUUUGGUGCUGAAUGGAGUAGACCGACAUGAGCUGAUUUUAUUGUCAUUAUGUACCAGCAACUUGGUUAGCCUGUGCUAUGCAUGGGAUGAUCAUUUGACUCUUUGGCCACGACCUCAAUAAUGUACCAAAAAGCAAGGGAAAAAAAAUAAGAAAGAAAAGGACGUGAUAGCUAUGUUUCUUCAAAUAAGAUAGAUUUAGUACAUUUGAUUUAGAACGAUAAUGUGACAUUUGAUUUUACAAGUUUAACUCUAAGCUCUAAGAAAUUAUGUUUUUUUUUUUUUAUCAAGCACGUCAAAAAUUUGCUUGAAAUUAAGGAUAAAAGCCAUUAAAAACCCUAAACUUUAUUAACGGUGACACAUUUUCCCAAAUAUUUUUUUUUAUAAUACCAAAAACUCCAAAUUUAUACAUAUGUGACACAUAUAUUUACUCCAAAAUUUGGCGUCACAAAAAAAGUUAGGGGUUUUUGGUGUCAUAAGAAAAAAAUUGGGGUAAUGCGUUACACAAAUACGAGUUUGGAGUUUUUAGUGUCGCAAAAAAAAGUUUGGGGUAAAUAUAUCGUAGUUGGCAAAGUUUUGGAACUUUUUGUAGCUUUUUCACUUUAAUUAACUUAUGAACUUUGAUAAAGAACAUAACAGAAAAUUUAAUUAUGGGGCGCUCACGUUCUAAAUUAUUUUCUUUAACUUUUGGUCUAACUAUUUGUUAAAUUAGACAACUUAUUGGGUUUGAUGUAUCUAACGGCUAGUUUAAUGGUGGCUAGUUUUGUCUUUUGGGUGAAAAUUUGGAUUUACGGGACAUUUGUCCUGUGAGUGAAAGCUGGGGGCUUUUUUGGGGAAAAGGCCUAUGUCAUCAUUUUUUUCAAAUCAUUUAAAUGCUACUAAAAAAAAUCAUUUUAAGUGUCAACUCCGAUUUGAGUCAUUAGAAAUCCAACGUGAUCAUAUUUUAUUAAUAUCUCCAACCAAUGUGACUUGCCCAUGCCCAGUCAACAUUAAUAGCUUAAACGACUUCAUUUACAUGCUUGGCCCCAAAUAUAUACCCUGUUUUAGACAAUGAAGUAUUUUCCCAGAUUCUUGAAAUCCUAAUUCAAUUUCCUAAAAUUAAGAGCUGAAUCUUGUAAUGGAGAGUAGAAUCAGCACAAGUGGCUCAAAUUCGAACCUGAGAUAGCAAUCUAGAUUGUCGCUUGACCUUGGAACGCGAAAUACUAAUAAUUUUAUCCCAAGAUUGUCUCCGCUUUAAAACAAGCGUGAUCUUAAGGGGAAAAUCAAUUUUGAUGUUGGGGAUAUCAACACUUGGCUCUCAAAUACCCAGAUGUCUUCAUUUUGCCGAACUUUGUUGGGUUACCUCAAAAUUGAAAGAAGGCCCUAUUGCUGUCUUCGUUGGGUUACCUCGAACAAACAUAGCUUAUGGAGGUUUCUAAAAUUACAAUUAUGCUUAUUGUUCAUUAAUCUAAAAUUACGACAAUAACAAUUAUUCUAUAAUAAAACAGUGGUUUUUAACAAAUUAGUCAAUGAUAUUUUUAAUUAUUAUCGUGACUUUUGAUAAGUUAACUGUGAUUUUAGAUUUUUAGAUGAAUUAUAAUGUGUAUAUGUUAUGUAAUUCAUUAGAAUUAAUAUCCCAUCCUACUUUCACAAUACAUUGCUCAUAACAAAGCAGAAGAACCUUCAUUGUAGCAAUUCUGUAAACUUACUUAAUAUAAAGUUAUCUCAUUCCGUUUUUAUGUAUUAAACACAAAUUUAGUGGAAAUUGAAUAGGGUUAUACUUGAUGGCGUCACUUGGUCUUCGAACUCUGAAACUUUCAGAUGGAUAUCCAUUUGGUUUGUUUGUGUAACAUCCCGGGCCCCAAUGUACACAUAUUUUUCGCUUUGAACAUUGAGUCCUCACGGUUUUGUUUCUCUCGGGGCAGCCCAUACUACCCCAAGAAAACACGUAUGUACAGUUAGAGGAACCCAAGCCUUAUAAGCUAGCCCAUGACUUCCUCCCUAGGCAAUGUGGGACAAGAGAGGGACCCCUUCCUUGUGCACAUCUGGGGACCGCCACUCGGGCCGUCACAGUUUGUAGGAUGCCAUGUUAUCAUUUUGAUAUUGUGAUCUCAAAUUUCGGCCAACAUUUUUCUCUCAACUUCAGCUAUUCCAUGUUAUCAUUAUGAUGUGAUAACUGUCCACCAUUAUUGUAGCAACCUUGAUGGAAGAAUUUUAUGAAAGUUAAGAAUGGGAUGGAAACAGGUCUAAACCAGGUUCUCGUAUAAAUCAAAUACAACAGCGAAAAUUUGACUAAAAAUUUAAUUGUUAGUUGACUAAAAACAAAUCAUGAGUCGUCGCCUUGUUGUGGUCCUCAACGUAUGCAUCCUAGUGGCCUCAACAACUAACCCACUAUUACUUCUUUAUUGAGAAGUAAUGGAAGUAAACUCAUUCAAUUCAUGUGAUAUAAUUGACUGGUUAAACGACGAUGACUUAGAAAAGUUGCUGAGCCGUUCCCUUCUAGCUCUAGGCAUCAUCCGGUGAAUGUCUCUUCCAUUCACAGCUCCAAGAGGGCCUUUCCAUUUCGCUUCUAGGAGAAGUCUUCCUCUACGCGGGCUUAUUAGUUGUUGCCUUUUAGGCGUUAUCCGAUGGCGGUUCUUUUUUGGUGCCGAAUGGAGUUGACCCACAUGAGCUGCUUUUAUUGUCAUUUAUGCACAUGCAAGUUGGCUACAACGUGCUAUGCAUAGGAGGAUCGUUUGACUUUAUAUUGUUGUCCCCUUUGGCCACAACAUUAAUAAUGUAUCUAAAAGCAAGGGAAAAAGAAAGGAAGGAAAGGAUGUGAUAGCUAUUUUUCCACUAUAAUUAAAUUACCAUUAUACUAGUCUCUAGACUCGUGCUAUGCACGCGAAAAUAGGCUUGUGAAAUAGCUUUUUUUCCACUAUAAUGUAUCCUAGAAAUAUACUUGAUCAUUAUAAGAAUAAGGGCACGCAUGACAACCAUUCUAUUCUUAUUCUAGAACAAUUUUUCUAUUCUAAACUUAUUUUCUAGAACAUAUGCAAUUUCAUUUUUUUAUUUUUAGAAUAAAUUUUUAGUCCAAAAAUUGGUUUAGAACAAAAAUAAGAAGCAAAGUUUUUUGCUUCUCUAUUUCUAAAACAAAAUUGAAAAAUAAACCAUUUUUAUUGCUCGUUCUCUAUACUAGUCGGCCACUCACUGGCCCCCCACCACCACCAAUUGUUAGUUGCCGUUGUUCACUGCCGGUCAUUGGUUGCCGCCGUUCGUUGGUCUCUGGUCACCAGUCACCACCAUUCGCCAUUCGCCACCGCCACCACCAUCUGCCACCUCCUGGGAAGGAUGAAUUUGUGUCAUUAUCAAACGAAAUUCUAUUUUGGAAAUAGAAAUUUUGCGUCAUUAUUGAAUACGAAUUUUUGCUCAAAAACUAGUUAGUUAAGCUUAAAAGGGCAUUUGGUUUCUCGGGUUACUGUUCACGGUUCUCUCUUCUUGGGCAUCUGGUUACUGUUUCUACUGUAAUCCAAGCUGCUGAUUCCAGGCGUGUUGGCCGUUCGUUGGGCCAACUUUUUGGGGGAAAGUGACGCCUCUUGCCUCUCUUUCAAACCCCCGGCUUCGUCUCCUGAUACGUAUCCUCUCCUCGAUUCGCUUGGCUAUCGAUGGCUAGGGUUCUGCCCGCCUACUCGCUGCUGUGAUUCGUGAGUUGAGAUGGAUACGGAGUUGAGGAGGGAUUGAAAUGAGGAGAAGGGGACAAGUUCCCAUGGUGGGUUUCCCAUUCUGACUGAGGAAACUUUGUUGAUGACUGGUAUGGGAGGAAAUUCGGGUUUGGACUCUGCUCCGUCUGGUCCGAUCGAAGCGCGAGUUCCUCGCACAAGUGGUGGGGCGCGACCUGUCCAGCGAGGAAGGUCCCGCUCAGCUAAGCCUCAGGGCAGGGAAACUGCCAAGAAUUCAUUAGGGAAAUCGUGGGUUGCGGUGGCAAGAACCGUGGCCAAGGGCUACGAUUUGGUGUAUACUCCACCGACUAUGGUUAACAAUAGACCUGUGAUUGAGAUCACUGAUCAAGAUCUAGAAGCUGCAGAUCCCAAGAUGUUUGAAUGCUUAAUGGGCUACUUCAUUGGUCGUCGAAUGCCUUUUAAGGUAGUUGAGGAGGCUAUGAAGAAAAUGUGGGGGCCGAACCUUACUGAAGUCAUGUCAAAUGGCAAAGGUCUCUUUAUGUUUCGCAUUCCUGAUAGGGAAUUCCGUUGAAGCGUGCUUGAAAGUGGUCGGUUGACGGUUGCUAGAAUACCACUUGUGCUGCAGCAAUGGACCCCUGGUCUUGAGCUGAGAAGGGAGACCCACCGUGUCGUUCCUGUUUGGGUUAGACUAUUGAACAUCCCCUUUUCGUGUUGGUCCGCCCACUUCAUUGGGAGAGUUGCAAGUGAACAGAGCAGGUGAACAGCCUUACCUUUGCUAGGUCUGCAUCGAAAUUACUGCUGAUCAACCUGAUUGUAAACUGAUUGAGACAACCCAUAAUGGUACGAAGUGUGAAAUAUGAGUGGAGUUUGAGUGGCGACCCACUGCCUGUGUUGAAUGUGGCAUUUUUGGCCACAAUUGUGCAGCGGCUAUUAGGACUGGUGGACCUGGAACAUAACGUGUUGAUGCUGGUCCUUCUUCAAAGGAAUCUGAACCUCAUAGCAAGGCUGCAAGUGGAAAUAUCACACAGCAAAUCAGACCAUCUUCGGUGGCGUCUGAGGAUCAAGGGGGAAGGUCUUCGGGUGCGCCGUUGGUCCCUUUUCCGGAAUCUGCAAUGGAUGCAGGAUAGACUAGGAGCUCCUUUGGUGGUUCCCCUCCUCUUGUUCAGCAGGUUGCAGAUCUGGAGGUACCUCUUCCAUCGCACCAAAGUGACCUUGCUCAACAUGGGAAUCAGGUCAAAGGCAAGGAGAAGGAGCAGAAGUCGUAGAACUUGAAUACUUCGUUGACACCAUACUCGGAGGCGAGGCAGCCUUGCAACCUGAAGGAAGCUGUACCUGGACAAAAGCCUCCUAAAGUCCCUGCAAAAGUUAGUUCUAGCCUUUCCUCUCAGGCUUCUGACUUGGCACCGGAUGCUGUUAUGCCACCUGGAGACCAGGAAGAUGAGACCAGCAAUAUUUCAUCUAAUGAAGACGGUGGCCACACGCCUAGACCCGCUCCUUCGAGUGGCCUUUCGGAACCUACUGGGGCUGGUUCGAGCCAAGAUCAGCUUCUCCUUUUGUUGCCUGACCCGCUGGGACCUUCUCCUACGGAGGACUCGAAAGCGACUAGAAGUAGGCGCAGGGGCGCCAAGCGGAGGUAAUUCUCUCCUUUUGCUGUCUAUGUUUUUUGGUUUUUGGAAUGUUAGAGGUAUUAUGAACCCUGUUAGAAGGGCGGAGAUUAGAAAGUUUGCUAUUGCAAAUAAGCUUUGCCUUAUUGGGCUUUUUGAAACUAAAGUUCCAGAGCCUUUGUUUGGUUCCAUAUCUUCCAAUAUUUUGAGAGGCUGGAAUUGGAUUGCGAACUAUGAUUUUGCUCCGCGCAGUAGAGUUUGGAUUGGAUGGGAUCCAGCUACCGUCAGUUUUGAGUUGAUCUCUUCGAAUGACCAAGCCAUCCAUGGGUGCUUGAAGGGGUUAUCUUCUAAUUUUACUUGCUGUGUUUCCGCUAUCUAUGGAGAGCAUUCCUUUGUGCGGCGGAGGACUCUUUGGUCUGAUCUUAUCAAUUGUGACGAUCUUUUUCAAGACUAUGCCUGGAUAGUAGCCGGAGAUUUUAAUGCAAUCAAGGACCCUUCUGAUCGCGUUGGUAGCUCUAAUGCCUGGAUCCUCUGUUUUGAUGAUUUCAAGUUAUGUCUGGACCAAACGGAACUUGAGGACCUCAGGUACUCUGGCCUUCGGUUUACCUGGUCGACCUUGGCGGGUGCGAAUAGGAAGAUGCGAAAAAUUGACAGAGUUCUUGUCAACUCUAAAUGGAGAAUGGACUUUUCAUACUCGGAGGCGUUGUUUCUCAAUCCUGGAAUUUCUGAUCAUACUCCUAUGGUUGUCAGGGUUGUGGAUCCGCGUCCAAGGAGGAAGCCUUUUAAGUACUUUGAUUUUUGGGUUGAUCACCUAGACUUCCAUUCUACGGUCUUACAGGUGUGGGAUAGUCAAGUUUGGGGAGUUCCCAUGUUUAAACUAGUUUCGAAGCUGAAAUUGUUGAAAUCUCGCCUCAAGGAUCUUAAUCUGGAGGCUUUCUCGGAUAUUUCUCUGAGAACUCUUGAAGCGAGGGAAGCCUUGCGUUCUACUCAACAUCUCCUUCAGUUGGAUCCUGAAAAUAUUCCACUAGCUGAGAUUGAAAAAGGGCAGUGCCGUGCUUUUAUAGACCUUCAUGGUCAAGAGGAAUCGUUCUAUAAGCAAAAAUCAAGAAUUAGAUGGCUGAAGGAAGGAGAUCGCAACACGAGAUUCUUCCACAAUUGUGUCAAAGCUAGACAUCUCAAUAACCGUAUCCUCUCUGUCAAAGACACUGCAGGUACGGUCGUCUCGGACCUUGAUUUGGUGCCUCAAGUUUUUCUAUCUUUCUUUUCGGAUCUACUUGCUCCUCGAGCUGGCUUAGCUAAGCCUGAUCUUCAAGAGCUUACUUCUCUUAUUCGAAAGCCACUUUCCGAUAGCCAGGUUUAUUCCCUAGCUUCUCCUGUCUCUGAUUUGGAAGUUAAGAAGACCUUGUUCUCGCUUGCGAAGGGAAAAGCCCCUGGUCCAGAUGGGUUUACAGCAGAAUUCUUUAAAAGUAACUGGGAUAUCGUAGGCCCUUUAGUUAUAGAGGCUGUGAAAGAUUUUUUCUCCUCAGGUUGUCUUCUUAAAGAAGUUAAUGCGACUAUCCUAGCUCUAAUUCCUAAGGUGCUGAAUGCUUGUGAAGUAAACGACUUCAGACCGAUUGCUUGCUGCAAUACUAUCUAUAAGCUUAUCACCAAGAUCUUGGCCAAUAGAAUUGCGCCUGUACUUCAGGAUAUUGUAAACCCGUCCCAAAAUGCGUUUGUAAAAGGAAGAAGAAUAAGGGAUAAUAUCUUAUUGGCUCAAGAGCUGUUUGCAGGCUUCCACCUAGACCCAUACCUCCCAAGAUGUGCGUUCAAAGUGGAUUUUCGCAAGGCCUAUGACACUGUGGACUGGGAUUUCCUAGAGCUUACUCUUACGGCCUUCCGGUUUCCUCCGUGGAUUAUUCGUCGGAUUAUGGCUUGUGUACGCACACCCAGGUUCUCUAUCUCUAUUAAUGGGGAGUUUCAUGGCUUCUUCCCAGGAGGUAGAGGCCUUAGGCAAGGCGACCCAAUGUCUCCUUAUUUAUUUACAUUGAUCAUGGAAAUCUUCUCGGGAAUAUUGAACCAAAGGUCUUCGACUAAAGACUUUAAAUAUUAUUGGAGAUGUAAGUCUCCUAAGCUUACUCAUCUGUUUUUUGCAAACGAUGUGUUCCUCUUUUGCCAAGCAGAUUGGAAAUCGGCUGUGAUCCUCAAAAGAAGCCUUGACAUUUUCUCUUCAUGGAGUGGUCUUCUCCCUAACAAAAAUAAGAGCGACAUCUUUCUUUCGGGAGGCAAUCUUGCUUUGUGCAACAGAAUCCUCAUAGCAUUUGGUUUUCAGGAAGGUAAACUCCCGAUUCGGUACCUUGGAGUGCCGAUUAUCUCAAAGAGGUUGAGUAAGGCUGACUGUACUCAGUUAAUUGACCGCAUUACCGCGCGAGCCCGCUGUUGGUCCCACAGGUUCCUCUCUUUUGCCGGGAGACUUCAGCUCAUAAGGUCAGUGCUUCACGCUAUUCAGUCUUUUUGGGCUAGUGUCUUCACUUUGCCCUCCUCGGUUAUCCUGGGAAUUGAAAGCAUUCUUCGUAGAUUUCUUUGGAAAGGCACCUCCUUGGAUAAGGGAGGUGCUAAAGUCUCAUGGGCGGAUGUUUGUUUGCCUAAGGAGGAAGGGGGCCUGGGUAUUCGGUCUAUCAAAGAUUGUAACAAAGCCUCAAUGAUGAAAUUCAUUUGGAUCCUCUUUACGGAUAAGGAAUCUCUGUGGUGCCGUUGGAUCCACUCCAACUUUUUAAAGAAACAUAACUUCUGGGUUGCCCCUCAGCCUUCGGUUUGUGCAUGGAGUUGGAAGAAGAUCCUUCAACUUCGGGGCGGUUGUAGACAAUCCUUCGGUUGGGAGGUCGGUGACAGCCAAUCUAUCUCAUUGUGGUUCGAUAGCUGGUUGCCUUGUGGCCCUCUUCAUUUACAAGUUCCUCAAUCUUUUUAGUUGGACCCCGACGUUCCAGCAAAGGCAACUGUGGCUUCUUUAUAUUCUUGUGCGGGAAGAUCCUGUAAAUUGCGGUUGGAGAAUUGUGGUUUCUCGCUUCCUCCUCUUUCGGUUGAUAGCGAUCGUUUUGUGUGGUGUCAAGAUUCUUCGGGGGCCUUCUCCAUAGCUUUUGCUUGGAAUGCCAUCAGAGCUUCUAAAGCCAAAGCACCUUGGACUUCUUUUGUGUGGGAUAAAUUUAGCCCCUCGGUUUCAAUUCCUCUUGUGGCUUAUUACUAAAAACUGCUUGCCAACGCAGUCACUUCUUCUCUCAUAUGGAAGGAUCGAUUACUCGGUUUGCACAUUUUGUAAUACUUAGCCUGACUCGACUAACCAUUUGUACUUUGAGUGUAAUAUUUUGAAUACCGUUAUUUACUUUUGGGCAACUAGGUGCAAUUUGCCGUGGAAGAACGGCACCUGGGCAGAAAACCUUGCUUGGGCUAUGAAAUUCCUUACUGGUAAAGACUUCUUUCAUAGUCUCUCCCGCUAUUCCUUUGGAGCUCUUUGCUAUCUAAUUUGGAAGAAGAGAAAUGCUAUGAUUUUUCAAGGGGAAUCUCUUGAUAUUCCCGCUUUGAAGAACCAUUUGAUAAAGAUGGUUAAAGAUAAAGCAAUUACAUACAAGGAUGUCCCUGACACUCAAAGGAAUCGGCAUCUUCAGAGGGGUUGGGAGCUUGACCCAAUUAUCUUCACUUAACCCUUUGGGGUUUCUAUCCUUUUGAUCCUGCUAGGUCGUCUUCAGCACGGAUGUUCUGGGCUUCGUCCAUGGAGAUCUGGUUGCUGAAUCUGGUGGCUGGGCUGUGUCUGUUGUUUGCGCUCUUUCUGUCCUUGCCCUUUGGGGCUUUUGCGCGGCUCCCUUCCACUCUUUUGUUCACAUUUAGAGUGUAAGUUUUGGUGCCGUUUGUGUACAUUUUUCCUUUGCUUAUCAAUAUAUUCUUGCCUUUACCAAAAAAAAAAAUUUUGCUCAAAAACUUCUCCAGAAAUAAUAAUAGAAAAACCUAUUUAUCUUUCAGAAAUCAAUUUCUAACUAGAAUAGUUAUUAUUCAUGCGCUAAGAGAUUUUGGUAAUAUUGAAAAAAAAAAUGCCUCUUGAAUUAACUUAGAAAACUUUUAGUUUGAUUGAAUUCAAAAAAAAAAAAAACUUAUUCAAAAAAACGGAAAGAUAAAUGUCACUUAUGAAGAGCAUCAUAUGUUAGCCAUUCAUUGAAAGUACUUUAGUACACUAAUUUACAUUUAUCAAAUAAGAUAACUUAGUAUAUGUGAUUUAGAUUGAUGACGAUAGAUAUUUGAUUUUGUAAGCUUCACCCUAAGCUCUAAGAAAUUAUGCUUUUUUUUGUUUUAUCAAGCACAUAAAAAAUGUGCUUUUUAAUAACUUAUGAACCUUAAUAAAAAAAUAAUAAAUUUAAUAUGGGAUGCUCAUGUUUUUUACUCAUUUUCUUUAACUUUUGGUCUUACUAUUUGUUAAAUUAGAAAACUUAUUGGUAUUGAUGUACCCAAAGGCAAGUAUAACGGUGGCUAGUUUUGUCUUGUGGCUGAAAAUUGGGACAUUUUUACGAGACAUUUGGGCCAGGAGUGAAAGCUGGGGGCUUUUUGAGGAAAACGCCAAUGCCAUUUAAAUCAUCUUUUAUUUUUCAAGGAAAAUAGUGUGUUGACAAUAAAAGAAGUAUCUGUUCACAAUUUUUUAAAAAUAUCCAUUUUAAUAAGAUAUGUUGUUUUAAUGUAUCAUCUUUAUUUUCACUUUAUACUAUAUUUUCCCCAUCAAUAUAAAGAAGAGUACUAAGUACAUUUUAUUCAAAUAAUUAAAUAAGCCAUAAUAUUCAAUUGUUAGAGCCGCAAUUUUUUUACCCAUUGUUUGAAGUAUUUGCAUCCAAUGAACUUUUCUUUUUUCUUUUUUUCCAAAUCUGCGUUUUAGAAAAUGAUAAGGGAAAUGAUUUCUCUUACCAUCAAAUUAAUGAGAAUGCAUAAAAUCAUCUUCCCAAUAGGAAUAUUUUUCGACCAAAUUGGCUUUUUAUCCUAUUGAUACUAAAAUUCCAAGGGUCAAUUUGAGAUUUUUAGUGAUAAAAAAAUUAGUUUAGAAUAAAUUUGUUACAGAUAUGUAUCAAUUUGGGAUUUCUAAUGAUAAAAAAAAUUAGUUUGGGUUAUAUUUAUCAUAUGUGUAUCAAUUUAGGGUUUUUUGUAAUAUUAACCCUCAAUUAAAAAUGUUUUACAAUUAUGCUUAUUGUUCAUCAAUCUAAAAAUACGACAAUAACAAUCAAUCUAUAAUAAACUAGUGGCUUUUUAACAACAUAAUCGAUGGUAUUUUCAAUUAUUAUCAUGACUUUUGAUAAGUUAAUUGUGAUUUUAGGAUAAUUUAUUUUCCUAAAUGAAUUAUAAUGUGUAUUUGUAUAUUGUCUUAAAUUCAUUAGAAUCAAUAUCCCAUUCUACUUCCACUAUACAUUUCUCAUAACAAAGCAAAAGAACCUUCAUUAUAUCCAUCCUGUAAACUUAAUAAAUAGAAAGUUAUCUCAUUCCGUUUUCAUUGUACCAAACACAAAUUCGCUUGGGCAUCGAACUCUGUAGGAUGCCGCAGAUUAAAGACCAUGUGUGCCUUGUGCGUCUCCAGACAAAUUUGAAAAAAAAAAAGAAUUUAAUUUGCAAGGAAAAGUUUAAGGAUCCCGGCGUACAUUUUGCCGAAGUUUCAACUUUAUUGGUGUUCAUAUAUAUAUAUAUCCGUCUGACAACGGUCGACAGGUUAAAAAGGUCCCUAAGCAUGGAUGAAAAAGAAAAGAAAAGAAAAGAAAAAAAGUCAAAAAAAAAGCGUCGCAGAAGGAGGGAGCACGUCCUAUGUGCCCGCCUUUCCAGGCAAACAGCGUCACCAAAGGAGAGGGAGCAUGUGCCCUUAGCCCUGCCUUCCCAGACAGACGGUGAAGAUCUCCGAACUUGCUUCCUUGAGAUUGGAGGUCCUGAGAAACUUUGUGUUGAGAUCAACGAGAUAAAUUAUAACCAGUCCUACCGGCUUUAAGUUGCCGUAAGAGUUCUGCCUGUCCAGUAACUUUCGGCUUCAUAGAGCUCAGACAUCUGCUUUUGCUGAACUGGUGCGACUCUGGUGCUUCAUUUUCUCUGCGAUUGGUUGCGAUGCAAGGGGCGACUAUGAAGUGUUCUUGAGCUAUAGAGGACCAGACUCGCGUGCAGGCUUCACCGAUUUUCUCUAUACCUACCUCGUAGAUUUAGGAGUUCGUACAUUCAAAGAUGACGAAGAUCUCCGCAUCAGUAAAGAGUUCGGCCCCGAACUAAUCCAAGCGAUUGAGCAAUCGAAGAUCUCCAUACUCAUCCUCUCUAAAGGUUAUGUUUCUAGUGUAUGGUGUCUUAAGGAGUUGACCCAAAUGGUGGAGUGUAGGAAACGGAAGGUCAGAUAAUUUUGCCCAUCUUCUACAAUGUCAAACCAUCCAUGGUUCGAGACCAAACCGGAUGUUAUGGUGAGGCCAUUUCUUUGCACAAGCAGCGAUAUGACGAUGAGACCGUCCGACUGUGGACGGCUGCUCUCCGCAAGGUUACAGAAUUGCGGGGAUUCGACCUCACAGCUAACAGGUACCUAAUUAUCUUCCACCGUUGACGAACGCCAUAAUACAGGAGACCAUGAAAUUUAAGUACAAACCUUUGCAUCUCAUGGCACCGUGCUUUUGUCUGGGUCGAUUUAGUAAAAAUGUGUACCACUAAUUGCACGGCCUGUUUGCUGAUUGCUGUAUGAUAGUUUUCGAAAGGAGAGCGUGAACUUUUUUAUACAACUACUUCAGAGUUCAGACAUUAUUGGACUUACAUUAAUCUUUGUGCAUGUGUCUUGUGCACAUGUGCACACAUUGAUACAGUGUUCCCAGAGAAGCUUCAUUCGCCAAGAAAGCUGUCGAAUACGUGUUGAGUAUAUUGAAGAGGAGAAACUUUGUUGGAAUCGAGCAUCAUGUGGAGAGAGUUAUGGAAUUACUAAAUGUGGAAUCUAGUGAUGUUCACGUAGUUGGAAUACAUGGCAUAGGGGGCACUGGGAAGACAACGAUUGCAAAGUUAAUCUACAAAAAGAUAUUUCAUCUCUUUGAUAGCUUUAGCUUUCUGGAGAGCGUUAGGGAAAAUGCAAAAAAACCAGGAAGCUUAGUCAAUUUGCAAGGUCAGUUGAUUUCUGACCUUCUAGGUGCAAUGCAUAGACAAAUUCCUUCUGUUAAUGAUGGGAUUAAGUCCAUUAGAAGCAUAUUCUUCCACAAGAAACUUCUCAUUGUUCUCGAUGAUAUUGAACCAAGCUUGGAACUUGCAGAAAUUAUAGAAAGUCUUGAUUGGUUAGGCUCUGGAAGCAGGAUCAUAAUUACCACCAGAGACGAACAAGCUUUAAAUGAGCUUGGAGUGUCCCUGAAAUAUAAGGUCGGGGGAAUGCAACCACAGGAAGCCCUUAAACUUUUCCAUGUCCAUGCCUUCAGGGAGAAAUCUGCUCCAGAUGACUUUGCUACUCUGUCCGAAAGAAUAGUAUCAACUAUUGACCGCCUUCCUCUGACUAUUGAGGUUGUCGGGUCGUAUCUAUUUUCUAAAAGCAAGGAAGUGUGGACACAAACAUUAGACGAGUUGGAAAACGUACCUGAGCUGCAGGUUCAACAGAAUUUGAUGGUAAUCAUCAAAGCAUUACCUGAGAAGCAAAGACAGAUAUUUUUGGACAUUGCUUGUUUCUUCAUUGGAGAGUACAAAAGUGUUGCAUGCCACCUAUGGUCUGACCAUGAUUCUGCUGGCGAACUGGAAUUAGAGGUGCUCGUCCUCUGGUCUAUUGUUAAGAUUGAAAAUGAUAAGCUGUGGAUGCAUGAUCAACUUCGAGACCUAGGUAGGAAUAUCCUCCAGCGGGAAUAUUCUGAAACUGGAAAGCGCAGUAGAUUGUGGAUUCACGAGGAAGCCUUGGAUGUGCUGAUGAAGGAAAAAGUAAGAUCCAAGUUCAUAAUGUACUUGUUCAUAACUGCUUUUACCUUUGAUUGUAUGCCUUACAAAUCGCGUUCCUUUUUUCAUGGAGAAAAGAUACCAUCAGCACUAAUAAAAUGAUUAUUUUCGUUUGAAGCCUCUAACUUCACACAAUUUUGUGGGAAAAUGCUAAGUUCCGUUGGUAAUCCUGCAUUCCACAUGUAGGGAACGGAAAGUGUUGAAGGUGUUCUUCUCAAAUUCGAAAAUCGGUCAAAAUGCAGUUUUAUACCAGCACAUUUUGCGAGUACAUGGAACAUGAGAUUCCUUCGAUUGGAUCAGGCGAACCUCGAAGGAAAUUUUGAGCGGCUUCUGUCAAGUUUAAGAUGGCUACAUUGGCAAGGCUGUCCUCGGAAUCUUCAUGCUGUAAAUUUGGAUUUGAAAAAGUUGGUUAUUCUAGAUCUUUCCUGGAGCAAGGUCAAUGAAAAAUGGAAUGGUUGGUGUGAAAUUGAGGUAGAAAAGUAUAUUAUUUUUAAUUUCAUUUGUUGAAUGGUUACGGAAAUGUUAACUUUUUUGUCCUCCUAUUUUCUGACAGAAAGCAAAGAAUUUGAAAGUUUUGAACCUCACUGGUUGUGUUGACUUGAUCAGAACUCCAGACUUAUCUUAUUACAAACGUUUAGAGAGAUUGAUUCUUGAAAGGUGCAUUCGGCUGGUUGAAAUCUGUUCAUCAGUAAAAAGUCUAGAGAGCUUGGUUUCGCUGAACAAGAGGUUUUGCAUUGAACUCAAUAAGUUGCCUAAAGAGAUGGGUUCCCUCAUAUCCUUGGAGGAGAUUCUUAUAGAUGGAACUGCUGUUCAAGAAAUUCCUGCCUCCAUUGGUCAUUUGCAAAAUCUUGGAAGAUUCAGUGCCUGCAACUGUCUUUCAUUGAUCCAGCUGCCUGAAUCAAUUGGCCAUGUAGAAUCUUUGAGAGUCCUUGCAUUGAAUGGUACCAAAAUAGCUAUACUUCCUCUGUCUGGAGAGUUACAAGUGCUACAACACUUGUCAAUAAAUCAUUGUAGGUCGAUAUUGAAGUUACCAACAUCCUUGGGGACUUUGGCUUCAAUGACCAAACUUGAUCUAUCAAGCACUGCAAUUGUCGAAUUACUUGAUGAUGCCAGUAAGUUAAAUCUUCUAACAGUACUCAAAAUUGAUUUUACUUUUGUAAGAAAGCUGCCUAGCGCUAUAUGGACAUUGAAGAGGCUUGAAGAGCUACACGCUUCAAGAUGUCGAAGUUUGGAUGGGGAAAUUCCUAGGGAUAUUGAGAUGCUUUCUGCAUUAAAGGUCUUGAGGCUUGGAUACUCUCAGAUUUGUGGUCUACCAGAUAGCAUUUCUAGACUUCCCAAUCUCCAAACACUUGAUCUACUUCAUUGUGACCAGCUCCGUGAAGUGCCCAAGCUUCCUCCUAGUUUAAUAAGCCUAUUCGUCAAUUCUAAAUUGAUGCACAGGAUCCCAAACAUCGGUAACCUGGUUAAGUUGGGAGAGUUAUUCUUGGCUGAUGGGUCCCAGGAGCCAGUAUUGCCUAUUGAAAGUCAAAUUGAGUUGAAACGAUGCACUGAUUUGCAGCUUUGGAGUUUGUUAGAGCUAAAGAUAUUGCAGCUAUCUGUGUUAAAGAUCCAACCUGUUGCGUUGCAUUACCUUAUUAAGCUCAGGAAGCUCUCCCUUUGCUGCAUUCACUUGGAAGAGCUACCACAACUUCCUCCAGGUUUGUCCACUCUAUCACUUCACCAUUACAAGUUGUGGACAGGAUUGCCAAAUCUUUCGCAUUUGGAGUUUCUAUCAGAAUUCGAGCUUUUCAACUGUGCGGUAAAAGAAGUUGCAGGCCUCGGGGAGUUCAAAUCCUUGCGAGUUUUCAGAAUAUCUCACUGUAACUUGCAGCGGCUGGAUGAACUGGAGAACUCAAUAUUUUUAGCAUCAUUGAAUGUAUCAUACUGUCGAAGUCUUGAGAAACUACCCAAUUUAUCAAAUCUAAAGAUGCUGAAAGACAUUAAAAUCAAGGACUGUCCGAAGAUUCCUGAUAUUAGAAGUGUCGAACACCUGAAAUCCUUGGAGAAGCUAAGCAGUUCAACAACUGAGGCAGAAAGCUCAUCCGAGGUAACCAACUCUGCUGAUUUUCCCACUGGACUGCAUAGAUGGAGUAUGGCACUUGAUAAGCACGUGUCAUGUCUGGAAUUUUUAUAAACAUGAAUGGAUUGCUUAAGAAUAACAAAAGUGCAUGACAAGAUGAAUUAAGAUCUACAGGAUAUUUCUCCCAUUAAAACAUGCAGAAUAAUUUUUCAAGUGAAAUUUGGGUCAUCUAGACUUUAUAUUUCUUUCAUCUUUUUUUAAGGGAAGAUAGGUGCAAAUAUGUAAGGACUCCAAUUGCUUUUCUUCUUUAAAAGGGCUUUUUUUUUUUACUUUUCUUUAGUUUUUUUCUGCAAUAUAGAAAUAAAGAACUUCUAUUUGUGCCAGUUAGUUUAAUCAUGCUUUCCGGAGGUGUUGCUACGUAUUCAAUUCAGACCUGUGAACGCUUUGGUAUCUUAAACUUUGAUGUGGUGUGGAAAAGCGCUGACCACUGUACAGUAUCUUAAGCCUUACGCAAGUUAAUUCUUAAUCCAAGCUGUGAAUAAAUUGGGAUGAGUGGCUCAUAGAAGGUAUUCCAUUCUCCAAACUGUUCUCUUGCCAAUCUUGUCCGACAAGCUAUUCUUCCAAGGACACAGUCUGAUCAAUACUGUCAAUGAAAUCUCAAAAUUUGUAUGGUCUCUUUUCACAUUCAGUGAUUUUGAAUCUAAGCAUUGAUCUUUAAAACCAUUUUGACAGAUGGUAGAAGUCGAUGCACUGAAUACAUGCUUGCACAAGUUUUGUCACAGGUGGAGUUUAGCAAACCAGCUAAUACCGAACAUUCUUCCAUUCAGGGUGUCAAACGCAAACACAAAGGUAUGCUCUACAUUGAGAUUGUCAAGUCUGAAUUCGUUCUAUAAGAUUAAGCAUGAGUUCAACCUUGAAAUGUAAACUCUUUUAGAGGUCAUGGCUAGAAGGCUGCCAGACCAUACAAUAAAUCUUUUCCUUAACUAUUGCUCCUUUUGCUAUAGUAAGUACGUAUGAUCCUUAAGACUAUAGUCUACGAGAGCACACAAACAUCAUCAGCUCCUUUUGUUCUCAAUCAUUUUACGCUUGGAAAUUGCAUUUUAUCUAUCUAUUUAAUGAUGCGAGGUUGCUAUUUGACACUUGUCUCCUAUCACAAUACAUGAUUGAUCACCUCUUUUGUCUGACAUUGUUUUUCCAACCGAUACAUCAGAGAAGGAUGAUGGCAAAGCUUUCCCUAACGAUGAUGAAGAUGAGGAUGAAGAUAAAAUUACAGAAAGGAAGAAUAAUAAAACUGCUAAAUGCAUUGCCUUGGAGGUUUCUCACGAGCCCACUCUUCCACUUAAAGUACGAACAAAUUCCUCCAAGUCUCACGAGUCAAUCACUGAAACUGUGGGCGCUUCUUCUAACUUGCAAAGUUCUCCCUCUGUUGGAGGUUCAUCAACCACGUGGGCUAGAGCGAACGUAAAGCUACUGACGUCUUCCUUUCUAUUCCGAUUGACUCUGUCAAUGUUAAUUUUAUAUUUCUUUCUGGCCGUUACUUCCAAAUUCAACCGUCAGUUGAUUUUCAGAACCAAACCAAUACACUCUUUUCCAUAUAAAUCAGACUUAUUUGAUGUUAAGCCUGAUAAGGAUUCCAGUCUGCCAGUGGAUCUGACAGGGACCGAUACUACUGGCAUCUCUCCAACGACGGAGCAAGGUGAUAUGCCAUUUGACAGGGCAUCGACUAUCCCUUCUUUGGCAACAAUUGUUCCUGCUUUGCCUCCUCCUGCUGCUCGACCGAAGCCGUCAUCAGCAACAGAUGAAGACAGAACCUCUAUUAAUGCUGAGGCAGAUUUAUAUGGUGACGAUGAGGAGUCUCUUUUCUUGAAGAUUGAGUCUCUGUUGAGUGGCGACACAGGAAAGCAAAAUACUGGUGCAGGGAUGUCACGGUCAAGUCAAUCUGAUCUUCAAGCAUACCAGAAAGCAUCACAAGAGGUGGAAAAUAUAAUGAGUCAGGGGCUCCUGGCAAUUAUGUUUAAUCCCAAGCUACUUGGCCAUUUGCAAGAAUUAUUAAACUUCUUAGUUGAACACGAGACGCCAGAGGUCUCUACUUUUGGACAUGUCUAUCUCAAAUUGCAGCACUUCAUUCAGUCUGCAGGCGACUCCCUCUCUUCCCAACGAAAGAUCCUUACAGAAUGUGAGAGGUUUGAAAGAGAGUUCAAAAAGGAAAAUAAUUUUUUGGAGUAUGACAAGGAUGAAGUUCUUUUGCUCAAGCAGCAAAUUGAAGAAACGGCUAAGAGUGUGGCUGACAAUGAGCAAUUUAUUGCCAAACUUCAAGCAGAGAUUGAGGCACGCAAGCUCCGACUUGAAAAUGCGAAGUCAGAACUGUCAUCAUUGUUGACAAAGAGAUCAGAGAAAGUUAAGGAACUGAAGACUAUGUUCAAGCGGGUCCUUAGUAUGAAGAGCGAGAAUCCAAGCAUGGAAAAGAAGAGAAAUCAAGCUGAGGAAACGAUAGGCAAAAUCAAUGUAGAGUGGAACGAAUUGCAUGCAAAUAUUAAAGGCCGAUUGGCCUCUAAGUAGGCUGGCACUCUUAACUUUCUUUUAUUUGAAUCUUCAUGUAUUGAACUUUUCCAUUCUAGCAGAAAACCGGUUUGGAGUUUCCAUCCUAGUUAUUUGUCAUUUCUGAAAGCGUGAAACAGAGUCUAUCGAAACAAAGAGAACACUUGCACAAGCGACUGCGCUUUGAAGGAAAACCAUUUGAGUAAGAGAAUUAGUGUGCUCACCUUGCAAACUCAGCAUGCCGCUCGGCUUGGUCUGCAGUCUUUGAAGGCUCCCUGUUGGAAGAUAUGCCGAAGAUCCACCAGAUUACGUCGGAUAUAUCUUUGAGAUUGUUAUUGAUUAUUUUGUAUCAAUCUAGGAUUAGAUCUAAUAUACUAGGAUUAGAUACGAUAUACUUCCUUUUUCAUUGAACAUCCUCUGUAUUAUUUAAUUCUCUUUGUACAUUGAAACAAUCAAUGAAGUGCACAGAAUACAUUCUCUCUCAUUCUCGAUAUCCUUUGUGAUUCCUCUUUAUUUUCUGACAUGGUAUCAAAGCAAGCGUUUCUUUUCUUCUUUUCUUCUGACUUUCGCAUCCUUUGAUUGCCGCCUGCUGACGCCUAAAUUUCGUUUUUUAAUUAAUUAAGUUUUUUAUUAUUUAUUUUGCCUUUUUCGGAUAACAAAACAAAUAAAAACAGCAAAAAAAGCAAAAGCAACCAGCCCCUUUUCUUUCCUUUUUUCCUCCACGCGGGCCUAGGGCCCGUCCCUCUUUUUCCCAAAUCCAACCCGGCCCCCUUUUCUUCUUCUUCUUCUUCCUUCUUCCAUCUUCCCCUAUGCCUCUGCAGCUCACGCGCAUAGAGGACACCGACGCACGAAGGACAACCUACGGCCGAGGAGAGUAGGCCGACGUCAAUCGGAGAGCAUAAGAUCUCGGGCGCCAUUAAUGCUGAGCAGGCUUCGCUGGAUAAGCUCAUAUGGGAUGCCGGUUCGACCGGCGGAGGCCGUUCGGCUUGCGAAGAUUGGCGGUCAAAGCUCCGUCGACUGGCCACCCCCUCACCUAUAAAUAGCAAGCCACAAGCUUCGUCGAAGGGCACGGCGAACUCGGAGAUCUUCCCUUGAGAGACUUCAGGGGAGAAUCAAAGAGCGAGCACGCGAGAGAUUGGGUCGCGAAGCUCAAACGACCUCCCUCCGAGAGACUUCAGGGGAGGUCGGCAGCAAGCGAGCCCGAGGAGGAGAGAUCCGAGUGGGUGGAGGUUGAGUGAGAGGGAAACUGGAGGAGGGGAGUUCUGAGCAGAGGAGGUUCGAGAUCUGUAAGGCGGGGGUUGCAAGAGAGGGUCGGCCAAGGUUCAUAUCUGCGGUUCUUGCUGCUGUCGUUGCCACCGGACGUUGUGCCGACGCCGUUGCCUCGACCAAGUCCCGACGUCGUUGCCUUGAAGGCUCACUGUCCUUCCCCCACGAAGCUGUUGCUAUGACCGAUCUGCCGAUGCCACGCCAGAUCUGGAAGCUGAGUGGCCGCCGUCAUUGCCCUGUCAUUGCCACCAGACGUUGUGCCGACGCCGUCGCCUCGACCAAGUCCCGAUGUCGUUGCCUUGAAGGCUCGCUGUCGUUCCCCCCGAAGCUAUUGCCGUGACCGAUCCGCCGACGCCACGCUAGAUCUGGAAGCUGGGUGGCCGCCGUCAUUGCCCCGUCACCACCACCGUUCGCCACCUCGUCACAGACAGGUAACAAUAGUCAUCACCGCCGCUGGUCACGUCGUCACUAUCGCAUUCCCUCUCUCGAACCGUGUCGCCACCGACCACACCAACACAGCCGCGUUGUCGCUCAUCCUCGCCGUCCUCCUAAGCGGUUUUUCACCAUCGUUGCCGCCAUCGUCGAGGUCAAGUCCGUCGUCGCCGCCGUCUACCCGGCGACGUCUCAGUCCCCCUCACCAGCGUCGCAAAAGAACGAAGGGGAAAGGAGGCCGGGAACCGGGUCGAUUCGCGGGUCCGUCCAACCCAGUUUCCUUAUUUCCGGGUAGGGUUUCCCCGGGUCGGACCUGCACUCGUCGGGCCGAUUUCUGAACUUGGGCCAGGUCAUUUUCAAAUAGCGAGCUGCUGGGCCGCGAUUAAAAAAGAAAAAAGAAAUGUCAGGCCUGCGUUGCAAGCCCAUCUGCGUUCUGGGCGAACGGCCCGAGUCAGACCCAACCCACGGACCUGAUCCGGGUCGGUUUUUCUAUUAUUUUAAAUAAUAUUUUAAUAAAUAAAUAAAAAUAAAUAAUUUAUUUUCAAAAAAUGAUUUAUUUUCGAAAAAUAUUUAAAAAAUAGUAAAAAAUAUUUUAUUUUCCGAAAAAUAAAACAAUAAAAAAUAUUUCAUAUUUUCCAAAAAAAAAUGCCAAAAAUCCAAAAAAAUGACAAAAAAAGACUUGUAUUUUCCAAAAAAUACCAAAAAAUCCAAAAAGUCCCCUUUAUGUCCAAAAAAAUAUAUAAAGACCCAAAAAAAAAUGUUUUUCCUCCCCACAAAUACAUGGAGAAUCCCUCAAAAAUCCAAAAAGCCUUAGGGCUUAAACAAGAUUAGGUACCAAAAGGUUAUUAGUGAUUAACUAGUGUAAUCAAGUCCCCGACCCUAAUUUCUCUGGUUGCGCAGGAGCAAGUAUUUCUCCCGAUAUUUCGUUUGGGUUUCUAAUCGACCCACCUCAAAUUGAUUAGUGGUGACUCCGUUUUAAAAUUAAUUUAUAGGUUAAAAACUUAGACUAUUAAAGUCGUGAAUUGGUGGACUUGGGAGAGUCCGGGCCUAAUAAAUUCAACCAAGCCAUUAGCCUCCAUCGGCGCCCGUACCCAAUUGCGGGCGCCGAAAAAAAGAGGUCACGACAGCUUGGCGACUUCACUGGGGAAUAUUUGAGGACUUAGGCCGUUUUAUCUUGUUUAAGCACUUUAAUGACUUGUUUUGUUUUUUAUCUUUAUACAGGUCAAUAGCUUAAAUGUUUAUUUGAAUUUUGGUUAAAAUAGAUUGUUUUGUGAUUAUAAACUAUUGUGCAUGCUUUACUAUUUUAGCACUACAUAUGGCACACACAACCCGGCCGUCUGACCUGGGCCGCCAUAGGAUAUUUAGGAUGGUGUUAAGAAAGAUACGGCUUCGGAUGCGAGACUACGUCAUAAGGUUAUCUUUCUUUUCCCCGAAUUUCUUUAGCCGAGGUUAAGAGGGUAUGCUGCUAAUGCGAGACUGCGACGGGCAUCACCUUUUUAAUUUCAACAAACCUUCUCAGUUAGAAAGCGAGCUGCACAUCCCAUGCGCAUGUCCUUGUGUUUGUCAUUUUUCUUUAAAAGCAAAGUAAUUUCUUUACUUUUACUCAGUCUUUUUAUUGGCCCAUGGCAAUCUAAGGUAGGUUUUUCGAGUCUCAGUUUAUAUGCGAUGGGAGGAGACGAUAUCCAGUUUAUUCCCACCCCUAAAGCAGAGCUCUUCAGAUGGUGGGGUCAAUUGGACCAAUUUGCCCAAGAGCGCGUGAAAACCAAAGUCGGCCAUCUCCUAUCAUUAUUCCAAAUCUCUGUUCAUCCUGAAGUCCUGCAGGCCAUGGCACAUUUCUGGUGCCCAAGGACAUCCACUUUUAUGUUCGGUGGGUUCGAGCUAACCCCAACUCUAGAGGAAUAUAGCAUCAUCACUGGACAGUCUCUUGAGAAUCAGCUUGUUAAGCCACCAAUAGGCAUUGACCCGUUGCGUGGGUUAGCACGGCUUUUAAGAACUGAAGUCCAUGUUGUGAGGCGAAUUCAUGAAAACAACCAUAACACCUGCCCACUAGCAUUUUUUAUUGCAUGUUUUGAAAAUCAACCCAUGACCCAAAAAAGUGAAAUUUUCCUUCUAGCCUUUUUCGGGUUCAUCAUUUUUCUCCAUCAAAGAAACGCCAUAAGUCCCUCAAUGGCAUGGGUGGUUGAUCAAGUUUUGAGAGGGCAAAACUGCGUCAACAUGAUUUUAGCCAAAAUGUUUUUGUCUCUUAAUCGUUUUAAAGAAAACACGGAAAAAAUCAUGCGAGCCUCCCCGGAAAUUUUGCAAGUUUGGUUCUUUUCUCACUUAAGCGAAUUUUGAUGCCUCAUGCAAUCAUCCGAAAAUGAUUUCGAAAAUCCAUUACAGAAGUUUGUGAUGCUAGAACCAUAUAUUCCCAACCAAAACUAUUUUAACUGGAUAAAUUUCUUAAGAGACCCCACUCCUGAGACAUUCCAAUGGUGUGAUGGUUGGUUUCGUGAAAAGAGAACUCGCUUUGCUUACAGACAAAGCCAUCCAAUUCCAUUGCUCGGCCUCACCGGUGGCACUCCCUAUUACCCAUAUAGGGUGGCUCGACAGUAUGGAGCACUUCAAGAAAUCCUGCCACUUUCCAGGAAGAAAAUACAUCCACUCCAUUUUACCCACCCAAGUCGUGACUAUGCAUUCGAGAUUGCCAUUGUCGAAAAGACAUGGAGCAAGUGCCAUCGCAAAAGAAUCGUAGUACCUGAAGGGCUUGAGGAAGAAGAAAAAGCCCACCACGCCUCUACAUCCUACAUCCACAACCAUCGUAUUCCGACAAAAUUGAAGCCAUCGGUCCCUCACCCAAUCAGCGAGAUUAGCCAGCACGAGCAAGCAGAGCUUAUGCAAAGGGAUUUGGGAAUAGACUAGAUACAUAUCUUAGAGCCAGUUCAAGGAAGCAGGCAUCCUCACAAGAACAAGGCUCCCCAUCGCAUAUAAAAUAGCAAUCAUGUGCCCCUUAGUGUUAAUAUCGUGAAAGUUUUGUCCCAUUGUUUAGGGACUUUUGUUUAAUAUUCAAUACUUCCUUCUGUCAUUUCAAUUUCAAGUUUUAGAUGUCAGAAGUCUGCGGUCUAUAAAAUCCUCUUUUGAUAAAUAAAAAAGCAGUUAGACCAUUGCCAUGGGUCAAUCUUUGUUUACUUUCGUACUCAUUCGUUGUUUUCGCGACGACAGGUAAUUAUGAAUCAUCGACUAUCAGCCACCCGCGAAUGGCCUCACGUAAUAGGGCCUGAUCAGAAUGAUGUACAAAAUCGCCUCGCCAACAUUGAAGACGGCGUAAGACAGAUGUCUAUUGUCCUUCGACAACUCUCGAGACAAAUGGAAUCCACUCAAGCUGAGCCCAACUCCGUAGUUGCUUUAAGCACCGUCAUGACACCCGUAAAUUUGCCAGAGAAUAACCAUCAUAGACAGUUUGAAAAUAUCAUGAAAAAGUUAAACCAACUGCAAGGGCAGAAUCCCAUGGACUUGUCCAAUUAUCUCGGCAUUAAGAUCCCUAAAGAGCUCAAAGCACCUAAAUGCGAAAGGUAUGCUGAUACCUCCCGCCCAGAGACCUACUUGCAGGCCUACCUGGUUCGAAAGAUGGUUCAAUUGUACCAAUCAAGCUUGACUGGCCCCGCCUUGCGAUGGUACAUUGUCAGGAAGAUUAGUCCCCUUAAGACCUGGAGGGAACUAAUUCAUGUUUUCCACCAAGAAUAUGAUAUUGAUAUCAACCCUGACAUCGCCUUGCCCUACGAAGAACCGAUGGUCGCGGAGCACGAGGAGCCGUUAGUUUGAUGAGAUAGGGGAAGAAGAUGUCAAUGAAGCCUCACAUGAUAAAUGGGCAACUGAGCAGCAUCCUAUUGCUGAAAAAUUUCCCACUGGGAAAAACAAGGAGCCUAUGUACGAAGUCAAAAACACAGAACCCGUUCAAAACCGGGGCAUGACAGGACAACUCCCCAAGCUUAUUGCAAGAGCUAGGGUUCAAAGAAUACCGACCCCUAUCAACCUAGAGAGGGAAGCAAAGAGUGAAGCUCCACUAUCUCUCACUUCCAUUGACAGAAUCAAACUGGCGAAACGAAUGGCCUUACUCAAAAGGUCUGGACCAGGAGCCAAGAAAAGAAAGCCUAAACAAAUCAAUUCAACAUCUACCACUGAGUAUAGGCGAAAUUUGAUAGCUGAUGAGCCAAUGCACCAAAUCUUCAAGCAUUCCCUGGAGUACAACCCUAAGGACUUCUAGUCCCUAGGAUACAAUCCCAAGGACUACCGGUGUUAUAUAGAUGAAAUCGGCCAUUCAUCGUAUAACUGCUUUCUACCCACACACAGGGUCAAAAGCCUGUUAGAAGAGGGAACAUUCGUCUUUAUCCACUAUGAUCCCAAUGAACUACUAAACUUGUCACCCGACCAUGAAGAUAACUUAAAUGCCUCAUCCUCGUUUGGUGAUUUUGACCCGGAAGAAAGCAAUGGGAUAAUCUCGGCAGAGUCCAGUUUUCCUAAAACAGAAAAAUUCAACACUACAACAAAUAUGCAAUGGGAAAACCAGUGGCCUAACCAUAAUACAUCAAGCCCACCUUGCACUCAUAGGAUCAUGACCCCUGGAGAGAUGUAGAUACCUAAUCUCCACAAGUAUAAUGGCACAACUUGCCCCGUGGCUCAUUUAAAAUAUCUACAUGCUGAAAUGAGUCGGUACUAUAGCCUAAUGUCAUUCACAACUCGGGCCUUCUAAGAAAGUCUUAUAGGGCCUGCAUUGCAAUGGUUCAUCAUGACAGAUAUCUACCUCAUGAGAGAUUGGAAUGAUCUAUCUUCUGCAUUCCUGCUUCAGUAUCAAAGCCAAAUUGGAAUUGAACUGCCUUGCGAGAACUUGGUUCACUUUAAAAGAAGACCAAUGGAAGAUUUUCGAGCAUAUGCAAGGAGGUGGAAGGCUUUUAUGAUGCAAACCUACCCUCAACUGGCCGAAGAAGAAAUGAUGAAGGUGUUCAUAGGAGCUUCACCUCACAAGUAUCGUUGUUGGUAACAUGGUUUGCACUUCCGUAGCUUCAAUGAAGUGAUCCUCUCAUGCGAAUACUUCGAGUCUACUAGAGGCGAGGAAUUCUCAGGCACUUGAUUUCAGAAUCAACACUAUCAAAGUGCUCCUUUUUCAUAGGAGUUUUCAUGGGUUUUGCUUGUUUUUAUAAUUUCAUGUUUCUUAUCAUGUCUAGUGUGCUACUAUUGCAUUUUCCAUUCCAGUAAUCUAAUGUACAGUUCUAAUAUUUUGUUUUAAGAACAUGAGGCGGUAUUCCAAACCAGUCCGGUGAUGCUAUCCAACCAUGAAAAAAAUAUCAUCCAAGGAGAAUAUUGAGGGCUAGGCUUCCUCAUGCUUUCUUCCCCCCAAAAAAAUAUAUACUUUUGAAAACCAAAAAUGUUUCAUUACCAAAAGCUUUCGUCAAAACAAGAUGUUAAAUUAUAUUUGUUUUUCUGACUCACUCCCUUCAUAUCUCAGAAUAUCAUCCAUGUUCCCUUUGACUUAGUGUGAUAUGGGGCAUUUGAAGCUAGCGCAUCAUGUGAACUCGCUAAAUUCGAAGACACCCUGCCAAGAAAAUGGGGGCAAAUAGAAAGAAUCAUCCCAUUUAAAAUAUGUAAGUUUAUUCUCUAAAUAUAAUUUUGAAAAUGAUAUCCUCUCUCUUCUAUUUACAGGAAACGAAAGAUACGACGUAAUAGGUACAGGCAUACGGUUGAAAUCAAGUCGUCCCCAAGAGCUCUGUGCACUCCACCUCACUCCUGCCCAACUCCUUCUCAAGCCGGAUCAAUAUCUUUUCCCCACAACGUGCCCAAGCAAUUAGAUGCUGUGAUUUCAUCAAUGGGAUUUCCAGCUUUGACAAGCCAAGAAGCACAGAAAAGGAAUUUCUUCUCUUGAAUUGGCUACUAUCAACAAGGAGAAAAUCUAGAUAGUUGAGGCAAUCUCUAGCCCCCUAUUUCAAAUGAUGACUAAUGGCCUAGAAACCUCACUUCGUACUCCAGACGCAUGCUCUCGCAAGAAGUAAUUGCCAUCAGAGAAUUGGAGGUUUUGAUUGUCCAUCUCAGAUUCCAUAAAAGCUUGAAGUACAUGAGUUUGCUCAAUGCUGUUAAUGGUCAUAUGGUCAAAGACAAAAUGCCACAGAAGGAAGGCGUUGAAGAUGAUUCAACGACCAUCAAUCAUGCAUACAUGGCCACAAAUGAGGAAGGCCAAUUGAAAGAAAUGUCAAACUAUGUCAAGAUGAAGAGGCUAUGAUUGACAUUCAAAUAUUCCUAGGGGUCAUCAAAUAUAAACUUUGGGGAAGAGUAAUUUGAUAUCGUUUCCAAUACUCCCAGUGUCUGAACUCACUUUUGACAUAUAUUCUCCUAUUGGCAGGAAGCAUCAGGAUUCAAGAGCCAAACUUGAUGGUUAGGUUUGGCAAAUCAAUAUUGGCCAAGCUAAUACAUGGAAAUGACUCGUAUCAAAUUCACCUGACUUCGUGUAAAAGGACAUGUCAUCCAGAAGCUGGUUUGGUUAAAUGAAAAAAAAAAAAGCGCACUACUGAUGCCACCGGUGCCUUAGCCUAGUGCAGGAGAAUAAUUGACCUAACGAAGCAAAAUACAUAGAACUUCAUGUCCCACUUGCACUUCAAGUCCAUCCAAUCGUCUGCAAACCAGUGAAGGGUAAUGUUGUAUCACUUCCGAGUUAUUCGACUCUUGAAAGAGCUUAUGACUAACAAGAUCCCUUUUAUCUGUUGCAGGAUCACUUGACCGUAAAAAAUGCGGAUUAUAAGGAGAGACAUGUCAAACUCCGAUAAGUUCUCCUAAGCAAAAUGACGUCCUGAGUAAUCACCAAAGCAAAAGACAAAAAAUCUUCAGGCCUCAACUCACAUUUGAUUUUGGCCAGACUAAUUGAUCUACUUGUACAUCUUCUCUUCUACAGGGGCAAAAGCAGAGAUGCCCAAUCAGAUUCCCAAUCCUUGGCUGAUCAUUCAUGUGUCAUAUCUCUAAUCAAUAAGGACAACCAUCGACAUUUGCGAAUAACCCUUUUGAUGUUCAAAAUUUAACAUAUUUGGAAACACCAUUAUGUUAACUCCUAAAGUUGUCAAUAGGGUCUUUUUUGAGUCAAAACCAUUCACUUGUUUUGAAGAGUUCAAACUCCAUCAUAUCCAAAAUGUUGCAUGUCGUUUCCAGAUGAAUUCUACAUGAUGAAUUUGUCUGUCUAAGUCACUAAUUCCACCAAGGAUUAUUAGAAUAGACAGCUAAGUGAAGAAUACAAGAUUGAUUGAGCAUGCUGGAUGAGGUACGUUAGAAUGAUGAAAGGCAAGCCAUAUCCUACACACAGUCCCCCAUCUAGAUACUUGUGAGAUGAGUGCAGAAGAUUCCAUGACUGCAGGGUAAAGAGUUUUCUCGCGAAUGGUACGAUAACCAAAAUAGUGAGAGGCAUUUCAUUGCUCACCCCUUUGAGCCCUAUACACUGGUGAAGCUUCUCUCAUAUCCCCGUCAAGAACCACCCCACACCUGGGUAGAUCAGAGGCGAAGCAACAUCACAAGGUGAGAAGAGAGAUAGAAAUUUUCUUACUCGCACUUGCAUCAAUCUUCGGGUUUCCUUAUUGCAUAUGAACAAUCACGUUAAUUUAAGUGCCAUAGAAUGACGAAGAGCAAUUAUUUCUCUAUACACUUGUAUUCAUUAUACAACCCAAUUGAGUCUGUAAUUUCACCCUCACAUGGAGGCAAAACAUAAGUUACUACCAUUUAAGCAGCAUAGCCUAGAGCACCUACUGAAGAUGAAGACUCAAGAGUCUAAUAAUGGUGCUUCGAUUGAACUUGCCUAGGCCGGUUCCUCUAACGACAAGAAUGAAAAAACAUGGGCAUAUAAAAGCAGUGUACCUGGUAAAAGCAAGGUCAAUGCCCAUAAAUGAAGAAUUGGAAUAAAAAUAGGGGCAUGAAAAAGUAGUGUGCUUGGUAAAAGCAAGGCCAAUGCCCCCCAGUCAAAAAUAUAGCCACGAAAAUGUUGUUGUUGUGGUCCAUAGAAUCUCCAUUUGACAGUGAGAAGAAAGACUGGUGACAAAUGCCAAGGCAAUCACCAGCUCUCACCCUUUUACACAUGAAUCAAGCCUACAUUGCAUCCCAUUGUAAAAGUCUCUUUAGACUAGGAGCACUUCAAUUAACGUAGGAUUUCAUAUGUCUAUAAGUAUCACUCGAAGAAGUACGAGCAAGACUAUUGUAUCUCUUUUCGCAGGACUCUUGACUUGCAAACCCGAAGAUAAUCGUGCAGCACUUCGUUCAUGAGCCUUGACCUUGACGGUCCCAUUUAAUGAGCUAUUGACCAAGUCUUCAUCACAAUUUCAACAAAGACCUCUCACAUUGGUAAAGUCGUACCACUUACAAGAAUACUCGAACCCCUACCGAUGUGAUGACAGUGAAAAGUGUGGUCCUUAUAAAUCCCGCAUCAAUGGUCAGGAUAGCCUUUUCCAUGAGAGUGAGCGGAAAGUCCUUUCAGACUGAAAGUCCCUCAUUUUGCAUGCUCAAGACAUCUACAUUCUAAAUGAAGGUUGUCUUUCAAAAUCUUCCCCAAUGGAACUCAGAUAAUGCAAAACUGAAAAAAUUAUCAUGCAUGAAUCCCAUUUGAACUCAUGAAUUUUCAGCAUGUACAAUCAUGUGUGCAUAAUGUACAAAUAGCAGACAUACUCUCAGAGAUUAGAGAUAUUGCUAGGUAAGCAUAUCCCUAUCCCUAUUUUUCUUAAAGUACCUACCACUGUCUAGGUGCUCUCUUCUUGACACUCGACCUAUUCGAGUCAUCCCUUGAGUUUAGGUGCUUGCAACUGUCUAAGUAUCCCCUUGUCUUUGAGUACCCACCACUUGUCAGGUACUCCCUUUUUCCUGACACUCGACUUGUUCGAGUUGUCCCUAGUGUAUUGAUACUUGUGACUGACCAAGUAUCCCUUUGUCUUAAAGUACCUACCACUAUCCAAAUACUCUCUUCUUGACACUCGACUUAUUCGAGUCGUCCCUUGAGUUUGUAUGCUUGUGACCGUCUAAGUAUCCUCUUGUCUUCGAGUACCGGCCAUUGUUCGGAUACCCUCUUUUCAUGACACUUAACCUGCCCGAGUUGUCCCCAAAUAAUAUUAGUAGCUGUUCAAGCACUCCACUGUGUUGUGCACCUGCGGUUACCCAGCUACCCAGGUGCUCUAGCCCUUUUGAGUGCCUACGACCAUCUAGGUAAGCCUUGUGCUACAUUCAAGUUUAUGUUGUCAGGAGGUGGGAGACCUUCAUGAAUAUCCAAGGUACGUCCUCGAUAUUCCCCUUUACCAGGAGGUAAGAGACCUUCACGAAUAUGCGAGGCACACCCUCAAUAUUCCCAUUACCAGAAGGUGAGAGACCUUCAUGAAUAUGCGAGGCAUUUCCUCGAUAUUCCCAAUUACCAAGAGGUGAGAGACCUUCACAAAUAUGCGGGGCACGUCCUCGAUAUUCCCAUUUCCAGGAGGUGAGAGACCUUCAAGAAUAUGCGGGGCACGUUCUCGAUAUUCCCAUUUACCAGGAGGUGAGAGACCUUUAUGAAUAUGCGGGGCACGUCCUCAAUAUUCCCAACUACCGGGAAGUGAGAGACCUUCACGAAUAUGCGGGGCAUGUCCUCAAUAUUCCCAACUACCAGGAGGUGAGAGACCUUCACGAAUAUCCCAGGUACGUCUUCGAUAUUCCCAUUUACCAAGAGGUGAGAGACCUUCAUGAAUAUGCGAGGCACGUCCUCGAUAUUCUCAAUUACCAAGAGGUGAGAGACCUUCAUGAAUAUCCCAGGUACGUCCUCGAUAUUCCCCUUUACCAGGAGGUGAGAGACCUUCAUGAAUAUCUAAGGUACGUCCUCAAUAUUCCCCUUUACCAGGAGGUGAGGGACCUUCAUGAAUAUGCGAGGCACGUCCUCAAUAUUCCCAAUUACCAUGAGGUGAGAGACCUUCAUGAAUAUCCAUGGUACAUCCUCGAUAUUCCCCUUUACCAAGAGGUGAGAGACCUUCAUGAAUAUCCAAGGUACGUCCUCGAUAUUCCCAAUUAUCAGGAGGUGAGAGACCUUCAUGAAUAUCCCAGGUACAUUCUCGAUAUUCCCAAUUACCAAGAGGUGAGAGACCUUCAUGAAUAUGCAAGGUACGUCCUCAAUAUUCCCCUUUACUAGGAGGUGAGAGACCUUCUUGAAUAUCCAAGGUACGUCCUCAAUAUUCCCAAUUACUAGGAGGUGAGAGACCUUCAUGAACAUGCAAGGCACAUCCUCAAUAUUCCUAAUUACUAGGAGGUGAGAGACCUUCAUGAAUAUCCAAUCGAUAUUCCAACUACCAGGAGGUAAGAGACCUUCACUAAUAUGCGAGACCCAUCAUCGAUAUUUCCAUAUAUCAGGAGGUGAGAGACCUUCACGAAUAUCUCAGGUACCCCAAUCGAUACUUGUGAUCAUCCAGGUAUCCUCAAAAUUUUGUAUUUGUGACCAUCCAAGUACUCUUUCGAUACCUGCAAGUAAUCAGGUAUUUUUCAGCAUCUAGUACUUGUGAUCAUACAGGUACCCCUUCGAUACUUGUGAAUGUCCAGGUAUCCUCCAAUAGUUUGUACUUGUGAUCAUCCAAGUACCCUUGUGACACCUGCAAAAGCCAAAUAUCCUUCAAGUUAGUACUUGUGAAUAUCCAGGUACUCUUUGAUAUGCCUAUGAAUGUCCAGGUAUCUUCCAAAAUCGAUGCCCUGAGAAAGGUCGACGCAUCCUCCCAAGAAAGGUCAAGUUCUAACUGGUGUCUUCGACAAAAGUCAGACACCCAACAAAUCGAUGCCCUGAGAAAGGUCGGUGCAUCUCCCGAGAAAGGUCGGGUACCAACCGGUGUCUUCGACUGAGGUCAGACACCCCAACAUAUCGAUGCCCUGAGAAAGGUUGACGCAUCCUCCCAAGAAAGGUCAGGUUCUAAUUGGUGUCUUCGACAAAAGUCAAACACCCAACAAAUCGAUGCCCUGAGAAAGGUCGGCGAAUCUCCCGAGAAAGGUCAGGUACCAACCGACGUCUUCAACUGAGGUCAGACACCCCAACAUAUCGAUGCCCUGAGAAAGGUCGGCGCAUCUCCCGAGAAAGGUAGGGUACCAACCGGUAUCUUUGACAGAAGUCAGACACCCCAACAAAUAUGAUGCCCUGAGAAAGAUCGGCGCAUCUCCCGAGAAAAGUCAGGUACCAACUAGUGUCCUCAAUACAGAUCAGGCACCCACAAAUAGAUGCCCUAAGAAAGGUCGGCGCAUCUCCUGUCACGGCGACCGAAGAAAGGUUCGGGUCCGAGACAAACCACUUAUUGCUCUGACAAGCAACCGAAGAAUGGUUCAGGCCCUAGAAAAGCAUUUUACCGUCACGGCGGCCAAAGAAAGGUUCAGGUCCAAGGCAAAUCACUUAUUACUCUAACAGGCGACCAAAGAAUGGUUAGGGUCCUGGAAAUGCAAUUUCCCGUCAAGGCAACCGAAGAGAGGUUCGGGUCUUAGACAAAUUAUUGACUGUUUUAACAGGCAACCGAAGAAUGGUUCCAAGUCUUGGAAAAGCAACCCCCUAAUAUCACCAAGUGAGAUAACGCCUUGAUACUUGCCAAACUCGGGGUUCACACCCUAUCUCACUCACUCCCGGUAAGUAACUACAAGUAUCUUCUUAACUGUCUUAAUAUAUGUAAAAUUAUAUUGCUCUUUUUCCGCAUAAAAUAAUAAGUCCCAAAUAAAAUAUAAUCUGCUGCGCGUGCAUAGAUAAAAUUUAGGCAUUAGUUUGUCUUUGAAUGCAACCUCUGUGAACUCACCUUCAAAGAGGAGCAGCUGUUGACGCGUAAAUUUCAUUUUUUAAUUAAUUAAGUUUUUUAUUAUUUAUUUUGCCUUUUUUGGAUAACAAAACAAAUAAAAACAACAAAAAAAGCAAAAGCAACCAGCCCCUUUUCUUUCCUUUUUCCUCCACGCGGGCCUAGGGCUCGUCCCUCUUUUUCCCAAAUCCGGCCCGGCCCCCUUUUCUUCUUCUUCUUCUUCUUCUUCUUCUUCUUCUUCUUCUUCUUCCUUCUUCCAUCUUCCCCUACGCCUCUGCAGCUCACAUGCACAGAGGACACCGACACCCGAAGGACGACCUACUGCCGAGGAGAGUAGGCCGACGUCGGCCGGAGAAGAUAAGAUCUCAGGCACCAUUAAUGCUGAGCAGGCUUCGCAGGAUAAGCUCAGAUGGGAUGCCGGUUCGGCCUGCGGAGGCCGUUCCGCUUGUGAAGAUUGGCGGUCGAAGCUCCGUCCACCGGCCACCCCUCGCCUAUAAAUAGCAGGCCACAAGCUUCAUCAAAGGGCACGGCGAACUCGGAGAUCUUCCCUUGAGAGACUUCAGGGGAGAAUCAAAGAGCGAGCACGCGAGAGAUCGGGUCGCGAACCUCAAACGACCUCCCUCCAAGAGACUUUCGGGGAGGUCGGCAGUAAGGGAGCCCGAGGAGGAGAGAUCCGAGUGGGUGGAGGUUGAGCGAGAGGGAAACCGAAGGAGAGGAGUUCUAAGCAGAGGAGGUUCGAGAUCUGUAAGGCGGGGGUUGCAAGAAAGGGUCAACCAAGGUUCAGAUCUGGGGUUCUUGCUGAUGUCGUUGCCACCAGACGUUGUGCCAACGCCGUUGCCUCGACCAAGUCCCGAUGUCGUUGCCUCGAAGGCUCGCUGUCGUUCCCCCACAAAGUUGUUGCCGUGACUGAUCCGCCGACGCCACGCCAGAUCUGGGAAGCUGAGUGGCCGCCAUCGUUGCCCUAUCACCGCCACCGGACGCUGUGUCGACGUCGUCACUCGACCAGUCCCGACGUCGUUNNNNNNNNNNNNNNNNNNNNNNNNNNNNNNNNNNNNNNNNNNNNNNNNNNNNNNNNNNNNNNNNNNNNNNNNNNNNNNNNNNNNNNNNNNNNNNNNNNNNNNNNNNNNNNNNNNNNNNNNNNNNNNNNNNNNNNNNNNNNNNNNNNNNNNNNNNNNNNNNNNNNNNNNNNNNNNNNNNNNNNNNNNNNNNNNNNNNNNNNNNNNNNNNNNNNNNNNNNNNNNNNNNNNNNNNNNNNNNNNNNNNNNNNNNNNNNNNNNNNNNNNNNNNNNNNNNNNNNNNNNNNNNNNNNNNNNNNNNNNNNNNNNNNNNNNNNNNNNNNNNNNNNNNNNNNNNNNNNNNNNNNNNNNNNNNNNNNNNNNNNNNNNNNNNNNNNNNNNNNNNNNNNNNNNNNNNNNNNNNNNNNNNNNNNNNNNNNNNNNNAAAAAAAAAAAAAAAGACAGAUUUCUUGAGAAUUGACCGCCGUGGAAUGACAAGAACAGUAAGACGAUAUGUGACCCGACAAAUUUAAAUACAGAAGGCUGGCCGUUCGUCUUAUGUCUGCUAAAACAACAAAUGCUACAUCGAGUACCUUUAGUUAGACCUACACAGGCCCCUUGCAAAAGGUUAUUUCGGGUCACAAAUCGUCUUUAAUGCUACAUUGAAUAAAUGGAGUCACCUUUUGCCACCUAAGAAAGGCCGACUCUGGGUCUAGGCCUCGACUUUGACGCGGGUUUUCACCUUUUGCUAGUUGUCUUCUUCCAAAUAUCUCUGAUGGGGAAAUUCUACUGUGCCUUGAUGAGAGGUUUUACGAGAGCGGUCCCAUAUCCAACACGGAUCAUUGGAUGAAAGGACGAAAAAAAGGGGUCACAAAAGGAGAGAGCACGUGCAUUUGCUCUGCCUUUCCAGACACAGGUGAGUUUUGCCGAAACUUGCAUACUUGACAAUUGUGGUCCUGAGAAAUUUCAUCUUGAGAUCAACCAGAUAAAUUAUAAUCGGCCAUACCCGUUUUGCUUUGCAGUAACAUUUCUCCAAUUCCACUAACUUUUGGCUUUGUAGAACUUAGAAAUCUGCUUUUGAUGAACUGGUGCAACUCUGGUGCUUCAAUUUCUCUGCAUCUGGUCGAGAUGGAAGGGCACAAUUAUGAAGUGUUCUUGAGCUUCAGAGGACUGGACAUGCACAUGGGCUUGACUGCUUAUCUCUAUACCAGUCUCUUAGAUGCAGGAGUCAGUGCCUACAAAGACGACGGAGAUUUCCACGUUGACAAAGAGAUUGGCCCAGAUCUGCUCAAAGCGAUUCAGCAGUCGAGGAUCUCCGUACACAUCUUCUCUAAAAAUUUAUGCUUCCAGUAAAUGGUGUAUGAAGGAGUUGGUGCAUGUGGUAGAGUGUUGGAAAAGGACAAAUAAUCCUGCCCAUUUUCUACUAUGUCGAACCAUCUGAGGUUCGAUACCAAACCGAAGGCUAUGGUCAGGCCUUUCUUGAGCACGAAAACAAGAAGCGAGUGGACGAUGAGACCAUCCGCAAGUGGAGAGCUUCUCUAAAUGAGGUUGGAGGGUUAAAAGGGAUGGAACAUAGAAAUUGUGGCUAACAGGUACCUCAUUAUCUUCCACCCUUGAUGGGAACAACUCUACCUCAUCCUCAUUUCCCAUUCCCAUUUUUGAUGGGAACAACUAUGACUUUUGGAGCAUAAAAAUGACUACAUUCUUGAUGGCCAAGACUUAUGGGACAUCGUGGAAAAAGGUUGUGAGGCUCCGCCAGAAGGUACAAGUGUUUCGAAUGAUCAACUACAAAGGAUGCAAGGGCGCUAUAUUUUAUCCAGCAAGCUCUCUCGGAAACCGUAUUUCCAAGAAUUAUUGGAGCGAGGACUGCAAAAGAGGCUUGGAUAUACUACGAGAAGAAUUUCAAGGAUUGGAAAAGGUACGCACUAUUCGCCUUCAAACUCUGAGAAGAGAUUUUGAGAAUUCUAAAAUGAAAAAUUAUGAGACCCUACAAGAAUAUUGUGGAAAAUUAAAGGAACUCGUUAAUCAAAUGAGAGCCUAUGGAGAUGGGAUAACUGAUCAAAGGGUUGUUGAGAAAAUAUUAGUGUCACUUACCAAAAAAUACAACUCCAUAGUUACAACAAUAGAAGGAACUAAAGACUUGACGACCCUAUCAAUAAGUGAAUUAAUUGGCUCUCUAGAAGCACAUGAGAAAAGACUAAUGGCACAAGAUGAAGAUUCAGUUGAAAGUGCCUUUCAGUCUAAAGUAAAUAUACGGUCUCAUCAAACUAAAAAUGGUGGAAGGAGCUCAUGGAAAAACAAAAGAGGAGGAGAAAUUAUAAAAAAGGAAAAUUAUCCACCUUGUGGUAUUUGCAAGAAAACAAAUCAUUUGGAGAAGGACUGUUGGUUUAAAAAUAAAAAACAAUGCCGCUUUUGUAAAAGAUAUGGCCACGUAGAAAAAGAUUGUCGCUCUCGAAAACAAAUAAACGAACAAACUAUGUAGAAAAAAAAAAGAAAGUGAAGAGAAUACAUUCUACGUAGGCCAAGCGGCAAAUGACAAUAAAAGUGAAACAUGGUACAUCGAUAGUGGGUGUAGCAAUCAUAUGACAGGGGACGAAACUAUAUUCACUGAUAUUGAUAAGUCAAUGAAAUCCCAAGUAAAGUUGGGCAAUGGUGCAUUAGUUAAUGUCAAAGGAAAAGGCACCAUCACCGUGGAAACGAAUAAAGGCCCAAAAUAUAUACAUAAUGUAUAUCUAGUCCCUCGUCUUGCACAAAAUCUAUUAAGUGUGGGCCAAAUGAUACAAAGUGAGUAUUCUCUAUAUUUUAAAGAUACCUGCAUUAUCUAUGAUAAAUAUAAAAAUAUCAUUGCCUUUGUUAAGAUGAAAAAUAACAAUUUUCCUAUUCAAUGGAAAUAUGUCAAAGAUAUAGCCAUGAAAGCUCAACUUGAUGAUUCAUGGCUAUGGCAUUGAAGAUUUGGCCACUUUAAUUUUGUUGGGCUAAAAAUUCUCCAUCAGAAAAAUAUGAUGAGAGUUUUCCAGCCAUCACAGAAAUUUCAGAUGUUUGUGAAGGCUGUCUUCUUGGAAAACAACAGAGACAGUCCUUCCCAUCUGGAGUUGCAUGGAAAGCUAAGGAGCCAUUUGAAUUGUCCACACGGACGUGUGCGGUCCGAUGAGGACACCUACACCCAGUCAAAAUAAAUAUUUCAUCCUAUUCAUUGAUGAUUACACAAGAAUGACAUGGGUAUACUUUCUUCAAGAAAGAUCUGAGGUUUUCUCUAUCUUCAAAAAAUUCAAGAACCACGUCGAGAAUCAAAGUCCUAAGAAGUGACAAAGGCACAUAAUACAAUUCAAAGGAGUUUAAUAAAUUUUGUGAAGAUGAAGGAGUCCAUCAUCAACUAACUGUUGGCUAUGCCCUAGAACAAAAUGGAGUAGCAGAAAGAAAAAACAGAACUGUCAUGGAGAUGGCAAGGUCCAUGCUAAAGGAGAAAGGCCUUCCCAACACUUUCUAGGCAGAAGCAGUUUAUACUGUUGUAUACCUACUAAACAGGUGUCCAACUAAAGCAGUUCAAAAUAAAACUCCAGUCGAAGCAUGGAGUGGACAGAAGCCUUCAACAAAGCAUCUCAAAAUGCACCCCUACUCAAAAAAGGAGUAAGCUAGAUGAAAAGACAGAAAAAGGAAUAUUCAUUGGCUACAGUGACCAAUCAAAAGGCUAUCGGGUUUACAACCUAAGAACCAAGAAGCUUAUGAUUAGUCGAGACAUCGAGUUCGACAAAAAUGCUGCCUGGAAUUGGGAGAGCGAGAAGAUCGAGAAAAAGUACAUCACUUUGCCAGACAUACCACCUGCUCAAGAAGAGUCAACGUCACGGGUGAUAUUGCUAGUGUAAACACCUAGAGGGGGGUGAAUAGGCGCACAAACUAUUUUUCUCAAAUACGUAUGCAACUGAUUGAAAUACGAUCGAUGUAGAGAGAGUAAGGAAGAGAAAAUCAAACACAGGAUUUAUAGUGGUUCGGCUUAUUCCAAGCCUACGUCCACUCUUCCACACUGACAGCCCACGGGCUGGAUUUCACUAUGAUCAAAAGAGGAGUUACAGCACAGUUUUGCCUUGAUUCCACAGUGUAGAUAUUCUAUCACACCUCCUCAAGGUCUCUCACAAAUAUAGACUCUCUUUUGUAUACAGUAUUCGCUCAGAGAUUUAUCUAAANNNNNNNNNNNNNNNNNNNNNNNNNNNNNNNNNNNNNNNNNNNNNNNNNNNNNNNNNNNNNNNNNNNNNNNNNNNNNNNNNNNNNNNNNNNNNNNNNNNNAAAUAGGAGCUUCAGACUUUGGAAUUUUUCUAUCGCGCACUCUCUCUUAAACAACUAAGAACGUCUUCCUUAUAUACUCCUUUAUGCCAUCAUACCCGUUGGCACUUUCCAAAGGAAUUCCUCCAAUCUACCCGUUGGACGGAAUCAAUUAGGAAGAUCGUUCGAGCUAUUAAAGGAACGUGUUGAUAGCCCAUCAAUCCUGUUCGCCCAUACAAUCAGGAUCUCGGUUUCCAUAAGCAAAACCUUCCAAUAAUAUUUAGACAAUCAUCGAAUCUUCAGUCAUUGAAUCAAUCUUGAUCAAUCAAAGGAUUCUGAUAUGUCUUCUCCAGCCACAAGAUCUUCUCCAGAUGAUAAGGUGUAAAUCCUGAACAAAACAUCCAGUUCGGGAUAACCUUUCUUCACCGGAUUAGAGACUAUCAAUGAGGAUAGACUUUGAGUCUUGAGUCUGGCAGUCCGGAAGUCUUCAGACUUUAACUGACAGAGUCUGCAGACCUUCAGACUAGACUGACAGAAACAUUUUGUCAACUUCAAAACUCUUCACGAGGAUUUCUCCAACAAUCUCCCCCUUUUUGAUGGUGACAAAACCUUCCUACAGAUUUGGAUAUCCUACAGAUUUGGAUAUCUUUGACCUGCAAAACAUUUCUCAAACACAUAUGCAUAUCUUAUGAAAAUAAAUGACUAAUAGAAUAACACUAGAAUCUGCAACCACGGAAAAUAGGUUAGUCCAAUAUAUGAUUAAGCCAUUCAUAAGAUAUCAAUAUUGAUAAAUAGAUGCAGUCAAAUCCAAGUCUAGGCAGUUCUUAUCCAGACACAAAACAAGGUCAAAGUCUGUCAAAAACAAACAGACAGUUAAACACAAUCCAACAAAAUAAAAAGAUUGAAAGUUUUGUUUUUCAAAUCAUGCAUCUCUCCCUCUUUUUGUCAUCAUUUAAAAAGGAUGAGAUGAAAUCAAGAUUGCUUGGGAACGCGGACAAGCUGGAAAUCUUCCAUAGACUGAACAAUGCCUUCUAGCCUCUUAAAGUCUUCCUUCAGCUGUACAACCUCCUCACUCUUGGCAUUGGCCUGAUUCUGAAUAGAGAGGGCUUGCAUCUUUUCAUUUAAUGAACAGGAAGAAGCUUGACCUUCAUUCUUCAAGCUUUGAACUUCGCAUCCCAAGGCAUAUAUCUGACCUUUCAUCUCCAAGAGAAUAUCCAUGAUUCUGCGAAAAUCUGCUCCAUUAUCAGUCUGAGUACUUGCUUCUGCUCGUUCUGAUGGACUAAAAGCAGACGAUGGUGGAUCAGUAUAAUCUUGCAGGUUGGGCGAUGAAGCUUCAAGACCUUCCUCUGGAAAUUGAGAUGCAUAAACAUCUUCUGGGUCUGCAGGCGAACGACUGACUCCUUCACUUUCAUCUGGAAAUGAAGAUGUCACUCCUUUCUCCUGAACUCCCCCUGUUUUCAUGCCUACAGGUGGAGAAGAGAUUUCCUCAGGUUCUCCUUCUCUUCCUUCUUCUUCAGGUCUUUCUUGCUCUGCUUCUUGCUCUGUUUCUCUUUCUUCUUCUUCCUUCUCCUUUGCUUCUCUUUCUUCUUCCUUCUCCUCUGCUUCUUUCGUCUUUUGUUCCGAUUCUUUCUGUGGAACAGUACGACUUAAGUUCUUUAAAGCCAUUGCAGAGAUGGUGAUGUCAUCGUCAUCAUCUUCAUCCUCAACGAGGAGAGCUCUUCUUUUCUUUGAUGGAGUAGCCAUGGGCUCCUUCCCUUUUCUCUUAGCAGCAGAAGAGAGUUGAUGAGACUUGGCAGGAGUCUUCCCCUUGAAUUUCUCCAAUUCCUUGCUCAGUUCCUUCAGACGCAUUUUGGUCACCAUUUUCAGUCCUACCACCAUAUGAUCGCAUGAUCGAAAACAAAAGAUUUGCGGAGGCUGAAUAUUCAAAUGUCUGAAUAACUUCGUAACAAGGCUUGGGUAAGGGAGUUGACCUCUGUCCUUCAUCACCGCUCUAUACAUGUGAAACAUGACAGUAUGAGGGAGAGAAAACUUCUUUCCACAAAGGAUAGCAUACAUCAACUUUGCCUCAGAGCUUGAAACAUCAGUUUUGGAAGUUGAUUUUGGCCGAAGGCAAUUAAUCACAGUCUUGUGAAGCAAAAUGUUGAAUGCAUUCAUCCUUGAGUAGGUGAUCUUCUCUUCUGUUCUCCUGUCCUUCACCAAUUCAAGUGUGGCCCGAGCAAUGGAAACUUUAAUUGGUUGAUAUCUGCCUCUCUCAACUUCUAACACAUCAGCUAGCAUAUCCAUAUCCACAACAUAGUCUUGUUCAUUGACACUAAAGGAAAAUCUAUUCGCAUCUAAAAAGCUAAGAUUUGAAUAGAAGUAAGCAGUCAAUUCAGCAUAAGCCUCAGUUGAGUUAGAACAGAACUUUUCAAGUUGAAGAUAAUUGAACUUUUCCCUCAAGUUCACUUUCACAGCAUCCAGAAAAUCAAAGUCCACACUCCCAGGGUUUAUUACCCCACGCUUCAGCAAUUUCGAGUACAGAUCCUUUUGUUCCUUUGAUCCGAACAAAUCUCCCCUUUUUCCUUGAAUUUCAGCCGCAAUACCCAUUUUCGGUUGAAAUAAACUGAACAGAUUGUNNNNNNNNNNNNNNNNNNNNNNNNNNNNNNNNNNNNNNNNNNNNNNNNNNNNNNNNNNNNNNNNNNNNNNNNNNNNNNNNNNNNNNNNNNNNNNNNNNNNCGCAAGGGUUUCCUCAGCCACCCCUUUACGAGCGAUUCCCAAACUUUCCAUUCUUUUCAGAAAAAUAUAUUCGUUCCUAUAUCCUUUUUCUUUAACAAAACUAUCAAUAUAGUUCAAAGGAGUACGAAUUCCUUUUAAAGCACGAUAUAACUUGUAGAUAAAAUCAGGCUUUUGAGUUCUUACGGGGUCUGCUUCCUCGAUGAUUUCUUCCUGAUGAACAACGUCUUGAGGACUAGAUGAUGGAGAAUGACGCUGUUGAGAAUGUUGUGGGCUCGGUUGCUGAUUUGGAGAAACUUCAUCUUCAGUAAGAUCGAAGUGCGUAGGCCCCUUACUCAUUCUCUGUGGUCCCCUGCUUGAGAUUCUUGACGAUUUUCGUGAAGAAGACAUCUUUAACAGUGUUUGGAAGUUUCCUAGCUUGACUUUCCCAGAAAAGAUGACAACUUUUUGAUGAUUGAGCGAUGAAGACAAACGGGAGUGGAGGAUCGAUGCUUUCUAGGGUUUUGAGAGUAAAGAGAAUAGAUAAGUGAAGAGUAAUCGAUAGUGCUCGUUCGGUUAAAAAGAAGAGUAAACGAAUCGUCACAAAGGAAAUAAAAAUAUGCAUUUUCAAAAUAACUGAUUUUAUCCGUAAAAAUAGCUAUUUAAAAAAUAACUUCCCUUUUGAAAAUGAAUCGAUGUAAUAUAUACGGCAAUAAUUUAAACACAGUCUGAUGAUCGUACCUUUUCAAGAUAAGAUUGGAGAGAGAGAAAGACUUACGGUCUGAAGGUCGAGACAAGACUGUUGAUAAAGUCUUGUAAGCCUGAGUCUGAAAGUCUUUAGACUUUGAUAUCCUCAUACCUCAAAAUAUUGAGUCUGGUCCGUAUAGACUCAAAUUGAUUUUUCUCCAAAGGCUUCGUAAGUAUAUCAGCCAGCUGAUUCUUUGAGUCAACAAAAUGAAUUGAAACAUCUCCAUUUUGAACAUGAUCUCUAAUAAAGUGAUGUCAAAUUUCUAUGUGCUUCGCUCUUGAGUGAAGAAUUGGAUUUUUGGUGAGGUUGAUAGCACUGAUGUUGUCGCAAUUAAUCUCCGUGCAUGAGUCUUCAAUUGCAAAAUCUCUUAGCUGUUGUUUUAUCCAUAGAAUUUGUGAACAGCAGCUUCCAAGAGCGACAUACUCUGCUUCAGUUGUUGAAAGAGACACAAUACUUUGUUUCCUUGAAAACCAAGACACUGUUCUGUUUCCAAGCAACUGGCAAGUUCCUGAAGUACUCUUUCUAUCAACUCUGCAACCGGCCAGAUCUGCGUCUGAAUAUCCCAGAAGUUUAAAGUCUCCCUUCUUAGGAUACCAAAGACCGAUGCUUGAUGAUGAAGCGAUGUAUUUAAUGAUGCGUUUGGCAGCGCUGAGAUGUGAUUCUCUAGGAUCUGAUUGAAACCUAGCACAGAUGCAAACACUCAACAAAAUAUCAGGUCUAGAGGCAGUAAGAUAGAGAAGUGAUCCAAUAAUGCUUCUGUACGGCUUUUGAUCAACUUUAUUCCCUUCUUCAUCUUUGUCUAUCUUUAAAGAACUUGACAUUGGUAUGUCGGUCUUUUUGCAAUUCUCCAGUCCAAACCUUUUGACAAGAUCAUUAACAUAUUUUUCUUGAAAAAUGAAAGUUCCUUCCUUCAAUUGUUUUAUUUGAAGACCAAGAAAGAAUGUUAAUUCUCCCAUCAUACUCAUUUCAAACUCAUCCUGCAUAGACUUUGAAAAUUUCUUGCACAGACUUUCAUUAGAGGAUCCAAAAAUAAUAUCAUCCACAUAUAUUUGAACAAGUAAGAAACUUUUAUUUUCCUUUUUGAUAAAUAAAGUCGUAUCUACUUUACCUUUAACAAAACCAUUUUGUAAUAGGAAAUUACUUAACCUGUCGUACCAAGCCCGAGGUGCUUGCUUUAAAGCAUACAAAGCCUUUUUCAGUCUGAAGACUGAGUCUGGCUUCUUUGGGUCUUCAAACCCUGGCGGUUGUUCAACAUAAACUUCCUCAUGGAUAAAUCCAUUUAGGAAGGCGCUUUUGACGUCCAUUUGGAAUAACCUGAAAUUCUUAUAACAAGCAAACGCGAGUAAUAGUCGAAUAGCUUCUAACCUUGCCACUAGAGCGUAAGUCUCAUCAUAGUCUAUUCCUUCUUCUUGCGUAUAUCCCUUGGCCACGAGUCUUGCUUUAUUUCGUACGACUUUCCCUUUCUCGUUUAUCUUGUUUCUGAACACCCAUUUGGCUCCAAUAACAGUUUUUCUUUUUGGUUGGGAUGUCAAUUCCCAAACAUCAUUUAUGAUGAACUGUCUGAGUUCUUCUUGCAUAGCUUCAAUCCAGCUUUCAUCAGAUAAAGCUUCUUCUAUGCUCUUUGGUUCAAUUUCAGAAACGAGUGCCACAGCACUAGACUCUUCUCGCAUUUUGGAUCUUGUGCGAAUUCCUUCAUUAAUUUCGCCAAUUAUAAGAUCUUUGGGAUGACUAGACUUAUGCUUCCAGUUACUCGUUGAUUUGUCUGGUAGAUGAUCUCUUUCUUUAUUUGGAUCUUCACUAACAACCUGAUGCUGGUUUUCCAGAGUCUGAGAUGCAUCUAGAGUUGUAGACUUUGGAGGGUCUGGAGCAGGUUCAGACUCUUCUUGAUGAGUCUGUCUUGAUUCAACUUGCGUUGAGUCUUGAAAUUUGACAUUCAUUGACUCCUCUACAGACUGGCUCUUCUUGUUAUAGACUCUGUAAGCUUUGCUUGAUGUAGAAUAUCCAAGGAAGAUACCUUCAUCUGAUCUUUCUUCAAACUUACCAACUCGAUCUUUUGCAUUUUUUAAUAUAAAACAUUUGCAUCCAAAUACAUGAAAGUAUGAAACAAUAGGCUUCUUUUCUUUGAAUAACUCAUAAGGGGUUUUCUGAAGAAUAGAUCUUAAGAAGACUCUAUUGAUGAUAUAGCAAGCUGUUGAAACAGCUUCAGCCCAAAAUCGAGAAGAAAUUUUACUUUCAAUUAAAAGAGUUCUAGCCAUUUCUUGAAGAAGAUCUGUUCUUUCUUUCCACAACUCCAUUUUGCUGAGGAGUAUAUGGAGAGGAAAACACAUGCUUACAGCCAGAUUCAUCAUAGAAUUUUGUAAAAUCUUGAUUUUCAAAUUCACCUCCAUGAUCUGUUUUUAUACAAGAGAUUACACAUCCCUUUUCAUUUUGAACCUUUUUAGCAAAUUUUUCAAAAUACGAAAAGGUUUCGGACUUACUUGAAAGGAAAUAUACCCAAGUAAAAUGGGAGUAAUCAUCAACAAUUACUAGGCAAUACUUCUUACCCCCAAUACUCUGAGUUUUGGUUGGUCCGAAGAGAUCCAUAUGCAGCAACUGUAGAACAUGAUUAGUAGAGACAUGAUUUAUUGGCUUAAAAGAAUUUCUUACCUGCUUUCCCAUAAUACAUGAAGUGCAUGAAUCAGUCUUUUGGUAUGGCAAUUUUGGUAGACCUCGAACAAGCUGCUUUGAUGAGAUUUUGGCUAAUUGCUUCAUAUUGACAUGUCCAAGCUUUUUGUGCCAUAAGCUUGCUUCGUCUUGAAUUGAGAUAAGACAUUGCGAUUCAUUUGGUUUCACAUCCAGAAGAUAGAUAUUUCCAUGUCUUUUAUUGUGAGAGUUCCAAUUUUCACGGUUCCAAAUCCCACAAUACUUCCUUUGCUGUUUCCUCCAAAUGAAACUUUUCCACCAUUUACUUGAGCAAGUUUUAUAAAGCAAUUUGAGUCUCCUGUCAUGUGUCUUGAGCAUCCGCUGUCAAGAUACCACUUUACCUGUUUCUUGAUGGAGACCUGCAUUUAACAAAGAGUCUCAAGCUUUCUUUGGUACCCAAAUUUUCUUGGGUCCUUUGGUGUUAGUAAGAUAAACAGUAUUAGCCCAUACUUUCUUAAUAGGUUUCCAUACCAUAGGACACUCUUUUUCAAAGUGAUCCGGACUGUUGCACUUUGAACAUUUAAGAGAAUUUCUCCUACGGGUUUAACAAAAACUUUCUUGAGUGAUUUUUGUAAACCUCACUUGAAAGCCUUUUCUUGAUUCUUUCUUUUACUUUAGGAAAAUCAAUCAAGGGAAUUGUUUCUUCUGUCAUACCUAAACCAGACUUAUUGAAGUAAGGUCUUUGUGCUGAAAGAAUUUUCUCAAGUUUUUCAGAUCCCAUAGAAAAUUUCUUUGAUAUAUUAGAUAAGUCUGUUUUUAAAAAAGUAUUUUCUUUUAAAAGAUUUUCUUCAUUUUCUUUAAGAUUGGAAAUAGACACGUCUAGACUUUUAACUCUUUCUUCUAAAACAUUUUCUUUUAGUUUUAGAGCUGAGUUUUCCUUUUUUAGUUUGGAAAUUCUUUUGAGAGAAGUCUUAAGACUAAAGCAUAGUUCCUCAAUAUAUUUAGAAACUUUGACAGGAAUUUUAAAGUUACUUGCCUCAAAUUCACUGUUUGAGUCUGAUCCUGAGUCUGAUCCAGAGUCUGAGUCUGAUUGUGCUUGGCGUAUUCAUUAUCACUUUCUUCACACUCAGUAUCACUCCAGGUUUCAACUUUGAGAGCUUUUCGAAAUUUUUCAGCUUUUCCUUUCUUUUUCUUCAAAAGAGGACAAUUGGGUCUGAUGUGUCCCUUUUUCUUGCAUUCAAAGCAGACUACAUCUUUGUUUGGUUCCUCAUCAUCAACAGACUUGGUCUGCUGUCUUUGAAAGCCUUGUUUCUUUGAGUUGAACCUUCUUCCUAUUCUGUUUAGUUUUCUGAAUCUUCUUAUCAUGAGAGCAAGCUCCUCAUCGUCCAUAUCUUCUUCAGAAUCUGUAACAUCAGAAUCAUCAUUUGAUUUUAAUGCAAUAGAUUUCUUACCUCUUGGAUCUUCAUCUUCAUUGAUCCUUUCCACUUCAUAGGAUUGAAGAGUUCCAAUCAGCUCAUCGACAGAUAGUGGCAUAAUUCUCUGCGUCUCUCUUAUCGAAGUCUUUAUGUGAUUCCAAUCCUUGGAGAGUCCACGCAGUAGCUUGUUUACCUUCAUGGGAUCAGAAGUUGGUUGACCUUGAUUUUCAAGACCAUUCACAAUAUCUGUAAAACGACUAAACAUGUCAGAUAUUGAUUCUCCUGGUUUCAUUCUGAAGGCUUCGUAUUGACCGAGAAGAAUGUUGAUUCUUGUUUCCUUCACUCGAUCUGUUCCUUCAUAGGUGAUAUGCAAUCUGUCCCAAACUUCUUUUGCUGUACCACAAGAAGAUAUUCUAUUAUAUUCAGUUGGUGAUAAAGCACAAUAUAAGGAAUAAAUUGCUUUUGCAUCGAGUGUCUGUCUCUUGGUUAUUUCUUCUUGAGACAUUCCACUGGAUUCUUCAGUUUCUUUCCCUCUUUCAGAGACUGAUGCAGUGGUAGGAGUAAUUCCUUUUUCUACAACGUCCCAUUCCAGAGGAUCCUUUGAUCGUAGGAAAGCUUUCAUCUUGUUCUUCCAGAUGUUGUAAUCCUUUCCAUCAAAGUAAGGUGGUCUGGUAUUGCUUUGCCCUUCCAUCAGCCCUGGUGCUAGCAUACUAGCCAUGGAUCUUUUACUAUGAAGUAAAACACUUCAAAUAAAGUAAGUACACAGGCUCUGAUACCAAUUGAUAUUGCUAGUAUAAACACCUAGAGGGGGGUGAAUAGGCGCACAAACUAUUUUUCUCAAAUACGUAUGCAACAGAUUGAAAUACGAUCGAUGUAAAGAGAGUAAAGAAGAGAAAAUCAAACACAGGAUUUAUAGUGGUUCGGCUUAUUCCAAGCCUACGUCCACUCUUCCGCACUGACAGCCCACCGGCUGGAUUUCACUAUGAUUAAAAGAGAAGUUACAGCACAGCUUUGCCUUGAUUCCACAGUGUAGAUGUUCUAUCACACCUCCUCAAGGUCUCUCACAAAUAUAGACUCUCUUUUGUAUACAAGUAUUCGCUCAAGAGAUUUAUCUAAACAAAUAGGAGCUUCAGACUUUGGAAUUUUUCUAUCGCGCACACUCUAAUAAACAACUAAGAAUGUCUUCCUUAUAUACUCAUUUAUGCCAUCAUACCCAUUGGCACUUUCCAAAGGAAUUCCUCCAAUCUACCCGUUGGACAGAAUCAAUUAGGAAGAUCGUUCGAGCUAUUAAAGGAACGUGUUGAUAGCCCAUCAAUCCUGUUCGCCCAUACAAUCAGGAUCUCGGUUUCCAUAAGCAAAACCUUCCAAUAAUAUUUAGACAAUCAUCGAAUCUUCAGUCAUUGAAUCAAUCUUGAUCAAUCAAAGGAUUCUGAUAUGUCUUCUCCAGCCACAAGAUCUUCUCCAGAUGAUAAGGUUAAAUCCUGAACAAAACAUCCAGUUCGGGAUAACCUUUCUUCACCGGAUUAGAGACUGUCAAUGAGGAUAGACUUUGAGUCUUGAGUCUGGCAGUCCGGAAGUCUUUAGACUUUAACUGUGCAGACCUUCAUACUAGACUGACGGAAACAUUUUGUCAACUUCAAAACUCUUCACGAGGAUUUCUCCAACAACGGGAAGAAUCCAUUCACUGAACAGCUCAAAGCUCUCAUCUGUCCCGAUUAUCUAUACUCACAUGGGGACCGCUAUAUCUCCCCUUUGAAAUAAGUGAUAAGUACUUGUCUGAAGUUUUUAUGAGAUUGGGCCAUCAGUUCCAAUCGUUACAAUACCAAAUAAUGAAACUUUUUCCAUGAAGAGUGAAGGGUUCCUCAGGUUCAAUUAGUCGAUGCCCUAAUGGAAAUUACAUUAUCUAAAGGUCCAAGAGAUCUCAAGGAGAUCUUCUUCAAAUGUUUCGAUAGGCCCUGUAUUUCGUUUUGGCAACUUAGCAUGUCUUGGUCUAAUUUCUGAAGCUUCAAGUGCUAUACGAUAUAGUCGUCAAGAAAAUUGUGGUAAACCUGUACAUGAAGUUUGUUUUAGACAUUAGUAUUCAAGCACUAUUAGAUGUAUCGAGACUAGAUUGUUAGUGGCCAUCUGAACGGGCGUAUCAUAUUCAAUAUCUUAUAGUAAGUUCCCACAUCAUUAAAUUGAUGUAAAUCUCUUCUACUUUUGGGGACAUAAAACAUAAAAUGAAUUNNNNNNNNNNNNNNNNNNNNNNNNNNNNNNNNNNNNNNNNNNNNNNNNNNNNNNNNNNNNNNNNNNNNNNNNNNNNNNNNNNNNNNNNNNNNNNNNNNNNNNNNNNNNNNNNNNNNNNNNNNNNNNNNNNNNNNNNNNNNNNNNNNNNNNNNNNNNNNNNNNNNNNNNNNNNNNNNNNNNNNNNNNNNNNNNNNNNNNNNNNNNNNNNNNNNNNNNNNNNNNNNNNNNNNNNNNNNNNNNNNNNNNNNNNNNNNNNNNNNNNNNNNNNNNNNNNNNNNNNNNNNNNNNNNNNNNNNNNNNNNNNNNNNNNNNNNNNNNNNNNNNNNNNNNNNNNNNNNNNNNNNNNNNNNNNNNNNNNNNNNNNNNNNNNNNNNNNNNNNNNNNNNNNNNNNNNNNNNNNNNNNNNNNNNNNNNNNNNNNNNNNNNNNNNNNNNNNNNNNNNNNNNNNNNNNNNNNNNNNNNNNNNNNNNNNNNNNNNNNNNNNNNNNNNNNNNNNNNNNNNNNNNNNNNNNNNNNNNNNNNNNNNNNNNNNNNNNNNNNNNNNNNNNNNNNNNNNNNNNNNNNNNNNNNNNNNNNNNNNNNNNNNNNNNNNNNNNNNNNNNNNNNNNNNNNNNNNNNNNNNNNNNNNNNNNNNNNNNNNNNNNNNNNNNNNNNNNNNNNNNNNNNNNNNNNNNNNNNNNNNNNNNNNNNNNNNNNNNNNNNNNNNNNNNNNNNNNNNNNNNNNNNNNNNNNNNNNNNNNNNNNNNNNNNNNNNNNNNNNNNNNNNNNNNNNNNNNNNNNNNNNNNNNNNNNNNNNNNNNNNNNNNNNNNNNNNNNNNNNNNNNNNNNNNNNNNNNNNNNNNNNNNNNNNNNNNNNNNNNNNNNNNNNNNNNNNNNNNNNNNNNNNNNNNNNNNNNNNNNNNNNNNNNNNNNNNNNNNNNNNNNNNNNNNNNNNNNNNNNNNNNNNNNNNNNNNNNNNNNNNNNNNNNNNNNNNNNNNNNNNNNNNNNNNNNNNNNNNNNNNNNNNNNNNNNNNNNNNNNNNNNNNNNNNNNNNNNNNNNNNNNNNNNNNNNNNNNNNNNNNNNNNNNNNNNNNNNNNNNNNNNNNNNNNNNNNNNNNNNNNNNNNNNNNNNNNNNNNNNNNNNNNNNNNNNNNNNNNNNNNNNNNNNNNNNNNNNNNNNNNNNNNNNNNNNNNNNNNNNNNNNNNNNNNNNNNNNNNNNNNNNNNNNNNNNNNNNNNNNNNNNNNNNNNNNNNNNNNNNNNNNNNNNNNNNNNNNNNNNNNNNNNNNNNNNNNNNNNNNNNNNNNNNNNNNNNNNNNNNNNNNNNNNNNNNNNNNNNNNNNNNNNNNNNNNNNNNNNNNNNNNNNNNNNNNNNNNNNNNNNNNNNNNNNNNNNNNNNNNNNNNNNNNNNNNNNNNNNNNNNNUGCACACCAGGUAUUAACUAUACUGAAACUUUCGCUCUUGUUGCUCACCUUGAUACUAUUCGAGCACUCAUAGCCCUUACAGCACAAAAAGAAUGGAAGAUUUAUCAACUAGAUGUGAAGUCGGCAUUCCUAAAUGGAUAUAUUCAAGAAGAAAUAUACAUAGAACAACCACAAGGCUUUAUCCUCAAAGGCCAAGAAGAAAAAGUUCUCAAACUCAAAAAAGCCCUAUAUGGGUUAAAACAAGCACCACAUGCGUGGUAUAGUAGAAUCGAUGAAUACUUCAUCAAGCAAGGAUUUAGGAGGAGUAUGAGUGAGCCGACACUCUACAUCAAGACCCAAGGUAAGUCCGACACUCUCAUUGUCUCUCUAUAUGUAGAUGAUCUCAUAUAUAUAGGAAACAAUGAGACAAUGAUCCAAGAAUUCAAAGAAGAAAUGAUGAAGACAUUUGAAAUGACGAACUUGGGCUUGAUGAACUAUUUCCUCAGUAUUGAAGUCAAUCAAGAUGAAGGAAUUUUCAUCUCGCAAAAGAAAUAUACCGAAAACCUCCUAAAGAAAUUCAAGAUGAACUAUUGCAAAGCAGUUUCAACCCCACUCAUGACAAAUGAAAAACUAUUGAAGGAAGAUGGAGCAAAAAAAGCCAAUGCCUCCCUCUAUAGAAGUUUGAUUGGCAGUCUGUUAUAUCUCACUGCUACACGAUCGGAUAUUAUGUAUGCGACAAUUCUACUAUUACGAUUCAUGCAAAGUCCGAGUCAAAUACACUCUGGAGAUACCAAGACAAUUCUUAGAUAUUUACAAAGAACUAUAGACUACGGCAUUCGGUAUCGCCCAAAUGCUAACUCCAAGCUCAUUGGCUACACUGAUAGCGACUGGGCUGGUUCAACUGAUGAUAGGAAAAGUACAAUUGGCUAUGCAUUCACUCUAGGUUCUGGAAUAUUCUCAUGGACAUCCAAAAAACAAAACUCUGUGGCACAGUCUACUGUAGAAGCUGAAUACAUCGUAGCUGCUACGACUGCCAGUCAAACAAUAUGGCUUCGAAGAUUUCUAGAAGACAUUGGAGAAACACAGAUAGAAUCAACUCCGAUACUUUGCGACAAUAAGUCCGCAAUCGCUACAUCAAAUAAUCCAGUAUUCCAUGGAAGAACCAAACAUAUAGACAUCAAAUAUCACUUCAUACGAGAUGCACAAAAUAACAAAGAGAUUGAGCUGAAAUAUUACAAAACCGAGGAACAAGUAACGAACAUCUUCACUAAAGCACUACCGCUAGCCAAGUUCGAGACAUUGCGAGAAAUGCUUGGAGUAACACGAAAUUGGAUCAAGGAGGAGUGUUAAAUUAUUGAGCCAAUUUCUAGAAAAUUCUUGAAAGAUUUGAGCUAGAAAAUACAAGAAAAUCCUAGAAGAAUCUAUGGAAUUAUCUCUGCAAAUGGCAGAGAUAUUUGCCUUAGAAAAGCCUAGUUUUCUAGAAAAAAAAAUUGUAAAAGAAACUCCUAGAAUAUGGGCUAAGUCAGUGGAGUGUCCCUAUAAAUAGGGAAGGAGGGGGGGGAGCGUAAAAAAAAGGCAGAGCAAAAAGGUAAGCUCCUCCCCUCCCUUUGUACUUUGUACUACAACUAAAUAAAUAAAUAAAUAAGCUUUCCUUUGUUGUUCCCUUGCUGCCACUCUCUUUUAUAUAUUCUUAUAAUUACUUUGUCCAACCAUUUUCUUACCCAUAUUGUUCUUUCUUUAGCCCUCUUGAAAGUUCACACACAAAACAUACUUGCACAUACAUUAAAUACACGCUUCCGCAAAUACCAACAUUUUUAAAUGGGGAACUAUGCUAGUUCCCUUUGCUUGAGUAGUGUGUCAACAAUCUAAUCUAAAAUUAAAUAUUUAUGAUACAAAAUAUGAAGUAAUUUUUUUUCAUAUUUAUGUAAUGAAUGUGCAUAUAAAUGUUGGUCGAAUUUAACUUAUGUUAUAUGCUGAAAGUUAAUGGAUCUCUUAUUUAUUAUUCAUAACACUUGAGAUGUGUACUAUAUGCUAAUGGUAAAGCUAUUUUGAGUAGGAGAAGCUUGUCAACGCAUCAGAAAUACGGUAAAUAGCAUCAACCUGUUUUCUUCUAAAUAUAAUGAUCAACUAUUGUACUUUGACGGUUGCGUUACUGUUCAAAUGCUGCACAACGUUUGCGCAACUGCCUAGCAUGUCCGUAAAUUUAUUCUCCCAGAUCUAUGCGUAUGUUCCUUUUGCAGUUGCAGUUGCAUUUCUUGUUGCAUCCCUUGGCAUCCACAGACUACUAUCAAUUCCUAUUGUCAUAGGUUUCGGCUAACUUUCUACUUUGCAUUCUCGUCAUUUUUUCAUUAGGAACUGUUGGGAAUAAUGGAUCCCCAAAAACUGGAUUCAACACUAAAUCGAACCCCUAAAGCAAUGCGAAAGACGAAGCCCGAGAAUAACACAUAUCACCGAUCGUAAAGCACACCACGAAUUCAAGCGUACCUUGUUAGCCACAGAUUAGACACCGACGCCGAUAAGAGGAAGAGAUUUGGCCCUGUUCGAUCCGAUGAUGCCUUGAAGGGAAGAAGAAAUGUGUCUUUUGCCUUACUGUUUCUUCUUUUUCUUUUUGAGAGAGAGUGCACGGGAGAAGGGAAGACGUACGUACGUUCAUUAUGCCAAGAGGUGUCUUCUCUCUCUCUCUCUCUCUCUCUCUCUCUCUCUCUCCUCCCUUUUAUACCUUCCCCCAUCCAUGGGCCCUAUUCCCGUGGGCCGGGCUUUUUGGGCCCAACCUGGGCGGACGGGCCUUAAGCCAGGGCCUUAAGCCCAUCGCUAAUAAAACCAUCAUCUCCCACUCGCACAUGGUGGGCUGAACAUAAUUCUCUUUACCUCUCUUCAACAUUCAUACCGGUGAAUAAUCCGUGUGACCAGCAUACUUUGAGAGCUUGUUGCUAUAUAUCUGUUAAGAAUAUAUAGUAGCUCAUAAUGGGCAUCACACUCCAAGUAGAUUUAGUAUGCAGUACCCUAGAUCGAUUGAUCACAUUUAUAUUUCUCUUGAUCUCUUUUUAAACAAUGAUAUAUAUAUAUAUAUAUAUAUAUAUAUAUAUAUAUAUAUUGUAUUCACAAUUAUGAUUAUUACAAAGACAGUCAUAAUUGGUUAACCGGUGAAUACAAAACUAUAAUGUGAUUCUCCAAAAUCGAUUUUCCUCUUUCCUUCAAACUCUCAAUUUCAGUUCAGCUUGCUUUUCUAGAAAUGUCACAUUAGAUCGAAUCAACUCAUGACCAUUGGCAAUAUCCUAAGAUAGCAAACACUAAAUAGAAACCUUGAGAAUAAGUAAAAGUCAUGAGGGGACUAAAAAUUGAGGAACUCUUUUCCUCAAGAGUCUCACACGACAUAAAAGUUGAGAUCAAACUUUUGCCACUCUUAUUGGUCGUCUCAUGCAUACGUAGUAUGAAAUACGUAUUACAGUAUUAACUCAUUUCCCAUGGAGCGUAUGUCUACACUUUCAAUACCGUAUAGAUGAUAGUUCAGACAUACCCAAUGUCUAACUUGAGUUCACGUAUCUACUCAUUCACAAAAUUCAUCAGAACUCACAUCUGGCAUCAUAGACAGAUAAAGUAAAAUAUGUGGGGUAUUUUACUUUCGGACAUAGUAAGUAUUAUGUCCUCAUCUUAACACCCAGUUAAGGCGACAUACGUGUUUUAAGCUUGAGCUCUUGAUUAUCACCUAGAUAAUAAGCUUAAAAAUAGUCUCAUCUCUAUUUAUCAUAUAGUAAAUAGAGGCGAUUACCCGUGUGAGUGGGCUAAUCUUAUAUAUGUCCAACAUACUUUCUCAACUUAAAAUAAUGCACUGAGCAUUAAGAUGCAUUAAGAUCAAACAAAGAUUCAUAGGCAUUAAUGAUGAAAAAACAUAAAUUCAUCAAAUGUGAACACUUCAGGGAAAUUACAAUCUAGUACAUCAGACUCUACGCAAUCCUAGAGAUUUCAUGUGGCCACAAAACACAUCUCUAGGUAUUGGCUUUGUCAUAGGAUCUACUACCAUUCGAUGCGUAGAUAUAUACUGUAAGUUCGCAUCAUUUCGUGCAACCAUAUCUUUGACAAAAUUAUACUUUGUAUCUAUAUGUUUGGUCUUGCCAUGAUAUUUUGGAUCUUUGGUGUACGCUUUUGCUGCUUGGCUAUCACAGUUAACUAACAAUGAAUCUGCAGCACUUCAAAUAACACCUAAAUGAUCCAAUAAUCUCUUAAGCCAAACAUCUUAUUUUAUUGCUGCUGAUAAUGCCACGAACUCAGUUUCCAUCGUGGACAAGGCUAUACACUUUUGUUUCUUACUGCUCCAACAUAUGGUGCCAUUAUUCGGUAAGAAAACAAACCCAGAGGUAGAUUUUCUUUAAUCUAAAUCUCCUCUCCAAUCAGCAUCAGAAUAGCCUUUGAGUUGCAGAUCCUUUCCAUAAUAACUCAACGUAUAAUCAGCAGUCCCAUUUAGAUACCUUAGUAUUCAUUUAACAGCCUUCCAAUGUGCUUGACCUAGAUUGGAUUGGUAUCUACUCACCAUUCCAACUGCAUAACAUAUGCCAAGUCUUGUACACAUCAUAGCGUAUAUCAAGCUCCCAAUAGCACUAGCAUAAGGAACAUAUUCCAUUUGUUCCUUCUCUUGUGGAGUCCUUGGACACAGUCUAUGGCUCAAUCUUUCACAUUUUGCAAUAGGAGUGUCUAUGGGUUUAAAAUCCCAUAUCCUUCAAUUCAAAAUUGGAAGACAACUAACUUUUGACAGUAUUGACAAGCUCCAUAUUGCUUCCGGCAAUCAGUAUAUCAUCAACAUAUAAUGUUAUGAUCACAAAUAGACCUUUGGAUCUUUUGAUAUAUAUACAAUGAUCCUCAUAUAUCAUUAUAAAAUCAUAUGCCAUUACGGCAUUAUGAAAACAUAUAUACCAUUGUCUUGACGACUGCUUAAGGCCAUAUAUCGACCUCAAAAGUUGACAUACCUUUUUUUUCUUGGCCUUUCACUAUGAAACCAGCAGGUUGUUCCAUAUAUGUUCCUUCCUCUAAUUCUCCAUUGAGGAAAGUAGUAUUUACAUCCAUUUGAUGUAACUCAAGAUCUAUACUAGCCACUAUUGCCAGAAUAAUGCGAAUCUAGGUAAAUCCCACUAUAGGAGAAAAUGUAUAUUCAUCAUCAAUUCCUUUAUGUUGAUUAUACCUCUUCGCCACAAUGCGAGCAUUAUGCCUUUCUAUCGAGCCAUUAGCAUUUCGCUUUAUUUUGAGAACCCACUUGUUCCCAAUAGCUUUGUGUCCUUUUGGAAGAUCAACCAGUUCCCAGACUUGGUCUGAUUUCGUUGACUCUAUUUCCUCUUCCAUUGCAUGAAUCAAUUUUUCCUUAUUAGGGCAAUUCAAAGCCUCAUUAAUAUUUCUUGGCUCAUCCUCAUCUUGUGGAGCAAUCGUAAAAGUUUCCCCUUCAAUGUCAAAACGUCGAUGGGGAAUACUCUGGCGACUUGUUUGCCGUAUGGGAAAUUGUAUACUUAGCACAUCAUUCCCCAUAAUGCUCCCAAUAGGAUUAGAUAAUGACGUUGUCUCAUCAUGUGGUUGCAAUUGAGAAUGAAUUAAAUUAAAUUCAUCACUUCUCAUAUUACUCCCACUUGGAUGAACUCCAUUAAUAUCAUUAUCUUGAUCCAAUGUUUCAAAUAGGGGUAAGCUUCCCUUAUUUCGCCCUUCUUAGGAAAUUCAUCCACUAAGAAUGUGACAUCCCGUGAUUCAAAUUCAGUUAUACUCCCACUUUCCUACUCAACUACAAACACAUACCCUUUCGAGUGUUCGGAAUAUCUCAUUAAAAUACUCUUCUUUCAUUUAGGACCCAAUUUUCCAAACUUGUGAAAGGACUCAUGAAUAUAGGCAGCACAACCCCAUGGCUUAAGAAAACUUAAGUCAGGUUUUCUACCUAUCAAUAACUCAUAUGGAAUGGAAGUAACUGAUUUGGAAGGCAGUAGUUAACUACGCAUUACUACAAAAAGUGAUAUGUAAGUUAGCAUUCGCUAUCAUGGACCUAACCAUUUCUAGUAGGGUUCUGUUUCUUCUCUUUGCAACACCAUUUUGUUGAGGAGUGUAUGGAAUAGAUAACUGUAUUUCUAUUCCUUUUCAUCACAUUAUUUUCUGAACUCAUCAGAUAAAUAUUCUCGACCUCGAUCGUAUCUCAAUACUUUUAUUUUCUUGUCUAAUUGAUUUUCUUCCAAGUUCAUAAACUUUUUGAAACAACUUAUGCUUUAGAUUUAUGAGAAAUCAAAUAGACACAUCCGAAUCGAGUAUAAUCAUCUAUUAAAAGUGAUGAAGUAAACAGUCAUAUGCCUUCCUCUCACAUUCAUUGAACCACAAACGUCAUAAUGGAUUAAAUGCAGAGGAACAUCAGCUCUUUUACCUUUUCCAAAUGGUUUCAUUGUCGUUUUCCUUACUAGGCAAUGCUCACAUAUGGGCAAAUCGACUUUUUCAAUAUUGCCCAACAAGCCCUUUUUGGCUAGUCUAUUCAUACAUUAUUGGACAAUAUGACCAAGUCUAGCAUGCCACAUAUUCACAUCAUUAUCAUAUGAAGUCAACAUUGACAUUGACAUCAUCACAGUCAAUAUUUAGUACAAUAAAACCAUCUAGAAAGUGACCAUAACCAUAGUAAUUUGUAUCCAAAUACAAAUCUACACUGCUAUUACGGAAGUUCACACUAAAACCAAGCUUAACCAACAUCAAAACAGACACUUAAAUUUCGACGAAUCUCCAGAGCAUAUAGAACAUCAUGUAUGAACAAGUUGCGUCCACCACGCAUGUUCAAUUGGCAAGUGCCAAUCCAUUUAACUUCAUCUCUGGAGUUAUUUCCUACAUAGAUCCACUUAGUUCCAGUUAGUACUCGUCGGAAUUCCACGAAGGAUCAUAUAUCCUUUGCUACAUGGUCUAUCGCUCCUGAAACUAUAGUCCACAAAGGAUUGGAUUCAACCAAUAAUUCAGAACUUGACACAUAAGCAAAGUUCUCAAAUGUACAAGAGGUGUGUACCUUCUUUGGCUCACGACAGUCGCGAGCAUAGUGACCAUUCUUGUCACAAUUGUAACACCCCACCCUUGACAUUUUCUUCACUUGAUGAGGCUUUCCUCUCUUGUGUUGGUUAACUCUUGAUCUUUUGCAAUAAGGACUUGAUCCUUUGCAUUCUCAUAUAUUGAACGAAUCAAUACGCUUGCGCUUAGAGCUCAAAGCCCUUUCUGAGCUAGAACUAGCAUUGCAAAUAUCUAUUUUCAGCUCACAUGCCGUUAAGUGGUCCUCUACUAGCUCAAGGUGGCGCACAACAUCCUCAAGAUCUUCCAUAACAUGGUCAAGAGCUUCUAGUGCUUCUUGCUUUUCCAGCACAUAUUGAAUCUCCAAAUUCAAUAUUUCACAAUUGUUGCCGUUCAUAUCAGCAAUUACGUUCUUAGUUGCUGAAACCAUCAAUCUGAACACAUCAGACAUAUAUGCACGAAUAAUUAAUGCCUAUCAUUUAUCCAUCCACUUUGCACAGACCCAUCAUAUCAAUGAAUAAUUUCAAGGUUUCAGAAUCAAAAUGUCAUUAUGUUUCCAAUCAUCCUCCAAAAAUCCUAACUUAAAACUAUCAUUAAUAUAAUUGUCUUAUGCAAAAUAAAUUCUAUGAAGUUACAAAAACUUCUAUAACUACCCACAGCUAACUACCCACAACAAUCAGCAAUUAACAAAAAGCAACAGAUAAUUGACAUCCAAUAAAAUAAUAAUACUUUCAACUAACACAACAAUCCAUUACACUAAGUAAUAUAUCCAGAAAGAAAUUUCAACAUAGAAAGAGAUAUUCACACCAAAAAAAAUCUCAAAACUAAUCUAAGAAAUAAAUAGGGAAAGUCCAUUCUAAUCUAUCAGUUAAAGUAUCUGAGAAAACUGAAGGCACAUUUGCCAACCAUGGGAAAACUUUUGGAGAGCUUUCAUGUCGCCACCAAGGCACAUUUACUCUACGUCAUGUGGCGCUCAAUCUAAGGGUUGAAAUUUUGGCCAACUCAAUCCUAUAGUACUCUCUUACAAAAGCUUCCACUAGCCUCCUAUAAUCCGGAACCACGUUGACCUCCCAUAGCCGAUCUAACACUGCUUGCCAUUCAGGUGAAAGAGUGUUCAUCAAAGCCGGCACCUUCUCAAAAUCCGGCAUAAGAUAACCAUUCCAGAUGAUUUUCUGUAUCAUAUGAUUGACCCUCACCACGUGUGAUACUAAAUCACCGUCAUACCAUCGAUAAUCAGCUAACUCUUUCAUCAGCCUUUUAAGUCUAGCUCUUCCUUCGUCUGUUCUCGGGAUUGCAGAUAUCCGUGCAUAACGCAUCAUAGUUCCUGCAACAAAUGCAUAACUAAAAUGGAUCACUUAUAAUCCACAAUAAACAAAAUGGAAAAUAAUUAAAUUUCCAUGAUUCAUGCAACAAAUGAAGAAUAAAAAUUGGAUUACCUCUAACCCAACCAAACAUUAUUGAAAAAGAAACAAAUCUUUUUCUUUUUUUUUCAGGUCAACGGUCAACGGUCGUCGGUCAAUGGUCAACGGGUCAACGGUCAGGUCGUCGGACCGAUCGGGCCCGGUCGGACGAACCGACCGCACGUGCCGCACACAUGCGCAGGCUGACGUCACGCAGACGUCAACCGGCACGUGCCGCGCGCAUGCCAGGCGUCCGCAGGUCGGGUCGGGUCGGAUCGCCGGCCGGGUCGCCAGUCGGUGACCGCCCGGCCAACCGUCAUCGGCGAUGACGUCAUGCCAGCAGUUACCGAUCGUUGGAUGACGUUAGCACGCGUCGGUCCGCCGACCUACACUUGCCGGUUCGCCGCCGGCGUCGCGCACGUGCCGGUUCGCCGACUGGCGCAUGGGACGCACGUGCUGGCCGAUGCCAACACUUCAGCGCGUCGCGCCCACGCGCAGCGGCUUCUAGCUGCGCGUGCAGCGUCGCCCGGCGGCGCACGACAUGUCGCCGGACUUGCCUCGAUGACCUCUUUCACCCAGUUCCUCAUAAUCAUUUUGACUUACGGAACUCGAAAAAAUCGAUGACAGUGCUCGGAAUCCGUGCCAGCUGAUUUCUUGCGAAAAUUCAAUCAAAAACAUCAAAACAGGUCUUGAAAACAUGAACUAGGGCUCUGAUCCAAUGUUGGGAAUAACGGAUCCCCGAAAACCGGAUUCGACACUAAAUCGAACCCCUAAAGCAAUGCGGAAGACAAAGCCCGGGAAUAACACGUAUCACCGAUCUUAAAGCACACCACAGAUUCGUGCGUACCUUGUUAGCCACAGAUUAGACACCGACGCCAAUAAGAGGAAGAGAUUUGACCAUGUUCGAUCCGAUGACGCCUUGAAGGGAAGAAGAAAUGUGUCUUUUGCCUUACUGUUUCUUCUUUUUCUUUUUCAGAGAGAGUGCGCUAGAAGAGAAGACGUACGUAUGUUCAUUAUGCCAAGAGGUGUCUUCUCUCUCUCUCUCUCUCCUCCCUUUUAUACCUUCCCCCAUCCACGGGCCCUAUUCCCGUGGGCCGGGCUUUUUGGGCCCAAUCUGGGCGGACGGGCCUUAAGCCCAUCACUAAUAAAACCAUCAGGAACGAAGGAAAACUAGUUAAAGAGGUGGUUACGAGGGUUUUAAGUGAGCUGAAGAACGCGUCAUUGGUCGUUAGUGAUUUCUUGGUUGGUGUUGACAACAGUGUGAAAAAAGAUCGUGGGAGUUCACAUAAUGGAUGGCAUCGGAGAAACUACUCUUGCCAAAGUAAUCUACAACAAACUUUCUCUAGACUCUUGUUUGAUGCAUUGAAUUCAUGCACACACAAGUUUUGUCACAGGCGGAGUUUAGCAAACCAGCUUAUAGCGAACAUUCUUCCUUUAAGGGUGUCAAACGCAAAUACGAAGGUAUGCUCUACAUUGAGAUUGUCAAACCUGAAUUGUUCUAUAAGAUUAAGCAUGAGUUCAAUCUUGAAAUGUGGAACACUGAAAGAGGUCAUGGCUUAAAAGCUGCCAGACCAUAAGGAUAGGCGGUUAGGGAUUAUUUCAAGCUAUGCUGUGUUGUCGGAACUGGUUAGAUUUUUGACUAAUUUUUUGGGCCAUAGAGUAAACCUUACACAUUAGCUAUUGCUCCUCUUGCUAUAGUAAGCAUAUACAAUCCUUUAGAAGACUACCGCCUAGUUGUCAAUGGAACAUAAGAUUCGGAAGAUGGGUCCCAUCACCGGCAUCGAAUUUGGCAUUGGUCUCAAGAGAAGUCAUGGCAACUUAUUGUGAGUGAGUCAUGCUCGGGAAAGAAGAUCAGUGCUAUAUCUAACUUGAAAAAGAUAACAACCAGAUGAACCUGAGAUAAACUCCAAGUUAAAAAGUUACUGAGUUUUUCAAGAUCUUUCAUCUGUUGACUAAGAUAUUGCUGGAGUUAUGAAAUUCCCGUGCAAUCAUCUCUAGUGAUAAAAAUGUUGUCCACAUAUAGAGCAGAAAAUAGACCCACGAGAAGUGUGUCGAGCAAAAAGAGCAUGGUCGUAGGGACCAAGAAAAAGCCAAGGAAUUCCAUUGUGGAGCUAAAGUUGGAAUACCGUGCUUGAGGAGAUUGUUUCAAUUAAUAUAAUGCGCAACCUAAUGGACGCACUUAAAUUAUUGACAAGGGUCGUGCUUUUAUUUUUCCUUUUCUUUUAUUUUGGCCUGGCAGACCCCUGUCGAGAAUUGUUGAGAAGGUCAUGCUUCAAGCAAAACACAAUUAUUAAGAUCCACAUAAGAUUCAUUGAUCGACUUGAACAUGGCUACUUCGAGAAGAAAAGUUAAAUCUCAAUCUGUCAAAGAGAAAGCAACCCCCAUGCAUUAAACUGGUUACAGCAAAAAUCUACAACCCUGACCGCAAGUGACGUAGGUUUUUGUUGUCCUUUUUAGACUAAUGAAAGCCUCAUACGCUUCUUCGUCGUCAUAGCCCUUAAGACUAAUUUCCAUUUCUCACAAUACGAUCCCUUCUGCUUCGAAUGGAAAGCUCUUCAGAAUGUGUAUAGCUGCUGAAUCGAAUUAAUGUCCAAGCCUUUCAGCAUGACCGCGGAUUCAACAUGGCCCUUCAGAGGUUGUAGCUCUCGAAGCCUGCGACAACAGAUUCAGUUUGCCUUACUAUCGGAUGUCAGACUUAAAUGGCGAAAAGGAACUGCUAGCAGAGAAAGAUUUAAACUCUAUUGAGAAAGUAAGCUUCCUAAACUCCUUAAAUGCAGCAUGGCCUUUAAACUUCAGUUAUCAGGCAAGCAAACAGGUACAAAAGCGAAGUAGGUGAAACUAUGUUUUUCAGUAAAUAACACGAUUUUCUUACGAGCAUUGAAGUAUGAGAAUUAAUGUGCCCAUCUCGCAACCUCUGCUCGUCACUUGGCUUGCUCUGCGAUCUCUGAGAGCUCCCUGUAGCUACUCUUGUCAGAGAAAAGGUUGCUGGUUUCAGGAGGCUGACGGCCGUGCAGAGUCCUCCGUGCAGUUGCCCAUUGAGCUUCUUGCUCUUCUUUGCCAUAGUCUUUUUUGGUAGUGAAGGCAGUCUGCCUGAUCAAAUUGGCCAAAAUUAACAUAAUGUAGGGUUUUUCAUAAUACAUAAUCCGUGGCAAUGCCUUUUCUCAGUGGAAAUACCUUGUUCUCCGAGAGGGUAUUCCAUGCUUUCCCGCUCAGAAUGUAGCGGAUUGCGUAUUUCAGAAAACUCAAGCAGAACAUAUGUCACCAAGCUGUAGAUGACACUGGCCCACCCCCAUUCAGUUCCUUUUAUCCUCACGAAACCCCAAUUUGCAUAAACCGCUGUAAGUGUUGCAUCGUGUCCAUGAAAAAUUUUGCAUCAGGGAACCAUAUUGGUGAAUGGUGAUUAAGUUAUUGAUUGUCCAAACCAUUGACCGUCAGUUAAAGCUAAUAAAUCUGCGGUUCUCACUUCAACCGGACUCCAAUGAAAUUAGUCAGUAGAAAGUACCAUAGCAAACUUAUGCUCCCGGUAGAAAGUGAACAGACUAUUCUCACCAGCUGAGCAACUACAAAUGCCCUGACCAAGAGAAGUCCCGGGUGUUCCACAAAGGACCAGCUGCGCAAUCUGGUGACAAAGAUUAGAGCCUGGCUAACCAUUCUCGCAAAUAUAGGGCUGCCAUCAUUUCACUGGGGCUAUAUCUGAUUGAUUUUUUACAACAAACUUGUCCUGCACCAUAGAAUAGGGUAGUGAUAUUUUAUUGCUUCUCGUUUCAAUAAUUAAACAAAAUAUACACAUGAGAAACAGAACUAGAAAACCACACAAGAAACAGGUUCUUACUGAGAAGUCCACAUCUUUCAUGCCCCAAAAUAUUAUACAGUUAUUAGUGCCAGGUAACCUCCAAGAACAAUUCCGGUAGCAAAAUUUUCUUUCAACUUUGGCUUUCUUGCUAGGGAGAUGGCCUCACUCAAUCUUUAAAGAUUGUCACGAUCAUUCCUGAGAUUGGUACAAAAAACUAUUUAAAUUAGUCUUUCUUAAUCUGCUAUGUUGAACCAGGAGUACAAGAAUACACAAACCUAUCAUCUUAUCAUUGUUUAAUAUGGCAAUGAUCAAAACCAUAAAGGACAGUAAGAUUUCACAAUUCCAUAAGAUGAUCCAAGAUAGUUGCAGGUAUGGAUUGAUCUGAGUAACUUUUCAAUUGUGUGUCUACUUGCGCUCUUUCUCGACAUGCUCACAACUAUGCCACAUGAAGAAGAUGAUUAGAACAGUAAAUUGUGUGGAAUACGAUGGUCGAUUAAGGAAUUCUCGCCUCAGAGGAGAUGUAUGCUGAGGAAUGUCUUCUCAACAGGGUGUUCCAUCUGCACAGUGAUUUUAAUUUAGCUCACACAUCAACCACCUCCAAAUAUGGUUCUUCAUUGAUAAUUUUAUUUUUGGCCUUUGGUUUAUUUCUAGUUGAUCAAGAGGACCAAAGUAUUAUAAAGAACAUGACACUGAAUCAAUUUUCUUCUACUGGUCAAAUUUGACACAGAGAAACACCACUAAGAAAUUAAAAGUUGCCUGGGAAUAAUCUUUCAAUAUCCUUUCUCAAACAAGUGUGGCAGAGAAUUUUAAGUUUGCUGAAAGUACAAAGACAAGCUGAAGAAUGUGAUCAAGAGUUCUCAUGAGCCCUGCAGAUGACGAAAGGGAAAAGCUUGAAAGUUGCUCAGUUGCAACUUGGGUGGAAUGCUACAAUAUACAUUAUCUGAAAGGAAGGGAAUAAGGCGAUACAUGAGCAAGUUAACCCCCAAAAGAAUAAGGUUGCUGCUGCUGAAAUUAUCAAUAAAAGUCAUGUUUCGGUCAUUAAUUCUGAAGGAAGCAGUUCCUGAUGAGGUUAAAAGUAUCUAUAUUCUUGCUCGACCAAGACUGCUUUGAAACCAUGAUUGAGGACUGGUUUGCUCGAUAGUAAGUGAGUUACUGGUUUUCACUUGUAUGAUUGUUUCUAGGGUUAAUACCAGAAACAAUUCAGACCGAUACGUUAUGACGAAUUUAUCCCGAAUUAAUUUUUUGACUGCAAAAAAUCUAAAAUCGGUACAAAUGUGAUAAAAAAAAAUUAAAACUAAUUUUUUUAUUACCAAAAACUCCAAACUGAUACAUUUUGAGACACAUUUAUCCACUGUUAAUUUUUGUUAAAUUGGAUUAAUAUCACGAAAAAUAAAAAAAAUAAAAAAACUGCCACACCUAUAACAUAUGGAGAGUAAAACUCUAAAAUGAUAUACUCAACUGUCACAUGUCGUUCAAUGCAAUUUGAUGGUGAAAUUUAAUGUAUCAUCCGAAGAAAUUUAUUGAAUCAUCAACUUAGCAAUUUGAUGGUGAAAUUUAAUGGAAACUAACAGAGAUUGAAUUUAUUACAGGUGUAUUGAUUUAGGGUGUUUUGUUGCUAAAAAAAUUAGUUCGGGAUAAAUUUGAUACAAGUGUACUAUUUUGAGAUUUCUAUGAUUUUAAUCCUUAUUUCUAUUCUAGUGUUUCUUGUGAUAAGGGUUAUUGAGUUUAAGGAGAGGUGUCCAAGACUUUUUUAAAUUCAUAUUUAAUAGGUGGAUUGUGCAUCGGUUUGUCAAAAUUUAAAGAAUUGGUUGUUUUGUGAAGCCCAACUAGAUAUGGAUUUUAAUUAGUCUCGACUAAACUCACGCGCAACUCACCAAACAAUGCCUCCUCUUGUUUGGGCUGGCUGACGCUGUUUGGGCUGUUGCGGGGUCGAGCUUACAAAUUCACUCGUAUCUUACGCAUCUCGGACAACAGCAACCAUGCCCAUCUCAUAGCCGGUCGGUCUCACAGAAUGUGCACCAAGAUAUAUCAAACUCUUCCAAGAAUCCAAUCUCUUAAGUCCUAAUUUCAACUAGAUUUUAGCAAACUCCGGAAAUUAAUAGCUCCAGAGAUUAAAUCUGAAAGAUCUAGCCUCUCGAUGGACUUGCAUCCAGCAAUAUUCCCCUUUUCCAGGCAUGCCCCUACCUAUUAUGGCCAUGAAUUCUAGCUAGAUUUUGCAAUUUGUAGCACUCUUCAUACACUUAAAUAAUGGUUUUAGGCCUUUCAAUGGAGUUGCUCUAAGAGACAUCGAACUCUUCUAAUUUCGACUAGAUAAUGACAACCUGCAGCAUCCAACAGCUUCAUUUGAUUAUCGUGGUCUCCAAUUUCAAUGAGUUGAUCGCCAAAUAGCUUCAAACUAGUAGAUUGCAGAAGGCCCAAGCCUUCAGGGGACUUGUGUAGAGAGAAAUCCAAUAAUUCCAACUUAAAAGCCCUUGAAUAUUUUAUAGGCUUUCACAUUCUCGAACCAUCACUUGCUUGAGACAUUUUGAUUGAGAAAGGUCCAUCCUUUCAAGGGACUUGCACAAAGAGAUACCCAAUACUUCGAAGAACUCCAAUUCAUUAAGGCAUUAAAUUUCUGGUAAAUUUCACAUUCUUUAGCAUUCUAUGAAGGAUUCAGCCUAAUAAUAGAAUUGCAUGAAGAGAUAUCCAACACUUUUGACCACUUCAAUCUAACAAAUUGCUAGAAUUUCAACCAGGUUUUGGCAAUUUGCAAUGGCCAAUCUCCUUAUACAACCUCCAAGAACUCGUACUUAUUAUGACCUCGAAGUCCAACAAAAUUUGCACAAGAGCAUGCCUUCAAUAGCUUCAAACAAUCUAAUUGUAAAAGGUCCAGCCCUUUAAUCGACAAAUCUAACAUUUCCAAGACCCCCAUAUGGCCUUGGAUUUCGGCUAGAUUUUAACAAGAAGCCUUCAACUGCUUUAGUAAUAGGUCUAGCCUCCUCAUGGAUUUGCACUAGAAGAUGUUUGUCUCUUUCAAGAACUCUGACCUAUGAAGGCCUUCAAUUUCACUUAAAUUUUCGCGACAACUAGCAUUUACUUUCUUUAAAUGUUUCCAUUGAGAAAGAUCCAGCAUUUCAAAAGAAUUGCAUGGGUCGAUGAUUAACUAUCCAGGAACUUGGAUCUAUCAAGACCUCAACUUCAACAAGAACAUUGUUUUUUUUUUUUAAUCUCAGUGAAGCUUUCAUUCCAUCAUAAUAUACGAGGUUAUCAAGACCAGAUGAAUUUGUACCUCAUGCUUUAUCCAAUGUUGUCGUUUCAUAAUUUUCAUAUGUUCAUAUGGAAAAUCUAGAGACCCCUUAAGAUUUUUACUAAAAAAAUUUAUUGUUGAUUGACUUAAACAAAUGUUUACUCGUUGCCUUCUUUUUGGUCCUCGAUGCACGCUCCCUAGUGGCUUUAACAACUAACCCACUAACAUUUAUUUAUUGGAAAGUAAUUACAGUGAACUCACAGAAUUGAUGCAAUAAAAUAGACUAAUUAAUUGACCUUGACUUAGAAAAGAUGUAUGCUACCUAGGCCUUAGCCACUAGCCCACUAUCCAUUUUUUUUUAUUGAAAAGUAAUUACAGUUAACUCAAUAAUUGAUGUAAUAAAAUAGACUGAUUAAUUGACCUUGACUUAGAACAGUGAUAAGCCGUUCCCUUCUAGCUCUAGCCAUUCCAUUCACAGCUCCGAGAGGGCCUUUCUUUUUCACCUUUAGGAGUCUUCCUAUACGCGUUCUUCGUCGUUGCCUUUCAGGCAUUAUCCGGUGGCGGUUCUAUCUUGGUGCUGAAUGGAGUCGACCAACAUGAGCUAAUUUUAGUAUCAUUUGUGCACCAACAUUUUGAUUAGCCCGUGCGACGCAUGGGAGGAUCGUUUAACGUUUACAUUGCUGUCCUCUUUGGCGAUGACAUUGAUAAUGUAUCUAAAAGCAAGGAGAAAAGAAAGAAAAUGACGUAAUAGCUAUGGUUCCACUAUAAUUAUGUUACUAUUAUACUAGUCUCUUGCUAUGCACGCGAAAAAAGACUUAUGAAAUAGAUUACGAUAAAUAACAAUUCUAGAAAUAUGCUUGAUCAGUAUGAGGAUAAGAGAUUUUUGUAAUAUCGAAAAAAGAAUUAUGUAUGUUGAACUAAAUGGGAAAAAUUUUAUUUUGAUUAAAAUGGAAAAACAAAAGAAUUUUUUUUUUCCAAAAGAAAGUGAAAAUAAAUGUCACUCAUGAAGAGUAUCACAUGUCAGUCAUAUACUAAUAAUAAUUUAGUGCAUCACUUUACAUUUUUCAAAGGGUACAAGCCAUCAAAAACUCUAAACUAUACACAUUAUGAGACAUUUACUCCAAGUUUGUAUAGUAUGAUAAAUUUACCCCAAACUUCUUUUUUGACACCAAAAACCACUAACUUCAGUAUGUGACACCAAAUUUUUGGGGCAAAAAUGUCAUACGAAUACAAGUUUUGGGCAUUUGGUGUUACAAAAAAAAGUUUGGAAUUUUUGAUGUCAUAGAAAAAAAGUUUGGGAUAAAUGUGUCAUAUGGAUACAAAUUUGGGAUUUCAAAUUUGCGUUUUAGGAAAAGAAAGGGAAAGAAUUUCUCUUACCAUCCAAUUAAUGAGAACGCAUAAAAUCAUCUUCCCAAUAAGAAUGUUUUACUGUUAAUCUAUGUAUUGAGGUAAUAUGACUUCUAAUUUUUCUAACUAAUUAUUCUAAGGACCGACGUUGGCCUUUUUAAUCAGGAUAUAUGCAUUUUUAUUAAUUCAAAUAAUCAAUAUGAACAGUGAUGAAUUGAGUAAUACAAUUAUCUAUAGUAAUUUUAAUUUAUUCGGCGCGUGUUGUGAGGGGUGAUGGACUUUUUGGCCAUCGACCCACUGUCAAGACAAAUAAUUUUGUGAAAAAUCCAGAUGAGCGCUUUCCAAAUUCAUGUUGCUUUUUGCCAUAGCAGCCUUUGAAGGUUCUUGCAAAUGCAGAUUUUCUGUCUUCCGUUUGCUCUAAGGUUCACUCCCUUUGUGCGUUUUAUUUCAGUGCAGAAAAUGGAAGAGCACAUCUUCCAAAUUCAUGUUGAUUGACUGAGAGCAGUAAGCACGUGGUGGGUCAUUGCCUUCCCUCGGACCUUGACCUCCGCCCGAUGUUAUCAUUUGGCCACGUCCUCCGACGAAAAUCUACCUCUUAUCUUCCACAAAAUUAAAAGAAUGUUUUUAAAGCGUGCGGGCGAAAGGGGUUAGAGUAUGAUGAUUAAAUUCUAAAGCAAGUUAUACAAUUAAGGAUCAAUGUCAAUUAAAAACCCCAAACUGAUACACUCGUGAUAAAUUUAUCCAAAACUAAAUUUUUCACCACAAAAAAUUUCCAAUUGGUACAUUUGUAAUAAAUUUACCCUCUAUUAGUUUACAUUAAAUUUUACCGUCAAAUUACUGAAUUGGAUGAGACGAUACCCUCCAUUUGUCAUAGAUUUACUAGUUUAUAGUUUUUCAUAGUAUUAAUCCAAUUUAAUAUAAACUAACGGAUGAUAAAUUUGUCAUAAAUUGUACUAAUUUUGGGGUUUUAUUGGUCAAAAAAUUAGUUUAUGAUAAAUUUGUCAUAGGUAUACAAGUAUGAGAUUUUUCAUUAUAUUAACCUACGAUUAAAGAUGUUUUACAAUUAUGCUUGUUGUUCAUCAAUCUAAAAUUACGACAAUAUCAAUCAUUCUAUAUUAAAACAGUGGUUUUUAACAACUCAAUUGAUGAUAUAUUUAAUUAUUAUGAUGACUAUCAAUUUAUUAAUGUGAUUUUAGAAUACAUUUUUGUAAAUGAAUUAUAAUGCGUAUCUGUAUAUUUUAUUAAAAUCAUUAGAAUUAAUAUCCCAUUCUACUUUCACGAUGCAUUUCCUAAAUAAAAUAAAAAAAAGCAAACGAACCCUCGUUGUAUUCAUUCUGUAAACUUACUGAAUAAAAAGUUAUCUCAUUCCGGUUUUAUUGUACCAAACAAAAAUUUAGUGGAAAUUGAAUAGGUUAUAGUUGAUUGGUGUCGCUUAGUCUACGAACUUUGAAACUUUUUAAAUUGAUAUCCAUUCGGUUAGUUUGCCGGUGAUAAAAAAUUGUGGCUCUGAUGGAUUAGCCCUUUCCCAAACUUGUCCAUUUGAUCUUUGGGUUCAAUAAGUCUAGUGGUAAUUCUUAUUUGUGUUAGGUUAGAUCCAUCAUUAAUGACCAUUGAAUUUAUGAUUGUCACACAUAAGACCCACAUAAGUCUCACAAAUUCAAGGUUCCAUGUAGCAGACUUCGAUUUAGGGAAGAAAUAUCGCAACCCUAGAUUGUCUGAGUAAGGCAAUCACUUUGUUUUUUCCCUUUAAAAGGCCUCAGUUGCUUUAGUAGUGAUGAAGUGCUGAUAGGAUCCACUGUACUAGCAAAUUACUUCCAAAUGACUAGAGCAUUUUGGUCUAGUGAUUAACAUUACUAAAUAAGUUAUUCCUGACUUUAGAAAAUUCAAAUUCAUUUUUCAAAUCCCCAUAACAAUGAGGGUCUAGUCGCCCUUGCUUGACCAAUUUUUUGGAGUAUUGACCAAAUGCUUUACGAGGAAAAAAAAGUAAUUAGUCUAGCGUUUUGUUGGGAGGUAAAGAGGCUAAAUCCCAUUCAAGAUUACAUCAAGAUGGAAAGAUAAAUUGCAUGACUCGGCUGACUCUUUUCCAUCAUUUUCAUAUUGCUUUUGGAGAGACAUAAAUUUAGUCAAGGUCUUGCCACUUACUUUCUAUAAUGGACGUCCCUGUCAUAAAGGUAAAGCCAGCCUUUAUGGUAGGCAGCGGAAAACCACUUGGGAGAAAUCGGAGUCGAGCUAUAAUGGACAUCCUAUUAAAAAAGCAAAGCAUUUCAUAACUUUUAUCACAGGUGACCAAAAUGAUUUGCUCAAAUUAUACACGAGUCCCUACAUGAUGAAGUAGGCAUUUAAACAUUCAAAACACCUAUUGGAUACACAAAAUCUUCAAUUCUAUAACAUGAUCACGUAGUAAUAGUAAUAGUAAUAGUAAUAGUAAUAAUACACAAUCUUUGAAGUUGAGAGAACAUGGACGUCACUUAGACUUAGGAGAGGCUCAGCCUUUAGUAGGUUCAUAAUAAUACACAAUCUUUGAAGUUGAGAGAACAUGGACGUCACUUAGACUUAGGAGAGACUCAGCCUUUAGUAGGUUCGACCACAUGGACAAGGUUCUGAUGGCCAAAAUGAGGGAAAAAACUAAAAGUGACAAUAGUAAUAAACAUUGAAAGAGGUUGAGUUUUGGAGCUUAGUAAUUUUGAAUGGGAUUUAGCCUCUUUACCCCCAACAAAACGUUAGACUAAUUACUUUUGUUCUUGUAAAGCAUUUGGCCAAUGCUCCAAAAAAUUGGUCAAGCAAGGGCGACUAGACCCUCAUUGUUAUGAGGAUUUGAAAAAUGGAUUUUGAAUUUUCUAAAGUAUGGUAACUUAUUUAGUAAUUUCUAAUUGGUAACUCAUCAAGAUCCUCUUGUAACCCAGCAAAUUACUUCCAUCCAUCACGAUCCAUUUACUCCCAAAUUUUGUAAUAUCACAUAAAAAACUCUCAAAUUGAUAGACUCAAGCCAUAUUUAUUAUUGCAAUACUAAAACUAGUUUGGGAUAAAUAUGAUAUGGAUAAUACUAAUUUGGGAUUUUUUUAAUGGUAUUAGCCCAAAAAAGUUCAAAUUUUAGUUUAUAUUUUCAAAUAGCCAUGUAAGCGUCUUCAGAUCAAUUUAGGGGGAAAAAAGAGCAUUUAAUUCAAAGACUGAAUUGGUAAAGAAAAGUUUUGUUCGGGUCGUACAUUUUGCAAAAGUCUAAAGGUUAUUGGUGUUUUUUUUCUUUUUUUAAAAUAUAUUAUGUUGUAAAUUUUUACAUCCGUCUCGCCAUGGUCCGCCGGUCAAAGAAGCCCUCGUACACCUACUCCCAUGGUAUGAAACUGGGAGGUGGAUCUUUGAAAUAGAGAAGAAAGAGCGACAAAAACUGAGAGGAGGAGGCCACCCAACACGGAAACCAUUUUCAUUUUGAAAGUAGAUGGACAUCCAGAAUUCUAGCGACCGUGGAGGAGGUUCCUCCGAAACAAGAGAAAAGAGUUACGAUGUGUGUUUGAGCUUCAGAGGAGCGGAUAUGCUCCUUGCUUUUGUGAGACAUCUCGACUGUAGGCUCGACCAAGCGGAGAUCCGCGUGUUCAGGGAUGAAGGUGAACUCGUCAUGGGAGAGUGUUAAAAUUUAAACGUGCGCGGAAGCAUGGUUUUAGUUAUAGAUGAUAGUUUUUUUAUUAGUGAGAUGUGUGCAAGUGUAUGGUGUAGUUUAUGGAUGAUGGACAAGGGAUAGACUAGAAUAAUUGAAAGACAAAUAACAUGGGAUAUGGGAAAUAGUUUCAUUAGUUUGAUAAAAUAAUUUUACAAGGAAGUGUCGGAAGUGUUGGUGGAGGAGUUUCAUGAUAUGGAAUAUAUUCUCAUGCUCCUCUCACUCUCUUACAUUUGUUAGUUUGCUACACUCCCCCUUCUUUCCUAUUUAUAGAGUCUAAAUACAACAUUCUAGAACAAUGGGGAAUGUUAUCCACUUAGGCUUAUUCUAGGAAAUUCUAGAUUCUAGUUUUUCUAGAGACUUCUUACAUGUUGGACAUUUCUUAUUUCUUCUAGAAAAAUGUUUUCUUCUUUCUUCUAGAAAAUUCAUCUAGGGAAUUCUAGAGAAUUCUAGAAGUUUAACAAUUCUAGGAAAUUCUAGAAAAUGGAUCAUAAUUUCCAACACUCCCCCUUGAUCCAUUUUUGGGAUACUUCGGCUAUUGUAGUUUGUCCCAUGUCUUUUAUCCCGUCUUCGUCCACGAUCCCUUGCAUUCUCUUGUUGGCACACUUGCACUUGCCUUCGAAUGUACAUGUCUUUUCUUCAAUGAUGACCCAUAUGUCUCGGGACAUCAAAUUGUUCUUAGUGGUAGUUGUUAGCUCGGGCUCGGGCUCUGGCUCUGGCUCUCGUAGGCUCUGGCUCUGGCUCCGGCUCCGGCUUUGGCUCUGACUCCGGCUCUGGCUCUGUUGGCUCUCGCUCGGGCUCUGGCCUUCUUAGUUGAGGAUGGUGAGGACAAACGCCCAUAACCAUCCGAUGUGCCUUUCUCUGGCUUCACGGUCUCUUACACCUGGCUCAGUUACGAACCUGGGUGCAUCUAGCUUUGAUACCAUGUUAGUGUUUUGCGGAAGCGUGUGUGUAGUCCCUCGUCUUGCACAAAAUCUCUUAAGUGUGGGCCAAAUGAUAUAAAGUGGGUAUUCUCUAUAUUUUAAUAGAGAUACCUGCAUUAUCUAUGAUAAAUAUAAAAAUAUCAUUGCCUCUGUUAAGAUGAAAAAUAACAAUUUUCCUAUUCAAUGGAAAUUGGUCAAAGAUAUAGCCAUGAAAGCUCAACUUGAUGAUUCAUGGCUAUGGCAUCGAAGAUUUGGCCACUUCAAUUUUGCUGGGCUAAAAAUUCUCCAUCAGAAAAAUAUGAUGAGAGAUUUUCCAGCCAUCACAGAAAUCUCAGAUGUUUGUGAAGGCUGUCUUCUUGGAAAACAACAGAGACAGUCCUUCCCAUCUGGAGGUGCAUGGAAAGCUAAGAAGCCAUUAGAACUUGUCCACACGGACGUGUGCGGUCCGAUGAGGACACCUACACCUAGUCAAAAUAAAUAUUUUAUCCUAUUCAUUGACGAUUACACAAGAAUGACGUGGGUAUAUUUUCUUCGAGAAAAAUCUGAGGUUUUCUCUAUCUUUAGAAAAUUCAAGAACCACGUCGAGAAUCAAAGUGGCCAAAGAAUCAAAGUCCUAAGAAGUGACAGAGGCACAGAAUACAAUUCAAAGGAGUUUAAUAAAUUUUGUGAAGAUGAAGGAGUCCAUCAUCAACUAACUGUUGGCUACGCCCCAGAACAAAAUGGAGUAGCUGAAAGAAAAAAUAGAACCGUCAUGGAGAUGGCAAGGUCUAUGCUAAAAGAGAAAGGCCUUCCCAACACUUUCUGGGCAGAAGCAGUUUAUACUGCUGUAUACCUACUAAACAGGUGUCCAACGAAAGCUGUACAAAAUAAAACUCCAGUCGAAGCAUGGAGUGGACGAAAGCCUUCAGCAAAGCAUCUUAAAGUGUUUGGAUGCAUUUGCUACGUCCACAUCCCUGCUCAAAAAAGGAGUAAACUAGAUGAAAAGACAGAAAAAGGAAUAUUCCUUGGAUACAGUGACCAAUCAAAAGGCUAUCGAAUUUACAACCUAAGAACUAAAAAGUUAAUGAUUAGUCGAGACGUCGAGUUCGACGAGAAUGCUGCCUGGAAUUGGGAAAGCGAGAAGAUUGAGAAGAAGUACAUAACCUUGCCAGACAUACCACCUGCUCAAGAGGAGACAAUGUCACAAGAAGAAGGAGUAGUACCGGAUUCUACCACUCACGAUAUAACUCCACCAAGCUCUCCAAGAGCAACACAAGAAGAGUCUACUCCAGAGUCUCCAGUACUAAGGGUAAAAGCCCUUAAAAGAAUUUACGAUACAUGCAACUUUGCUACUUUGGAACCAGAAAACUACGAACAAGCAUCCAAAGAAGAAGUUUGGAUAAAAGCUAUGGAGGAAGAGAUCAAGAUGAUCGAGAAAAAUGAAACUUGGGAGCUUGUCGAUCGACCCGAAGACAAAGAGAUCAUUGGCGUCAAGUGGGUCUACAAGACGAAGCUCAAUGCGGAUGGAUCAAUCCAGAAGCAUAAAGCAAGGCUUGUGGCGAAAGGAUACUUGCAACAACCAGGUAUCGACUAUACUGAAACUUUUGCUCCCGUCGCUCGCCUUGAUACUAUUCGAGCACUUAUAGCCUUAGCAGCACAAAAAGAUUGGAAGAUUUAUCAACUAGAUGUAAAAUCAGCAUUUCUAAAUGGAUACCUUCAAGAAGAAAUAUAUGCAGCAUCAAGCUCAAAGGCUGAAGAAAUUUCUGGUACGUGGGCAGCAGAACACGUGGACAGCAAAUAGGCCAAAGAAAAGUCAACAAAAGUGGCUGAGAGUUGGAGAGAAUAGAAAAAUGCAGAAAAAUGGAGGAGAGACCAGAAGAAUCGGGAGAAGCCGCAUGGACGAAGAAGCAAGCUGAAAUUUUUUAUAUUUCUUGUACUCAAUGUCGGUGAAGAAGAGGCGGUGCUCACGCCUAUAAAUAGAGGUGUGGUGUCUGUUUUAGUUGGCUGAAAAAACCAAAACCACUCUUUCCUUUGUAAUACUUACUUUCAUAAUAAAAGCUCUCUUUUUUUAACCCAUACACCCUUGCCUUUGUAGCCCAUAUUUCACACAUACACACUUGCACACACACACGCUUCCGCAAAAUCACCAACAGAGAGAAGUUGGUUCUCCAAGCGAUCAGGCAUUCCAAGAUCGCCAUUCCGAUCCUGUCAGGGAAGUACCCAUCGAGCAAAUGGUGCCUCCGAGAGCUGGCUCAGAUUGUGGAGUACCACAAGACGAUGGGCCAGAUCAUCAUGCCAGUCUUCUUCAAUGUCAUGACAUCGGUUGUGAAAAACAGAUCUCACGGUUACGGCGAGGCUAUCAAGUGGCAUAGAGAGCGCGGAAUCGUCCCAGACAUCCUCCGGAAAUGGGAGGAAGCUCUCAGCUAUGUGGGAUCCAUCCCAGGGUUGAAGAUUAAUGGGUGAGUGUAAUUGAGUAAGUUCGAUUAAAUAACCUAGAAUCCAAAUCCCAAGCCAGCGCUUCCUUCAAUUUUGGUUAAUCUAAUUAGACUAAUGCUGCUAGGUGUAUCAAUAUCUGAUGUAGCUCCCUCUGAUCUGGUACUGAAUGUGAUCCGCUUGUUAACAUUCUCACUCCCAGCUUGCCACGUUACUUAAUGUUUCGGUUUUGUUGACAAAUUUCAGCGCUCUAGCGUUACACGUAUCUCAUAACUCAGUUUUUCCAUGUUCGAUCACUGCAUUAAAUGGGAGGCAGCGGUUAUGGUUGUGAUUUUAUAUCGAUAUGGUCCAGAAAAAUGUUCUUCCUCUUGAAAUCUGCAUCCACAGGAAAUCUACCUCUUGCAAGAAAAUGCCAGUGUAGAGUGAUAUUGAUUUGCUUAAUUUCUGUGGAUGCGACAGACAGCCUUUGCAUCUCAUCGUACUGUGCUUUGUCUGUGUUGAUUUAGUAAAAGCAUGUACCACUAAUUGCAUGGCCUGUUUGUCUAAAGCUGAUUGCUGUAUGAUAGUUUUUGAAAGGAGAGCGUGAACUUUUUCUUGCAAACUACUUCAGAGUUUAGAUAUGGUUGGACUUACAUUAAUCUUUGUGCGUGUACCUUGUGCACACAUGCACGCAUGAUACAGCUGGCCCGUAGAUGCUUCAGUCAUCGAUGUUAUUGUCGCAAAUGUGUUGAGGGCACUGAACAGAUGCUUCGUUGGCAUCGAGCAUCAUGAGAAAAGAGUUAUGAAAUUACUAAAAGUGGAAUCUAUCGAUGUUCGUGUAGUUGGAAUACAUGGCAUGGGGGGCGCCGGGAAGACAACAAUUGCAAGGUUCAUCUACAAAAGAAUAUUUGAUCUCUUUGAUGGCUGUAGCUUUCUGGAAAACGUUAGAGAACAUACCAAAAAAGCAGGAGGUCUAGAUAAUUUGCAAGGUCAGUUGGUUUCUAACCUUCUAGGUGUAAUGCAUGGACAAAUUCAUUUUGUUGAUGAUGGGAUUAAGUCCAUCAACAGCAGACUCUUGCACAAGAAGGUUCUCAUUGUUCUCUAUGAUAUUGAACCAAGCUCUAGACUUACGCCAAUUUUAAGUAUUCUUGAUUCGUUAGGUUCAAGGAGCAGGAUCAUAAUUACCACCAAAGAUGAACAGGCUUUAGAUAAGUUUAAAGUGUCCCUGAAAUAUGAAGUCAGGGGAAUGCGAGAAGAGGAAGUCGAUGAACUAUUCUCCCCCUGCUCCAGUUGACUUAGCUACUCUAUCCAAAAAUUUAGUAUCGACUAUUGGCCGGCUUCCUUUGACUGUUGAGGUUGUUGGGUCGUAUCUAUAUUCUAAAAGCAAGGAGGUGUGGGAGCAGACAUUAGAAGAAUUGAGAAAAGUACCUAAGCCACAAGUUCAACGGAAAUUGAUGGUAAUAAUCAAGGCAUUACCUGACGAGCAAAGACUGAUAUUUCUGGACAUUGCUUGUUUCUUCAUUGGAGAGGACAAAAGUGUUGCAUGCUACCUGUGGUCUGACCGUGAUUCCACAAGCGGAUCGGUAUUAGAAGUGCUCAUCAAUUCGUCUAUCGUUAAGAUUGAGAACGAUAAGUUAUGGAUGCAUGAUCAACUUCGAGACCUAGGUAGGGAUAUUGUCGUAGAGAAACAUCCUAAACAUGGAAAGCACAGUAGAUUGUGGAGUCACGAGCAAGCCCAGGAUGUGCUGGUGAAUAAAAAAGUAAGAUACAAGUUCAUCACUGUUUUUACCUUACUUGUAUGCCUUACGACUCAUGUUCCUCUUUUCAUAGAAAGAAAACUAAUUGGGGUGCAUAUUUUUAGCGGAAAAAAUGAUUUGAACAAUAUUUUUCUAAAAAUGAUCAUUUAUAUUUCUUGAAAUAAUUAGUUAAUGAAAAUUUUUCGUUAUUGAUAACAAUUUAUGUCUACUUUUUUUCAUGGAUGAUGAAAAUAUUUGUUGUUCAUUCAUUUUUGUAAGAGAUGAAAGCAAUCAUUUUUAAGAAUUUUUUCCAAAACCUUUUUUUUUAAAACAAAUUGAUCCUUAAUAAAAUGAUUUCUUUAAUUUGAAGUCUCUAAGAAUUUAUCAUCUUCACAUAUUUUUGUGCGGAAAUGCCAAGUCCCUUGGUAAUCCAAAUCAUGUAUUUCACGUGUAGGGAACGGAAAUUGUUAGAGGAAUUCUUCUCAAAUUUGGCAGUGGGUCACAAUACAGUUUUGGACCAGCACAUUUUGCGAGGAUGUCAAACGUAAGAUUCCUUCGAUUGGAUCAGGCGAACCUCGAAGGAAAUUUUGAGCGAUGUCUAUCAAGUUUAAGAUGGCUCCAUUGGCAAGGUUGUCCUCGGCAUCUUCUUGCUGAAAAAUUGGAUUUGAUGGAGUUGGUUGUUCUAGAUCUUUCCUGGAGCAAGGUCAGUGACAAAUGGAACAGUCGGAGUGAAAUCAAGGUAGAGAACUACAUUAUUAUUGAUUUCAUUUGUCAAAUUGUAGCGGAAAAGUUGACUCUUUUGUUUUUCUAUUUAUGACAGAAAGCCAAGAAAUUAAGAGUUUUGAACCUCACUGGCUGUUAUGAUAUGAUCAGAACUCCAGACUUAUCUCAUUACAAAUGUUUAGAGAGAUUGAAUCUUGAAAGGUGCAUUCGAUUGGUUGAAAUCGGUUCAUCAGUAAAAAGUCUGGAGAGCUUGGUUUUGCUGAACUUGAGGUUUUGCACUGAACUCAAUAAGUUGCUUGAAGAGCUGGGUUCCCUCAAAUCCUUGGAAAAGAUUCUUAUAGAUGGAACUGCGAUUCAGGAAAUUCCUGCCUCCAUCGGUCGUAUGCAAAAUCGUAGAAGAUUCAGUGCCUGCAACUGUCUUUCAUUGAUCUAGCUACCCAAUUCAAUUAGUCAUGUGAAAUCUCUGAGAGUCUUCGCACUAAAUGGUACCAGAAUAACUAAACUUCCCAUGUCUGCAAAGUUAGAAAAGCUACAGCACUUGUCAAUAAAUCAUUGUAGGUCAAUAUUGAAGUUACCAACGUCCUUGGGGAGUUUGACUUCAUUGAUCGAACUUGAUUUAUCAAGCUCUGGAAUUGUCGAAUUACCUAAUACUGCCAAUAAGUUAUAUCUUUUAAGAGUGCUCAUAAUUGAUUUUACUUUUAUACGAGAGCUGCCUUGUGCUAUAUGGAAGUUGAAGAAGCUUGAAGAGCUGCAUGCUUCAAGAUGUCGGAGCUUGGCGGGGGAAAUUCCUAGAGAUAUUGAGGAGCUUUCGAGAUUGAGGGUCUUCAGGCUUGGAUACUCUCGAAUUCAUGGUCUACCAGAUAGCAUUUCUACACUUCCCAAUCUACAAACGCUUGAUCUGCUUCAUUGUGACAAGCUCCAUAGAGUGCCCGAGCUUCCUUCCACUUUAAUAAGCCUUUCUGUCAGUUCUAAAUUGAUGUAUACAAUCCCAGACAUUAGUAGCCUGGUGUUGACACCUAAAUUUUCCCAUUUUUUAUUUAUGAUUUAAUUGUGUACGGAAUUAGGAAUUAGUCAUUUAAAAAAACAAAAACAACAAAACAACAAAACAAACAAAACAAACAAAAAAAUAGAAAGAAAAAAAAAAGAAGAGAAAAGAAAAAAAAAACGCCUAGGGGUCAGGUCGAGUCAGAUAUGGCUUUGGCCUAGCCCAUCGUCCGCCUCGCUUUCCCCUGAGUGGCCCACGCCAUCUCCCUUUGGCCCAACCCACCUCUCCACUUGUCUUCUUUCUGGUGUCUUCGCGUGCAGAGCCUGCACCAAAAGAAGAAGCAAAGCAGCAAUGUCAGAAAGCAAAAAAAUAAAAAAGGAAGGAAGAAGAGGGAAAAGCAUAGAGAGCUGGACAAAGAGAAAAACAGAGAAGGAAUGGAGGGGAGGAGGGCGGCAAUGACGCUACUCGUCACCGUCCAAGCCGCCGCCCUCCUGCCCGCCACCGUCCGAGUCGCCAUCCUCUAAGCCCAAAGCCGUUCGAGUCGCCCCGCGUCCGUGACCGCCCAGUGCCGACCCGUUUCUGCUCUGCCGUGCGCCUCCGCCGGACACCGCGUUCGCCAAGCCCCUCGCCGUGCCGCCAAGACUCCUGCAAGCCCGAGGCCCCGUCUCUUGUCGAGACCCCCUGCUGCUGGGUCCCCCUCGGCUCCAACGCCCAGCAAAUCUGCUCCAAGCCUCCUCCGAGCGAAGCUGCCUUCUGCUCCCUGCCCGCUGCUCCGCCCGUGCUGCUUUGACCAGUAAACCGACACCGUUGCUCAAUCUCGUCACCGCACCCUCCUGCUCGAGCACCAGAUCCGCGCAGAACCGCGCCACCCAUCGAGCGCCUCCGCCGGACACCGCUGCUCCAAAUCCCUUCACCCGUGUCGGUUCCUCGAGUCGUGCCUCCAUCGGUCACACCAGUCGUCGCUUGCUUUCCCGGAACCCAGAUCUGAAGAAACGGGAGAGGGAGAGAGAACCGAGAGGAAAAAGGUGGGCUCUCCAACGUCGCCCAAGCCUCCUCGCGCCACUGCCAUUCCACCCGAGUCGGCCACCGUCCCGCCAACCGCCGGAGUUCCUCCUCACCUGCAAGCUCGCGCCACCGCUUCGCCUGCGAGCUCGCGUCGCCGUCCUUGCCACUGCUGCCUCGCUACUCCGUCCUCCUGCCCGAUGCCGCCCAAGCUGACGCCGCCGCCGCCCGUCGCAUCGCCUCCGCCACCUGCCGCUUCGCCGCCACCGUCAACACAGAACCGCCGCUCAGUGUCUCGACCAUCCCCCUUCGCCGCCGCAACAUAGCAGGAGAGAGGUGAGGUGAACCAGGUCUUGGCCGGGUCGGGCGAAAGCCUCGUCGGGUAGGGUUUCAGCCCAAAAUCGAGUAUGUUCUUUUAAUCAAUUUGGGCCAGAUUUAGGAUAUUCUUGCAUGUGGGCUUAUGUUUUUUUUUUUUUUUGGCUUGUAGGUUUGGGCUAUUUAGUGUGGGCUUAUAGGUUUAGUUUCUUUUAAAAAGAGAUAAGGGGACCUCUUGGGUUGGGCCCGCGAUUCGAGCCCACCUGCUCCUAACCGGAACGAACCCGGGUCCGGUUGGAGACCGGACCCGAUCCGCGCCGACCGGACCGAACCCAGGUCGGGUUGGACUGGACCGGUCCAACCCGGUCCAAAAAAAAUAUUUUUUAAUAUUUAAAAAAAAAAACAUUUUCGAGAAUAAAAAAUUGUUAAAAAAUGUUAAUUUUUUUAAAAAAUAAAAAUAAAAAAAUCGGAAAUUCUUUAAAAAAUCGAAAAUUUAAUUUUUUUUUUUGAGAAAAUUAAAAAAAUUUAAAUUAAUGAUUAAAAAAAUUUAAAAAAAAAAUUAAAAUUUUCGAAAAUCCAAAAAUGAUGGGGUUUGAUUAGGAUUUCCCAUGUAUUUCCAUUUUAGCGUAAUUAGACCUUUAUGUGCUCGUAUAUUAAUUAUGUUGCAUGUUUAAUUUGCAUAUCUAAUUAUGUUUGAUAGCAUAUGAUUAAUUUUAUGAUAAUUAGGAUCUUGGUAGUUAUGGUUAUUAUUUUAAUGAUUGCACAUCCGUAUGAUCACCUCACAUGUUAGUGGAUAUGUAUAAAAUUAAUCCAGAUUGCCUAAUAAAAAUCAUUGCUUUUAAAAAGAAUAAGAUUAGGUACCGAAAGGGCACUAAUUGAUUAAUUAGUGUAAUCAAGUCCCCGAUCCUAGAAUCUCUGGUUGCGUAGGAAGUGAGGCGCACUCCCAUGCCUCACUUGGUUUCUAGCCGACCCCAAUAGGCUAGUGGCGACUCCCUUUGUGCAAAAUUCAUAGAAAAUAUCAUAAUGUCACGCGGGGUAUGGGCUUGGGAGAGCCCGCGUCUAAUCAUGGGCUUUAGGCCCGUCCUUUAGGCAAUACCCCUAAACCUAUUCCCUCCCCCCGAGGGUAGGUCGCGACAGCUUUGUGACUCUGUUGGGGACUUGGUUUUAGACCUUAGAGGACUUAGGCCAAAAUUAAUCUUGUUUAAAAAUAUUUUUGUUUGGCAACGAGGAUUCCAGGUGCAUCCCUAACAUUAAGGUGUUAAAUGUUUUUGCAGAAUGGGAGGUAUAAGGGGAAGUGUUUGCUCACCUUUGUCUUGCAGUGAGGCGUAGGAAUGUAUGGUUUAUUUUUUAUGUAUGAAGUGUUGAUUGCUUAUAAAUUGUCAUGCCUGCAUUUUCUGCAUUGCACUACACUUUAACACACACAACCUACCGCCAGACCCGGGCCGCAUAGGAUUACUUAGGAUGGUGCUGAGGUGGAUACCACUCCGACUACAACCGCGUAGUACAAGACGCCCACCUCUACCCCGAAAUUUCUUUCUUCACGUCGAAGGUACCCACCCCGGUCUGCGAGCAUGCGACACGGGUCGGUCCUUUGACGAAGCCGGAGUCAUGGGUAACCCGACCCAGCCACGAUCUUGUUGGUUCAGUCCAGUGAUCCUAUGGCUUCAUUUUGAGCCAUAUAGAGUAGAAAUCGAACCACAUUCCAUAUGCAUGUCUAUGUAAUUAAAAAAAAAAAAAAAAGAGAAAGAAACAGAGACAAAUGUUGGCAUCCAUUGUAAGUAUCAUUUCCCUUUUUAUUUGCCCACUUUGUAUUGCAUUUUCAUCUUGAAAUUCGUGGAAACCAAUCGAAUGCCCUCAGCGAUGUAGGCUUAUAAUUAAAAAAAAUUGGCAGUCACUUUUGAUAAGUGAAUAUUAAAGGCAAGUUCUAAACACUUUGAUUUGGCCCUGUUGAACACGUGGUUUUGCUUAAAUUUCUAGUUAUGGGCUCGAAAUCAAUUUAAAAAAAACUUUCAAGUUGUGAUUUUAUGUUGGGGUACAAAAAUUGAAAUUGCAUUUUUUUAUCAAAUUCUCUCAUCCUCACAUUUUGGGACUAAAAUGCAAAUCAUUUUGUGUACAAAUUUCUCAAAAUAGAAGUCACUUCAUUUUUUUAAGAGUAAAAUCACAAAUCAAUCUUUCAAAAAUCAAUGUCCUUUUGCAUAUGAAACUUUUGGAAUAUAGUGGAUAUUCGAUUGAUAACCGUUGAUCGAUCUUUUAAUGAUGCCCCUUCUCUUAUGACUAAUCUUGGUUAGAUACUAAAUCCCCGUAAUAAAGACUAUGGGGCAUGUACCGUCACCUUGAUUUUGUUGUAAGAAGCGACCUCAUUAAAAGAUCAUUUUCACAUUCACAAGUUAUAUGACAUUGUUGCCUUUUUGCAGGCUAUGCGUGAUGCUCCAUGACAUUCUCGUGUUUUACUACAUAUAGAAGUGAAUUCUAGAGCUAGAACGAGAGUUGAUUUUUACUCUUAUCUAUACAAGAGUUUCUCACAUUUUAUCAUUGUUUUUAUUCUUGUUAAGAAUCUUGUUUUCCAUUUUGGGUUUUGGUCGCGAAUCCAAUUAAUGCUUUGGUAAAUCAUGCGACUCAUUUUUUUAUGGUGAAAAUCAUCCCAAAAAAAAAGAAAGAAAAGAAAAAAACAAAUUCAGAAAUGUUUCAAGCAAACCUUUACGUCUACCUUCCAAAACGAAUUUCAAGAAAACUUUGCUUAAGGCCCUCUCUUCUUGUAGUUGUUUUCUUAGGCUCAUCGAACUCGAGAAGCAAGCACGCGUUGAGUCACCGUUGGUGCCAAUUUUCCAUAAAGGCGGAGCGAAGUUGAAUUCCAUUCUAGGAAGUUUUGUUAUUUGCAAAUGCCUUAGGAACCAAAAUAGCCCAUCAAUUUCGUUCACUCUGCAUGAGGAGACAAAUGAAGGGAGUUGCCAAGCAUCCAAAAGGGUGAAAUCGAAGGAAGAGUAAACUGUAUCGAUUUCAAUCAUCAAUUUCUGAUACCGUUUCUGACAUGGUUUUCUUUCCCAUUAUCAAGGAAACAUCAAGAGUGUCAAGUUUUGUAACGUUCUUAACAAACACAGUGGAGCGUUUUAAACAAAUAAAGAUUCAAAUGAAACAAAGGGGCAAUAUUAUCAAUUCCUCCAUUAGAGAUACCUUGGGAUGUUGAUCGCCCGACUUUGAAAAUGAUGUAUCUCGUUCCUAAACUUGAUUCUCUUCAGCAUAAAAAAUGACAUGUCCUUUUCUUUGAUACAGGACGGGUUUGAACAUAACAAAGGAUUGUCAAAUAAAGAGUGACAAAGCAACAUUUGAUUUAAAAAUAAAAAAUAAAAAAAUCUCUCAUCUCCCCACAAACAAAAUGUGCUGGAACAACAUUGUCAAAUUCAUCAAGAAUGAUGUAUCGUUCCUUAGUUGAACCUAACUAAGAAUAGAGAUAGCUCAUUUCAUCUCCCUUUCUUACAGGGUGAUAAAUUUAAAAAAAAAGGGUUGCACCCAACCAUAAAAGCGACACCUUCUACCAAGGAAUUAGGAAAACAUCAAACACUUAAAGGCAAAUGCAAGGGAAGGGUAUUGUUGAGUUACCAAAUAUCUAUGAAGGUGAAUCCAAGAGAUGUUAGCGCCAAAAGGAUGAAAGCGAGUGAAGGGUAAUAAUGUAUCGUUUCCAACAUUUCAAUCCCUAAGGAGCUUUGCACUAACAUAUUCUUUUACAUUCUUUACAGGAUUAUCGGGUUGCCAUGCUGUAGGUAAGUACCCUUCUUCUCAGUCUUUUUUGUUUUUUCUUUUUAAGUAAAAAAAAAAAAAGAAAUUUCCAUUACAAAAGAGAACUUUUGGGCUUUCCUAGAGACAAAAAAAAAAAUGAAUAAUAAUUGAGAAAAAAAUUACAAACCUUUUGAGCAUCCUUUCUAUCUCAAAAUUGUUUUCUUGUCUUGUGGAUUAUUCAUUUUGAAUCAAAAUCCCCUAUGGAGAUUGAUAUACUGGGAUGAUCUCGGCAGAGUGAAAUGGAAAUGUUAACCAUGCCAAACAAGAAGUGCUUAGGAUGAAGAAAGGCAAGCUAAUUUCCAAACACGUCCUUUAAACACUUUUGAGAGUUGAGCAUUAUUCAAACACUUUUGAGAGUUGAGUGAAAAGAGACCUUCUCUUAGGACAAAUGAUUCAUUCGCAUUGAGCGCAAAGAUCGAAAUGAUAAAGGCAUUGCCUUCAUCAAUCCCAAGCAUUGCAUUGAUCUCUUGUUACCCCUUUGGGCUGGAAAAAAAAAAAAAAAAGAUGAUCCUUCAAAAUACUCCUAUCGAGAACGACCCUACAUUGGGGCAACAUAGGAGGUUACAGUCAUGUUGUAAAACGAAAGGUUGAGAAAGAUUCUAUUACUUUCACUUACAUCAAUCUUCUUGUGGUAGCUUUAGAGGAAUUCUCAUCGGAGCUUGACUCAUCCCAAGGUGAAGAAUAGCAUUUCUUUCUCUACCCAAACACCGAUACCCAUUGCUAUAGCCAAUUUGGGCCUGAUUAUUCAUUUCUGAAUCCCGAGCGGUGAUCAUCUCCCUUCACUGGGGCAAGGCAUAAGAAUUGACCAAAUAUAAUUGACAAUCACGGGAAAAUGUGAAAAGCAUCUCGAAAGUCAUAAGCUACCAAAGUUCAAAGAGCAAAAAGCUCGACAAACUAGGGGGCAUGAAAAAGCAGUGUGCCUAGUAAAAGCAAGGCCAAUGCCCGUCAAGAAAAGAGCCAAAAAGCCGCAUCUUAUGUGAAAGAAAAAUUAUCAAAAUCCAAGUGCCUGCGAAAAAAAUCAUCGCAAAGGACAAAGAAAUUAGAGAAAAUAGCAAAGCUCUCAUGCAGAAAUGAUCAGUGAAUGAACUCUCGAGAUGUGCUGUGUUUCAAGAGCCAAAUGCUUUUGAAAGGUCAAGUGACCCAGUCACGAUGCCAUGAUGAUCACUGACUCUUAAAGACCCUCUUGAAAAUUUUAAGCCUUUCAAGCCUUUCCCGAGCCAACAUUAUAACCCUUUUCCGAAGCCUCUUCUGAUUGGGAUGAUUUGAGUGAAAAUGAGAAUACCACAAAGAAGCUACUGCUUGAAGGAGUGGAAAUAAUUCUAUCUUGUCUUAUCUUCCAAGUUCUCAACUCGUAAACCCAAUGAAGAUAGCGGCAAAUGUUCCUUUAUUGGCCUCAAAGCAAUCAUUCCUUUGUGUAAGCCCUAACAAAACCUAUAUUGCGGUCCUUUCAAAAGACCUUUUUGAUUGAUCAGAUUGUGCUCAUUGCGAAUGUUUCAGAAAGCCUUCGACAUAGGCUACGUGAGAUACUUUCAACAAUCAGUUAAUUCCCACGUGAAUGGAUGGGAUCAAGUAGCCAUUUUAUCGAGAGUAUGUGAGAAGCCCUUUCUGACUAAAAAGCUCCAGUUUAGCAUGCUUAAUGAGUCUUUUUCAGGAAUAGAAAUCAUUCUAGUAAAAACUUGACUCAUAGAUAAUUUGAUGAUCAAUGAUAUAUUCAUGAACAAGAUGACAAUUUUGCACCACAUGAUGUUGAUUGAAAUAAAAUGUUUUUCCAAAGCAGUCAGACUUGCCCUGGAUGACGUGACGCGCACAAAUCACUGAAUAUUUUCUCCGCGGACGAGACGGAGACCUGCUUCCCCGCUAAUCAACCAGGGCAGAGCAUGGCAUUGUGAGUCUCCUUCGCAGCUGUAGAUGGCGAAAGAAGGCCCUUACAGCGGUUCGAGCUCUGCAUCAUCAGCUUCGGUGACGGGAAACAACUUCGACGUGUUCCUGAGCUUCACAGGAAGCGACACCCGACAUGGGUUCACCAAUGUUCUCUACAGAAGCCUCGUCGAUCACGGGGUUCGCACCUUCUUAGAUGAAGAAGAGCUUUCCGAUGGAGAGUACAUCAAGAAGCAGCUCCCUGAGUCGAUCAAGCUGUCGAAGAUUGGCAUCCCGAUCCUGUCCGAGGACUAUGCCUCGAGCAAGCCGUGCCUUCAUGAGCUGGCUCAGAUGGUCGAGUGGCGCAAAGAGGGAAGAAUGAUCAUCAUGCCCGUCUACUUCUUGAUCACGGCGUGGGAUGUGGAAAUGAAGGAUGGGAGGGGUCCCUACGCCGAUAAAAUUACGGCACACAAGGAGAAAGGAGUUGAUCUGGCUACGAUCCAGAAAUGGGUGAAGGCCCUCGAAGAAGUGACAUCUGUGAAAGGGCGGCAACUGACCAAAGAUACUAGGUAAGGUUGAAGAAGGAUCUGUAACUAGUUUUGCUUUGUUUUCUUUUCUUUUCUCCCUUUUUUUGUCCUGAAUAAUCUGGCACUCUCAUGCUCAAUUCAAUUGAUUUCACGGCAAAUUGCCCCCGCAUACGAAAGUGGCGGUCUGUUAAGGGUUGCGAUGGGCAUGGCCAAUGGUCACUCUGAAUUGACUGGGGCACACUCUUGCAUUUGUAACGAGCGUUUAACCAUUCCGUCCCAUUCACGUUUCAUCAGUUUCAGAUCUUUAUGCCCAGUUAACAGUGUCCAUGACUUCGUGUACUUUCCAUCUUUCUGAAACUCUUUUUGUUUUUUAGGCAAGGAGAAUUUGCAAUUAUGAUGGUCUCAAAAGUUCUGAAGAGAUUGAGAAAGGCUAAGCUCAAUUUGUCUGACAAAUUAGUCGGGAUUGAAGACCGCUUGCCUGAGCUGAGAAGAAUGUUGGAUACUGACUCUAGCGAUGUGCUGAUGAUUGUCAUCUCCGGCAUUCCAGGCAUUGGUAAGACAACCCUUGCAAAAUCUCUCUACAACGAUAUCUACCACCUCUUUGACCGUCACAGCUUUCUCGGUGAUAUUGGAGACGCUACUGACAAGAAGGCUCUUCUAGCUUUGCAAAAUCAGUUGGUUUCUGACAUCGUCCAAAGGGACUCAGGAAAACUCAAAUCGGUUGAGGAAGGAAUCAGCUUCCUCAAAUUAAGAUUAAGCACCUGGAAAGUCCUCAUCCUUUUGGACGACGUGCAUGAGAAGUCUCAGCUUGAAGCUUUGGUUGGAAGUCUGGAUUGGUUCGGUUCAGGGAGUAGGAUCAUUAUCACAACCAAAAGAGUUCUCAAUUUACGUGAAAUGGCAGAAACUGAUGACGUUGAAACUUACAAAGUCCCAGAGAUGGAGGAUAGUGAUGCUCUAAAACUUUUUUGUAGAUACGCCUUUGCUAAGGAUUGUCCAGAACAUGACUAUGUUGAUCUGUCCGAAAGAAUUGUGUCGGCUACUGGAAAACUUCCAUUAGCUGUUGAGCUCGUAGGUUCACACCUGUCUCUGCUUCGGGAUAAAAGAGGAGCUUGGGAAUCUCUACUGGAGAAGUUACAAAAUAUAACUGAUGAUAAAGUCGAGAACAAGUUGAGAAUAACUUACGAACAAUUAAACAGUUUCCAACGGCAUAUUUUUCUCGACAUAGCUUGUUUUCUUUUUGGAGAGGAUAAAAGAAUCGCAUCUUACAUGUGGGAUGAGCUUCAAUUGUAUCCUUCUUUUGAAGUCGAGAUGCUUUGUCUCAUGUCCAUGGUAAAGAUUGGAGACGACAAUAGGAUGUGGAUCCACGAUCAGCUAAGGAAGCUGGGCAGGAAAAUUGUUCAAGAAGAUUGCAUGAAACAGGGGAACAACAGUAGACUAUGGGCCACUGAAGCUCGGAAGAUUUUUAAACAAGAUGAGGUAGAUUUGACAUUUCCUUUUUUGGUCUGUCUAUUGAAUAUGUAACUCUCCUUGUUUUGAUUCCUUUUGGAAAGAGUGAAGCAUAAAUGAUCCUCAGUUCAAUUACUGUAUUGGGGUUUCGUUGGCUUCUGUCUAACAAUGGUGUUUGACCAACAGAACCAAAUGAAGGUUGAAGCUCUGUGGCUUGAGAUGGAUAACACUGAACAAAAAGACAUGGAUGGUCGAUCGCAGACCUAUUUGACUGGUGACCAAUUUAAAAGAGUACCAAAUCUCCGUCUUCUCAUUUUGGAUCACUUUGACAUUAAGAAGGAUUUUAGAAAUCUUCUUUCAAAGUUACUUUGGCUCCGUUGGCAUGGCUGUCCGAGAGCUUUUAAUGUAAUCAAUUUGAACUUGGAGGUCUUGGUCGUUCUUGAUUUAUCGUGGAGCAAGGUAACUGAAGGUUGGGAGGGUUGGAAUAGUAUAAAGGUAGCUCAAAUACUUUGCAAUUCCCUUUUCACUUGAAUACUUACUGCAACAUUAACAGUUUCUGUCUUUGUAUUGCUUGCAGUUGGCAAGGAAGUUGAAAGUCUUAAUUCUCAGAGGCUGUGUUGACUUGAUACAAACUCCAAACUUCUCUAAUUUCGAGUCUUUGGAGAUGCUGAUUUUAGAAUAUUGCUCUCAUUUGGUUCGAAUCGACCCAUCGAUUGGUCAGUUGCAACGUUUGCAAAUUUUAGAUCUGAAAUUUUGCACUGACCUCGGUAACUUGCCCAGAGAACUUGAUUCUCUUGAAGCUUUGAGAGAGCUCCGACUUGAUGGAACUUAUAUAGAAGAUAUUCCGGUCUCCGAAGAUAUGAAGCAUCUUAAAACUCUCAGUGCCUGCAACUGUAAAUCAUUGGCACGAUUAUCCAGUGAAAUUGGUGACAUAAAAUCUCUAGAAUUUCUUUCGAUUGAUGGCUCUGAACUUACCACACUCCCGGACUCAAUUAAAAGGCUAGAAAAGUUUAAACAACUGUCUUUGAGAGAUUGUCGGUUGUUGUGGAAACUUCCAGACGCCAUUGGGAAAUUGACAUCAUUAGAGAACCUGGAUCUCUCAAGUACAGGAAUAGACAAAUUACCACACGCCAUUGAUAAUAUGCAUAAUUUGAAGGUGCUGAGAAUGGAUGGAAGUUUCAUUAGAAAGUUCCCUCGAUCUAUUGGAAUGCUGAAGAAGCUUGAGGAGAUUCAUGCAUCACGCUGCAGGAGUUUGGAAAAAAUUCCUGAGGAGAUCAAAGGCUUGUCUCGUUUGAGAAAUUUGGUGUUGUCAGAUUCCAAUAUUCCCAGCCUACCAGGGAACAUCUCUAGUCUUUCCCACCUUCAAAACCUUGAUUUAUAUGGCUGUGACAAUCUUCAUGAGGUUCCUCUGCUUCCCACUAGUUUAGCCACUUUGCGUCUCACUUAUGACUCAGUAAAUUGAAGUCUUUGGAUNNNNNNNNNNNNNNNNNNNNNNNNNNNNNNNNNNNNNNNNNNNNNNNNNNNNNNNNNNNNNNNNNNNNNNNNNNNNNNNNNNNNNNNNNNNNNNNNNNNNAGUUGUACCUUGCCAAUAUAUGGAGAGGAGGCAUCUCCCGGCACAGACGGAUAGUUGAUGGUGGAGCCAAUCAGCCUUUCGGGGAUUGGCAAAGUGACAAAAGUUGAGACCUUGAAAUUGUGCCUCCCAGGCUUCACUAAACUACCGGAAAUGGAUGCUCUCAAGCAGCUAAGGAAGCUUGAUCUUCAAUGUCCAGACCUACAACAUCUCCCACGACUACCCAAAAGUUUGAAAAAACUAACCCUCCGGGACUGCAAAUCCUUAAAGACGUUGCCAGAGCUUAAGUAUCUCAAGUCUCUAUCUGGAUUGGAGCUUCUGUUAUGUUCUGUAAUGGAAAUCGAAGGACUUCAAAAUCUCUCAUCCUUGGUAGCCUUGCUUAUUUCUCACUGUGAGCUGGUAAAGCUAGAUGGCCUCGAAUGCUUGACAUCCCUGAGAACAUUGACCAUCUCAUACAGUGAUUCCCUUCAAGGACUGCCAGAUUUGUCGAACUUGAAGAAGCUGAGAACAUGUCAUAUCCAACAUUGCAAGAACAUAACUCAAAAGGACAGCCUCUAGUAGUCGAGCUCCCUAGAAAGGCCAGAUAUUUGCGAAGGUCGUGGUACGCCUCUGGUCUAAAUGAGGACUUGAAAGAGAUCCAUUUCAUGCUUCCUCGAGCAAGUCUGAAGUUUCUGAGGCCAAUGUUCAUUCUAAAGGUCAUGCGUCUUUUCAAUUUAAUGAUGAUCCAUAACUUUCACCUGCAUUGUUGGACUUCCUUGUAACUGGAAUGCCUUCUUCUCCGAUAUUUCCAUUUUUCUUUUCACUUCUUUAGAGAAUGCAAUAUUUUUCCUUUAUGAAGUUAUUCUCAACAAUGCCCAGCAAUUGCUUGGUAUACCACUUAACACUUCGACUUCAUUGUACUGUUUUCACAAAUAUGUGAAUGAGUGCAUGAAUCAGCAUUUCUGAAUUCCCUAAUCAUUCAGGCCGUUGCUGUUCUUAAUUUCUUCCAUCUGACUGAUUAUCCUUGGUAAGAUGAUUUGCCCAUUUAUUCAAUAUACAUGGAGUAUUCGCUAGCGGGAGUAUUGUAAUGGAAGAAAUAACCGGAUGUGAUCUCUGUUCAUUUCUUUUGCCCAACGAUGAUGUAUAGAAUAGUCAUAUCCAAAUGCGAUGCAGAAAGGCCAAAUAUAUGCUCAUACACCUCUGCAUAGACAAUACUGAGGGAAAAAUCACCAUGGCAUGCACUUUUUAUUUGGGAAUUAUUUAUACGAUUAACGAGAGGCACCCAAUAACCCUGAUGAUCUAGAUGAUUAUAGGAUGAAAAUUCAAAAAGGAUGAUGAAUUCAUGUUACUGAACAUCAUCUGGCAUCAGUUUGUUGUUUUUCCCCCUUGAAUAAAUUUUACAUGCUAAGUAGUUUAUCUACUCGAAUGAAUAUCAUUCGACUCGUUUUAGUGUUUUCUGGGUACUCUGAGAUAUCUCUGUGAACUAAUGUCUCGGGCUAAGCAGCCAACUUAGGCUGAGCAGCAGGUGCCUCAUCAUGAAUAACCUGGAUUAUUAUAGCACAUUCCAGGACGGUCCUGCCUUUCACAACCAAAUAAAAUGCAUCUCUUUGUUGCCAGGCCUGAUCAGAUUGAAGAUUCAGAACCUGUGAAGAGACCUGCGUACAUCAUUACAGGACCCACUUAUUAUAGUUUCCUUCUUGGUUAGUCCGUGAUAGUAAAGACCAGGCUGAGGAAUCUUAUGUCACAUGGGUAGAGGAGCAAGGCGUGACUUCACUCAGUUACACGUUUCUGAAUCUUCUUUUUUCAACAUAGUUGAUCUUUACUUGCGUCUCUGCAUGAUUCAGGCAUCUGCUUUUGAUAUUUACGUCCUGCUUCGUUGGAUGAUCCACGCCAAAGAAUGUAACAUCUCUGGAUUUCGUUUUGCUUUCUAGACACAUUCCAUAGAAGUGUUUCCCUUGCAUUUCUAUUGGCUAUUUCUACGAUUUAUUUUGUUGAAAUCUGCGAGAUCUCAGCACCCACUCUGUCAUCAGUUUAUGAUCUCUUAAUUCCUAGAUUUCUGCGAAUGUACCAUAAUAUGGUUAUGUGGUGUCAACUGUCAACUUAAACAAACUCUUCUGGACAAGAGAAUUGGAAGAAGAAAAAGGCAAACAGUUUUCCUGAGAAUUGAUCACCACAAGUUAGUGGCAUUCAAAUUUCAAACAUGAGGCUUCCCGAUGUUUCUAUGAGCUACAACAAUGAAGAAAGCCAUGGAUUGACAAGAACGGUACAGAUGAUUUGUGACCCGACGAACUUAGAUUCAGAAGGCUAGUCGGUCAUCUUACGUCUGCUAAAACAACAAAUGCUAUGCCAAGUACCUUUUGUUAGACCUAAAUCUAAACAACAUUAGGAAUAUGAAGCCCGGGAGAGUGUUUCCGAACUUUUCCUCUUCCCAUUAUAUAUGCCCUUUGAAAUUUGUACCACUUGAUAUCCCAUAAAUUGCAUCCUCCGAGAUCUUCAUAGAAGACCUCCUUCCUGUACAUUCCAGUUCGUGUCAUCAUCAAUAUUCAAAUUCAAAAGUAUCUUUUGACUUCACAGUUUCCAAUGCCACAAGCAUCUCUCUUUAGAAAAAGUAAUCACCAACAUUUUCUGAUGAUGGAAAAUUAUUCAAGCAGUUAUGUUCGCUUUAUGUUUUCAUGAAAAUUGAAUACUGGCUCAAUGAAAUAUGUCGUGAAUAGAAUCGAUCUUUUUGUUUCCUUCCAAUUUUUUAUUGUACUUUUAUGCCAUUAAUUUCUUUCCCUUAUUACUGCUUAGGGUGCAUUUGGUAAUAUUUUUUUUUCAAAAAUUGUUUUAGAGAAUAGAUAUAGAAAAAGUUAUUUUUGUUCCGGAAAACAAUUUUUGAACAGAAAAAUGCGUUUGGUAACUGUACAAAAUUUUUACUCCUAGAAUAAAAAAGAAGUAAAAACACGAAUUUCUACCCCAUGCUUCGUCCAAUGUUGUCGUUUCAUAUAUUUCAAAAUCUAGAGAUGCCUUCAGACUUUUACUACAAAAUUCAUUGUUAAUUGACGGAAAACAAAUCUUUAGUCGUUGCCUUCUUUUGGUCCUUGAUGUACGCUCACUAGUGGCCUUAACAACUAACUCACUGUCACUUCUCUAUUGAAAAGUAACUACACUGAACUCAUAUAAUUGAUGUAAUAAAAUAGACUGGUUAAUUGACCUUGACUUAGAAAUGUGCUGAGUCGUUGCCUUCUAGCUCUAGCCAUUAUCCUGUUCUUCCAUUCACAGCCCGAAGAGGGCCUAUCCCUUUCACUUCUAGAAGUCUUCCUCUACGCGUGCUUAGCCAUUGCCUUUUAGGCAUUAUCCAGUGGCGGUUCUAUCUUUGGUGCUGAAUUGAGUAAACCAACGUGCGCUUAUUUUAUUGUCAUUUGUACACCGACAGCUUGGUUGGCCCGUCUGCGCAUGGGAAGGUCGUUUAACGUUUGCAUUGUAGUCCUCUCUGGCGGCGACUUUGAUAAUGUAUCUAAAUGCAAGGGGGAAAAAGAAAGAAAAGGACGUAAUAGCUAUAUUUUUCCACUAUAAUUAUGUUACCAUUAUACUAGUUUCUAAUAGCCAACCCUAGAUUGGCUGAGCAAGGCAAUCACUCUGUUUUCUCCCUCCAAAAGGCCUCAGUCGCUUUGGUAGUGACGAAUGGUGAUUGGAUCCACCGUACCUUUCGAGUAAAGAACAGGGAAAUGUUUCUUAUUUUAUGACAAAUCUAAUUGGUAACUAAUCAAGAUCCCCUUGUAACCUAGCAAAUUACUUCCAUCUAUCACAAUCCAUUUACUCCCAAAUUGUCAUUUCAUAAAGAAAAUUCUCAAAUUAAUAGACUCGAGCCACAUUUAUUUUUGCAAUACUAAAACUAGUUUGUGAUAAAUAUGAUACGGAUAAUACUAAUUUGGGAUUCUUUUUUUAUGAUAUUAGCCCAAAAAAGUUCAAAUUUUAGUUUAUAUUUUCAAAUAGCCAUGUAAGCGUCUUCAGAUCAAUUAGGGGGAAAAAGAGCAUUUAAUUCGAUGACUGAAUUGAUAAAGAAAAGUUUAAGGUUCCGGACGUUCAUUUUGUAAAAGUUCAAAGGUCAUUGGUGUUUUUUUUUUUUUUUCUUUUUAAGAUAUAUUUUGUUGUAAAUUUUUACAUCCGUCUCGCCGUGGUCCGCCGGUCAAAGAGGCCGUCGUACACCUACUCCCAUGGUAUGAAACUGGGAGGUGGAUCUUUGAAAUAGAGAAGAAAGACGAAAACUGAGGAGGAGGCGCCCCCAAAACACGGAAACCAUUUUCAUUUUGAAAGUAGAUGGACAUCCAGACUUAUCGCAGCCGUGGAGGAGGUUCCUCCGAAACAAGAGAGCAGAGUUACGAUGUGUUUGGGAGCUUCACAGGACAGGAUACUCGCAAGGACUUCGUGGAUCAUCUCUACGAUAGGCUCUUACGAGAGGAGGUCCGCGUGUUCAAGGAUGAUGAGAAACUCCUCUUGGGAGAGGAGUAUGAGCUGUCGCUCCUCGAAGCGAUCGGGCAUUCCAAGAUCGCCAUUCCGAUCCUGUCAGAGGACUACCCAUCGAGCCCAUGGUGCCUCCGAGAACUGGCUCAAAUGGUGGAGUGCCACAAGAAGACAGGCCAGAUCAUCAUGCCCGUCUUCUACCAAGUCACGCCAUCGGUCGUGAAAAACAGAUCCAACGGUUACGACAAGGCUACCGACGAGCAUAGAUGGAGAGGAUUCAAAUGCUCAAAAUCUCGUCCAAGGAGUAGAAUAAAAAUAAUAAUUUUUGAAUAGAAAUUAUUUUCAAAAAUAAAAUAAUUAUCAAAAGUACCUACUUUAGCCAUCGACCCACUGUCAAGACAAAUAAUUUUUUGAAAGUCUCUGCCACAACCGUACCAAAUCCACCGUAUCACUCUCGAGAAUGACCCAAAAGGAGAGAGACUGGCUAAUGUUCUGCCUCAUCAGAGGCCGCAUGUGCUUGUCCUCCGCCAUGAAAGUCUCCGCGACGUCCGUACAAAGUCCACUUAGCUAGGUUUGGCUGAAAAGGAAGAAUUAAGAGUUGAUUAUGGCAUCAUCAAAGUUGCCCGUCUUCCUUUCGGCUGGAGCACAAGCACGUGGCUUUCAUCCUUUUUCUGAAGGACGCAAAAAUCUGACGGGUCAGAUUUGUUCAAGGAAAACUUAGGCCCAGUCAACAUAAGUUAAGACUACUCAAUUACCGUAAUUAGUGGGGCCUUGCGUCCUGCCGCUCUGAGGUCGAUUUAACAACCACCACUAACGACUGUAGGCACACUAAUUGCCCCUAAAAAAUCCAUGCUAAUCACAAUGGUUUAUUAUUUAAUUUAAGGUCAUUGCACCUCAUCACCUCUUUGUAUUGCCACGAUUAGCAUGCUUUCCUUUUACAAUAGUUUAGAUACAGUCAUAUUGUUCAUUUGAAGGUAAAAUUGUCAAAAAGAAAAAUUAUAAAUUUAUUGUACAAUAGUCAAUUUGGUCUCUAAUUUUUUAAUUUGACUACCUUUUGAUGAUUUUCCAAUAAUUUUUCCUAUCAAUUUUGAUUGAAAAUUGCUAAUAUAGACGAUUUUUAUAAUUUUUAAAAAAUUUAGAAUAUUCCCUUUUUUUCUUUUAUCCUUUUUUCAUUUUUUUUCCUUUCGUCAAUCCCCGGCCACCCCUUCCCCAAAUAUAGUGAGGAUGUCCCCUCACUUGUGGUCAAUAGAGGUUAUGAGCCAUCAUUGAGGCCUUAGCAACCGGUGGAAGGACAUAAGGAGAGAAGAAAAAAGGAAAAGGAAAGGCGAAUAAAGGAAGAAAAAUAUAAUUUUUUAAAAUUGUAAUAAAUCGCCGAUGUUAGCUCUGUAUACUAUAUAGAACAGUCGGUAUCCAUGUUAGCGAUUUCGAUUGAAAUUUGGCCACGAAAAUUAGAUUAGUAAAUUACCAAAAUUUUUAGAAUUAAAUUAACAAAAUAGAAAAGUUCAGAAUUGAAUUGACCACCGUACACAAAUUAGAAGCCUUUUUGGAUAAUAAUCCCUACAUUUGAAUGGUCCCUAUGCGUUGCCAAGCCAUCUUCGUUCCUCCUUACUUAAGGAGAAACCGCAAAUACAAUAUCCUAAUACUCUCUCCCCCUCCCACCCUUCCACCAAACGGUUGCAGUAAUCCGUCAAUGCUCCCCAUGAAAACGAGAGUAAUCAGAACAUGAUUUUGUCAAGUCAUUUAUGAAGACUUAUCUCUUUCUUGGACCUAGACCUAGAAAAGGAAAGCUUGGGGGUUGAACUUUAAAGCAGCCUCUGUCGGUCCCGCCCCAGGAGACUAAAUAACGGUCGGUAGCAAUCGUUCUUUGGCCAAAGCGGACGGAUUUAAAAAGGCUUGAUUGCUCUUCUAGAGCAACCCAUCUUUUCAACGUUUCAGAUAGCUAUAAACACGAAGCCUAUGUUUCGUAUUCGUACUUUGGUUCAAAGGUUCAUACAUAAGUCGGUUUAGUCUCUCCUCUCUCUGUCUCUCUGUCUGUCUGUCUGUCUCUGUCUCUGUCUCUGUCUCUCUCCCUUCCUCUCUCUCCCCCCUUCUCUAUAGUUAGUCCGUAGACUUCUUUGUAAGGCAUGACUCAUCCUUAGAAAAAACUGUGGCAUGAGCAAAUCAGCAAGAAGGAGAUAAUUUUCUAUGAAAUUUCUAUGAAAGUGGAUGGGGAAGUUGGAAACGACAAUUUACCUUAGUGUCUUGAGAAAAAUAUGAGGAUAAUGGCACGAUGGUCCGUUGAAGUUUACUCGAUUCUCAAUUCGUCCUUGAAUUUGUUUGAUCGGGUCCCGAAAUCUUUUGUUUCAUUCAACACGGUCGUUUAAUUUUUUUUUCCUUUUUGGUUGAAACAAAGGUGCCCUUCAUACAUCAAAAUGAUAUUUGAGAGGGGAAAAUUGUUCAAAAAGUCUUAAACCUAUUGCAAUUUUGCCAAUUCAGUCAUAGAUCUUUCAAUUUUGCCGAUUAAGUCCUAAACUUUUUUGUCAAUUUGCCAAUUAAAUCCAUCCGGUCAAUUUUGGUUGGAAAAUACUAACGUAGACACCGACGAUGCCACGUAAGACUGCCGGCGCUGACGUGUAUAAUUUUUAAUAAUAUUUUAAUAUUUUUUUAAAAUUUUGAUUUUUUUAAUAUUUUCUGUUUUUUCCCUCUCUUUUUUUUUUUUUAAAUUUUUUCUUUUUGGCUUUUCCCUUGCCCUUUUCUGGUGGCCUGCCAUUGGCCACAGGCAACGACCGGCCAUUGGCCACAGCCAGCCGGCUGGCCUCGCCCGCCACAGGCGAGGCCUGGCCGGGCGACAGUGACACCGGGGCUCGCCCUCACUCAGCUGAGCAUGGGCCUCGCCUCUAGCCGAGCGAUCGAGNNNNNNNNNNNNNNNNNNNNNNNNNNNNNNNNNNNNNNNNNNNNNNNNNNNNNNNNNNNNNNNNNNNNNNNNNNNNNNNNNNNNNNNNNNNNNNNNNNNNNNNNNNNNNNNNNNNNNNNNNNNNNNNNNNNNNNNNNNNNNNNNNNNNNNNNNNNNNNNNNNNNNNNNNNNNNNNNNNNNNNNNNNNNNNNNNNNNNNNNNNNNNNNNNNNNNNNNNNNNNNNNNNNNNNNNNNNNNNNNNNNNNNNNNNNNNNNNNNNNNNNNNNNNNNNNNNNNNNNNNNNNNNNNNNNNNNNNNNNNNNNNNNNNNNNNNNNNNNNNNNNNNNNNNNNNNNNNNNNNNNNNNNNNNNNNNNNNNNNNNNNNNNNNNNNNNNNNNNNNNNNNNNNNNNNNNNNNNNNNNNNNNNNNNNNNNNNNNNNNNNNNNNNNNNNNNNNNNNNNNNNNNNNNNNNNNNNNNNNNNNNNNNNNNNNNNNNNNNNNNNNNNNNNNNNNNNNNNNNNNNNNNNNNNNNNNNNNNNNNNNNNNNNNNNNNNNNNNNNNNNNNNNNNNNNNNNNNNNNNNNNNNNNNNNNNNGGGAAAAACCGAAAUAUUUUUAAAAAUAUUAAAAUAUUAUUAAAAAUUGUCCACGUCAGUGCCGGCAAUCUUACGUGGCACCCCCGGCAUCCACAUUAACAUUUUCAGGCCAAAUUUGGCUGGAUGGACUCAAUUUUGCAAACUGACAAAAGGUUUAGGACUCAAUCGGCAAGAUUGAAAGGUUUAGGACUGAAUUGGCAAAACUGCAAUAGGUUUAGGACUUUUUAGAGAAUUUUCCCUAUUUGAGAGGUACAAAAAAAGACUUUCAAGUCUGUCAAAUCUGAAAUAAUUGCAAAACAAAGCAAAAACCAAAAAGCAUAUAACAAAGGGUAACCUACAGCUAGCUCUUUUCUCUAAAGAACAUAUCUGACAAUGUAAACGAUUGGUGGCCAAUCACUAGAUCCAAUGAUGAGCACACGUUGAGAUCUCUCACUCUAUUUGCAACAACUCGUAGUGCGCAUCUAGGUUCAACAUUCUAACACCAUCAUCAUGCAGAUACAUCAACAUUAAAAUAUUAAAAAAACACAGUCAAAUACUAGUAAGAGCUCCUAGAUCUAUAUCUAAAUUUAGUUCAAUAGAGUAAAACUCCUAAAACUUGACCUAAAUCUAAAUUGAGAGAGGAGAGUAGCCUAAUAUUAUAGAGGUUAUGAAGUUACAUUACGAACAUCCUUCUCGAUGGCUGUCGACUGGACAAAUGACCGAACUGGUCUCCAUGUUCACCCAAUAUCAGCUGUAGAAACUUACUCAUACAUAGAAACUCCAAAACAGAUGGGGAAAUAAAAGAAAGACAAGAGCUUAAAAAAGAGGGAAGAGGGAGACACACUCCUCCCUCAAGGAGAGCAUUGCAGAGAGGCGGUGACUUCACGAGAGAAGAGAGGAAACCCUAACUUAGGGUUAAGAGAGAGAGUAUCUCAUAAGUCCAUGGGAUGAAAAAUACAUAUGGUCGUUUAAUUCAUUCACACUGAAUAUUAUCGAGAAUUAUACAAAAAAGCUAGAAUACUUAUACGAAAGGAUUUUUUUUAUAGUUUCUAUUUGUUUCUUUUUACAUUGUAGAGCUUUCUUCAAUCUUUUACCUGGGAGACCUGAGCAAGAUUGCAAGUGUGCAUGGCUUCAAAUAGAACUUAUCUGGACAGAAAGUUCUUACCAGAACCAGAGACGUAGUUGUGUAGGAAAUUAAUGUUAUUUGGCUUCUGGUUUUUUCAGAAGUGGCGAACCCCAACCUCAACUUCUUUACGUCCAGGUACUGAGAUCCCUUUGUCUUUUCCUACAUAAAGCCGUGGUUGUUCAGACGGACCCUAUCAAUGCCUCAGAAGGUCACAGUCUAGAUAGAAUGAUGGGACAAAAGAAGAAUCAAAGACGCGUUUGGUUUUUGAAAAAAAUUAUGUCGAAGGAAAUGGUCUUGCACGAAAUUCAUUUCUAAGGAAAGUGAUCAAUUUUGCCUUUUUCGGUUGUAAGCAUGAAAAUGAGGAGAAGUAGUUUUCCGCUGUUUGGAUUUUACUUCCGGAAAUAGGAUAGAUUAUGUAAUGAUAUUAAUCAUAUUACUAUGUAAAGGAAAUUACAGAUUAUUAGAAGAAACGUGAAGCUUUGAAUCCANNNNNNNNNNNNNNNNNNNNNNNNNNNNNNNNNNNNNNNNNNNNNNNNNNNNNNNNNNNNNNNNNNNNNNNNNNNNNNNNNNNNNNNNNNNNNNNNNNNNAUGAUAUUGCCAUGUUGGUCAUCACCUUGAGACCUUGGUGAGUGAUGUUCAAUUUUAGAGAAAGUAAAAAGAUUGGCGAAUUUUAGUGUGUACUUUUAAUUUCAAAGAGGCCUUGUUGAGUGAUAAAUGAGUUAGCAUUUUACUCACAAAUGAUCAUUACCUUUUCUAGUUACACAAAGUACACCUCUUGGGAUCGGUCCACAAAAGUCAUAUCUUAUGAUGAAAAUAAUUACUAAUUGGUAGCGGACAAAUGCAUUUUUUUGAAUAAUAGGAAAGUAAGUGUUGAGAGAGAGAGAGAGAGAGAGAGAGAGAGAGAGAGAGAUGUGUCAAAUUACUGUAGUGACCUCAUUAUUUAGUGGGUGAGGAAAUUUAGAAAAAAAGAAGGUAUUUAAUUAAGCUUUCUAGAGAAAUUUGACUAAUGAAAUGAAAUUAUUUAACGACGGCCCAUCUUUUUAAAUCAGAAAUACAUAGAGUCCUAUAAGAGACUAGUCAAAAGAUAUAUCGACUUCACAUAUGCAACUCGUUAUUUUUGCAGUAUAUUUAUAUUUUGAGGAUAAUUUUCUUUAUAUUGACUUAUCCAUAAAAAUUCUAGUGCAUUUAGAAUGACAUGUGUGUUUGGAUGAGUUAGCCUUAUAAUGUCAUUACUGUUGCCAUAAUUUAUGGUCAACAGCUAAUUAUACCACGUAAUCAAGGCAAAGAUAGUAUUAUAUGUAAUAAUGUUUUAUGGAGCAUUUCCUUUUGCAUUUACAUGAUAAUAAUGGAUGUUUAGAAUUUUUUAUGUACUUAAUUUUAUCAAAUUUUUGAUUUUUUAGAAUAGAUAUUUCAAAACAUCAUGUAAUGUUGGCAUGAAAAAUAAUUAGAAAUUAGAUUAUAAAAUUCACUUAAUAAAAUGAAAGUAAAGCGUUUAAAAUUCACAAACUACACUGUAAUAAUACAUAUUAAAGUUAAAUCAAACGAAAAACGUAGCAAAACGAGUAGACGGUUUUUUUUACUCUUAGGCUUUGUUUGUUUGUGUUUUUUUUUUUGAACACUUUUUUUGUUUUUUUGUUCCUAGGAACAAAAAAGGAACAGAAACGCGUUUGGGUGCGUUUCUGUUCCUUUUUUGUUCUUCUGUUCCCAGGAACAAAAAAGAAACAGAAAUAAGAAACAACAAAUUUUGUGUUUCUUAUUUCUGAAACACAUUUGAGGAACACUUUUUAUAUUUUUCUUCNNNNNNNNNNNNNNNNNNNNNNNNNNNNNNNNNNNNNNNNNNNNNNNNNNNNNNNNNNNNNNNNNNNNNNNNNNNNNNNNNNNNNNNNNNNNNNNNNNNNNNNNNNNNNNNNNNNNNNNNNNNNNNNNNNNNNNNNNNNNNNNNNNNNNNNNNNNNNNNNNNNNNNNNNNNNNNNNNNNNNNNNNNNNNNNNNNNNNNNNNNNNNNNNNNNNNNNNNNNNNNNNNNNNNNNNNNNNNNNNNNNNNNNNNNNNNNNNNNNNNNNNNNNNNNNNNNNNNNNNNNNNNNNNNNNNNNNNNNNNNNNNNNNNNNNNNNNNNNNNNNNNNNNNNNNNNNNNNNNNNNNNNNNNNNNNNNNNNNCGGGUUCGGCAACUCUUCGACAGUGCUUUGGACCGACGAGGCCGACCUCGCGUCGAGCUAGGCGAGCUCGAUCUUGCCCAGAUCCGGCAAGGCCGCCGGCCAUGGCCGAGGCCGGCGACCGGCCAAAAGAAGAGAAAAGAAAAAAUGAAAAAGAAAAAAGAAAAAAAGGAAAAAUAAGAAAAAAAUAGAAAAAAUAAAAGAAAUAAAAAAAUUAUACAAAUUUACCAAAUGUGUUUCUGUUUAUUUUUUAUUCCCGGAAUAAGUUUACCAAAUGCGUUUUUUUGUUUAAAAAUUGUUCCUCGGAACAGAAACACUUUUUUCUAUUUCUGUUCCCUAGAACAAUUUUUAAACAGAAACGCAAACAAACGCAUCUUUACUUGUGCUUAGGUUAUUUUCAAAUAAGAGAAUAUACAACUCAAUAGCAUAAUAAAUAAUUAACUAUCUAUUAAAUAAACUGAUUUUCGGAAAAGAGGGACACCGAUUUUGAGCCACACGAAGUCGGGAGGAAUUUCGAGGACUCCGUGCAGAACGGGUCACGCGCGCGGGUGGGACCCCGGAAAGAGCCGCCCACUCCCGUGGUAUGAAGAAGUAGGGAGAUGGAUCUUUGAAAUGGAGAAGGAAGAGAGACGAUACUGAGAGGAGGAGGCCCCGACACGAUGUUUCGAAAGAAGGAGAUGGUUUCCGAAGUCGCACUUUUUUCCGACGGUGAAGAGUCUGAAGACGAAUAUACCAGAACAAGAGAAGAGAGUUCUACCCGUGUUGCUCCGGCCAAAGUGUAUUUGAGCUUCAGAGGAUCGGACACCCGCGAGGUCUUUGUGGAUCCUCUCUGCAAUAGCCUCGACGAAGCGGGGAUCCGCGUGGUCUGGGAUCACAAGGAAGAUCGUAAUUUGUGGCCACCUAAAUAGUAUGUCGAGCAUGCCGAGAUCGCCAUUCCGAUCCUGUCAGAGAACUAUCCGUGGAGCAUACGGUGCCUCCGAGAGCUGGCUCAGAUUGUGGAGCGGCACCAGACGAUGGGCCUGAUCAUCAUGCCCGUCUUCCUCAACGUCACGCCCUCGGUCGUGAAAAACAUAUCCCACGGUUACCGCGAGGCUAUCGACAAGUAUAGAUGGAAAGGAAUCCACCCAGCAAUCCUCUGGGAAUGGGAGAAAGCUCUCAUCCAUGUGGGGUCCACCUCAGGGUUGGCGAGUAAUCGGUGAGUGUAAUUGAGUAAGUUCGAUUGAGUAACCUAGCAUCUAAAUCCCAAGGUAGCGCUUACUUCAAUUCAAGUUAAUCUAAUUAGACUAAUGCUAGGUGUCUCAGUGCCUGAUGUACCUCCCUCUGAUCUGGUACUGAAUGUGAUCCGUUUGUUUAUGUUCUUACUCCCAGCUUGCCUCAUUACUUAGUGCUUCGGUUUUGUCGAUAAAUUUCAAUAUUCCUAGCGUUACACAUCUAUUUAAAAGCACAUGACUCAGUUUUAGUAAAAGCAUGUACCACUAAUUGUGUGCCCUGUUUGUCUAAAGCUGAUUGCUGUAUGAUAAUUUUUGAAAGGAGAGCGCGAACUUCUUCUUGCAAAUUACUUCAGAGUUCAGACAUUUAUGGACUUACAUUAAUCUUUAUGCAUGUGCCUCGUGCACACGCGCACACAUGAUACAGCUUAGGCACACAUGCUUCAAUCAUCGAUGUACUUGUCACAAAUGUGUUGAGGCUGUUGAAGAGACAAUUCGUUGGCAUCGAGCAUCAUGAGGAAACAGUUAUAAAAUUACUAAAUGUGGAAUUUAGUGAUGUUCGUGUAGUUGGAAUACAUGGCAUAGGGGGCACUGGGAAGACAACAAUUGCAAAGUUCGUCUACAAAAGAAUAUUUCAUCUCUUUGAUGGCUGUAGCUUUCUGGAAAGCUUUAGAGAAAAUGCCAAAAAACCAGGAGGCUUAGUUGAUUUGCAAGGUCAGUUGAUUUCUGACCUUCUAGGUGCAAUGCAUAGACAAAUUCCUUCUGUUGAUGACAGGAUUAAGUCCAUCAGAAGCAGAUUCUUCCACAAGAAAGUUCUCAUUGUCUUCGAUGAUGUCGAACCAGGCUUUGAACUUACUCCAAUUUUAGGAAGUCUUGAUUGGUUAGGCUCUGGAAGCAGGAUCAUAAUUACCACCAGAGCUGAGCAAGCUUUAGAUAAGGUUGAAGGGAUACUGAAAUAUGAGGUUGGGGGAAUGCAACAAGAUGAAGCCCUUACACUUUUCCACAUCCAUGCCUUCAGGGAGAAUCCUCCUCCGGAUGAGUUUGUUACUCUGUCCAAAAAAAUAGUAUCAACUAUUGACUGGCUUCCGUUGACUAUUGAGGUUGUCGGGUCAUAUCUAUUUUCUAAAGGCGAGGAUGUAUGGAUGCAAACCUUAGACGAGUUGGAAAAAGUACCUAAGCUGCAAGUUGAACAGAAGUUGAUGGUAAUCAUCAAAGCAUUACCUGACAAGCAAAGACAGAUAUUUCUGGACAUUGCUUGUUUCUUCAUUGGAGAGGACAAAAGCGUUGCAUGCUACCUGUGGUCUGAGUGUGAUUCUGCAAGUGGAUUGGAAUUACAAGUGCUCGUUCUCUCCUCUAUUGUUAAGAUUGAGAACAAUAAGCUGUGGAUGCAUGAUCAACUUCGAGACCUAGGUAGGGAUAUUGUCCAAGGGGAACAUCGUGAACCUGGAAACCGCAGCAGAUUGUGGUUACAAGAUGAAGCCUUGGAUGUGCUGACAAAUGAAAAAGUAAGAUACAAGUUCAUCACUGUUUUUACCUUACGAUUGUGUGCCUUACAACUCAGUGAUCCUUUUUUCAUAGAGGAAAGACACUUAGGGUGCAUUUGUUUCUUGGAAAAUGAAUGAUUUGGAAAAUAUUUUCUUAAAAAUGGUCGCUUAUAUUUCUUGAAAUAAUUAGUCAUUGAUAAUUUUUUCAUUAUUGAUAACAAUUUAUGUAUAUAUAUUUUCAUGGAUGAUGAAAAUAUUUUUGUACAUUUGUUUUUAUAAGAGAUACAAGCGAUUAUUUUAAGGCAAAUGUUUUCCAAAUAAUUCAUUUUCCGUGAAAUAGAAGGACUUUUAAUAAAAUGAUAUCUUUAGUUUGAAGUCUCUAAGCAUUUAUUAUCUUCACAUAUUUUUGUGGGGAAAUGCAAAGUCCCUUGCUAAUCCUAUAUUCCACAUGUAGGGAACUGACAGCGUUCAAGGUGUUCUUCUCAAAUUUGACAGUAGGUCACAGUGCAAUUUUAAACCAGCACAUUUUGCAAGUAUGUCGAACAUAAGAUUCCUUCGAUUGGAUCAGGCGAACCUCAAAGGAAAGUUUGAGGGGCGUCUGUCAAGUAUAAGAUGGCUCCACUGGCAAGGUUGUCCUCGUAAUCUUUGUGCUGGAAAUUUGGAUUUGAAGAAAUUGGUUAUUCUAGAUCUUUCCUGGAGCAAGGUCAACAAAAAAUGGAAUGGUUGGAGAGAAAUCAAGGUAGGGAAGUUUUUUAUUUUUAAUUUCAUUUGUCAAAUUGUAGCAGAAAAGUGACUCUUUUGUCAUUCUACUUUCUGACAGGAAGCCAAGAAAUUGAAAGUUUUGAACCUCACCGGUUGUGUUGACUUGAUCAGAACUCCAGACUUGUCUUGUUACAAAUGUUUAGAGAGAUUGAUUCUUGAAAGUUGCAUUCGAUUGGUUGAAAUUAGUUCAUCGGUAAAAAGUCUGGAGAGGUUGGUUUCACUGAACUUGAGGUCUUGUACUGAACUCAAUAAGUUGCCUGAAGAGCUGGGUUCCCUCAUAUCCUUGGAAGAGAUUCUUAUAGAUGGAACUGCUGUUCAAGAAAUUCCUGCCUCCAUCGGUCAUUUGCAAAAGCUUAGAAUAUUCAGUGCCUGCAACUGUCUUUCAUUGAUCCAGCUGCCCGAUUCAAUUAGUCAUGUAAAAUCUCUGAGAGUCUUCAGACUGAAUGGUACCAAAAUAACUGAACUUCCCCUGUCUGAAGAGUUAAAAGUGCUGCAGCACUUGUCAAUAAAUCAUUGUAGGUCAAUAUUGAAGUUACCAACGUCCUUGGGGAGUUUGGCUUCAUUGAUCGAACUUGAUUUAUCAAGCACUGGAAUUGUCGAAUUACCUAAUACUGUCAAUAAGUUAUAUCUUUUAAGAGUGCUCAAAAUUGAUUUUACUUUUGUACGAGAGCUGCCUUGUGCUAUAUGGAAGUUGAAGAGGCUUGAAGAGCUGCAUGCUUCAAGAUGUCGAAGUUUGGCUGGGGAAAUUCCUAGAGAUAUUGAGGAGCUUUCGAGCUUGAGGGUCUUGAGGCUUGGAUACUCUCGGAUUCAUGGUCUACCAGAUAGCAUUUCUACACUUCCCAAUCUGCAAACGCUUGAUCUGCUUCAUUGUGACAAGCUCCUUAGAGUGCCUGAGCUUCCUCCCACUUUGAUAAGCCUAUCUGUCAGUUCUAAAUUGAUGGAUACAAUCCCGGACAUCAGUAGCCUGGUUAAGUUGGGAGAGUUAUUCUUGGCUGAUGGAUCCCAGGAACUGUUGUUACCUGACCAAGGUCAAAUUGAGGCCAAAGGAUGCACUCGUUUGGAGCUCAGGAGUUUGUCAGAGCUAAAGAUAUUGCAGCUAUCUAUGUUAAAGAUCCAACUACAACCUGUUGGGUUGGAUCUCCUUCGUAAGCUCACAAAGCUCUCCCUUUGCUGCGUUCACUUGAAAAAGCUACCACAGCUUCCUCCAGGUUUAUUCACUCUCUCACUUUGCCAGUACAAAUCACAGACGAGAUUGCCAGAUCUUUCGUAUUUGGAGCUCCUGUCAGAAUUUGAGCUUUUCGACUGUGCUGUAACAGAAGUUGCAAGGCUUGGGGAGUUCAAAUCCUUGCGAAUUUUCAGAAUAUCUCACUGCAACCUGCAACAGCUGGAUGAGCUGGAGAACUUGAUAUUUUUAGCAUCAUUGAAUGUUUCGUUGUGACAUCCUGAAAUUCGACCCCGUUUCGAUAAAGUGAAAUGGGCAUGUCGUCAACGUGCCUAUGGUCCUUUUUCUCUGAGCUGAUCACUCACGAGUUAACUAACCUAUUGGGUGAAGCCGUUAAGGGAUGUAUCCGCGGUAAAAUCCCUAAAAGCUACUCAAUUGGUUGGAUUGGACUAAAAUCGCGUUUGAUUGAUUCUAACCAUGAAAUUUAAAUUGGUUUCGGGAAUCGAAUAUUCGAGCGUGUCACAAUUCAUUUUUAGGACCGUCUCAUCGUCUAUCAAUUUAUUGACGAGUCCGAAAUUUCAAGAAAGAAAUUAUCGGAAGAAAAAUCGAAGACCAAAAGAAAAUAGAAAGGGAAAGGGAAAGAGAAAAGGAAAAGUGGAAUAAUGAUAUUAUUUAUUUCUUUUUCUNNNNNNNNNNNNNNNNNNNNNNNNNNNNNNNNNNNNNNNNNNNNNNNNNNNNNNNNNNNNNNNNNNNNNNNNNNNNNNNNNNNNNNNNNNNNNNNNNNNNNNNNNNNNNNNNNNNNNNNNNNNNNNNNNNNNNNNNNNNNNNNNNNNNNNNNNNNNNNCGAUAGAACCAGCUUCUUCUUCUUCUUUCUUCGUGCGCGAACCAGAAGCCGAAGAAGAUCAGAAGCAGCGAGCAUCACCGCCAGACGAAGACAGCAGCCGCUCGUCCCGCCGCCGCACCGCUGCACCGCUGCCCGCGCGCUCGCCGCCGUUCCGCCGUCCGCGCGCGCCCAGGCCGCGCGAACCAGCCGCUGUUCGCUCCUGUUCCAGCUCCGACCAGCCACCGUCCGGCCACCUCCGGCCACCACCUAGCCUCGCCGGACCUCCCCCGCGACCCCCUCGCCUUCCGCCGGCCUUCCCUCGCCGUUUUGGCCGCCGGAUCUGCUCCGACCAGCCAUGGGCAGAAACCCACGAAAUGGGUUUCCAGCUGGUUCGGGCCCGUUUUGGGCCGUUUCCCGGCCCCGAACCCGAGCGGUGCUUUGGGAAGAAUCGUUCCUCGCGUCGCUGCCGUCGGAUUGAUCCGAUUUGUGCGCGAUUUGGUGAGUAAUCUCACUAAUCUUGGAUUAGUUGGCUAAUUAUGCUUAAGGUUGGUUUAGAUUUAAUUAAUUAUGUUUAGGUUGUUAGAUUAGAAUAAAUUAGCAAUUAUUAGUCAAUUGUGAUGCGAUUUAAAUAAAUUGAUUGUGUAAUUAGCAAGUAGACGUGGUCUACUAAUUAUUGGAAGUGCUUCGGGAUUUUUCCCGACCCUUAGUGGGCUCCAAUUAGGCUUUUCGGGCCUAAGUGGAUUUUUUUGUAUUUAAAUAUUAAUUUUCGGAAUUAAAUUAAAUAAUUAUUUAUUUUCCGGAAAUUCAACUGACAUGGCCUGGAACCGGAAAAUUAUGCUGAUGACCGUGGUGAAGUCCGUUUAUUUAAUCGGGCUUUAUUUUGUACUAAAUUGAAUUUUUAAUAUUUAUUAAUUAUUUAUUUUUCGGAAAUUAAGAUUUUGAUGGCCGAUGACCGAAAUCUCGUGCUGAUCGUCGUGGCGCAGUCCGUUUAUUUAUUUGAGCUCUACGUUGUAUGGAAUUGAAUAAAUUGUGAUAUUUUAGGGAUUUACCCUAAAUUGAUUGGAAUCGAUUGAGAUUGAAUUAUCGAUUGGUGAAUGGCCAAGUAUGUUUAUUCAGCAUUUAUAAUGCUUUGUUGAGUUAAUUUAAUUAUUUGAUUGAGUAUUGAUUGGUGAAUGGCCAAGUAUGUUUAUUCAGCAUUUAUAGUGCUUUGUUGAGUUGUAAAGGGAGUAGAAUGAUGAGAGUGAAUGUUAGCGGCAGCGCGGUGAAGCAACCUGCGUCACCUACCCGGGGGUUUUGGGACCCUACCGUGGGGUUCGGGGGGAUUUGGGGAAAUUCCCUCUGGGCGAAAAAACCGGGCCCCCUUAAAAAAAACCCCACGUUUUCGGGUUUUAAAACAAAAAAAUUUUUUUUUGGGGNNNNNNNNNNNNNNNNNNNNNNNNNNNNNNNNNNNNNNNNNNNNNNNNNNNNNNNNNNNNNNNNNNNNNNNNNNNNNNNNNNNNNNNNNNNNNNNNNNNNUCGGUGAUUAUGGAACUCACUGGCGAAAACGGCGCCUUAAAGAACGCACACAAUUGUCUAGUGAGUACAUGGUAUAGGCAUGCGUGGUUCGGUGAUAAGGACAUCACUGGCGAAAACGGCGCCUUAAAGAACGCACGCAAUUGUCUAUUGAUAAAAUCAUGUAGGCAUGUGUGGUUCGGUGAUUUGGGAUAUCACUGGCGAAAACGGCGCCUUAAAGAACGCACACAGUUGUCUAGUGGAUACGUCACCUUGGCGAAGUUGACGCCCGAGAGCAUUGAUGUGGCUCUGUGACCGAGUACUCGAUGAAAGAAUAUAUGGUGUGGAAUCAAUGACCUAGAAUGGUCCGUCUGACAUGUAAUCGACUAGGUCGAUUGAUCAUUGCUUUGAUUUGAUGUUGUGAAUUGAUUGACUGAAUGGAAAUGACCGUGAGUGGUCUUGUUGGAAUAUAAUCGACUAGGUCGAUUUGAUCGAUGCUUCGAUCGGUGAUAUGAUUGCUUGGGUGCCUAUUAUGAAUUGUACUGACUUGCAGGUGGGAUCAGAGGCCAAGGUAAGUCCUCUGCCCUGUACGUGUUUAGGCAGCCUUUAGUAUAAUAGUUUACUAAUCGGGCUUAGUGGGGUAGAACUCGCUGAGACGUAGUCUCAUCCCAGUUUGGGGAAAACCAUUUCAGGACCCCGCUGAAGAGCUGAGGAGGAGGAAUCCGAGAAGGAGAACUCGGAGGUGAGAUCUGAAGAGAAGGAUUUUUGGAAGAAGAAGAUAGUCUUGAGAGGGGCCUUAAGUACGGCCUGGAUGGAUUGAGAUCCUGUCUUCUUUUGAGAUCUCCAUUUUGAUGUGAAUAGUUUUGAAGUGGUUUGUGUUUUGUAUAAAAGUUUUGUUAUAAAUUUCAAUAUGAAAAAUAUGGCCCUGCUUUUCUAUCCCAUCGUUUUAUUGUCUGGGGAUUUUAACUGCUUCCGCAUGCGCUUAAUAAAUAGAAAGGGUCGGCGAUACUAGUCCUGGGAUAUCGCAUUAUAAAAUCGACCAAGGGAGAAGGAUGUGUGCGUGCCCGAGGAUCGGGGCGUGACAUUCGUACUGUCAAAGUCUUGAGAGACUUCCCAAUCUAUCAAAACUGAAGAAGCUGAAAGAUAUUAAAAUCAAGGGCUGUCCGAAAAUUCGUGAUAUUAAAAGUGUGGAACACCUGCAUUCCUUCGAAAAGCCAAGUGGUGCCAUAAUUGAGGCAGAAAGCUCAUCUGAGGUAACCAACACUACUGAUUUUUCCCUCUGGACUGCAUAGAUGGAAGGUUGGCACUUGAUUAGCACGUUUCAUGUUUGGAAUUUUUACUAAGAUGAAUGAAUUCCUUAAUAUUAACAAAAGUGCAUGACAUGAUGAAUUACGAUGGACAGGAUAUUUUCUCCCAUUAAAACAUGCAGAAUAAUUUUUCAAAUGAAAUUUGAGUCAUCAAGACUUUGUAUUUCUUUCAUCUUUUUUACUUGAAAGAUGGGUCCAAAUAUGUAAGGACUCCACUUCUUUAAAAGAGCAUUUUACUUUUUCCUGUAUUUUUCUGCGAUAUACAACCAAAGAACUUCUAUUUAUUCCAGUUAGUUUAAUCAUGCUUUUGGGAGGUGUUGUUAUGUAUUCAAUCCAGAGCAUUGAACGUUGUAUUGGUAUCUUAAAUCUUUGAUGUGUUGCAGAAAAGCGCUGGUUUCUGUACUAGUGUCUUAAAUUUUUUAUGGGGUGCUUCCGUAAUAUUCAAGAUCUUAAUCCAAAGUACUUUUAAUAANNNNNNNNNNNNNNNNNNNNNNNNNNNNNNNNNNNNNNNNNNNNNNNNNNNNNNNNNNNNNNNNNNNNNNNNNNNNNNNNNNNNNNNNNNNNNNNNNNNNNNNNNNNNNNNNNNNNNNNNNNNNNNNNNNNNNNNNNNNNNNNNNNNNNNNNNNNNNNNNNNNNNNNNNNNNNNNNNNNNNNNNNNNNNNNNNNNNNNNNNNNNNNNNNNNNNNNNNNNNNNNNNNNNNNNNNNNNNNNNNNNNNNNNNNNNNNNNNNNNNNNNNNNNNNNNNNNNNNNNNNNNNNNNNNNNNNNNNNNNNNNNNNNNNNNNNNNNNNNNNNNNNNNNNNNNNNNNNNNNNNNNNNNNNNNNNNNNNNNNNNNNNNNNNNNNNNNNNNNNNNNNNNNNNNNNNNNNNNNNNNNNNNNNNNNNNNNNNNNNNNNNNNNNNNNNNNNNNNNNNNNNNNNNNNNNNNNNNNNNNNNNNNNNNNNNNNNNNNNNNNNNNNNNNNNNNNNNNNNNNNNNNNNNNNNNNNNNNNNNNNNNNNNNNNNNNNNNNNNNNNNNNNNNNNNNNNNNNNNNNNNNNNNNNNNNNNNNNNNNNNNNNNNNNNNNNNNNNNNNNNNNNNNNNNNNNNNNNNNNNNNNNNNNNNNNNNNNNNNNNNNNNNNNNNNNNNNNNNNNNNNNNNNNNNNNNNNNNNNNNNNNNNNNNNNNNNNNNNNNNNNNNNNNNNNNNNNNNNNNNNNNNNNNNNNNNNNNNNNNNNNNNNNNNNNNNNNNNNNNNNNNNNNNNNNNNNNNNNNNNNNNNNNNNNNNNNNNNNNNNNNNNNNNNNNNNNNNNNNNNNNNNNNNNNNNNNNNNNNNNNNNNNNNNNNNNNNNNNNNNNNNNNNNNNNNNNNNNNNNNNNNNNNNNNNNNNNNNNNNNNNNNNNNNNNNNNNNNNNNNNNNNNNNNNNNNNNNNNNNNNNNNNNNNNNNNNNNNNNNNNNNNNNNNNNNNNNNNNNNNNNNNNNNNNNNNNNNNNNNNNNNNNNNNNNNNNNNNNNNNNNNNNNNNNNNNNNNNNNNNNNNNNNNNNNNNNNNNNNNNNNNNNNNNNNNNNNNNNNNNNNNNNNNNNNNNNNNNNNNNNNNNNNNNNNNNNNNNNNNNNNNNNNNNNNNNNNNNNNNNNNNNNNNNNNNNNNNNNNNNNNNNNNNNNNNNNNNNNNNNNNNNNNNNNNNNNNNNNNNNNNNNNNNNNNNNNNNNNNNNNNNNNNNNNNNNNNNNNNNNNNNNNNNNNNNNNNNNNNNNNNNNNNNNNNNNNNNNNNNNNNNNNNNNNNNNNNNNNNNNNNNNNNNNNNNNNNNNNNNNNNNNNNNNNNNNNNNNNNNNNNNNNNNNNNNNNNNNNNNNNNNNNNNNNNNNNNNNNNNNNNNNNNNNNNNNNNNNNNNNNNNNNNNNNNNNNNNNNNNNNNNNNNNNNNNNNNNNNNNNNNNNNNNNNNNNNNNNNNNNNNNNNNNNNNNNNNNNNNNNNNNNNNNNNNNNNNNNNNNNNNNNNNNNNNNNNNNNNNNNNNNNNNNNNNNNNNNNNNNNNNNNNNNNNNNNNNNNNNNNNNNNNNNNNNNNNNNNNNNNNNNNNNNNNNNNNNNNNNNNNNNNNNNNNNNNNNNNNNNNNNNNNNNNNNNNNNNNNNNNNNNNNNNNNNNNNNNNNNNNNNNNNNNNNNNNNNNNNNNNNNNNNNNNNNNNNNNNNNNNNNNNNNNNNNNNNNNNNNNNNNNNNNNNNNNNNNNNNNNNNNNNNNNNNNNNNNNNNNNNNNNNNNNNNNNNNNNNNNNNNNNNNNNNNNNNNNNNNNNNNNNNNNNNNNNNNNNNNNNNNNNNNNNNNNNNNNNNNNNNNNNNNNNNNNNNNNNNNNNNNNNNNNNUUGCUGGCUUAGUGGGAUUCAGGUGCCAAUCGUAGGACUUAAUAGCUCUCCUGCAAAAACUUCAAAGUGAUGCAUGAUACAGGGAAUUGUUAGGCCACUGCCUUGACUGUGGUGAGCCUAAUGAAAUCAACAUGGUGGGCUGAGUUUUGAACCUGGCAGCUUCCUUUCUAGAGUUAUAGGAUAAGUUCAAUCUCACUAUCAAGGCUAAACUUUAGUUUUCUUCUCAUAGAAAUCAAUUAGGUAUUAUCAAUUGCGUAGUGAUAAAUCCAUUGAUUUUCCCAUCUUGGUAAAAUCAGUAUACCUUCUUUCUUUUUGAUUCGUGAAUACUACAGAAUCCUCAUGCACUCAAAUUGGUAAAUGUUGAUGUGAUUGAUACGGUGAUUAAAUUCUGUAUCAAGUUUUUCAUUGUAGAGUUUACGUAAAGAACCUGUAAUAGAUUUUUUCUCUGGUGUACUUUUGGCAUCCUUACUAGGUCUUAGUGUGUUAGAGAAACUCCUUAAUUUCCAAAAGGAUAGGGCUUUGUAUAUGUAUCCAAUGCCUCUGAGUGGCCAGGAUGCUAUUUGGUUCCCGACACAUUCUUGAUUGAAGUCAUGAUGUCUUCUCUAUAUUAUGAUACAGGAAUAUGGUAUCAGGACUCAGCCAAUUGCAUGGCUUGGGAAUAAUCCAUCGGGACUUAAAGCCUACAAAUGUGUUGAUUACUAAGAAUCCAUUGCAUGCUUAGCUAUCUGAUAUGGGCAUGAGCAGAUGCCUUCCUGAUGGUAGAUCUUCCUUGGGAUAUCAUGCCACUAGUAAGUGCUCGUGAUAGCUUUAUUCAGACCCUUGAUCUUCUUUUCCUCAAUAUUGAUCCGUGCAUAAUCUGAAUCUAUACAGUGGUAAAUCAUCUUCGGAUUCCUGGCUAAAAAUUUUAAAACUGCAAUUUUACUUUGUUAGAACAAUCUCUUCUUUUAAAGAAGACUAUUAUGUUGGAAGUUAGGUUGCUUUGUAUUGCUUCUUAUGUCGUGGUAAAGUUUGUGGAGAUUUAAUAGUCUUUGCCAUGGUCUCCCUUCGUUGAUGGGUGAAUCAAUUAUAUCCAUCUAUAUUUUGUCCAAGUGAUGAGGGCUCUUUUAUUGAUCUUCGUUGUCUGUCUUGCAGGUUGUGGAACCAAAGGAUAUCAAGCACCUGAAGUGUCUCGUGAUGGUGGGCGCCAAACGCAGGCAAUGGAUUUGCUUAGUUUAGGUUGUGUCUUGUUCUUUUGCGUCACUCGUGGAAGACAUCUGUCUGGUGAAAACAUUGCUUCCAACAAUCCAGACCUACCCUCGGUGAUAGAUAUGCCGGAAGCUCAUGAUUCGAUUUCAUAUUUACUAAGCCAAGAUUCCAAAUUGAGGUGAGUGUAUUGUCAUUGUUAAUUUGCAUCACUACCAUUUUUAUUCUGCCAUUUUAUAGAUUUUACAACCAUUUAGUUGACCGAUUUCCAUUUUCCUGCAUCACUUAAUCUCAUGAGCAUUAAAGGUGCCCUAGAACUCCUCCAACAUGCCUUAAAUAUCUUUCCUGCUGUGGGCUCUACUUGAUGAGCAAAAAAUGUGUAGAUCCCACUUAUUUCUUUUGACAAUUGACAAUAGAAGCCGAAGAAAAGGUUGAUUAUGCGAUAGCCUAAAUGCAUUUGACAAUUGUAAUAUUCUAAUGAAAGAUGAUCAUUGUCGGAAGCCUAGUAAUUAGGGCUAUAAGUUUGUUACCCCUCCACGAACAAAUAAAUUGCAAUCAUUUCUAGCGCGGAAUUAGAUUUGCUAUAUAUGCACUGAAAAGGAUUUUAUAUGAAGAUUCCGAGGGUUUAGCAUAUGAUGCUCACUACGAAAUAAGAAUCCUAGGGACUAGAUGAUUAGAUUGCUAAUUUAAGGUACUUGGAGUAAAUAAUUCCUGGGUUCUUGUUGUAGUCAAACAACUGCCUUCAUUCCAAACUCGUGAAUUGUGAAGUGCAUGGAAGUUGUCAGAUAUUUUGGUUACUCUUUCAUUGAGCUAAUGCAAUUUUAAUUACUUUAGAGAUUGCACGAUUGCCAAACUUGUGAUGCUUUUAAACUCAAGAACUCAGUCCAUCUUAGUAUUGUUUGUGUAAUUGAUUUCUUUGAAAUGUUGGGUCAAUAGUAAAUUACUUUUUAUUACUAGCAGGCCAACGGCAUUGGAGGUGCUGCAGCAUCCAUUUUUUUGGAGUUCAACAGACAGACUGACCUUUCUUCGAGACGUCAGCGAUGCAGUAGAACCGGGAGUGGGGAAAGGCAAUUCAGAUCUUCUCAAAGAAUUGGAGAACAUUGCGCAAUUGGUUUUUGACGGGAAUUGGAUAAAGGAAAUAGAUAUAAAUGUUAUGGAUGACCUACGUAAACACAGACGUAAGCCCUAUGACGAAAGCAGUGUCGAAGACUUAGGGUGCGUUUGGCUGCACCCUAUUUCUGUUCCCAGGAACAGAAAUUUCUGUUUUUUUGUUCCUGGGAACAAAAAAGGAACAGAAACACGUUUGGGUGCGUUUCUGUUCCUUUUUUGUUCUUUUGUUCCCAGGAACAAAAAAGAAACAGAAACAAGAAACACAAAAAAGUUGUUUCUUGUUUUUGGAACAAAAUCUAGAAACACUUCUCUUUUUUAUUUUUUUUCUUUUCUUCUUCUUUUUUCUUUCUUUUUCUUUGGCCGGUCGCCGGCCUUUGGCCAUGGCCGGCGACCNNNNNNNNNNNNNNNNNNNNNNNNNNNNNNNNNNNNNNNNNNNNNNNNNNNNNNNNNNNNNNNNNNNNNNNNNNNNNNNNNNNNNNNNNNNNNNNNNNNNNNNNNNNNNNNNNNNNNNNNNNNNNNNNNNNNNNNNNNNNNNNNNNNNNNNNNNNNNNNNNNNNNNNNNNNNNNGUCAUGUCAUAUGGUCCUCUUUCUUUGUUGCUAAAGGGUUGCACUUCAUUGCGUGAAUAAUACCGGCCCUUCACCAGCCCGUGAUGAAUGUCAGCAGUAUGUGCUUCGAUAUUUCUGCUCUGACUGUCUUCAAAACCUGAAUACCGCAUGUUAACCGGCCCAAAGGAAAAAAAAGAAAAAAAAGGAAAAAUGAAUAAGAAAAAUAAGAAAGAAAAUAGAAAAAUAAAAUAAAAAUAUUAAAAAAUUAAAAGAAAUAAAAAAUUAUACAAAUUUAUCAAGCGUGUUUCUAUUCUUUUUAUAUUUCUGGAACAGAUUUACCAAACGCAUUUUUUUGUUCAAAAAUUAUUCCCUGGAACAGAAAUAUUUUUUUCUAUUUCUGUUCCCAGAAACAAUUUUUAAACAGAAACGUUACCAAACGUACCCUUACUGAGAGCCAUGCGAAAUAAGUUUAGCCACCUAAAGGAAGCUCUAGAAAAAGUUAAGGUACUCUCUCUCUCUCUCUCUCUCUCUGGAACAGUGGUGAUAUUUACAGCCGCAUGCGUACAAGGCUCAUAUCUUUUAUUGCUUUGAUGAUUCUGACAGGCGAUCCUCGGAUCGGAUCCUAAUGGUUUGGAUGCUUACUUCACCAAACUAUUCCCCAGACUCUUGAUUGAGUCAUACAAAGUGGUGUCUCAAAGCCCCGAAAAGAAGGAAUUGCUUGCGGGAGUGCUUUCUAUGCUUCCUAAGUAACGUGCUUUUGACCCUUUGGCCACUUCCCGCUGUGAUUCUUUCCUUCAAGCCAACAGGGUUGGCCAUGAAUAUUACGGGACAUUCCACUUGUCUUUUCUGUUGUGUCUGCUGUCUUGGUUACGUGGAUGAAGCUAGAUGGGGCGUCAGACUCUAUUCAUAUUGUCCCUAAUAUCAAAUCUUAAAUAAUUUUAUAGUACGGUAUUGCCGCAUACUUGAAAUGUUUGAUGUAUUGUUCUUGAUAUUGCAUAAACAAAUAUUGUAUUUCAAUUUCAUGCAAUUUUUUUCAAUAACGCAAUUUUUAAAUUUAAAUCUUGUACUUUUUUUUUCAAAACUUUUAUUUUUAGAGUUUAAAAAAAAAAACAAAAGGCCCAGGCCCACGCUUGGGCCAAUGCAGCCCAGGGGUCAGCCCUCAUAGACUUUUCAUCAACAAAAGGUACCGUCACCUCCUUAAUAGUUUAGCAACUUCUUCGCCUUUCUAGUAAUUUUUUCCAUGUGCAACCUACAUGUCUAAAGAAAAAUAUUUAGGUCAAAUAAAUCUCAAUGGAGUGGGUAACAUUCUCAGUUAUGAAAGAAAUGUCACUCAACUCGCAAAUUUUUACCUAUGAAAUAAGCAUCACCCUAUUAUUUUGAAGUAUUUACACACUCUCUCAUUGGAGGGAAUUAAAAGUUGAAUCUACAAGUAAUUAAAAUAUUAAAAAAUAACAUUUUAUGUAUUUCAAAACCNNNNNNNNNNNNNNNNNNNNNNNNNNNNNNNNNNNNNNNNNNNNNNNNNNNNNNNNNNNNNNNNNNNNNNNNNNNNNNNNNNNNNNNNNNNNNNNNNNNNAAAAGUGACGAAAAAUCUUAUCUAUUGUUUACAUACUACAUGUUUCUUUAGGCAAAUUUAUGUACACUUAGUUUGUCCAAUCAAGUAGCUCUAGUUUCACAAAUUUUUAGAUCAGGUUUAUAUGACACAAAAUAAAACUAAAUUUGGGAGAUGUGGCAUCAAAUGACCCCAAAGUAUGAUGUGAAAAAAAUAUAUAGAUGCACACAUGGAUGCGUGUGUGUGAAAAAAUAGCCAAUAUAGAUAGUAUUGAAUUAUGACUCAUUACCCAUUGUUGACGCUCAUGUGGAUGACUACAUUGGAAAAAUUUUAAUCACAUCAUACUCGCUACUAUAUCACUUGAUGGUCAUGUUAGCUAGAUUCGGCCAAAUUUGAUGUCAAAAGGAUUUGAUUAAAAAUAUUGUGAAAAAAGUAAGAUGACCUCAUUAGACAAAUUAAAAAUAUAAGAACUUGAUUAGAAAAUAAAGUAAAAAUAAAAGUAAAAAGUACAGAGAAGAAAAGUAAAAUUUUUUGUAAAAUAAUUGGCUCUUGCGUCUGUCUCUCUCUCACACGCAGAUUGCUUCAGAUGUUGCAAGUAUAUAAUUUUUUUUUUGUUUUUAAAUUAAAAAUAUAAGAACUUGAUUAGAAAACAAAGUAAAAAUAAAAGUAAAAGUAUAGUGACGAAAAGAAAAAAAAAAUUGUAAAAUAAUUGGCUCUUGCGUCUCUCUCUCACAGAUUGCUUCAGAUGUUGCAAGUAUAUUAUUUUAUCUAUUUUAUUCUAACCACAUAUAAUGGGUGAGAAUAUCUCGAGUCCAGGAAAAGGGUUAAAGACAUAAAUAAUAUUAUUAUCAAACAAUUCACACUUUCGAUACUAUGGUUCCGACAUUAUUUGCAACCAACCCAUCCAAAACAAUCAUCAAUGAUUAAACUUUUGAUAUUAUCGGGUGUGAGAAGCUCUAAUAUAAAAACAAAAAAUUCUAAUAUAUGAUGACAGUCACUAACACCUUAUCAUUUUCAAAGAUUUAAAAAGCUUUCUUACAUUUUAUUUUUUGACCCUAGUCAUCAGUCAUCACGUAAUACUGAUUAUAGAGCAUGAUAAAUUUAUUUUCCAAUAAUUUCUGAUCAUAUUUACCGCGCAAAGCUUACCGAGCGUCAAACAUAAAAGUUGAAGUUCCUCAGUACAAAUUUUCACGAGGCCGUGCGGUUUAACUACCCUGAUUCGCCACGUUUCACUUAACAAUUGGUUUCACUUUUCUACACACUAUAGACGUUGCAUAUUGUAAGAUCUACAUCAUUGAUUAAAUUCUGACAUAUAUCUUUAUCAUGGUGAGUGUUGUGUCAUCAAUUAAAUUUCAUAUAAUUUGUUUGCACACCUUGUGACGUUAUCGAAUUCAUAAUUUUCAAGCUUUGUCGUCAAUUUAAUUCCGACUUGGUUUGAGAUUAUACAAUAUUGUUUGGAUCGAAGAAGUUGAUUUUUGUUUGUUUGUAUUAUUUUCUAUCUAAAAUUAGCACAGAACCUUAAUUUCCUCAAAUUAUAAUUGAAGAACAACCUUCGAUGAAAGAUAUUUCAUUUCAGAAAAUUUCAACAAAACAUCUUUUUGGCACACACAAUAGAAUCAGUGUUGAUGAUAUGGGAAAUAAAACGACACGUCGUACUGGGAGUCAACUUGAUACCAUUGAAACUGGUGGGAAUAAUUCACCACCACAGCCCGCUGACGAAAGGGUUGGACGCGCUGAGUUGUCGAUGGCAUCUCCAGCUUGAUGGCUCAGACUAUUCUGGCGCCUAUUCCAUACAGGCCACCUAUUUCCGUUUAUUCAUGGGAAUAAAUGGAAAGAUUAUUUCAUGAACAAUUCCAGAGAUCCAUCCCUGAUGUGUCUAUGAAGCAGUAAAAUGAUGAGUUGAUAGAUCAGUUCAUAUUUCGGUUCGAAAAGGUAAGGAAUCAAUGCCUUCUGCCUUUACUGGAAAAAUCCCUUGUGGAUGUAGCUCUGGCAGGUUUGAAGUUUUCUAUCAGAGAAAAGAUGGUAGGACGAUAAAUUAAUGAUCUUUUCCAGUUGGCAACAGUGGCAACCAAGCAUGAAAACAUUUUGAAAGAGAAAGAAAGCAUGGAAAACAUGACAUAACCCUUGUGGAGCGAUACGAGAACGAUCCAGACCAGGGUGAAUUUGUUGAGGUAGCUGGGGCCAAAAUGAUGAUUGAUGAGCCUUAUACCCAUCACACGUUAAGACCAUUGAAAGCUAAAGAGAAGUUGAAAGAGAACUUUACGUCUAGAGCGAAUUUCUAACUAUUUGGUUGUAAAUUAUGUUGCUUUGACAUUAGAAAUUCAAAAUCUGUUUUAGGAAAUACAUGGUUGGAUAUAUAAUUAUACAUGCAAUUAUGCAUGACUAAGUCCAAUAAUCUCUUUUGCGAUGCUAAGGUUAAACUCUGUAGUUAAUAUAAUUUCCUAUUUAAACUGGAUACUAUUCCAAAUUAAAAGAAUGGAAAAUGUUUUCUUAAAAUAUAUAAUUUCUGAUGCAAUCUUAUUGACCCCCACUAUCCUGCUAAUAAACUUAUAUUUUCUCAACAGUUUGCACAUAUGUUAAUACAACACCAUGCUAAUAUAAACAUAAGCUAUAUGGGGUUGUGUUUAUAACUGUAAAAGUUUUUAUGUUGUUAGUUGCAUUAAUUAAUAUUAUAAUUUAACUUUUUAUGGGAUUAAUCUAAUAAUGUGAGAUAUAAGGAUUCUAAGUUGGUCUAAUAUGGGAGUGGUUAGUAUGAACCGAAUAAAACUCGACUUGUAAUGAGAGGGCAUAUGAUUUAAAACUCUAUAAGGAGUGUUUACUAAAUGCUGAGAGUGAGAAGCAGUCUCAUUGAGCCAAUGAUAUAGAAGACAAUAGCGAAGAAGCGCUUAAGCUUUAGAUCAUUAUUGUUGCAUCAAGAACGAUGGAUUCCAAAUUGAAUGCAUAAAUUUCUUUUACUUGAUUAUAUGUAUUAUUGAUUCUAGCUACGGAGAUAUUCAAUACCAUUUUCAUGGCUUACAUUCUUAUCAUUUUAACAUUUUGAGUAAUUAUAAUUCUUUAAAGAUUAUCUAUAAACUUAUUAAGCUUAUUGGUGAUUCUCUUGCUAAUUAUAAUGGUACCAAAUAUUUCUCUACAAAUUUUAUUAUAUUUUCUUGAAAAUUGCUCUAAUUGUGAUAUCGUUCUUUUGGAACUUGGAAAUUGUUUUACUUUCAAAAUUUCUUGUCUUUUCUCAUACUUUUUCACCAUCAUAUGUUUGAAAGGAUUUAAAAGGGCUUAUUUGAAUCUGCAUAAUAUCUGCUACGUAUAAAAAUAUAAUGUGUUUUCAACAUAUUUUUAUCUAUUCUUACUAUCAUAUAGAUCUCAUAAUCAUGAGCCACAACAUGUCAAGCCACUUUAAGUUUUGUCGCUCAAUUUAUUGUUGUCUAUUUUAUAUCAUAAAUAAUUGUACUCUAAAAUUAAUUAGUAAAUAGUGUCUUUCGGUCAAAAGUUGCAAUCAUUAAGUUAGUAGCAUGUUAAUUCAUAUUAAACUUACAUUUAUUUAUAAUACAUUUAUAAUACAUGACUAUUCGUGUGGCUUCCAUAGAUUAAUUCAUUUGUCCGUUUUAGCUCAUUUCAUACUGAGCUUCACGGUCUUGUCCUUUGAUUUACAGGCGGACACCUUUUCAAGAGAUCAUUCAUGUUGGUAGUGCUCCCAUUUGAGCGCACUUAAUUAUGGAGUUUGAAAACUAAGUAUUGUCAUUACUUCAAAAUGCACCUUCAUGAAUUAAUUUAAGUUUUGACAUAUUUAUUCUAGAGUAUCUCUUCGCCUAUUUGGUGCAUAGUUCAGUUUAUUCUUGCUCUCUUCACUAUUUUAGAAACCUACUAGAAGCCACUCCUUGUCCACGCCCUCUGGCUCCAACAACCACUCCUUGCUCUCAUCGAAUCUAAUUGUUAUAGGCCUACCAACUUCCAUGUAAUUCAUUUCCAAACCACAUACCUACUAAAGGGGGUCCUACUCCAAUACCGUAUUGUAACAUUAUUGGAUUAACUCACUAAGAUAUUAUUCACUUUGACCCGUCCCAUAACUAAGCCUUAUAGUUUUGCCUUUUGGUGUAAAGGUGGAUAGUGCCCCCACCUAAGCAUGCUUAACUUUAGAGUUCUAAAGCUAAAACGUUACUAUGUGCCUUAGUGAAUUAAUUCAACUUACACACACACACACACACACACACACACACACACACACACACACACACAUAUAUAUACCAUAAUGGGGUUAGGAUCGGAGUACUAUAUGAGAGAACAAGGAAGUAUUAAGGCCUUCUUUUGUAAGAGGUUUGACUCCUACUUGGACUAGUCCUAUAUGAAUGUAAUUGUAUUUUUGUUUAUGCUUUUGGAUGGACUCUUUAUUCAAAAGAUGUAUUUUCUCAUAGGAAUUAGAAAGAGGAACAUCUCUUUCUUCGGUGGAUAUGACAUAGUCUGAUUUUUUGAAAAACUUCAACUUUGAUUGCUUGUAUAUUUCCUUAAGUUGUAUUUUAGGAAUUUCCCAAUUUUCUAUAGACUUGUUGAAAUCUUCUAUCCUUACUUCUUCUCUAUGUAUAGGACUUGGAUCUGAGUCCAUUUGUGAUAGAGAACUAGAGGAAGAUGUAGAUCUUCUAUGUAAGCUCAUACUUAAGAUCGGAACUAUCCCUUCUUCAGAACCGUUACAGAGCUAAACCAACGGUCUAACAGCCACUCAGGGACUUACAGCCUAGACCACUCUGUAGAAACAAGAAGGAUGCCAACAAAUGGCUCUCGAUCUAAGUGUAUGUUCUUACAAAGAUUAUCUAUACUUUCUCACUGGCUCUGAUACCAUAAUGGGGUUAUGAUCGGAGUACUAUAUGAGAGAACAAGGAAGUAUGUAGAGAUUAACAGAUCUAUAUGAAAGCAAGGAGGGAUGUAUAAAAACUGGAAAGUAUGUAUAUAAACAAGAAAGUAAAUGACUUAAAUAAAAUCACGAGAAUUAAAAAUAAUGUAAUAUAUAUAUAUAUAUAUAUAUAUAUAUAUAUAUAUAUAUUACAAAAUCGUUGUCGUCUACUUAUUCAGUGCACAAUUCAAUCCAUUUCUACCUCUUCACCAUGUUAGAAUCUCUUUGAGCUUCGCGACCACUCCCCAUCUUACAAUUCGUACAAAUAAUGCGUCUUUCCAUCUACUUUUAAAGGAUUAAGUGUGAGAAAAUAUUUCAUCUUUGUUAUUUGUUAACUAGGAAAAAAAAGCAUAAAUCCUUAAAAGGCACGUCUUUUCUCGUUAUAAUUCGUCAAUACUUCGGCUGCACAUAAAGGAAAAAGAGAAACGUGGAGAUUCACGUGAAACCUUUUCUGGUAGUCACUUAUUUGACCAAAAAGACUUACUAAACGCCAAAAACUUUUGUUUUUCCUUAUACCAGGCAGAUCACUCGAGAAUUUUUUACAAGAUCAUGCUUCAAGCUAAACACAAUCAUCAAGAUCCAAGUAAGAUUCACCAACCGACUUGAACAUGGCUACUUUGAAACGAAAAGUUAAAUCUCGUUCUGUCAAAGAGAAAGCAGUCCUCAUGCAUUAAACUGGUCAUAGCAAAAAUCUACGACCGACUGCUAGCGACAUCGGUUUCUGUCGUCCUAUAGACUAAUAAAAGGUUCAUAGGCUUCUUUGUCAUCAUAAUCCUUAACACCACUUUCCGUUUCUCACGAUAUGAUCUCCUCUGCUUCGAAUGAAAAGCCCUUCAAAAUGUGUAAUGCUGCUAAAUGGAAUCGAUGUCCAGGCCUUUGAGCUUGACCAUGGAUUCAACAUGGCCCUUCAGAGUGUGUAGCUCGCGAAGCCUGCAACAACAGAUUCACUUUGUCUUACCAUCAAAUGUAGGACUUAAACAGUGAAAAGGAAUUGCUAGCAGCGAAUGGUUUAAACUCUGUUU
rnacentral:lncRNA from 1 species